UUAGCCUUCAUUGAUUCAGUCCAAAGACUGGGUGUGAGUUACCAUUUCACCAAGGAGAUCGAAGAAGAACUAGAGAAUAUCUACCAUAACAACAAUGAUGCCGAGAACGACCUCUACACUACAUCUCUUCGAUUCCGACUACUCCGAGAGCAUGGAUACAAUGUUUCAUGCGGUAAUUAUUGGAACAACAGCAUAGUGUUUUUAAGUUUCUUGAGAAUAUAAUAGCAUGGAAUGUUUGAUAACGAUAUUUCAAUUUGGGGAAUUUCAUCUCAGACGUAUUCAACAAGUUUAAAGACGAGCAAGGGAAUUUCAAGUCAUCCGUGACAAGCGAUGUUCGAGGAUUGUUGGAACUUUACCAAGCUUCCUAUUUGAGGGUUCAUGGUGAAGAUAUAUUGGAUGAAGCAAUUUCUUUCACCACCAACCAUUUAAGCCUUGCAGUAGCAUCUUUGGACCAUCCUUUAUCAGAAGAGGUUUCUCAUGCUUUGAAACAAUCAAUUCGAAGAGGCUUGCCAAGGGUUGAGGCAAGGCAUUAUCUUUCAGUAUACCAAGAUAUUGAGUCCCAUAAUAAGGCUUUGUUGGAGUUUGCUAAGAUCGACUUCAACAUGUUACAAUUUUUGCAUAGGAAAGAGCUAAGUGAGAUUUGUAGGUAUGUUUUUAAUCUCUUUCACUCAUUUUUUUUCUUUUUCAUCUUUUUUAUUUAUUUAUUUUUUAAUGGAAGGAGGGUUGAAUUUAUAGGUGGCAUCAUUCUCAGUAUAGGAGACGAGUUGCAAAUGCUAAUAUUUUAAUCUUAUUAAAUAGCAGAAGUUAAAAGAGACGGCAUGAAACUUGGAUUCAUCUUUUUUACCUAUAUCAUUUUACUUAUAUAUAUUUUAAAAUUUGAGGUAGCCAAUUGACUUCAAUCUAGUAUAUCAUGAAUGUGAAAUUAAUUAAAACUUUGAUUAUUCAUUAAUGGGGUUUUUUAUGAUACAAUUCUUUUAGGUGGUGGAAGGAUUUAGACUUUCAAAGAAAGUUGCCAUAUGCAAGAGAUAGAGUGGUUGAAGGCUAUUUUUGGAUCUCGGGAGUGUACUUUGAGCCCCAAUAUUCACUUGGUAGAAAGAUGUUGACAAAAGUGAUAGCAAUGGCAUCUAUUGUAGAUGAUACAUAUGACUCAUAUGCAACAUAUGAAGAGCUCAUUCCCUAUACAAAUGCAAUUGAGAGGUCAGAUUUCUUUAGUUGAAGUUAACAUUCAAUUAUAUAUCUCAUGGAAUGAUAAAAUAUAACAUUGAAAUUGGAUUCAGGUGGGAUAUCAAAUGCAUAGAUGAACUUCCAGAAUACAUGAAACCAAGCUACAAGGCACUGUUAGAUGUUUAUGAAGAAAUGAAACAACUGGUGGCUGAGCAUGGGAGACAAUAUCGUGUUGAAUAUGCGAAAAAUGCGGUAUGUACAUCAUCAAACAUAUAUUUUGUACACAAAAGAUAAGAUAUUAGUUAAAUUGUAGAUUUGAAUAAACAACUAACUUGAAUAACAAUAUAUAAUCAUUUAAAUAUUAUUUUUGAAUUUGAAUUGAUAUUCGUAAUAAUUAUUGGGAUUUUGUUGCCUCAGAUGAUACGACUUGCUCAGUCUUACCUUGUGGAAGCCAGAUGGACUCUUCAAAACUACAAACCAUCAUUCGAGGAGUUUAAGGCAAAUGCAUUGCCAACUUGUGGUUAUGCCAUGCUUGCUAUUACAUCUUUCGUCGGCAUGGGAGAUAUCGUAACACUAGAAACCUUUAAAUGGGCAGCCAAUGAUCCUAAGAUCAUUCAAGCUUCCACAAUUAUUUGUAGGUUUAUGGAUGAUGUUGCUGAACACAAGGUAUAAUAAUAUAUUUAUAUAAUUACAAGAAACCGAACUCUUAACUAAAUAAUUGAGUGUCUUUGUAAUGAAAAAAAACGAUGGUUUUUUAUCAUGAUCUGAAACAAUUAAAGUUUAAUGUUUAUAUAUGUAUAAUAUUUAGUCUUAAAUAGAAGAAUAAGAAAAAAAAAACCUAGCUUCAUUUUAACGUAACUAGAGAGGAAGUAUCGUCAAAAAAGGUAUAUAGUGAUUGAAUAAUUUUGAUUUUAUUAUGGUUGCAGUUCAAGCAUAGGAGAGAAGACGAUUGCUCAGCAAUCGAGUGUUACAUGGAAGAAUAUGGCGUAACAGCACAAGAGGCAUAUGAUGUAUUCAACAAGCAUGUUGAGAGUGCUUGGAAGGAUUUAAAUCAAGAGUUUUUGAAACCAACAGAAAUGCCAACAGAGGUUUUGAAUCGUAGCCUAAACCUUGCAAGGGUGAUGGAUGUGCUUUACAGGGAAGGCGAUGGCUAUACAUAUGUUGGAAAAGCGGCAAAGGGUGGAAUCACUUCAUUGCUCAUUGAACCAAUUGCACUUUGAAAUUAUGUUAAUUUUUCCUCUCCAAGCUUGUUUCUUAAGAAAUAGUUAUUAAGUUCUAAUUAAUAAUGUUUUAUAAUAUUCAUAUAUUAUAAAAGAAAGUCCAAAUCGAUUGUCUUUGUACUUAUUGCCUUAUAUUAAUUCAAUAAGGUUCUUUCCAAACUUUUCAUUGUGAAAAAUCUUCUAUUUUAUAUAUUAUUUGAUUUUAUAUAUAUACAUAUAUAUAUAUUGGUAUAAAAGAAUAUGUAAUAUAAAAAUAAGAUGAGUUAUACCGGAAUUAAGAUUAAAAAGAAUCUACUAAACAUUACCACCUAAAGUUUAUUCAGAUAAGUUUUGAAUUCUUUAUUUAUUUAAUUCGGUAUAUCAUUAAGUUUGAAAAAUAAAAUAUUUGAGAAAUUAUUUUAUAAAUCAUUCCUAUUACAUCAUUUAUAGUUUAUUUUCAAUUAUUUAAUGACAUUUCAAUAACUUUUUCCAUAUCAUUGACAAAAUUUUGGUAAUUUUUUAACCUUGAACCAUGACCCUAAAUCCCAAAUCCUAAACAUUAAAUCCAAAAUUUUAAACCCUAAACCUUGAAUAUUGACCUCAAAUCCUAAACCCCAAACGUUGAACAUUGACCUCAAACCCUAAACCUUAAAUAUCAAAUUAUAAACCAAAACUUGAACAUUAAAUCCCAAACCUGAAUCUUGAACCUUGAACCUUAAACCUUAAAUCUCGAAUUCUAAAUUCUAAACCUUGAACAAUAUUUGGUUUGGGGUUCAGUGUUUGAAAUCUGAAUUCGAGAUAAAAUAAUUACCAUAAUUAUAAGUCAAUGACAUAAAAAAAUUACUAAAAUACCAUUAAAUAACUGGAAAUGGACCAUAAAUAAUAUAAUUGAAAUGAUCCGUUAAAGAAUUUCUCUAAAAUAUCCUUUAUUAGUUUCCACUUAAAAGUCAACAAAUUUAUAACCAAUCCCAAAAAAUCAGGAGUGAAUUUCAAAUUUGUGUUACACAAUAUGUUGCAUCACAUGUAAUAAAUUUUGUAAAAAGAUAAAUGUAUUUUUUAACGAAACUAUCAAAUUUAACCAUUAGUAGAUGAUAAAAGUUUUUGGAAUCAAAUAAACUAUAUUAUAAUUUAUGUUAUACAAUGUAGUAAAAUAUAUAAAAAUAUUGUAAUGCUGUAAUAUAUUUUGUAAUGACUAUUUUCACCAACCAAAAUAAAUUUUUAAAUUUGAAAUAACGUAAAUGUUAAGUUUCUAAUAUAUAAUAUUAUAUAUGUACGUAUGUAUGAGUCUAAGUACUGACGGCUACCAAAACAAAAUGUUUUAAAUCAAAGAAAAAAAAUAAUGAGUAAACUAUAUUAUUAGUAACUAAAUUAUGAGUAGAUUUUUAUUUUGUUCACUUAAUUAAAAAAUUUAUAAAUUAAUUAUAAAUGCUUUCUAGAUUUGACACUUUUUAGUUAGUAUAAUUACAAUUUUAGUCCUCGAUUUUUAUACUUUAUGUCAAUUUGACCCUGAUGAUGUAGUCGUAAACCAUCUAAAAAUUUGACUAGGGCAAGUGUACCUAUAAAUUAAUAGUAUAGUUACGGUGAGCAAAGAUAUCGUUCACAUGUUGACUAAAACUACUGUAAAUUAAUAAUUUUCUAUUAUUUAACUGAUAAAUUCGAAUAAUUGAUUAAAAAAUAAAUUUAACUAAACAAGUUGCUAACGAACACGACAAAGAACAAUUAAGGAAAAUAAACGGUUAACAACCAAGAAGCGAAACAAUACUCAGGAAAGAAUUCACCUAGAUUCCAUCUGUCAUUAUCGAUCUAAAUUACACAAUUUCUUCACUUAGUAUAUUGAUCCGUAGAAAUCCCUAAAUUAUGCUAAUAUCUCUCUUCAAGACUAAGAGCAACUGACUCUAGGUUGAUUAAUUGAAUUUGUUUCUAAUUAAAACCUGUAUUAUCGCUUUAACUCGAUCAAUGGAUCCCCCUAUUAGAUUUGACUCUAGUCUAAUAGAUUUAUGUUGUCCUAUUUCUAGGAUUGCAGGCAACAUCACUCAAUUAUAUUAGAUCUACUCUUAAAUAGGGUCUAUUCCUCCUCUGAUUUAAGCUCAUCAAACAUGGAUUGAUAAUCUAGAAAUAUCAAACCAAGAAUUAAGCACACAUAAUUGAGAACAAGAUCCAAAAAUUUAUUGUGUAAAAAUAGAAAUCAAAUAACACAAUCUAUCCUAGGGUUCAUCUCCUAGGUAUUUGGAAAAUCAGUUCAUGAUAACAAAUAAAAACAUCCCAAAGACAGUAUAACCACAAGAAAUAAAGAAACUCUUAAUAAACUUCAAAGAAAUCAAAAGGAGAUAUUCAAUCUAAUUUUCCUUCCUAUUUUACUAAAACAUUUACCUCUAAAAUGAAUUUGGACAAAUAAUUUUCAGAUUCAUUUGAACCAGAUACAUUCUUGACAUAAACUUCGAAGUCAUAAAGUUAUUAAAAAUAAAAAAUUAUUAAGAUUGUAAAAUUAUUUAAAAAUAUAAAUAAUUAAAUAAUUACUAAAAAAAUCUAAAAUUAUAUUUUUUUUAUAAAAAAAACACAGAAUUUAUAGGCUCAAAAUGAACCUGGACAAAUUAUUAUUCAUAUUAAUUUGAACCUGGAUAAUUUUUUUCUCUGGGGUCAUUUUGGAUGUAAAUUUCGAAUGUUGUAAAAAUUGUUUAAAAAAUAAUUAAAAAUAAUAAAUAAUUAUGAAUAAUUAUUAAAAAUGUAAUAUAUAUUACUUUUUAUUUUUUAAAUGAUAUGUGAUAAUAUAAUUUGGUGAAAAUGAUACUAAGAAAAAGAUGGAAGUAUGAUAUUACAUUAAUAAAUGACAAAAUAUUCUAAAUAUUUAAUUAUCUUUGUUGUAGGCCAAUUUUAGCUCAUUUACAUCAAAACCCAAUUUAGCCUUACCUAAUCCACUAAAAUUAAACCCAAAACCCAAAAUCAUAACUACCCAAAGCCAAAUUUACAUCAAAACCCCAAUGGCCCAAACCCUAAGCCCAAAUCAAAAUAAAAAAACCUAGCCCACAACUUAAACUUUUCUCAACUAGCCACUCCUUUUCCACCACCAACUCCACUAGCCACACCUUUUCCACCACCAACUCCACUAGCCACUCUUUUUCCACCACCAACUCCGCUAGCCACACCUUUUCCACCACCAACUCCACUAGCCACUCUUUUUCCACCACCAACUCCACUAGCCACACCUUCUCCACCACCACUUGUACCUACAAAUGAAGACAUAAACAAUAAAAAAAUAUUUUGUAAAUAGCUAUAUAAGCCUUCUCAUAUUUUGUAUCCGGGGGGGAAGAUUUUUUUGGAGAGUUUUUGGGAGAGAAAGUUAUUGUAAAGGAUUUUUGGAGAGGUUUCUUUUUAAAGUAAUCAAGGAGAAGAGUUAUUGUGAAGGCUAGUUUUUGGAGAAGCUAGUUUUUUUGGAGAUUAAUCAAAAAUCAAAGCAAAAGAGGUUUCUUUGUCUAUUCUCAUUUUAAGUUCUUUGUUUACUUAUUGUUUUCCUUUCAAUCUUAUUUUGUUUCUUUUAUACGAAAGUAAAAAAUAAAAGGAGGAAGCUUACCCAUUUUUACCGAAAAAGUUUUUUUGAGGUCCGGCUGCUAUGUAUGGUGGCGCCGGCGGCAGUCCGGCGACCGGACGAUGGCCGGCCUUGUGGCCGAAAAUCACCCACCCUCUCCCUCUUUUUUUUUGUUAUUAUUAUAUUUCUUAAUAUUAUAUUAUAUAUAUUCUUUUAAUAUAUUAGGUAUAUUUUAAAUUUUAUAUUACGUAUAUAUAUAUUUUAUACUAUUUUAUUUAUAUAUCUUUAAUAUUAUAUUAUAUAUAUAUAUAUAUAUUUUUUUUCUACAUGUUAUCUUAUGUAUAUAUCUUAACUAUAUUAUGUAUGUAUUUUUAACACUAUAUUAUGUACAUAUUUUUAAUAUUAUCAUGUAUUUAUUUUUUAUAUAUGUACAUAUUGAUGUAAUAUUAUUAAUAGUAUUUUUUUAACAUCAUUAUUAUUUCUAAUAUAUAUUAUGUACAUCUUUUUUAUUUCUAUUUUAUUUUUUAUUUGUCAAUAUUAAUUAUUAUUCUAAUAUUUUGAUAUUUUAUAUUUUAUAUAUUUUAUUAUUCCCAUCAUUGUUCGCAUUUUUUGACAAUAAUAUUCUUGGAUUUUUUUUACUAUCAUUUUAAAAACUUUUUACAUUUUAAUUUUAAGAAUAAGGCAAUGUACCAAUUUUAACAUUAAGUCAUCGAUUUCAUCGCUAUGUUGGGUGAAAUUAAUCGGCUCGUGUUAAAAACGGGACGUCCUUCUAAAAAACAAAAAAAACUUGCAACUUCUCAUUUCCUUCAAUCGGAUCACACUUAAAUGUCAAAUUGAAUUCGUAUUUUUGAAAAUCAAGACAACAUGUGUUUAAUAAGAUACCAAUUUUGGGCGUCGCGAGGGUGUCAAUACCUUCGUGCGUAACCGACUCCCGAACCCUAAAUUUUCUCUGGAUUUUAACGUAGACCUAAACUUAGCCUUUUAUUUGUUUUAAUAAAAGAUCUAAUAGGUGUCCGAUCACACCUAAGAAAAAGGAUCGGUGGCGACUCCCUAUUUAUUUCAAAAAUCAAACGUCAAAUUUCAAAAAAAAUUUCAAUAAAUCGCCACAAUUAGCGACCAAGCUAAGCUAAAAUUUUUACGUCGCUACAGCUGGCGACUCCACUGGGGAAAGCCUUUUUGAGAGUCGUGUCUGGAAUUAAACACGUUUUGUCAAAAUUUUCAAAUUUCCUUGUUCAAAGUAAAUAUUUGGUCGUGAUCCGAAAAUCUCGUUUUCAAAAUUCAUGCAUUUGUAUCGUGCUGUAAAUAUUUCUUCUAACUUGCUUAUUUGGUUGUCUUUUAGUUUUUAAUUUUUAUGGUUUUAAUUUUGGUUUAGUUUCUUUAAGUGAAACGUAAAGGUUUAUGAGUUGUUCCCCACACACCGUGCACUUGUAUUUUCGCAUAACAUGAGCUCUCUACCCGGGCUCUAUCCGUUUAAGUGAAAGUAAACGCUACGCCUUCGUGAGUUAACUCGUCCCUCCGCACAGGCUGCUGAAUACUUUCGGGUUACAUAUGAUUUAUGCUUUCGUGAGUUAACUUGUCCCUCCGCAUAGGCAUAAGUAAAUGUAACCCCUCGAAUUGAACUCGUGAGCCUGUGAUAGGCUAUGACCGAGGCUCCGUGCUAAUCUUAGCAGAUGAUAGUACGAGCAAUUCGAGUACCUGUCUAGAACCAAAACCGCAUAUAGUGAACCAUACGAGCCACCCAACUAGAGCCAUGCCGAACCUCCACUCGUUUAGUAGUCACCGAAAUAAGUACACGAGAAAAGCACAUCUUACCUUCUAUUUCUUUUACAUUUGUGCUUUCUAAGCAAGGGAAUCGAGUCCACUGGACCAAGUAGCUUAAUUUGUUAGAUUUUCCACAGUUUUUCUCUGUUUAUAUGUGUUGUGCUAACCAAGGUCGUUUGUCUGUAUUUUUAUUUUUCAUCAUGCAUCGAAGGCAUCUUGUUAGGAAAGUGUUGAUUAGAGAUUGGUUGCCAAAAAUGGGUUUCUAAUGGAGGAGUCAAUUAUACGAGUGACCGAAACGUUGUGUUAUACUCCUUUGAUUAAGGAAAUGCCUAAAUAGGGGCUAUCUUGAAAUUAACACCAAUUUCUUGCAUUUCUUUCAUGACUAACAGUCAUUUGACAUUCAUGCAUUCAUUCAUUCAUUGCAUAUUCCAUACUCGUUCGCUGAGGUUAAAACAUACAAUUCGCUAGUUGUGCAUACCAUACGGGAAACCAGGGACAUUCCACGAAAAACUGCCUAGCCUUUAAGAGAAGAGUUCAAGGACUCAUUGAUGCAGGUAUCCUACGAUUCGAUAGUGCCAAUAAUGCAACUGGGAACCCAUUCCUUAACCAUAUCGAAAGGGAUGUGAGCAUAGUGGGGAAAGUGGACGAAUGGAAAGUCAGAAGAUGUGUUUCAGAAAUAAGGACGCCUCUACAGAAAAUCUGGGAGGUACUGGUUAAGAAAGGAUUGCUUUGUCACCCCGAUAGAAUUCUCGGAGAAGAAGGUCAAAGUUUUUGCAAUUUCCAUGGAAUUGUAGGACACGACAUUCAGUUGUGUGAGGAAUUUAAAAGGUUGCUUCAAGACCGGAUGGAUAAUAAGGAGAUUAAGAUCCUUAACAAAAGGGAAGAGACCAAUGAAAGAGAAGUAUGCGCCUCUGAUAGCCAGUCAUCAGGUCCCCCUUAUAGCGCUGAUCAACCGUUAGUAAUUUAUUACGAUGCAACGAAAGAGCCGGUGAAACCAAAAAUGAUAAUCGAAGUACCAUCUUCUUUCCCUUACAAGGACAAUAAAGCAGUACCAUGGAAAUAUGACGUUAAUAUCGUCACACCUGAAGAUGAAAAACCCAAAGCCAUGACUGGAAGCGUCGGGGAAUUAGGUCAUUUCACUCGUAGUGGAAGAUGUUAUUCGAAGGAGAUAAAGAAGAACAGUGACUUGAAACAGAAAGGAAAAGCACCGAUGCAUGUGACCGAUGAUGAGUAUGAAACUGCGCCUGAACAAGAAGCUAAAAAUCCUGUGGAUGAGGAGGAAGCACAGGAAUUCUUAAAAUUUAUCAAGCACAGUGAGUACAAUGUGGUAGAACAAUUGAGUAAGCAGCCAGCGCGAAUCUCGGUAUUAUCUCUACUGUUGAAUUCAGAACCACACCGAAACGCUCUGCUGAAAGUGUUAAAUCAAGCUUAUGUGGCAAACAAUGUAUCCGUUGAAAAACUGGAUAGGUGGAUGAACAACUUGAAUGCGGAUAAUUUCAUUUCUUUCAGUGAUGAUGAAAUACCGCCCAAUGGUAGAGGCUCAGUGAAAGCAUUGCAUAUCACAACCCGUUGCAAGGGCUACAUAAUACCGAACGUGCUCAUCGAUAAUGGUUCGGCACUCAACGUUAUGCCUUUGGCCACGCUUUCCAGAAUUUCGAUGGAUCUAUCCCAUUUAAGGCCCUGUCAUUCUACGGUAAGGGCAUUCGACAGGACAAGGCGUGAAGUCAUGGAAAAAAUUGAGAUCCCUCUGGAAGUGGGUCCUUACAUAUAUGAUGUCGAGUUCCAAGUCAUGGACAUUACAUCCUCAUAUAACUGCCUUUUGGGAAGACCCUGGAUCCAUUCUGCUGGAGCGGUCCUAUCAUCCCUCCAUCAAAAGGUGAAAUUUAUCAUGGAUGGCUGUUUGGUCACUAUCGAGGGAGAAGAAAACAUUGUCGCAUCUAUCUCUGCUGAUGCGCCAUACCUUGAAGUGAGCAAGGACAUAGUGGAAUGCUCCUUCCGAUCCCUUGAAUUCGUCAAUGCCACAUUCUUCACUGAGGGAAACAAAAUUCCCGUGCCUAAAUUGUCGAGAAAUACUAGAAUGGGUGUCAAGUUGACUGUAGGAAGGGGAGCUCGAGUGAGAAGAGGUUUAGGGAGAUAUCUGCAAGGAAUAGUCAGGGCUCUAAAACCAGUGCAUCAUAAGGCCCGAUACGGUUUGGGGUUCCAGCCGGACAUGCGUCAAAGAAGAAGACAGUGGAAGAAAGAUCAAGAAAGAAGGAUCGCGAGAACCUUAGGCCGAGAACCAGAAUGGGAGCCUAUGGAAUUCUCUCCUUUGUCAAGAACAUUUACGUCUGCGGGAAUGAUAUACCCGAGGCAGGACAAUGCACAAGGCACAAUGUUAAUGAUCAAAAAGGGUUUUCAGAACAUCAGUAUAAAUGUCAUUGACAAAGGAGCUGACACAAGUAAAGAUGUCUCAAGGAUACGCCUUUGUCCCCCUGGUUUCAUGUUAAACAAUUGGACUGCCGAGGACCUUCUUGUAGUUUAUAAGUCUUCAGAGUAAUGCUCAAACAUUAACAUUCUAUUGUGUCCUUAGAUAUAAUAGAAUUCUUUUCUAGGAGCUUGCAUUCGCUCUUUAUCAUUUAAGUGAAUAUCAAUGAAGAUGCAUUUUGUCAAGAUUUUUCGCAUUAUCACUAAUUUCAUAAUCAUUUUCUCAUUUCAUAGCCUAUCCUUACAUUUUCCUCAUUGCCAUGACAUAACAUUUUGUUUGUUGUUUCCAAUACUUGGAUGUCCCCGGAUAGCUUCCUUUUCCAUUCAACUUUCAGGUGCUCAGAUAUUGACGACAUGAAUAAGCCUGUUACGAAUCUUGAAAUUGAUUUUGAGAAGGCUGUUUGCUUAGGAGAAUUUGAAGCCGAAGAAAAUGCUGAAGAUUAUGCCUCGUCUCCUGAAUUGUUAAGAAUGGUGGAACAAGAGGAUAAAUAGGUUUUGCCUCAUGAAGAAUCUGUGGAAACAAUAAAUUUGGGCACUGAAGAGAGGAAACAAGAAGUGAAGAUUGGGACUUCUAUUUCAGAAAGUACCAGGCAUAGUUUGAUCACUUUACUCCGCGAAUACAAAGAUGUUUUCGCGUGGUCAUACCAGGACAUGCCAGGGCUAGAUGAAGAUUUAGUGGUCCAUAAGCUCCCAUUAAAGCCAGAAUGUAAGCCCAUCCAGCAAAAAUUAAGACGGAUGAGGCUCGAAAUGCUGUUGAAAAUAAAAGAGGAAGUCAAGAAACAAUUUGACGCUGGCUUCCUACAAGCCUCCAAAUAUCUAGAAUGGGUGGCUAACAUAGUCCCGGUACCAAAGAAAGAUGGAAAAGUACGAAUGUUCGUGGAUUACCGUGACCUGAAUCGAGCAAGCCCAAAAGAUAAUUUUCCCUUGCCACAUAUUGACACGUUGGUGGACAACACAGCAAAACAUUCAUUGUUUUCUUUCAUGGAUGGAUUCUCGGGGUAUAAUCAGAUCAAGAUGGCCCCUGAGGAUAUGGAGAAAACUACCUUCAUAACAAUGUGGGGAACGUUCUGCUACAAGGUGAUGCCAUUCGAGUUAAAGAAUGCUGGGGCAACAUAUCAGAGGGCUAUGGUGACGUUAUUCCAUGACAUGAUGCAUAAAGAACUAGAGGUCUACGUCGAUGAUAUGAUUGCUAAAUCUCGAGGAGAAGAAGAGCAUGUAAUGAACCUCAAGAAGUUGUUCGAAAGGCUGAGAAAGUUUCAGCUAAAGCUUAAUCCAGCCAAAUGUACAUUCGGGGCUACCUCAGGAAAAUUGCUAGGCUUCAUUGUCAGUGAAAGAGGUAUCGAAGUUGAUCUAGAUAAAAUAAAAGCCAUCCAAGAAUUACUUCCCCCGCGCACACAAAAGGAAGUCAGGGGAUUUUUAGGGAGGUUGAAUUACAUUGCUCGAUUCAUUGCUCAACUUACCAAUCAGUGCGACCCAAUUUUUCAACUCCUUCGAAAACAUAACCCGGGAGAAUGGAACGAGGAGUGCCAAGUGGCCUUCGAUAAGAUAAAACGGUAUUUGUCUAAUCCUCUUGUGCUAGUACCACCGACCCCCAGAAAACCCUUAAUUUUGUACCUGACCGUGUUUGAAAACUCAAUGGGUUGCGUACUGGGGCAACAUGAUGAGUCAGGGAGAAAAGAAAAGGCGAUCUACUACCUCAGCAAAAAGUUCACUGAAUAUGAGGCAAAAUAUUCGUCUAUUGAGAAAUAUUGUUGCGCUCUGGUUUGGGUAGCUCGGAGACUCAGACAAUAUAUGUUGUAUCACACGACAUGGCUAAUUUCAAAGCUGGACCCAAUAAAAUACAUGAUGGAAUCGCCGGCACUAUCAGAAAGAAUGGCACGAUAGCAGAUCCUCCUUUCGGAAUAUGACAUUGCCUAUGUAAGUCAGAAGUCGAUAAAAGGGAGCGCAAUAGCUGACUUCUUAGCAACUCGAACGGCAGAGGAAUAUGAGCCUUUAAGAUUCGAUUUCCCAGACGAAGACUUAAUGUGCAUCACAGAAAUAGAAUCCGAGUCAUCAAAAGAGAAGUCAUGGAAGAUGUGCUUUGAUGGUGCGUCAAAUGCUUUAGGGCAUGUAAUUGGAGCAAUCCUGGUAUCACCAGAGGGGAAUCAUUAUCCGUUCACUGCAAGACUGAACUUCUUCUGUACCAAUAAUAUCACAGAAUAUGAGGACCGUAUCAUGGGGCUUCGUGCAGCUAUCGAACGAAACAUCGAGAUCUUGGAGGUGUACGGAGACUCAGCCCUAGUGAUUUACCAAAUCCGUGGAGAAUGGGAAGUGAGGGACUCAAAAUUGAUUAAGUACAGCAAUUUAGUGGCUGGAUUGAUCAAGGAAUUCAAAGAAAUAACUUUUCAUUACUUCCCACGAGAAGAGAACCAACUGGCUGAUGCCCUAGCCACUUUGGCUUCAAUGUUCAAAGCAAGUAGAGAAGCAGAAAUAAUGCCCCUCAAAAUGAGCAUAUACGAGGUCCCUGCACACUGUUGUAGCAUUGGGAAAGUAGUAGAUGGAUGGCCUUGGUUCCAUGAUAUCUUAGAAUAUACCAAGAAUCAAAGGUAUCCCGAACAAGCGAAUGAGAACAAUAAAAGAACAAUUAGAAGAAUGGCUGCGGGAUUUGUUCUUGAUGGGGAUAUCCUGUAUAAAAGAGGAAAGGAUCAGAUGCUUUUGAGAUGUGUGGAUGAUGUUGGAGCCAGAAAAAUACUUGAAGAGGUCCAUGAGGGAAUUUGCGGAACGCAUGCCAAUGGUUUCAAUAUGGCCAGAAAGAUCAUGAGACUCAGUUAUUAUUGGCUGACAAUGGAAAGUGACUGCAUCAAUUUUGCCAGAAAAUGCCACAAAUGUCAAAUCUACGGCGAUAAAGUUCAUGUAGCCCCUUCACCCCUUCAUGUCAUGACUUCUCCGUGGCCUUUUUCUAUGUGGGGCAUGGAUGUCAUAGGGCCAAUUUCUCCAAAAGCUUCAAAUGGACAUCGAUUCAUUUUUGUGGUUAUCGAUUACUUCACAAAAUGGAUUGAAGCCGCUUCGUUUGCCAAUGUGAUGAAGACUGCAGUGUGCAAGUUUUUGAAAAAGGAAAUCAUUUGCCGAUAUGGUUUGCCUGAAAGAAUCAUCUCAGAUAAUGCCACGAAUUUGAACAAUAAGAUGAUGAAAGAAGUGUGCGAACAGUUCCAAAUAAAGCAUCAUAAUUCCUUGCCCUAUCGCCCAAAGAUGAACGGGGCUGUUGAAGCAGCUAACAAGAACAUUAAGAAGAUCAUUGGGAAAAUGACUGAGACAUAUAAAGAUUGGCACGAGAAACUUCCAUUUGCUUUGUUUGUAUAUCGCACAUCUGUGUGAACAUCUACGGGAGCAACUCCUUUCUCUCUAGUCUAUGGAAUGGAAGCUGUGCUACCUAUCGAGGUUGAGAUCCCCUCUCUGCGAGUAUUGAUGGAAUCAAAGUUAGAAGAAGUAGAAUGGGUUCGAGCUAGAUAUGAUCAGUUGAACCUUAUUGAAGAAAAACGUCUAAGGGCAAUUUGUCAUGGGCAAAUGUACCAAAAGAGAAUGAUCGCAGCCCAUGAUAAGAAGGUACGACCAAGAGAGUUCCAUGAAGGAGAACUCGUUCUGAGAAAGUUUCUCCCAAUACAAAAAGACCUACGAGGAAAAUGAGCACCAAAUUGGGAAGGACCAUACGUUGUAAAAAAGGCAUUCUCAGGAGGAGCUUUAAUCCUUACCGAGAUGGAUGGGAAGGAGUUACCGAAUCCGGUGAAUUCAGAUGCGGUGAAGAAAUAUUAUGCUUAAGAUGAAAACUCGAAAAUGGCAUCUUAAAAAAAAAGGGAUCAGGGCGAAAACCCGAAAAGGGCGUCUUGAUUAGUACAAAAAGAUUAGGAUAAAAACCCGAGAGGGCGUCCUAAUGAAACAAACCUGGCGGUCGAACGAUAGGUCAAGUAGUGAGACUACAGUAUUUGAAGCACUUCUGAAAGCUCAAAAUUUUCUACGCAAGAAGCCAUACUCGAAAAGAUUAUUGAUUGAGGAACGUGGAAGAGUUCAUGUGUUGAAUAUCUAGAGCAUUUGUAUCCGUUGAAUACGAUAUUUUCUUUCUUUUUUACAUUUUUACUCUCAUUGGUUAACUUUCUUUGUUUGCCACAUUUGAAAUAAAGGAAUAUGAGAUAUCCUUUUUAUCCCUACCUGACCAUUUUCAUGCAUCUCAUUAUGUGUUUAUUUAAUGAUAAAUAGUGAAAUGACAUACUCUAAACAAAAGAAAUGUCAAACAUUACCCGGAUAAGAAUUCGAUAAGUGCAAGAUCUUCAAAGCAAGAACAAAGUUUAACCAAGGGCAAAAGGGUGAUAUCUGAGAAACUUCGAUUACUCGUAAAGCUCGAAGACAGGUAUGAGGCCUGAUGAGAAGGUCGAGAAUCAAAGCAAUGAACGCAGAUCCUCAACAAUCAUGGCGAAAAUGACAUACAACCAAUAUGCUUAAGGAGCACUGCAUAAUCAUGUAGGCAUAAAGGCAUUUAAGACAAACAUGUGCAUAUCAUGAUGACAUCAUGCAUGGCAUAUACAGGUAAUCCAGUAAAGCAAGAAAUCUUGAAUGAGAGUCGCACUGAAUCAAAGGAAAAGAUACCCGAGUUCUACCAAAGGACUGGUUUUGGUAUUUUGAUGUUUUUAAUUCAUGCUUUUCAAGGAAAAUCAACUCAUAUUGCGAGAGAUGAGUUGAGCCUCAAGACACGUUGAGGUAUUUUUAAUUGUUGUUUUCAAAAUCAACUCAUAUUGCGAGAAGUGAGUUGAGCCUCAGGGCACGCUGAGGUAUUUUUAGUUUUAAAUUGACUCAUAUUGCGAGAGGUGAGUUAAGCCUUUUAAUUUUUGUUUUUCAAAAUCAACUCAUAUUGCUAGAGGUGAGUUGAGCCUCGGGGCACGCUGAGGUAUUUUCAAUUUUUGUGUUUUAAUUUCAACUCAUAUUGCGAGAGGUGAGUUGAGCCUCAGGACAUGCUGAGGUAAUUUCAAUUUCUGUUGUCAAAAAAAUCAACUCGUAUUGCGAGUGGCGAGUUGAGCCUCAGGUCACACGUCGAGGUAUUUUCAAUUUUCGUUUUUCAAUUUCUGCCUUUCAAAAAAAAUCAACUCAUAUUGCGAGAGGUGAGUUGAGCCUCAGGACACGCUGAGGUAAUUUCAAUUUCUGUUGUCAAAAAAGUCAACUCGUAUUGCGAGCGGCGAGUUGAGCCUCAGGUCACACGCCGAGGUAUUUUCAAUUUCCGUUUUUUAAUUUCUGCUUUUCAAAAAAAAAUCGACUCAUAUUGCGAGAGGUGAGUUGAGCCUUGGCUCACGCGCUGAGCUAUUUUCAAUUUCUGUCUUUCAAAAAAAUUAACUCAUAUUGCGAGAGGUGAGUUGAGCCUCAGAUCACACGCCGAGGUAUUUUCAAUUUCUGUCUUUCAAAAAAAAAUCAACUCAUAUUGCGAGAGGUGAGUUGAGCCUCAGGACACGCUGAGGUAAUUUCAAUUUUUGUUGUCAAAAAAAUCAACUCGUAUUGUGAGAGACGAGUUGAGCCUCAGGUCACACGCCAAGGUAUUUUCAAUUUCUGUUUUUCAAUUUCUGCCUUUCAAAAAAAAUCAACUCAUAUUGCGAGAGGUGAGUUGAGCCUUGGCUCACGCGCUGAGCUGUUUUCAAUUUCUGUUUUUCAAAAAAAUCAACUCAUAUUGCGAGAGGUGAGUUGAGAUUUAGAUCACACAUUGAGGUAUUUUUUCAAUUUAUAUUUUUCAAAAAAAUUAACUUACAUUGCGAGAUGUGAGUUGAGCCUUGGGUCACAUGUCGAGGUAUUUUCAAAAUCUGUUUUUCAGAUUCUGUUUUCAAAAAUUAACUCAUAUUGCGAGAAGUGAGUUGAGCCUUAGCUCACGUGCUGAGCUAUUUUCAAUUUCUUUUUUUUUCAAAAAAAUUCAACUCAUAUUGCGAGAGGUGAGUUGAGCUUUUUAAUUUCUGCGAGAGUUGAGUUGAGUCUUUUAAUUUCUAUUUUUCAAAAAUCAACUCAUAUUGCGAGAGGUGAGUUGAACCCCCAGUCACAUAUCGAGGUAUUUUCAAAAUCUGCUUUUCAAGUUAAGUUUCAAAAAAUCAACUCAUAUUGCGAGAGGUGAGUUGAGCCUCAGGACACGCUGAGGUAUUUUUAAAUUUAUAUUUUUCAAAAAUCAAUUCAUAUUACGAGAUGUGAGUUGAGCCUUGGGUUCACAUGUCGAGGUAUUUUCAAAAUCUACUUUUGCGAGAGGUGAGUUGAGCCUUGGCUCACGUGCUGAGCUAUUUUCAAUUUCUGUUUUUAAUGUCUAGUUUUACAGAGUCAAUUCAUAUUGCGAGAAAUGAGUUGAGCUUAGGAUCACAUGCCGAGUAAAGAAUCAAUAUUAGAGCUGAUUGAAGACACCAGAUUUUGUCUCCCUGAAGUUGCAGUGGAGUUAAUCGAGGAUAUCAGAUCUUGCCUUUCUAAAGUGGCAGAAGAGAAGACCCAAAACCUUAUCUCACUGAAGCGAUAGAAGAGCAUAUUGAAUUACAUUGGAACAGAUUGAAGCUAAAAGGUAUAUCUCCGAAUUUGCAGUGGAUUGAACCAAAGCUACAAGAUGCGAUGGACUGGAAAGAGACUACCUGGAUGAGAAGAGCACAAAAGAAGUCCAUACUUUGCAAGACCGGGAAAAAUUGGCCUUUCUUUAUAUCUUUGCUCUAUUCUCGUUACACGAUAAUAAGCAAAGAGGGGCAGCUGUUGUAGGCCAAUUUUAGCCCAUUUACAUCAAAACCCAAUUUAGCCUUACCUAACCCACUAAAAUUAAACCCAAAACCCAAAAUCUUAACUACCCAAAGCUAAAUUUACAUCAAAACCCCAAUGGCCCAAACCCUAAGCCCAAAUCAAAAUAAAAAAACCUAGCCCACAACUUAAACUUUUCUCAACUAGCCACUCCUUUUCCACCACCAACUCCACUAGCCACACCUUUUCCACCACCAACUCCACUAGCCACUCUUUUUCCACCACCAACUCCACUAGCCACACCUUCUCCACCACCACUUGUACCUACAAAUGAAGACAUAAACAAUAAAAAAAUAUUUUGUAAAUGGCUAUAUAAGACUUCUCAUAUUUUGUAUCCGAGGGGGAAGAUUUUUUUGGAGAGUUUUUGGGAGAGAAAGUUAUUGUAAAGGAUUUUUGGAGAGGUUUCUUUUUAAAGUAAUCAAGGAGAAGAGUUAUUAUGAAGGCUAGUUUUUGGAGAAGCUAGUUUUUUUGGAGAUUAAUAAAAAAUCAAAGCAAAAGAGGUUUCUUUGUCUAUUCUCAUUUUAAGUUCUUUGUUUACUUAUUGUUUUCCUUUCAAUCUUAUUUUGUUUCUUUUAUACGAAAGUAAAAAAUAAAGGGAGGAAGCUUACCCAUUUUUACCGAAAAAGUUUUUUUGAGGUCCGGCUGCCAUGUACGGUGGCGCCGGCGGCGGUCCGGCGACCGGACGAUGGCCGGCCUUGUGGCCGAAAAUCACCCACCCUCUCCCUCUCUUUUUUUUGUUAUUAUUAUAUUUCUUAAUAUUAUAUUAUAUAUAUUCUUUUAAUAUAUUAGGUAUAUUUUAAAUUUUAUAUUACGUAUAUAUAUAUUUUAUACUAUUUUAUUUAUAUAUCUUUAAUAUUAUAUUAUUUAUAUAUAUUUUUUUUUUCUACAUGUUAUCUUAUGUAUAUAUCUUAACUAUAUUAUGUAUGUAUUUUUAACACUAUAUUAUGUACAUAUUUUUAAUAUUAUCAUGUAUUUAUUUUUUAUAUAUGUACAUAUUGAUGUAGUAUUAUUAAUAGUAUUUUUUUAACAUCAUUAUUAUUUCUAAUUUAUAUUAUGUACAUCUUUUUUUAUUUCUAUUUUAUUUUUUAUUUGUCAAUAUUAAUUAUUAUUAUUCUAAUAUUUUGAUAUUUUAUAUUUUAUAUAUUUUAUUAUUCCCAUCAUUGUUCGCAUUUUUUGACAAUAAUAUUCUUGGAUUUUUUUUACUAUCAUUUUAAAAACUUUUUACAUUUUAAUUUUAAGAAUAAGGCAAUGUACCAAUUUUAACAUUAAGUCAUCGAUUUCAUCGCUAUGUUGGGUGAAAUUAAUCGGCUCGUGUUAAAAACGGGACGUCCUUCUAAAAAACAAAAAAACUUGCAACUUCUCAUUUCCUUCAAUCGGAUCACACUUAAAUGUCAAAUUGAAUUCGUAUUUUUGAAAAUCAAGACAACAUGUGUUUAAUAAGAUACUAAUUUUGGGCGUCGCGAGGGUGCCAAUACCUUCCUCGUGCGUAACCGACUCCCGAACCCUAAAUUUUCUCUGGAUUUUAACGUAGACCUAAACUCAACCUUUUAUUUGUUUUAAUAAAAGAUCUAAUAGGUGUCCGAUCACACCUAGGAAAAAGGAUCGGUGGCGACUCCCUAUUUAUUUCAAAAAUCAAACGUCAAAUUUCAAAAAAAAUUUCAAUAAAUCGCCACAAUUAGCGACCAAGCUAAGCUAAAAUUUUUACGUCGCUACAAUCUUCAUAUGUAUGUUCUUGUUAAUGUACAAAACAUUACACAAGUAUCAAAUUUUUUAUAAUAUUUUAUAUUGUUAAUAAAUAUUUAUAUUUUUUUAUCAUUUAAAAAAAUAUAGUUUUCUAAAUAUUUGUUUCGAAAAUAUUUAAAUUUACAUUUGGAAUGAACUUGGACACAAUUUUGUCUAGAUUCACUUUUAACGUGUAAAAUAAUAAUUUCUUUAUAAUUUCUAGGAUUUUUAUAUUUUUAAAACUUAGAUUAUUUUUAUAAUUAUCUUUAAUUAUUUAUUUUUUUAUCAUUUUAAUAAUCUUUAUAAUUUUUUAAUAAUUUUUUACUAUAUUUCAAAUUUAUGCCUGAAUGAACAUGGACAAAUUUUGUCCAGGUUUAAAUUUAUCUGGACAACUAUUUAUUUAGGCUUAUUCUGGAUGUAUUGAGAAUUUUAAUAAUUAAAAUUAAUAUUAAAAUUUCGAUAAAUUCAAAUAAUAAAAAUUAAAAUAUUUAUUUAAUAAUUGUUAGAAUUAAAUGACCCGAAUCCUUAUGUAAAUAAAAUACAGUGUUAAAAUAAAAUAAAAUAAAAGUAAAAUCCAUAUAGAACUACACUUCUUUUAUUUUAUUUUAGAAUAAGGUUUUUAAAACCUUAUUAAACUCCAUCUAUUUUAUAUUGAUUAGAAUAAGGUGUUUCAGUCUUACUAGAAUAUGGCUUUACAAGCCUAUAAAUAGACAUAGUCUAUUCCUCUUGUAAUAUUCGAAUUCGACAUAGUGAAUUUUAUUCUCCUUUGCCCGUGGUUUUUUCUCGAAAGGGUUUCCAUGUAAAAAUUUGUGUGUUCUUUAUUUUAUUUUAUUUUAUUUUCACAUAUUGGUAUCCGAGCUUCCGGGUUGUUCAUCUCGAUCACGGUAAUGGCAUCUUUGAAAUAUAAAAUUCCACUGUUGGAUCGCAACACUAGAUUUGCGUUGUGGUUGAUUAAGAUGCAAGUAGUUCUUGCGCAGAUGGAUCUAGAGGAUGCCUUGCUAGGGAUAGAUAAGAUGCCUUCGACAUUAACAGAUGAAGAGAAGAAGCGUAAGGAUUGAAAGGCGUUAACACAAUUACAUCUGCAUUUGUCCAACGAAAUUUUGCAGGAUGUGAUGAAAGAGAAGACUGCCACUGCAUUAUGGAAGAGGCUAGAACAAAUAUGCAUGUCAAAAACUCUAACAAGCAAGUUGUAUAUGAAGCAGCGUCUUUAUGCUCAUCGUUAAGAGGAAGGUGCAUCUAUACACGAACACUUAACAGUGUUUAAAGAAAUUCUCUCAAACUUGGAGGCCAUGGAAGUUCAAUAUGAUAAGGAAGAUCUAGGGUUGAUUCUACUUUGUUCGUUGCCCCCAUCUUAUUCGACCUUUAGAGACACGAUUUAUAUAGCCACAAGUCUCUCACAGUUGAUGAGGUUUAUGAUUCUUUAACCUUGUAUGAUAAGAUGAAGCAUCUUAUGGUUAAACACGACUCUCAGAGAGAGGGUCUCAUUGUUCGUAGGAGACAAGAUCAGAAUGCUGAUGAUGGUCGUGGAAGGACACAAGAACAGAAUCCUCGCGGUAAAUCUAAAGGUAGAUCAAAGUCUUCAAAUAGAGGUAAAACUUGUAACUUCUACAAGAAGAAAGGACACAUUAAAUCUGAGUGCUAUAAGCUAUAGAACAAGAUUAAAAGGGAGGCUGCGAAUCAAAAGAGAAAACAACCAAAAAAUUCUGAUGAAGCUGAUGUUGUAGAAGACUACAGCGAUGGUGAACUUCUAGUCCCUUCGGUCAAUAAUUCUAAAAUGAGUGAGGAGUGGAUAAUUGAUUCAGGUUGUACCUUCCACAUGAAUCCCAAUCGGGAUUGGUUUACAACUUACGAAACAGUGUCUGAAGGUGUUGUUUUGAUGGGAAUAAUGCUUCGUGUAAAAUCGCAGGUGUUGGAACAAUUAAAGUUAAGAUGUUUGGUGAAGUUGUCAAAACACUUAGUGACGUACGACAUGUUACAAAAUUGAAAAGAAAUUUAAUUUUGUUGAGAGUUACUCUUAAUUCAAAAGGGUACAGAUACACACCUGAAAGUGGGGUUUUAAAGAUUUCCAAAGGUUCCCUUAUUGUGAUGAAAGGCCAGAGAAAGACUGCCAAGUUAUAUGUUUUGCAGGGUUCUACUGUUACUGGUGAUGCAGCUGUCGCUUCCUCUUCCUUGUCAGAUGAUGAUAUUACUAAACUUUGGCAUAUGCGACUAAGGCAUAUGAGUGAGAAUGACGUGGCAGAAUUGAGCAAAAGAGGACUUCUUGAUGGGUAAGGAAUUUGUAAACUGAAUUUCAGUGAGCAUUGUGUUUUUGGGAAGCAAAAUAGAGUUCGAUUCACUAGAGGAAUUCAUAACACGAAGGGAAUGUUGGAGUAUAUUCAUUCUGAUUUGUGGGGGCCAUCCAAAGUGCCUUCGAAAGGUGGAGCUAAUUAUAUGCUAACCUUUAUUGAUGAUUUUUCCAGAAAAGUUUGGGCGUUUUUCUUGAAGCAGAAAAGUAAUGUGUUUUCUGCAUUUAAGUCUUGGAAAAUUAUGAUUGAAAAAUAGAUGGAAAAACAAAUAAAAUGCCUCCGCAUAGACAAUGGUUUAGAGUUUUGUUCUGAUGAGUUUAAUAGAUUGUGUAAGUUAGAAGGGAUCGUGAGACACUUGACAGUUCACCAUACUCUGCAGCAAAAUCGCGUUGCAAAACGAAUGAACAGAACGAUCAUGGAGAAGGUUCGAUGUAUGUUGUCAAAUGCCAACUUACCAAAGUCAUUUUGGGCCAAAGCAACCUCUACUGCAUAUUUUUUAAUCAAUCGAUCCUCAUCCGUUGCCAUCGAGAAAAAGACUCCGCAAGAGGUAUGGUCUGGUAAUCUUGCAAAUUAUUCUAAUUUAAAGAUUUUUAGGUGUCCUGCGGAUGCUCAUGUUGAUAAUGGAAAAUUGGAACCGAGAUCUACUAAAUGUGUUUUUCUUGGUUAUAAAUCUGGUGUAAAAGGAUAUAAGUUAUGGUGUCCUGAAAAUAGAAAAGUUGUGAUUAGUAGAGAUGUUGUUUUUGAUGAAAUUGCUAUGCUGCCUAACUUAUCUCUUAAAGACUCUACCAAUAAAGAAAAAAUACAGAGUCGACUUUUCAAGCCAGUACAAAAAUUGAGAAUAGAGUUGUUUCUUCACCGCAAUACUCUAUCGCCAAAAAUAGAACUAGAAGAGAAAACUCUUCUGAAGGUAUAGAUCUAGUUGCUUAUGCUUUAAAUGUGGCUGAAGAUAUAGAUGCGAAUCAAGAGCCAUCUAAUUAUUCUAAGGCGGUUAGCUGUGAAGACUUAGAAAAGUGGAUGUUUGCUAUGCAAGAGGAGAUGGAAUCACUCCACAAAACAGAACAUGGGAUCUUGUGAAACUUCCUAAAGGUAAAAAGGUUGUUCGUUGUAAAUGAGUGUUUAAAAAGAAAUAAGGGACUCUAGGAGUUGAAGAACCUAGAUAUAAAGCAAGGCUUGUUGCAAAGGGUUACAGUCAAAUUCCAGAAGUGGACUUCACAGAUGUGUUCUCCCUAGUUGUUAAGCAUAGUUCGAUUCGAGCUUUGCUUGGUAUUAUGGCCAUGCAUGAUUUGGAGCUUGAGCAGUUAGAUGUAAAACUGCAAUUUUGCAUGGAAAACUUGAGGAGGAUAUUUACAUGCAACAACCAGAGGGUUUUAUAGUCUCAGAAAAAGAGGACUAUGUUUGCUUGCUAAAAAAGUCCCUUUACGGUUUGAAACAGUCACCAAGACAGUGGUACAAGAGGUUUGGUUCCUUUAUGACUUCUCAUGAUUUCAAAAGAAGUAGCUUUGACGUUCGUUCGAUAAAUUCCUACCUCUCUAUCUACCUCUGAGAUGUUUGGAUUUUUCAAAACUCUAUGGACAUGCAGAAGAGAAAUGCUAUCCCUACUCAGACCAAGACAUAACUUUGACUUUGACUUGUUCAAAUAACAAUUAAGGUGAAGCAGGGUCAGGAACAAUGAUUCUCUUUAUGAUAUUGUGUUUACUUUAAUAAAAACAGUGAUGGUUCUUUCAUGUAUCUAGUUCUUUAUGUUGAUGACAUGUUGAUAACAGUAAAAGAUAAAGGAGUGAUAAGAAAGGUCAAAGCCCAACUAAGUGAAGAAUUUGAGAUGAAAGAUUUUAGGACCAGCAAAGAAGAUACUUGGUACAGAGAUUCUCAGAUAAUAUAUGAUAUGUGAUAAUAUAAUUUGGUGAAAAUAAUACUAAGAAAAAGAUGGAAGUAUGAUAUUACAUUAAUAAAUGACAAAAUAUUCUAAAUAUUUAAUUAUCUUCAUAUGUAUGUUCUUGUUAAUGUACAAAACAUUACACAAGUAUCAGUUUUUUUUAUAUAAUCUUCUAUAUUGUUAAUAAAUAUUUAUAUUUUUUUACCAUUUUAAAAAAAUAUAUAGUUUUCUAAAUAUUUGUUUCGAAAAUAUUUAAAUUUACGUUUGGAAUGAACUUGAACACAAUUUUGUCUAGAUUCACUUUUAACGUGUAAAAAUAAUAAUUUCUUUAUAAUUUCUAGGAUUUUUAUAUUAUUAAAACUUAGAUUAUUUUUAUAAUUAUCUUUAAUUAUUUAUAUUUUACCAUUUUAAUAAUCUUUAUAAUUUUUAAUAUUUUUUACUAUAUUUCAAAUUUAAUUAUGCCUGAAUGAACUUGGAUAAAUUUUGUCCAGGUUUAAAUUUAUCUGGACAAUUAUUUAUUCAGGUUUAUUCUGGAUGUAUUGAGAGAUUUAAUAAUUAAUAUUAAUAUUAAAAUUUCGAUAAAUUCAAAUAAUAAAAAUUAAAAUAUUUAUUUAAUAAUUAAAUAAACAAUAAAUAAAUUGUGGUUGGUGUUCUAAAUUAGAAAGAAAUACAUAUGCUAUCAAAAGAUUACAUCAACAUUUGUCCACUAGAUAGACUAUUGUGGACAUUAAAUGACGUACCAUGAAAAAUAAAAAGAAGAGAACAAACAACUCAAAAACCGAUAUAUAUAUUAUUUAAAGGUUGUAUUCUUUUGACUUAGAAGCUUAAUUCAAGCUAAAACUAAAAAUAUUGCAAUGAUUUUAUAAUGUUAUCGAUAAAUAUAAUAUUUUUAGGAAAUAUAGAAUAUUUUACUUUUAAAUUUCAUAAAGAUAAUAUAUAUAUAUAUAACUCUUCAAGGAUAAUUUAGUUAUCAAUUACAGAGAAGUUUUUGCAAUCAAUAAAUUGUUUUCACUAAAUUCAAGAGAAGAAAAGUAUAUUGAAAAUUUUCAUUCUAUUAAAAAUAUUAUUAUUUAAUAAGAGGAGACCUUUUAUUCUUUUAUAUUUAUGAUUUUAUUUUUUAAAAAUAAAAUUACAAUUUGCAAUUAUAAGUAAUAUAUCGGAAAUUCUCUCACGUAUAUGUAUUUAGAAACCACAAAUUUAAAAUAUAAAUGUGCAUCUAAAAUAGCGUACAACAGAUAAUGAAACUUAUGAUUUGAAACUAAUUAAUAAUAACACAUGAAAUAUGAACGUUAUUAGAAUAAGAAAAUUAGAUUAAAUUGUUUAUCAUGUUGUUGUCAUCAAUCUUGAGUCCUUGUCAAGUUAACUUGUGAUAGAAAUUCAUCUACACUAUUACUUAUGUCGUAACCAUUUUUUGAAAAAACAGGGAUCGACUAUGAUUUUGAAAAUGAAAAAAAUGGAAGUCGCCACCAAUCCUUUUUUAUGAGGUGUUAUCGGGUCACCUUGUAAAACUGGUUGUUUUUAAUAAAUGAUUUGAUUUGUUUAAACAAUAAUUUUGGUCUGCGAAAUUUUGAAAAACGAGCUCGAGAGUUGGUUACGUACGAGGAAGGAUUAGCACCCUCGUAACGUCCAAAAUUGGUACCUAGUUGAUUAAUUAGUGUCUUAAGAUCGAAAAUUGAAAACUUGAAAAAGUUUGAAACACGAUCCUACUUUUUGUAAAAAAAAACAUUCGAACGUUAAAGACAUUCUCGUCUCGAAGCAACAAAAUAUCAUAUCCAGUGAGUUAGGACACGACAUCUCGAACUUUUGAGAAUGAGCUUGCCUUUUACUCAGAAAUUCGUAUAUUUUAACCCCUUUUUAAAAGAAUAUUUGGUUAGUUAGGGUAAACGAGGAAAAUCAAAACCCAGUAAGUUAGGGCACGUUUCCUCAAAUUUCCAAACACCGAAUAUUGCCUUUACUUGUGAAAAUCUUAUUUCAAGCUAACAAAAUGUCAUACCCGGUAAGUUAGGGCACAACACCUCGUAUUUCCGAGAACAAGCAUUUUUUCAAAACUCGUGUUGUGACAUAAGAAGAUUAUGUUGUUAUUUAGAUUAAACGAGAAAAAUCGAAACCCAAUAAGUUAGGGCACAAUUUUCUCAAAUUUUCUAAAUACGAAGCUUGUUUUAUUUUAGAAAACACAAUGGUAUGCGUCGAGUAAAAGACUAAUGCAAUCAUAAUUGCAUGGUGAAAUGAGAAAACAAAUUGCAGCAUUAAUAUGGAUAGUAAAAUAAUAAUAACAAAGGUGAUGAUAUAAACACAAUAAUAAUGACGAAUAAUAUAAACUUGCAGAUAUAUAGAGACAUGUAUAAUAAAAUAAUGAUAAUGAGAACAUAAUGAAAUAAAUAUGAUGAUAAAUAAAAUAAUAAAGCAAAUUAUAGUGUAAAUUUAAUUUUAAAUCGGGGAUAAGUAAAUAAACAGACGAGUAAAGAAACAGUGUGUGGAUUGUUUUUUUUAAUAAUAAUAAUAAUAAGGAUAAUAAAAAUAAUAAAUAUUAUGUAAAAUGUGUGAACAAACUUAUAAUUAAAAAGAUUAAAUAAUAAUAAUAGUAUAAAUAUAAAUAAGUAUUAUAUGGAACAAAAUAAUGAUACAAAACAAAUAAAUAAAUAAAUAAAUAAAAAUUUCAAAGUUGGAAAUUACAUAAGAGUAUAAACGAAUAAAUAAUAAAAUAAAAUCAGUGUAUUAUAUAAGAAACGUAAAUGCAUAAAAGAAAAACCAUAAUAAUAAUAGUAUUAGUUAUAAUAAAAAUAAAAAUAAUACUAAAUAUAAUAAUAGUGAUAUUCAAAAAAUAAUAGCUAUAAAAAAAAUAAUAACCAUAACAAUAAAGAAUAAUAGCAAAAAUAAUAAUAAUAAUAAUAAUAAUAAUAAUAAUAAUGAAAACAAAAAUAUUAAGUUACAAUAGUAAAAUAAUAAUAGUGAUAAUAAUAGUAUAUUAGAUAACAAUACUAAGAUAAUAAGUAAUAAUAAUAGAGUAUAAAUAAUAGUUAUGAAAAUAAUAACAAGUAAUAAUAAUAAUAAUAAUAAUAAUAAUAGUGACGAUAGUAGUAAUAAUAUAUUGAUAAUACAUAAUAGAAGGAAUAAUAAAAGGAUAUAGGGAUAAUAGGAAUAGUAAUUACAAUAAUAGUAAAGAAUACAAUACAUUAAUGAUAAUGAUAAUGAUAUAUGUUAAUAACAAUAAUAAUAAUAUGUAAAAAUAGAAAAUAAUAAUAUGGUAAAAAUAUUAAUAUAUUAAUAAGAAUAAUAGUAAUAAAAUAAGAUUAUAACAACAAUAUUAACAAAAAUAAACAUAAAAGAGAUAGUAAUAAUGUAAAUAAUGAUGUAUAUAUGUAUGAAAAAUAAUGGUAGUAAAAAAAUAGUAAUAAUAAUAAUAGAAGUGGUAAUAAUAACAUUAGAAUAAAAUAAAUACAUGUACAAGUAUAAUAAUAAUAUAAAUAAUGUAAUAAAACAACCAAAAGUAAUACAAAAAACGUAAUUGAAUCUGAAAACAAAAUUUUGGGGCAAAUUCGAAAUAAAUAAAAGAGAAGGGGAUCAAAUCACAUGCGCAAACAACCAGGAGGGACUAAAAUGGGCAAUAACCUCUUGUCCCAAAACGCACAGCUUCAAAGGGAUUCAAUUGGAAAAGAAAUAAAAUUUCUGGGCAUAAAUUAAAAGCCAAAAAAAUGAAAUUUAAAAGUAGAAAAAUGCGGAAGGACCAAAUGCACAAUUAGACCAUCAAACGAAAACACGCGGAUCCUAGGCCUAGAGCGGGUCGAGUCGGGUCGGAGGGGGCAAAAUGGCGUCGUUUUGGGGUUAAAAGGCAGCCCCCAAAACGACGUCGUUUUGGGAGGCUAUAAAAGGCCUAAAUUUUUUUAAAAAAAUCACUUGCAGCAGAGGAAAGAAAAAAAAAGGGGGGGAAGGGAAUUCCUCUCUGGACUAGGUCCAGCUCGGGCCAAGAGGGUCGCUGUCGCCGUCACACCGGCCACCGUCGUCGUCCACCACGCGCAGUGGCUGGAACCCGAAAGGUAAAUUUUUUUUAAUUUGUAUAUAUAUGUAUUUAGUAAAAAAAAGGGUAAAUAGGUUCUAAAAAAAUAAUAAAAUAACAAAAAAAAGAAAAUAAUAAACCUUUUAUUCGAAACCUUUGAACUCUCUUUUGUGUUUUUUUUUUGCUGCGAUUUUAUGCUCGUAUUUAGAUCUGUUUCUUGUGGAUAAAUGACUGCCGAAUGUUUUGUAUUUUCAAAGAAAAGAAAAUUGCCGAAAAAAAACAAUACAUUUUCGCUUGGCUUUUAUAACCAUUUACAAGCCUUUGUUUAUUACUUGUUGUCCUCUCUUCCUUUAAUUUUGCAGGUGAAGUAGAGGUGACGCAACUAGGGCGGUGGAACAGGUGGCCGACUGGCAUGGGUGAUGGGACAGAGGGCAGAGGCGGCAGCAGCUUAGGGUUUUCUUAGUUUUUUCUUUUUUUUAAUCAUUGUGGGCUAGGGUUUGGGGCUAUUGGGUUUUAGAUUUGGUUUAAUUUGGGCCAAAAUGGGGCCUCAACAGCUGCCCCUCUUUGCUCAUUGUCGUGUAACGGGAAUGGAGCAAAGAUUUUAAAAGGGCCAAUUUUGGCUGGUCUCGCCAAGUCUUAACUUUUGGUUCUUCUCUUCUUCGGCUAGUCUUAUUGCAGUCCACUGCGUCUUGUUGCUUCGAUCCACUCCGUUGCGUCUUGCUGCUUCGAUCUACUUCAUGCAACUUCAGAGGUAUAGGAUUUGUUGCUUUAAUCUGCUCCACUGCAACUUUAGGGAGAUAAAACUUGCUAUCUUCAGUCUACUCCACUGCGACUUUAGAGAGAUAAGACUUGUGACUUUAAUCUACUCCGCUAAAACUUCAAGGAGAUCUACUGUGGCUUCUAACUGCUCCAGCUCCAUUUCAGGGAGAAAAGAUUUGUAAUUUUCAGCCUGUUACCCUACUGCUUAGAGGGUUAAGGCCCAUCGCCUUCGAUCUGUUUCCCGACUGCUUAGGGGUUUAAGGCCCAUCACCUUUGAUCUGUUUCCCUACUGCUUAGGGUGAUAAGAUCUAUAAAUUCAGCCUGUUACCCUACUGCUUAGGGGGUUAAGAUUUGUAAAUUCAACCUGUUACCCUACUGCUUAGGGGGUUAAGAUCUGUAAAUUCAGCCUGUUACCCUACUGCCUAGGGGUUUAAGGCCCACCACCUUCGAUCUGUUUCUUUACUGCUUAGGGUGAUAAGAUCUGUAAAUUUAGCCUGUUACCCUACUACUUAGGGGUUUAAGGCCCAUCACCUUCGAUCUGUUUCCCUACUGCUUAGGGAAUUAAGAUCUGUAAAUUCAGCCUGUUACCCUACUGCUUAGGGGUUUAAGGCCUGUGGAUUUACUGAUUCUAGGGACUUGACCUGUAGAAUCGGUUCCAUAUAUCUAUGCUUAUGUCAAAUGAUUAGGAUGCUAUGAUCGAAAUGAAUCAAAUGCUCCUGACUAGAUGUGAUAUGAAUGAUCUAUAAAUGCAUGAGUGCAGCAUGUUGUGAGAAUGGAUCCCUUUUUAAUGCUUGGGUUGCCAUUGCUCUUUGUUUAUCAAGGUUCUAUCACUGAAACAAUAUCCUGUCUUCUUCUUCAGCUUAGAUCUUGGACAAAAAAUUCGAAGUGGUAGUCCCAAUUUAAACUCUUCUUUCUCAAAUGUUUCCAAUCCUUAGGUUUGGUUAGUUUUAAAUAAUAGCCCUGUUUCAGGUUCCUGUACUAUUUAGAAACUUUCAGAGUAAUAUGAAGAACUUCUUUUGUGAAAGUGUCAUUAGUCCAUUAGUCAUCAUUUCAAUGCAAAAUGCUUGAAAAAGAUCAUAACAACGACAUAAAUGAAAUUUGUCAGAAACAAAAUUUGAAGGGAAUAGAUUAAUCAUAGCCAACAAACAUUGCUGGAAUACAAAAUGAAUAAAAAGAAAAUAGGUGCCCUAGAUAUCGCAGUGUGAGCUUCUCUAUACGAACUUCUUGAGGAUUCUGUUUUUAAGCUCAAUAUGUGUUUAGGGGAUAUAAAGUACCCUUGUAGAUGCCUCAAAAUGUAACAUCCCUCCUCCUUGUUAAUUUAGGUAUCGUAAGACCACCGCAUGCCCCACCUUUGAUCAAAAUUUGAAUCGCCCUUUACGGGUUUUCAAUUCAAAAUCUCUUUGGUCUCAAGGUGCCCUUUGCGAGUUUUCACCUUGGCCUCUCCUUUUUUUAGGUGAAGUAUUUCUUAACCGAAUCCUAAUUCACGAGAUUGGGUAAAGUCUUGCCAUCCAUUUCGGCCAAUAUCAAUGCUCCUCCAGAAAAGGCUUUCUUUACCACAUAAGGUCCUUCCCAAAUAGGCAUCCAUUUUAUUCUAAAAUCCUUUUGUAUGGGCAGGAUCUUUUUCAAUACUAGGUCUCCCUCGUGGAAUUCUUUAGGACGAACCUUUUUGUUGUAAGCUCACAUCAUUCACUUUUGGUACAUUUGACCAUGACGGAUAGCCCUUAGCCUCUUUUCUUCAAUCAAAUUCAAUUGAUCGUAUCGGGACUGGAUCCAUUCUACUUCAUCCAACUUUACUUCCGACAAAACUCUGAGGGAAGAAAUCUUGACCUCGAUAGGUAAAACUGUCUCCAUUCCAUACACCAAUGAGAAAGGCGUUGCCCCGGUGGAAGUCCUGACAGACGUUCGAUAAGCAUAGAGGGCGAAUAGUAACUUUUCAUGCCAGUCUUUAUAAGUCUCAGUCAUUUUUCCCACAUUCUUCUUAAUGUUUUUAUUAGCUGCCUCAACUGCACCGUUCAUUUUUGGGCGAUACAGUGAUGAGUUGUGGUGUCUGAUCUUGAACUGACUGCAGACCUCCGCUAUCAUGUUGUUAUUCAAAUUCAAUGCAUUGUCAGAUAUGAUCCUUUCUGGCAUUCUAUAUCAACAACUGAUUUCCUUUUUUAGGAACUUGCUAACUGCCGAUUUUGUAACAUUGGCAUAUGAAGCGGCCUCCACCAACUUGGUGAAAUAAUCGAUGACCACUGUUGUAGGCCAAUUUUAGCCAAUUUACAUCAAAACCCAAUUUAGCCUUACCUAACCCACUAAAAUUAAACCCAAAACCCAAAAUCUUAACUACCCAAAGCCAAAUUUACAUCAAAACCCCAAUGGCCCAAACCCUAAGCCCAAAUCAAAAUAAAAAACCUAGCCCACAACUUAAACUUUUCUCAACUAGCCACUCCUUUUCCACCACCAACUCCACUAGCCACACCUUUUCCACCACCAACUCCACUAGCCACUCUUUUUCCACCACCAACUCCACUAGCCACACCUUUUCCACCACCAACUCCACUAGCCACUCUUUUUCCACCACCAACUCCACUAGCCACACCUUCUCCACCACCACUUGUACCUACAAAUGAAGACAUAAACAAUAAAAAAAUAUUUUGUAAAUGGCUAUAUAAGCCUUCUCAUAUUUUGUAUAUGGGGGGGGAUUUUUUUUUGGAGAGUUUUUGGGAGAGAAAGUUAUUGUAAAGGAUUUUUGGAGAGGUUUCUUUUUAAAGUAAUUAAGGAGAAGAGUUAUUGUGAAAGCUAGUUUUUGGAGAAGCUAGUUUUUUUUGAAGAUUAAUCAAAUAUCAAAGCAAAAGAGGUUUCUUUGUCUAUUCUCAUUUUAAGUUCUUUGUUUACUUAUUGUUUUCCUUUCAAUCUUAUUUUGUUUCUUUUAUACGAAAGUAAAAAAAAAUAAAAGGAGGAAGCUUACCCAUUUUUACCGAAAAAGUUUUUUUGAGGUCCGGCUGCCGUGUACGGUGGCGCCGGCGGUGGUCCGACGACCGGACGAUGGCCGACCUUGUGGCCGAAAAUCAUCCACCCUCUCCUUCUCCCUCCUUUUUUGUUAUUAUUAUAUUUCUUAAUAUUAUAUUAUAUAUAUUCUUUUAAUAUAUUAGGUAUAUUUUAAAUUCUAUAUUACGUAUAUAUAUUUUAUACUAUUUUAUUUAUAUAUCUUUAAUAUUAUAUUAUUUAUAUAUAUAUUUUUCUACAUGUUAUCUUAUGUAUAUAUCUUAACUAUAUUAUGUAUAUAUUUUUAACACUAUAUUAUGUACAUAUUUUUAAUAUUAUCACGUAUUUAUUUUUUAUAUAUGUACAUAUUGAUGUAGUAUUAUUAAUAUAUUUUUUUUAAACAUCGUUAUUAUUUCUAAUAUAUAUAUUAUGUACAUCUUUUUUAUUUCUAUUUUAUUUUUUAUUUUUCAAUAUUAAUUAUUAUUAUUCUAAUAUUUUGAUAUUUUAAUAUUUUAUAUUUUAUAUAUUUUAUUAUUCACAUCAUUGUUCGCAUUUUUUGACAAUAAUAUUCUUGGAUUUUUUUACUAUCAUUUUAAAAACUUUUUACAUUUUAAUUUUAAGAAUAAGGCAAUGUAUCAAUUUUAACAUUAAGUCAUCGAUUUCAUCGCUAUGUUAGGAAAAAUUAAUCGGCUCGUGUUAAAAACGGGACGUCCUUCUAAAAAACAAAAAAAAACUUGCAACUUCUCAUUUCCUUCAAUCGAAUCACACUUAAAUGUCAAAUUGAAUUCGUAUUUUUGAAAAUCAAGACAACAUGUGUUUAAUAAGAUACCAAUUUUGGGCGUCGCGAGGGUGCUAAUACCUUCCUCGCGCGUAACCGACUCCCGAACCCUAAAUUUUCUCUGGAUUUUAACGUAGACCUAAACUCAACCUUUUAUUUGUUUUAAUAAGAGAUCUAAUAGGUGUCCGAUCACACCUAGGAAAAAGGAUCGGUGGCGACUCCCUGUUUAUUUCAAAAAUCAAACGUCAAAUUUCAAACUUUUUUUCAAUAAAUCGCCACAAUUAGCGACCAAGCUAAGCUAAAAUUUUUACGUCGCUACAGCUGACGACUCCACUGGGGAAAGCCUUUUUGAGAGUCGUGUCUGGAAUUAAACACGUUUUGUCAAAAUUUUCAAAUUUCCUUGUUCAAAGUAAAUAUUUUGUCGUGAUCCGAAAAUCUCGUUUUCAAAAUUCAUGCAUUUGUAUCGUGCUGUAAAUAUUUCUUCUAACUUGCUUAUUUGGUUGUUUUUCAGUUUUUAAUUUUUAUGGUUUUAAUUUUGGUUUAGUUUCUUUAAGUGAAAUGUAAAGGUUUAUGAGUUGUUCCCCACACACCGUGCACUUGCAUUUUCGCAUAACAUGAGCUCUCUACCCGGGCUCCGUCCGUUUAAGUGAAAGUAAACGCUACGCCUUCGUGAGUUAACUCGUCCCUCCGUACAGGCUAGUGAAUACUUUCGGGUUACAUAUGAUUUAUGCUUUCGUGAGUUAACUUGUCCCUCCGCAUAGGCAUAAGUAAAUGUAACCCCUCGAAUUGAACUCGUGAGCCUGUUAUAGGCUAUGACCGAGGCUCCGUGUUAAUCUUAGUAGAUGAUAGUACGAGCAAUUCGAGUACCUAUCUAGAACCAAAACCGCAUAUAAUGAACCAUACGAGCCACCUAACUAGAGCCAUGCUGAACCUCCGUCCAUUUAGUAGUCACCAAAAUAAGUGCACGGGAGGAACGCCUCUUACCUUUUGCACUUUCGCUUUCUAUGCAAGGGAAUCAAGUCCAUUGGACCAAGUAGCUUAAUUUGUUAGAUUUUCCACAAUUUUUCUCUGAUCAUAUGUGUUUUGCUAACCAAUGUUGUUUGUCUGUAUUUCUAUUUUUCAUCAUGCAUCAUAUACAUCUUGUUAAGAAAGGGUUGAUUAGAGAUUGGUUGCCAAAAAGGGGUUUCUGAUAGAGGAGUCAAUUACACGAGUGACCGAAACGUUGUGUAAUAGACUCUUUUGAUUAAGGAAAUGCCUAAAUAGGGGCUAUCUUGAAAUUAACACCAAUUUCUUGCAUUUCUUUCAUGACUAACAGUCAUUUGACAUUCAUGCAUUCAUUCAUUCAUUGCAUAUUCCAUACUCGUUCGCUGAGGUUAAAACAUACAAUUCGCUAGUUGUGCAUACCAUACGGGAAACCAGGGACAUUCCACGAAAAACUGCCUAGCCUUUAAGAGAAGAGUUCAAGGACUCAUUGAUGCAGGUAUCCUACGUUUCGAUAGUGCCAGUAAUGCAACUGGGAACCCAUUCCCUAACCAUAUCGAAAGGGAUGUGAGCAUAGUGGGGAAAGUGGACGAAUGGAAAGUCAGAAGAUGUGUUUCGGAAAUAAGGAUGCCUCUGCAGAAAAUCUGGGAGGUACUGGUUAAGAAAGGAUUGCUUUGUCACCCCGAUAGAAUUCUCAGAGAAGAAGGUCAAAGUUUUUGCAAUUUCCAUGGAAUUGUGGGACACGACAUUCAGUCGUGUGAGGAAUUUAAAAGGUUGCUUCAAGACCGGAUGGAUAAUAAGGAGAUUAAGAUCCUUAACAAAAGGGAAGAGACCAAUGAAAGAGAAGUAUGCGCCGCUGAUAGCCAGUCAUCAGGUCCCCCUUAUAGCGCUGAUCAACCGUUAGUAAUUUAUUACGAUGCGACGAAAGAGCUGGUGAAACCAAAAAUGAUAAUCGAAGUACCAUCUUCUUUCCCUUACAAGGACAAUAAAGCAGUACCAUGGAAAUAUGACGUUAAUAUCGUCACACCUGAAGAUGAAAAACCCAAAGCCAUGACUGGAAGCGUCGGGGAAUUAGGUCAUUUCACUCGUAGUGGAAGAUGUUAUUCGAAGGAGAUAAAGAAGAACAGUGACUUGAAACAGAAAGGAAAAGCACCGAUGCAUGUGACCGAUGAUGAGCAUGAAACUGCGCCUGAACAAGAAGCUAAAAAUCCUGUGGACGAGGAGGAAGCACAGGAAUUCUUAAAAUUUAUUAAGCACAGUGAGUACAACGUGGUAGAACAAUUGAGUAAGCAGCCAGCGCGAAUCUCGGUAUUAUCUCUGCUGUUGAAUUCAGAACCACACCGAAACGCUCUGCUGAAAGUGUUAAAUCAAGCUUAUGUGGCAAACAAUGUAUCCGUUGAAAAACUGGAUAGGUGGAUGAACAACUUGAAUACGGAUAAUUUCAUUUCUUUUAGUGAUGAUGAAAUACCAUGUCUGCGGGAAUGAUAUACCCGAGGCAGGACAAUGCACAAGGCACAAUGUUAAUGAUCGAAAAGGGUUUUCAGAACAUCAGUAUAAAUGUCCUUGACAAAGGAGCUGACACAAGUAAAGAUGUCUCAAGGAUACGCCUUUGUCCCCCUAGUUUCAUGUUGAACAAUUGGACUGCCGAGGACCUUCUUGUAGUUUAUAAGUCUUCAGAGUAAUGCUUAAACAUUAACAUUCUAUUGUGUCCUUAGAUAUAAUAGAAUUCUUUUGUAGGAGCUUGCAUUCGCUCUUUAUCAUUUAAGUGAAUAUCAAUGAAGAUACAUUUUGUCACGAUUUUUCGCAUUAUCACUAAUUUCAUAAUCAUUUUCUCAUUUCAUAGCCUAUCCUUACAUUUGCCUCAUUGCCAUGACAUAACAUUUUGUUUAUUGUUUCCAAUACUUGGAUGUCCCCCGAUAGCUUCCUUUUCCAUUCAACUUUCAGGUGCUCAGAUAUUGACGACAUGAAUAAGCCCGUUACGAAUCUUGAAAUUAAUUUUGAGAAGGCUGUUUGCUUAGGAGAAUUUGAAGCCGAAGAAAAUGCUGAAGAUUAUGUCUCGUCUCCUGAAUUGUUAAGAAUGGUGGAACAAGAGGAUAAACAGGUUCUGCCUCAUGAAGAAUCUGUGGAAACAAUAAAUUUGGGCACUGAAGAGAGGAAACAAGAAGUGAAGAUUGGGACUUCUAUUUCAGAAAGUACCAGGCAUAGUUUGAUCACUUUACUCCGCGAAUACAAAGAUGUUUUCGCGUGGUCAUACCAGGACAUGCCAGGGCUAGAUGAAGAUUUAGUGGUCCAUAAGCUCCCAUUAAAGCCAGAAUGCAAGCCCAUCCAGCAAAAAUUAAGACGGAUGAGGCCCGAAAUACUGUUGAAAAUAAAAGAGGAAGUCAAGAAGCAAUUUGACGCUGGCUUCCUACAAGCCUCCAAAUAUCCAGAAUGGGUGGCUAACAUAGUCCCGGUACCAAAGAAAGAUGGAAAAGUACGAAUGUGCGUGGAUUACCGUGACCUGAAUCGAGCAAGCCCAAAAGAUAAUUUUCCCUUGCCACAUAUUGACACGUUGGUGGACAACACAGCAAAACAUUCAUUGUUUUCUUUCAUGGAUGGAUUCUCGGGGUAUAAUCAGAUCAAGAUGGCCCCUGAGGAUAUGGAGAAAACUACCUUCAUAACAAUGUGGGGAACGUUCUGCUACAAGGUGAUGCCAUUCGGGUUAAAGAAUGCUGGGGCAACAUAUCAGAGGGCUAUGGUGACGUUAUUCCAUGACAUGAUGCAUAAAGAACUAGAGGUCUACGUCGAUGAUAUGAUUGCUAAAUCUCGAGGAGAAGAAGAGCAUGUAAUGAACCUCAAGAAGUUGUUCGAAAGGCUGAGAAAGUUUCAGCUAAAGCUUAAUCCAGCCAAAUGUACAUUCGGGGCUACCUCGGGAAAGUUGCUAGGCUUCAUUGUCAGUGAAAGAGGUAUCGAAGUUGAUCCAGAUAAAAUAAAAGCCAUCCAAGAAUUACCACCUCCGCGCACGCAAAAGGAAGUUAGAGGAUUUUUAGGGAGAUUAAACUACAUCGCCCGAUUUAUCGCUCAACUUACCAACCAAUGCGACCCAAUCUUUCGGCUUCUUCAAAAACAUAACCUGGGAGAAUGGAACGAGGAAUGCCAGGUGGCCUUUGAUAAGAUAAAACAAUAUUUGUCCAGUCCUCCAGUGCUAGUACCGCCAACUCCUGGAAGACCAUUGAUAUUGUAUUUGACUGUGUUCGAAAGUUCAAUGGGUUGCGUACUGGGGCAACAUGACGAGUCAGGAAAGAAAGAAAAAGCGAUCUACUACCUCAGCAAAAAAGUUCUCUGAAUAUGAGGCAAAAUAUUCGUCCAUUGAGAAAUAUUGUUGCGCUCUAGUUUGGGUAGCUCGGAGACUUAGACAAUAUAUGUUGUAUCACACGACAUGGCUAAUUUCAAAGCUGGACCUAAUAAAAUACAUGAUGGAAUCGCCGGUACUAUUGGGAAGAAUGGCACGAUGGCAGAUCCUCCUUUCGGAAUAUGACAUUGCCUAUGUUAGUCAGAAGUCGAUAAAAGGGAGCGCAAUAGCUGACUUCUUAGCAACUCGAACGACAGAGGAAUAUGAGCCUUUAAGAUUCGAUUUCCCAGACGAAGACUUAAUGUGCAUCACAGAAAUAGAAUCCGAGUCAUCAAAAGAGAAGUCAUGGAAGAUGUGCUUUGAUGGUGCGUCAAAUGCUUUAGGGCAUGGAAUUGGAGCAAUCCUGGUAUCACCAGACGGGAACUGAACUUCUUCUGUACCAAUAAUAUCGCAGAAUAUGAGGCCUGUAUCAUGGGGCUUCGUGCAGCUAUCGAACGAAACAUCAAGAUCUUGGAGGUGUACGGGGACUCAGCCGUAGUGAUUUACCAAAUCCGUGGAGAGUGGGAAGUGAGGGACUCAAAAUUGAUUAAGUACAGCGAUUUUGUGGCUGGAUUGAUCAAGGAAUUCAAAGAAAUAACUUUUCAUUACUUCCCACGAGAAGAGAACCAACUGGCUGAUGCCCUGGCCACUUUGGCUUUAAUGUUCAAAGCAAGUAGAGAAGCAGAAAUAAUGCCCCUCAAAAUGAGCAUAUACGAGGUCCCUGCACACUGUUGUAGCAUUGAGAAAGAAGUAGACGGACGGCCUUGGUUCCAUGAUAUCUUAGAAUAUAUCAAGAAUCAAAGGUAUCCCGAACAAGCAAAUGAGAACGAUAAAAGAACAAUUAGAAGAAUGGUAGCGGGAUUUGUUCUUGAUGGGGAUAUCCUGUAUAAAAGAAGAAAGGAUCAGAUGCUUUUGAGAUGUGUGGAUGAUGUUGAAGCCAGAAAAAUACUUGAAGAGGUCCAUGAGGGAAUUUGCGGAACGCAUGCCAAUGGUUUCAAUAUGGCCAGAAAGAUCAUGAGACUCGGUUAUUAUUGGCUGACAAUGGAAAAUGACUGCAUCAAUUUUGCCAGAAAAUGCCACAAAUGUCAAAUAUAUGGCGAUAAAAUUCAUGGAGCCCCUUCACCCCUUCAUGUCAUGACUUCUCCGUGGCCUUUUUCUAUGUGGGGCAUGGAUGUCAUAGGGCCAAUUUCUCCAAAAGCAUCAAAUGGACAUCAAUUUGUUUUUGUGGUCAUCGAUUACUUCACAAAAUGGAUAGAAGCCGCUUCGUUUGCCAAUGUGACGAGGACUGCAGUUUGCAGGUUUUUGAAAAAGGAAAUCAUUUGCCGGUAUGGUUUGCCUGAAAGAAUCAUUUCAGAUAAUGCCACGAAUCUGAACAAUAAGAUGAUGAAAGAAGUGUGCGAGCAGUUCCAAAUAAAGCAUCAUAACUCCUCGCCCUAUCGCCUAAAGAUGAACGGGGCUGUUGAAGCAGCCAAUAAAAAUAUUAAGAGGAUCAUUAGGAAAAUGACUGAGACGUUUAAAGAUUGGCACGAGAAGCUUCCAUUUGCUUUGUUUGCAUAUCGCACAUCUGUACGAACAUCUACGGGAGCAACUCCUUUCGAACAUCUACGGGAGCAACUCCUUUCUCUCUGGUUUAUGGAAUGGAAGCUGUGCUACCUAUCGAGGUUGAGAUCCCUUCUCUACGAGUCUUAAUGGAAUCAAAGUUAGAAAAAGCAGAAUGGGUACAAGCUCGAUAUGAUCAGCUGAACCUCAUUGAAGAAAAGCGUCUCAGGGCAAUUUGUCACGGGCAGAUGUACCAAAAAAGAAUGAUAGUAGCCCAUGACAAGAAGGUACGACCAAGAGAGUUCCAUGAAGGAGAACUCGUUCUGAGAAAGAUUCACCCAAUACAAAAAGACCUGCGAGGAAAAUGGGCACCAAAUUGGGAAGGACCAUACGUUGUAAAAAAGGCAUUCUCAGGAGGAGCUUUAAUCCUUACCGAGAUGGAUGGGAAGGAGUUACCGAAUCCGGUGAAUUCAGAUGCGGUGAAGAAAUAUUAUGCUUAAGAUGAAAACCCGAAAAGGGCAUCUUACAAAAAAAGGGAUCAGGGCGAAAACCCGAAAAGGGCGUCUUGAUUAGUACAAAAAAAUUAGGGUGAAAACCCGAGAGGGCGUCCUAAUGAAACAAACCUGGCGGUCGAACGAUAGGUCAAGUAGUGAGACUACAAUAUUUGAAACACUUCUGAAAGCUCGAAAUUUUCUACGCAAGAAGCCAUGCUCGAAAAGAUUAUUGAUUGAGGAACGUGGAAGAGUUCAUGUGUUGAAUAUCUAGAGCAUUUGUAUCCGUUGAAUACGACCUUUUCUUUCUUUUUGACAUUUUUACUCUCAUUGGUUAACUUUCUUUGUUUGCCACAUUUGAAAUAAAGGAAUACGAGAUAUCCUUUUUAUCCCUACCUGACCAUUUUCAUGCAUCUCAUUAUGUGUUUAUUUAAUGAUAAAUAGUGAAAUGACAUACUCUAAACAAAAGAAAUGUCAAGCAUUACCCGGAUAAGAAUUCGAUAAGUGCAAGAUCUUCAAAGCAAGAACAAAGUUUAACCAAGGGCAAAAGGGUGAUAUCUGAGAAACGUCGAUUACUCGUAAAGCUCGAAGACAGGUAUGAGGCUUGAAGAGAAGGUCGAGAAUCAAAGCAAUGAACGCAGAUCCUCAACAAUCAUGGCGAAAAUGACAUACAACCAAUAUGCUUAAGGAGCACUGCAUAAUCAUGUAGGCAUAAAGGCAUUUAAGACAAACAUGUGCAUACCAUGAUGACAUCAUGCAUGGCAUAUACAGGUAAUCCAGUAAAGCAAGAAAUCUUGAAUGAGAGUCGCACUGAAUCAAAGGAAAAGAUACCCGAGUUCUUCCAAAGGACUGGUUUUGGUAUUUUGAUGUUUAAUAUUCAUGCUUUCCAAGGAAAAUCAACUCAUAUUGCGAGAGAUGAGUUGAGCCUCAAGACAAGUUGAGGUAUUUUUAAUUUUUUUUUUCAAAAUCAACUCAUAUUGCGAGAAGUGAGUUGAGCCUCGGGGCACGCCGAGGUAUUUUUAGUUUAUGUUUUAAAUUGACUCAUAUUGCGAGAGGAGUUAAGCCUUUUAAUUUUUGUUUUUCAAAAUCAACUCAUAUUGCUAGAAGUGAGUUGAGCCUCAAGACGCUGAGGUAAUUUCAAUUUUUGUUUGUCAAAAAUCAACUCAUAUUGCGAGAGGUGAGUUGAGCCUCAGGACACGCUGAGGUGGUUUUAAUUUAUGUUCAUCAAAAAUUAGCUCAUAUUGCAAGAGGUGAGUUGAGCCUUGGCUCACACGCUGAGGUAUUUUCAAUUUCUGGUUUUCAAUUUCUGUUUUUCAAAAAUCGACUCAUAUUGCGAGAGGUGAGUUGAGCCUCGGGACACGCUGAGGUAAUUUCAAUUUCUGUUUGUCAAAAAUUAACUCAUAUUGCGAGAGGUGAGUUGAGCCUCGGCUCACAUGCUGAAGUCUUUUCAAUUUUUGUUCUUCAAUUUCUGUUCGUAAAAAAAAAUCAACUCAUAUUGCGAGAGGUGAGUUGAGCCUCAGGACACGCUGAGGUAAUUUCAAUUUCUGUUUUCAAAAUUCAACUUAUAUUGCGAGAAAUGAGUUGAGCCUCAAGACACGUUGAGGUAUUUUCAAUUUCUGUUUUCAAAAAAAAAAUCAACUUAUAUUGCGAGAGGUGAGUUGAGCCUCGGUUCACAUGCUGAGGUAUUUUCAAUUUCUGUUUUUUUUAAAAAAAAAUCAACUCAUAUUGCGAGAGGUGAGUUGAGCUUCAGAUUACACACUGUGGUAUUUUUUUCAAUUCAUAUUGCGAGAGGUGAGUUGAGCCUCAGGACACGAUGAGGUAAUUUCAAUUUUGUUUGUCAAGAAUCAACUCAUAUUGCGAGAGGUGGGUUGAACCUUUUAAUUUCUACUUUUUCAAAAUCAGCUCAUAUUGCAAGAGGUGAGUUGAGCCUCGGGGCACGCUGAGGUAUUUUCAAUUUUUGUGUUUUAAUUUCAACUCAUAUUGCGAGAGGUGAGUUGAGCCUCAGGACACGCUGAGGUAUUUUCAAUUUUCGUUUUUUUAAUUUAUGUUUCAAAAAAAAUCAACUCAUAUUGCGAGAAGUGAGUUGAGCCUCAAGACGCUGAGGUAAUUUCAAUUUUUGUUUGUCAAAAAUCAACUCAUAUUGCGAGAGGUGAGUUGAGCCUCAGGACACGCUGAGGUAUUUUUAAAUUUCUGUUUUUCAAAAAUCAACUCAUAUUGCGAGAUGUGAGUUGAGCCUUGGGUUCACAUGUCGAGGUAUUUUCAAAAUCUACUUUUGCGAGAGGUGAGUUGAGCCUUGGCUCACGUGCUGAGCUAUUUUCAAUUUCUGUUUUUAAUGUCUAGUUUUACAGAGUCAAUUCAUAUUGCGAGAAAUGAGUUGAGCUCAGGAUCACAUGCCGAGUAAAGAAUCAAUAUUAGAGCUGAUUGAAGACACCAUAUUUUGUCUCCCUGAAGUUGCAGUGGAGUUAAUCGAGGAUAUCAGAUCUUGCCUUUCUAAAGUGGCAGAAGAGAAGACCCAAAACCUUAUCUCACUGAAGCGAUAGAAGAGCAUAUUGAAUUACAUUGGAACAGAUUGAAGCUACAAGGCAUAUCUCCGAAUUUGCAGUGGAUUGAACAAAAGCUACAAGAUGCGAUGGACUGGAAAGAGACUACCUGGAUGAGAAGAGCACCAAAGAAGUCCAUACUUAGCAAGACCGGGCAAAAUUGGCCUUUCUUUAUAUCUUUGCUCUAUUCUCGUUACACGAUAAUAAGCAAAGAGGGGCAGCUGUUGUAGGCCAAUUUUAGCCCAUUUACAUCAAAACCCAAUUUAGCCUUACCUAACCCACUAAAAUUAAACCCAAAAUCCAAAAUCUUAACUACCCAAAGCCAAAUUUACAUCAAAACCCCAAUGGCCCAAACCCUAAGUCCAAAUCAAAAUAAAAAACCUAGCCCACAACUUAAACUUUUCUCAACUAGCCACUCCUUUUCCACCAGCAACUCCACUAGCCACACCUUUUCCACCACCAACUCCACUAGCCACUCUUUUUCCACCACCAACUCCACUAGCCACUCCUUUUCCACCACCAACUCCACUAGCCACUCUUUUUCCACCACCAACUCCACUAGCCACACCUUCUCCACCACCACUUGUACCUACAAAUGAAGACAUAAACAAUAAAAAAAUAUUUUGUAAAUGCCUAUAUAAGCCUUCUCAUAUUUUGUAUAUGGGGGGGAUUUUUUUUUGGAGAGUUUUUGGGAGAGAAAGUUAUUGUAAAGGAUUUUUGGAGAGGUUUCUUUUUAAAGUAAUUAAGGAGAAGAGUUAUUGUAAAGGCUAGUUUUUGGAGAAGCUAGUUUUUUUGAAGAUUAAUCAAAGAUCAAAGCAAAAGAGGUUUCUUUGUCUAUUCUCAUUUUAAGUUCUUUGUUUACUUAUUGUUUUCCUUUCAAUCUUAUUUUAUUUCUUUUAUACGAAAGUAAAAAAAAAAUAAAAGGAGGAAGCUUACCCAUUUUUACCGAAAAAGUUUUUUUGAGGUCCAGCUGCCGUGUACGGUGGCGCCGGCGGUGGUCCGGCGACCGGACGAUGGCCGACCUUGUGGCCGAAAAUCAUCCACCCUCUCCCUCUCUCUCCUUUUUUGUUAUUAUUAUAUUUCUUAAUAUUAUAUUAUAUAUAUUCUUUUAAUAUAUUAGGUAUAUUUUAAAUUCUAUAUUACGUAUAUAUAUUUUAUACUAUUUUAUUUAUAUAUCUUUAAUAUUAUAUUAUUUAUAUAUAUAUUUUUCUACAUGUUAUCUUAUGUAUAUAUCUUAACUAUAUUAUGUAUAUAUUUUUAACACUAUAUUAUGUACAUAUUUUUAAUAUUAUCACGUAUUUAUUUUUUAUAUAUGUACAUAUUGAUGUAGUAUUAUUAAUAGUAUUUUUUUAAACAUCGUUAUUAUUUCUAAUAUAUAUUAUGUACAUCUUUUUUAUUUCUAUUUUAUUUUUUAUUUUUCAAUAUUAAUUAUUAUUAUUCUAAUAUUUUGAUAUUUUAAUAUUUUAUAUUUUAUAUAUUUUAUUAUUCACAUCAUUGUUCGCAUUUUUUGACAAUAAUAUUCUUGGAUUUUUUUACUAUCAUUUUAAAAACUUUUUACAUUUUAAUUUUAAGAAUAAGGCAAUGUAUCAAUUUUAACAUUAAGUCAUCGAUUUCAUCGCUAUGUUGGGUGAAAUUAAUCGGCUCGUGUUAAAAACGGGACGUCCUUCUAAAAAACAAAAAAAAACUUGCAACUUCUCAUUUCCUUCAAUCGAAUCACACUUAAAUGUCAAAUUGAAUUCGUAUUUUUGAAAAUCAAGACAACAUGUGUUUAAUAAGAUACCAAUUUUGGGCGUCGCAAGGGUGCUAAUACCUUCCUCGCGCGUAACCGACUCCCGAACCCUAAAUUUUCUCUGGAUUUUAACGUAGACCUAAACUCAACCUUUUAUUUGUUUUAAUAAGAGAUCUAAUAGGUGUCCGAUCACACCUAGGAAAAAGGAUCGGUGGCGACUCCCUGUUUAUUUCAAAAAUCAAACGUUAAAUUUCAAACUUUUUUUCAAUAAAUCGCCACAAUUAGCGACCAAGCUAAGCUAAAAUUUUUACGUCGCUACAACCACAAAGAUGAAAUGAUGCCCAUUUAAAGCUUUUGGUGAAUUUGGCCCAAUCACAUCCAUGCCCUACACCGAGAAAGGCCAUGGAGAAGUCAUAACAUGCAGAGGUGAAUGAGACACAUUAAUCUUGUCUCCAUAGAUUUGGCACUUAUGACAUCUUUUGGUGUAGUUGAUAUAGUCUCCUUCCAUGGUGGACCAAUAAUAACCAAACCUCAUAAUUUUCCUGGCCAUUGUAAAGCCAUUAGCAUGUGUCCCUCUGAUGCCCUCGUGGACUUCUUCCAAGAUUUUCUUAGCCUCAAUAGUGUCUACACAUCUUAAUAGUACCUGAUCCUUCCUUCUUUUGUAUAGGAUCUCCCCAUCUAAGACGUAGUCACUGGCCAGUCUUCUCAACGUUCUUUUGUCGUUCUCAGUAGCUUGGUUGGGGUACUCACGAUUCUUCACAUAUCGCAGGAUAUCGUGAUACCAAUGGUGAUCAUCAUUUUUUGCUUCUUCUUCGAGGUUGUAACAAUGAGCUGGACCCUCAUAAAUACUUAUUUGGAUUGGUUUCACAUCUUCUUGUUUGUUUACCUUAAUCAUAGAAGCUAAAGUUGCUAGGGCAUCGGCCAUUUGAUUUUCUUCUCGCGGGAGGUAGCAGAAGACAGUAUCAUCAAACUCUUUAAUUAAUUCGAGGAUCAGACUUCGAUAAUUGAUCAACUUGGGGUCUCUCAUUUCCCAUUCACCUUUGAGUUGAUAAAUCACUAGGGCAGAAUCUCUAUAUACCUCUAACACCUUGAUUUUACGUUCUAUGGCCGCGUGAAUUCCCAUGAUGCAUGCUUCGUAUUAUGCCAUAUUGUUCGUGCAGUCAAAAUCCAAUUUACUAGUGAAGGGAUAAUGAUCUCCGUUUGGGGAUACCAGGACUGCCCCGAUUCUGUUAACCACAGUAUUUGAUGCUCCAUCAAAGUUUAGCUUCCAAGGAUGACCUUCUUGAGGGUCUUCUUCAGUGGUUGCUAUGUACAUUAGAUCUUCAUUUGGGAACUCAAAGUUCAGAGGCUCAUAGUCUUCUAGAGCUCCACUGGCAAGAAAAUCUGCUAUUGCACUCCCUUUUACAGCUUUCUGUUUUACGUAGACUAUAUCGAAUUCAGAAAGUAAAAUUUUCCAUCGGGCCAUUCUCCCAUUCAAAGCAGUCGAUUCCAUCAAGUAUUUCAGAGGAUCCAUAUUGGAGAUCAGCCAAGUUGUGUGGUACAACAUGUAUUGUCUCAAUUUUCGGGUUGUCCAGAUUAAGGCACAACACAACUUUUCAAUUGGCGAGUAUCUCAUUUCACACUUAGUGAACUUCUUACUGAGGUAAUAUAUCGCUCUUUCCUCCCUUCCUGACUCAUCAUGCUGGCCAAGCACACAUCUCAUAGAAUUUUUAAACACCGUUAAAUACAGUACCAAUGGCUUGUCUGGACUAGGUGGUGUCAAUACUGGGGCAUUAGACAAAUAUUACUUGACCUUGUCAAAAUUUUUCUGGCACUCCUCAUCCCAAACACCAGGGUUGUGUUUCUUAAGGAGAAGGAAUAUGGGGUCCCAUUUCUCAGUUAGUUGUGAAAUGAACCGAGCGAUGUAAUUUAGUCUUCCUAGGAAUCCCCGGACUUCCUUUUGAGUACGCGGUAGAGAUAACUCUUGUAUGGUUUUGACUUUAUCUGGGUCAAUCUCAAUCCCUUUUUCACUGACUACGAAUCCUAGCAGUUUUCCUGACCUGGCCCUGAAGGUACAUUUUGCUAGAUUGAGUUUCAGUUGGAAUUUCCUCAACCUCAAAAAUAAUUUCCUCAAGACUUGCACAUGCUCCUCUUCUGUCUGAGAUUUGGCGAUCAUGUCGUCAACAUAGACUUCAAUUUCUUUGCGCAUCAUAUCAUGGAACAAGGUUACCAUGGCUUUUUGAUAUGUUGCUCCAGCAUUUUUUAGUCCAAACGGCAUCACCUUAUAGCAAAAUGUUCCCCACAUGGUUACAAAUGUGGUCUUAUUCAUGUCCUCAAGAUGCAUCUUUAUCUGAUUGUACCCUGAGAAACCAUCCAUGAAAGAGAACAGUGAAUAACCUGCCGUGUUGUCCACUAAGGUGUCAAUAUGAGGCAACGGGAAAUUAUCCUUCGGGCUGGCUUUAUUCAGAUCCCUGUAAUCUACACACAUCUGUACUUUUCUAUCUUUUUUAAGGACAUGGACGAUAUUGGCUUCCCAUUCCGAGUACUUGACUACUUGUAAGAAACUAGCAUCGAAUUGCUUCUUGACUUCCUCUUUUAUUUUCAACAAAACAUCCGGUCUCAUCCUUCGGAGCUUCUGUUGAACUGGCUUGCAUUCUUCUUUAAUGGGGAGCCUGUGUACCACUAUGUCAGUACUUAGCCUAGGCAUAUCUUGAUACGACCAUGCAAAGACAUCCUUAAACUCUUGGAGUAACUCAAUAAGGUCCCGUUUUGUCUCUGUGGUAAUGCAAGCUCUGAUAUUUACUUCUUUCUUUUCUAGUUCAUCCCCUAAGUUCAUGACUUCUACUAUUUCUUUGUGGGGUAGAAUCUGUUUCUCCUCUUGUUCUACUAUCCUUAACAAAUCAGGGGAUAAGUUACAGUCUCUGUCAUCCUCAAAGUCCUAAGAUCCCUUUAGACAGAUAUCCUGCUCAAAAGGAGACUCUGAGUUAGUAGCAACGUCGCUCAUAUCGUUGAUAUCUGGAGACCUGUUGUAGGUGAGAAGGAAGAUACAAAAAACAAGAUAAUCUAAGAAUCAUGAUAUGUAUGGUAUGAUCAUGAAUGAAAGAAUAAAAGAAUACUUGCACGGAAUAAGACAAAAGGAUGCAUUUCAUUGAAAUAAUGAUUUUGAACAUAAGGCUAUUUCACAAAAGGGACUCUUAUUACUCCUAGGCUUAGAGCAAUAAGUGUGUUUUGAACAUUAUUCAGUGUAGUUCUAAAGACUACAGGAAUCUCUUCCACAGUCCAAUUAUUUAGAACACUUCCGGUUCAUAAGGGCGAAUGCCCGACAAAUUCUCUACUCCAGUUCCUUCUUCAUAUGUGGUGUUGAUGUCCAAAUUUUCCAUCAUUCCUUCCAUGAUUUCCUUUCCCGAAGCAAAAGUCUUCGAUAUAUGGGGAAAGAUCAUUGGUUCCCACUCGAUUUCUCCCCCGCUCAAUCGUGCUCUCCUUCUUUCUUACUUCUUCUCUAGCUCCUUCUUUCUUUGUUUCGUGUCUGGCUUAAAUCCUAACCCAAAACGGUCUUGUUUGUCCUUCAUCAUUGGUGCAUUAAUCCUUCCCUGGAGGUAUCUCUCGAGUCCUCUUCCAGGUAGGGCCUCUUUUCCAACAGUUAGCCGUAGUCUCAUUCUUGUAAUCUCAGAUAACCUGGGCAUUGGAAUCCUAUUUCCUUCAGUAAUGAAUGUCGCAUUCACAAACUCUAAAGACCGAAGAGAGCAUUCGAUUGCUUCAUCAUUUGCCUCUAGAUAUAGGGCGUCACUGGUUAUUGCUGCGAUGAUGUCCUCUUCAGCAUUGAUCAUUACCAACUGACCUUCGAUAUCCAAUUUCAACUUUUGGUGUAGCGAUGAAGGAACUGCCACUGCUGAGUGUAUCCAUAGCCUCCCCAAUAGGCAAUUAUACGAAGGCUUAAUGUCCAUGACCAGGAAAUCUACCUCGUACGUGCUCGGUCCGAUUAAGAGGGGUAUUUCAAUCCUCCCCAUUAUCUUCCUUUCUGUGCCAUCAAAUGCUCUCACUACAUUUUGGCAUGUCUUCAUAUGGGAACUAUCCAUUGGCAACCUAUUCAGUGUAGAUAGGGGUAGGACAUUUAGUGCAGACCCAUUGUCAAUCAAUACCCUUGGUAAUGUAUACCAUUUACAGCAAGUCGUGAUGUGCAAAGCUUUAGUCAAUCCUCUGCCUCCCGGCGGUACUUCAUCAUCGUUGAAGAAUAUGAAGUUGUUGACUAAGCAGUCCAGUUUGUUUACGAAAAUACCGUUAGCAACAUAAGUUUCAUUCAGCACCUUCAUCAAUGCGCUGCGAUGGGUUUCUGAGCUUAAGAGUAAGGCCAGUACCGAUAUACGAGCUGUCUGUUUGUGUAACUAUUCUACGGUACUAUAUUCACUGUGUUUUAGAAAUUUUAAAAAUUCCUUUGCUUCUUUUUCAGUCACUGAUUCAUUAACAGUCGGUUCAGGUCUCGCUGGCUUUUCCUUCUUUUGCUCAAUUACCAAUGAUUUUCCUUUAACCUGCUCGACUUUUGUAUUUGGGGCAUCAUAAUGCCUUCCGCUGCGCGUAUAAAAACCCUCGUCUUGACCUUUCUCUGAUGCAUUAAUCGGGAUCUCCUCUCCCGGGAUUGUCACAUUGCAGCUAUAGUUCCACGGUACCCUUUUGCUAUCUUUAUAAGGGAAAGCAACGGGCUUCUAGAUUACGAGCUUUGACACAACUUGUGCCCCGGCUUCAUUUAUUCUCGGACGCGAUAUGAUAACCACUGGGUGGUUGACUUUGCAAACAUCCUUCAUCGACCCCUCUUCGGAAGCACACACAUCUGUUUCUUCUGGGCUCCCGACAUAUUCGAAGAAUUCCAGCUCCUUAUUAUCCAUUGAUCCUUGUACUAAAGCUCUAAAUUAGUUGCAUUUCUGAAUCUCGUGAUCCUUUUGAUCAUGGAACUCGCAAUAAUUCUUUGAUUCUCGGGGUCUGACCCUUGGAUUCUGUGUUAUCAACCCUCUUUCCACCAUUUUCUUCCAUACUUCUUUCAACGGGGUAUUCACUUCUGCAAUAUUCAUCUUAAUUUCUAUCCCCGAACUCUCGGUUAUCGCAUUUAUCCCCUUAUCCCCAUGGUUGGGUAAUGGAUUCUCUGCACUAGAUGUAUCAUCAAAUUUCACGAUGCCCCUGUUGAUGAGUCUUUCAACCAAUUUCUUGAAUGUGGUGCAGUUUUCUAUCGAGUGUCCUGUGGCUCCCACAUGGUAUUCGCAUUGGGCAUUUUCGUCAUACCAUUUAGGGUAUGGAGGUUGCAUUGGCUUUAGAUAGAAGGGAGACACGACAUGUGCGUUAAAUAAACUUUGGUAUAACUUGUACGUCAUUGGAAUGGGCAUAAAUUGGAGUUUCUUCCUAUUUUGUUUUGUGUUGGGCUCUUGUCUGGGUGGGCCUUGCUGACCAGUGGUUGUCAACCUUGGUUGGCUUACGGUGAUCGAUUUUGAAUAUGUGCUCACAUUAUUUACCUCGUGUUCUUUCUUUCUCGGUGUUGACCUCUUGGCGUUUUCUCCAGCCUCUAUCUUCCCACAUCUUAUCGCAUUUUCUAUCAUUUCUCUAGACAUUACUAUGUCUGAAAAACUCUUGGUUGCGCUACCGAACAUGUGGUUAAUGAAAGGUGCUUUCAGGGUGUUAAUGAAGAGUAUAGUGGUUUUCUUUUCCAACAUAGGGGGUUAGACUUGUGUGGCCACCUCUCUCCAUCGUUUGGCAUACUGCCUAAAGCUUUCAUUAUGCUUUUUCUCCAUAUUCUAUAAAGUGAUUCUAUCAAGGGCUAUGUCUGCCACAUGACCGUACUACUUCAUGAAGGCUUGUGCUAGAUCUUUCCAUGAACUGAUCUGGGCGCGACUCAGUUGGUUGUAUUAUCUAGAAGCGGCCCUAACCAGACUUUCUUAGAAGUAGUGAAUUAAUAGUUGGUCAUUAUUGACAUGGCCUGCCAUUCGUCUGUAGAACAUAGUGAUGAGAGCUUCGGGACAGCUAGUUCCGUUGUACUUCUCAAAUUCUAGAGUUUUGAACUUGGGAGGGAGUACCAGGUCCGAAACCAAACUUAAUUCCUUAGCAUAGAUUCCACCACAAUAGUCAGUGCUUUCCAUUUCUUUAAAUUUAUCUUCUAACCACCUACACCUUUCUUCAAGCUCCUUCAGGAGUUCUACCCUUUCCUUUUCUGUUUCUGUUACUUCAUCGAGAUUGAGUCUGUUACUUCAUCGAGAUUGAGGACCACAGGGUUAGUCAGGUUAUCUCCUAGAUUGGAGCCCGAGCCAGCCUAAUAAUUCAUCGGUGCCGAAACACCGGCCUGAAAUGGUUACGGCCUAAUUGUGACUGAUGGCCUUCUUGGGUACAUAUCACGUUGUGUCUGAACGUCCGUUGGGGCAAAACCCGGAGGGUAUAUAGGAUCUUCAUUAUCAUCUCCCGCAUUGGUCAUGGGGCUUUUCCCUUUUUCUAAUCCGCCAGCCACUAGACGCGUUAAUUGAUCCAUCAUACUUUUUUGGGACUCCAGCAUCUGGUCCCUUACAUCUUGCUGGAUUUUGCCCAGCUGUUGUUGCAUACGUGCUUGUAGUUGAUCCUGCAUCUCUUUUUGCAUUUGUUCCAAUCUCUCUAACCUUUGGUCCAUUGCUUUUGUUUUUCCUCUCGUACCAUAACGAUGUUUUAGGAUAACUGCUAUGAUUUUUAGGGUUUUUUUGUAAGUUUUAGUGCGUAUGAUACAAUGCUGAUGCAUGAAUGCAAUGAAUGCAAUGAAUGCAAAAAAAGAAAAUGCGUUGAUUCUAAAUCGAUUUCAUUAGAAUAACUUUUCUAGAAAAUAAGUUUCUUUACAUAAAACAAAUUACAUAUAAGGCUUGGCCCUGAUACUUAAGGCCUUGACCUACCUAAGAAGCCAAGCUAGCUUUGGCGCCGGUCCGAUUCUGACUCAUAUUUUAAACUCAGCACAUCGGCCUGUACUGCUAAUGUUUGUAAGUGAUCAGCCACUUCUCGCACUUGAGUCAAAGCUUCGCCUAUGACGUAAUCCUUGUUUCUGACUUGGUCUUGAGAUUGAUGAAGUUGCUCCUUAAAUCGCUCGUUAUUUACCUCAAGGAGUUUAAUCUGAAGUUCAUGAUUUUGCAGCGUUGUUUUAAGUUUUUUUAUAUUCUCUUUUAAUUCUCCAAUUCUGCUCUGACUAGCUUUCAACUCGAUUACAGAGUUACGCGUACGAUACUGAUACAAGGACCUCUCUAACUCUGAUACUCGAAUCUUUAACCCCUCCUUCUCGUUCUGGCUUUCUACCAAACUUCUUUUCAGAGCACCUUCUCGAAUUUGGGCAUCUCGAAAUUUUUCUUCCCAUUGGUUGACUUUGUUUUUCUCUUCUUUAACUUCUUGUCGCCACUGUUCAGAUGUUUUUCCUAAUCCAGCGGUUCUCAUUGACCUACGCAACUUCUUGUAGUCUAUUUUCAAACUGUCCAAAUCCUCUUCAGCCUUGUUUUUUUCCUUUCCUGAGUCUUUCAGCUUCUAAUUUCAGAUGAGAUUACUUUCAAGUGUUCUUCCAUUGACCGAGGGUUUCCUUAGUCUGAAGUAGGGAUGUUAUCGUUAAUCCUCUGAUCCCUCCAUUGGUCGUACUCAGGGGUAGUCAUGGGAUUGGCAGCAAACUUUUUCAUUCUACGAGUCUUGUUCCAGGCAUUUGAUAUCUCGCGAACUUUCUUUUUGUAAUUACUCCCCGUGAAUACAAACUCGCACUGACUAACCCGUAUGUGGGUGGUGUAAACUGUCUGGAUCUGUACUGUCUUAAUGCAAGUAGAGGAGCAUACCCGACGGCUCCCCAUACUCCUAACAAGGGAACCCAAUCGAAAUCUCCGCAUCGAUAUAAUAUUUGAUCAGGAACCAUCCAUGGGGCUCUCCAUUCAACGCCUUCCUCUUGCAAAUUUUGGAGAACCGUCAUCCAAUUUUCUUCUGUAAAAUCAUCUCGCCUCGGUGUAGCUACUAACUCUUUCAGUGGAGAGUAAUUUUCAGAGAAAAUAUGGUACGAGACUUUUUCCACUUUCUAAAAAUGGCUGUGGAACCAAGAUAGUAAGAGCUGUGCACAUCCAAUAAAUCUCCCUUCACCCACUUUUCGACAAGCAUUCAAUGAUCUGAAAGUUUCAGCCAAGAUUGUGGGUACAGGUGUGGUCCCUUUACCAAACCUGUCAAAAAGAUCAGAAACCGCCUCGUCUACAUGCCCCAAAGCUUUGGGGAAGAUAACCAGUCCAUAAAUGCUCAGGGCGAAGACAUCCACCCUUUUCUUCACAUUGGGGUGCGCUAAGAUUAGAUCCCUCAGGUUCUUCCAAGGAAUGCACUUAUAAUCUCCUUUUUGUUUGAUCCGGGUUGUAACCCACUAUUCGCUCAUUCCUGUGAUGUUCAUCAGCUUUUUUGAAAACGCUGAGACGUUGGCAGCUCUGGAAUAAUUCUGUCAACCUGAAUCGUCGGACAAUGGAGCAAGGCCGUGUACUCUUCUAUAGUAGGUACAAAUCUACCUUCCCGAAAGUGAAACAACUGUAAGUAGAAUUCCAAUAUUGGGCGAUGGCUCGAAACAGGUGUUCGUCUACCUUGACAUCGAGCAGAUAAGGUAAAUCGCCAUAAUUACAAUAGAAUAGCUGUUUGAUCUCGUCAUCCCACUGACCCCAAAUUUUUUUAUCUCUUAGAGGUUAUUUUGGGUCACAUUGAUCCGCGUGAAAUCCCACAAUUCUGACACGUACCCCUCGGUAAGACUAUUGCCUUUCUCUUGUUGUGUUGUCUCAGCCCAUAUCUGGACAGCCGCAUUGUCUUCUACUUUAUCAAGAAACCCCUUUUCCAUGAUAAGCUAUCUACUUAGCAACUCAGUAUUUCAUACGCAGUUUAAAGCAAACAAAGAAUAAUAAAUAUAGCACUUGCUCAGGUAACCACUAGGGUUUCGGAGUGACUCUACCUAGGGUGGGCUCUUAAGGCUCGUUACAUGGGGUUCGAUUAUAGAGUAAAGGUACCUGAACCAGCAGAUUCCUCGAUCUUCACCUAUUAUAGGCUCAUACAGACCGAGCGCAGUUUAGGGGAAUACAUUUUCCUAUGGCUAGACGGAGAUGAAAAUCUCACGAAGACAUAGGUACGGAUGUAUCCCGAAAGUGAUCCACUAUCCUGCACGGAGGUGAAAACCUCACAAAGGAGUAGUUUCUCACUCCCACUUAAAAGGGUGUGACCAUAGCAGUCAUGCAAUGCAAUAUGCAAAACUAUUUAAAGACUCAAACCAACGCAGCAGGUAUUAUAUCAUAAACCAUAAAAAAUAGCUGAUGAAAUGCAAUGAAAGGAUCGUAUUUCAAAACCAAAUUUUCAAUUUUUGAUAAAAAGACAAAAGUUAAUCAACUUGUGGCUUGACUUUCUUAUUUGGUCCCCAGCGGAGUCGCCAAGCUGUCGUAACCAUUUUUUGAAAAAACAGGGAUCGCCUUUGAUUUUGAAAAUGAAAAAAACGGGAGUCGCCAGCAAUCCUUUUUGAUGAGGUGUGAUCGGGUCACCUUGUAAAAGUGGUUGUUUUUAAUAAAUGAUUUGAUUUAUUUAAACAACAAUUUUGGUCUACGAAAUUUAAUAAAACGAGCUCGGGAGUCGGUUAUGUACGAGGAAGGAUUAGCAUCCUCGUAACGCCCAAAAUUGGUACCUAGUUGAUUAAUUAGUGUCUUAAGAUCGAAAAUUGAAAACUUGAAAAAGUUUGAAACACGAUCCUUCUUUUUGUAAAAAAAAAAUUGGAACGUUAAAGACAUUCUCGUCUUGAAGCAACAAAAUAUCAUAUCCAGUGAGUUAGGACACGACAUCUCGAACUUUUGAGAAUGAGCUUGCCUUUUACUCAGAAAUUCGUAUAUUUUAACCCCUUUUUAAAAGGAUAUUUGGUUAGUUAAGGUAAACGAGGAAAAUCAGAACCCGGUAAGCUGGGGCAUGUUUCCUCGAAUUUCCAAACACCGAAUAUUGCCUUUACUUGUGAAAAUCUUAUUUCGAGCUAACAAAAUGUCAUACCCGGUAAGUUAGGGCACAACACCUUGUAUUUCAGAGAAUAAGCAUUUUUUCAAAACUCGUGUUGUGACUUAAGAAGAUCAUGUUGUUAUUUAGAUUAAACGAGAAAAAUCGAAACCCAGUAAGUUAGAGCACAAUUUUCUCAAAUUUUCUAAAUACGAAGCUUGUUUUAUUUUAGAAAACACAAUGGUAUGCAUCGAGUAAAAGGCUAAUGCAAUCAUAAUUGCAUGGUGAAAUGAGAAUAAUAACCAUGACAAUAAAGAAUAAUAGCAAUAAUAAUAAUAAUAAUAAUGAAAAAAAUAUUAAGUUACAAUAGUAAAAUAAUAAUAGUAAUAAUAAUAGUGAUAAUAAUAGUAUAUUAGAUAACAAUAAUAAAAUAAUAAGUAAUAAUAAUAGAGUAUAAAUAAUAGUUAUGAAAAUAAUAACAAGUAAUAAUAAUAAUAAUAGUGACGAUAGUAGUAAUAAUAUAUUGAUAAUACAUAAUAGAAGGAAUAAUAAAAGGAUAUAAGGAUAAUAGGAAUAGUAAUAACAAUAAUAAUAAAGAAUACAAUACAUUAAUGAUAAUGAUAAUGAUAUAUGUUAAUAACAAUAAUAAUAAUAUGUAAAAAUAGAAAAUAAUAAUAUGGUAAAAAUAUUAAUAUAUUAAUAAGAAUAAUAGUAAUAAAAUAAGAUUAGAAUAACAAUAUUAACAAGAAUAAACAUAAAAGAGAUAGUAAUAAUGUAAAUAAUGAUGUAUAUAUGUAUGAAAAAUAAUGGUAGUAAAAAAUAGUAAUAAUAAUAAUAAUAGAAGUGGUAAUAAUAAAAUUAGAAUAAAAUAAAUACAUGUACAAGUAUAAUAAUAAUAUAAAUAAUGUAAUAAAACAACCAAAAGUCAUAAAAAGGACGUAAUUGAAUCUGAAAACAAAAUUUUGGGGCAAAUUCAAAAUAAAUAAAAGAGAAAGAGAUCAAAUCGCAUGCGCAAACAACUAGGAGGGACUAAAAUGGGCAAUAACCUCUUGUCCCAAAACGCACAGCUUCAAAGGGAUUCAAUUGGAAAAGAAAUAAAAUUUCUGGGCAUAAAUUAAAAGCCAAAAAAAUGAAAUUUAAAAGUAGAAAAAUGCGGAAGGACCAAAUGCGUAAUUAGACCAUCAAACGAAAACACGCGAAUCCUAGGCCUAGAACGGGUCGAGUUGGGUCGGAGGGGGCAAAACGAUGUCAUUUUGGGGUUAAAAGGCAGCCCCCAAAACGACGUCGUUUUGGGAGGCUAUAAAAGGCCUAAAUUUUUUUUAAAAAAUCACUUGCAACAGAGGAAAGAAAAAAAGGGGGGGGGAAGGGAAUUUCUCUUUGGACCAGGUCCAGCUCCGGCCAGGAGGGCCACCGUCGCCAGCCACCGCGCGAAAGGUAUUUUUUUUUGUUAAUAUGUAUAUAUAUGUAUUUAGCAAAAAAAAGGGUAAAUAGGUUCUAAAUAAAAUAAAAUAAAAUAAAAUAACAAAAAAAAGAAAAUAAUAAACCUUUUAUUCGAAACCUUUGAACUCUCCUUUGUAUUUUUUUCUGCGAUUUUAUGCUCGUAUUUAGAUCUGUUUCUUGUGGAUAAAUGACUGCCGAAUGUUUUGUAUUUUCAAAGAAAAGAAAAUUGCCGAAAAAAAACAAUACAUUUUCGCUUGGCUUUUAUAGCCAUUUACAAGCCUUUGUUUAUUACUUGUUGUCCUCUCUUCCUUUAAUUUUGCAGGUGCAAGUAGAGGUGACGCGACUAGGGCGGUGGAGCAGGUGGCCGACUGGCAUAGGUGAUGGGACAGAGGGCAGAGGCGGCAGCAGCUUAGUGUUUUCUUAGUUUUUUUUUUAAUCAUUGUGGGCUAGGGUUUGGGGCUGUUGGGUUUUGGUUUUGGGUAGGUAGAUUUGGUUUAAUUUGGGCCAAAAUGGGGCCUCAACAACUUAAAUUCUUAACUAAGUUGAUGUCCGACAACUUGGUUAGGAAAUUAUAAUAAUGCCCUUUUGUAAUUAAAAUAAGUAAUAUUAUUUGAGGGCAUUUUAGUCUUUUAACUUUAAAAAACAAUAUGGUAGGAUUCGAACCCACAUCAAUUGCAUUAAUAAAACUUUUAAUUUACCACUUAACUAAAACUUUAUUUUAAUAUUAUUAUACACUUUAGUUUUAUUAUGCACGCUCUAUUACCUUCAUAAGUUGUAUAUCUAUACUUAUUAUUAUCUAAACUCCAUACUGAGUUGGUGUCAUUCUCAAUCAGGUCACCAACUUAGUUAAAAAAUUACGAGAAUGCCUUUUUGUAAUUCAAAUAAGUAAUAUUAUUUGAGAGUAUUUUAGUUUUGUCACUUAAAAAAACCAAUAAAAUAUGCAUACGGUGGGAUUUGAACCUAGGCCAAUUGCAUUAGUAAAACUUUUAAUUUACCACUCAACUAAAACUUUAUUUUAAUAUUUCUUAUACAUUUUAAUUUACUACGAAUUUAGAACAUAUAUGUGUGUUUAAAAAUAACAUACAAUAAACAAUGAAAAAGUAUGGUUUGAAACUAACCAAUCAUAAUAACACAUGAAAUAUGUACGAUGAGGAAAUAAAAAAGAAUUAGGUUAGAUUAUGAGUAAAACAAAAUUUAAACACAUAAAUACAUCAGGUAAAUAGUACUCAAUGCACUACAAUUAUUUAUCAUGGUUUUUCAUCAAUGGUGAGUUUAGUGUUGAGUUGACUUGUGACACCAACUCAAUUAACAACAUUAUUAAUAUAUAUAUGUAUACAACUAAUAGAGAUAAUAAAUUGAGCAGUUUAAAAUAAAAAUAUAUAAAAUAUAUUAAUGAAGCUUUGGUUGAGUAGUAAAUUUAAGAUGUUAUUAACUCAAUUGGUGCGAGUUUAAAUCACUCCACAUGUAUAUUUUUAUUGGUUUUUUGUUAAAAUGAAAAGAUUAAAAUAUCCUUAAAUAGUAUAGAUGAGAUAUGUGAAACUCUAAAAGAAUAGCAACAAUAUGAAAUCUUCUUUCCAUAUCAAAAUUCCCUUUCAGUAUUGAACCCCGUCUGUUGAUAUUUGCUUGAAGCCAUCGGUUUAGUUCCUCAUGGGUUUGGAACAAAGGUUAGGUUUUAUCCAAAGUUGUGAUGGGAUUUUUUGUUUAAGUGUUUUCUGUUUUUAUUUUGAAUUUGAUUUCAGAUGGAAAUGUAAAUAUUGUAUUUCUUUGUUUUUCAAACCCAAAAAUUAGUGCUUCGAAAAGCUUAGGGUUUCGAAACCAAUAAAAUUGUGGCUUCGAAACUAAUAAAACUGUGUUGAGUUUGAUAUGAAUAUCGGGGAAGAGGACUAAAAUGAAUAAAAUGGAAAACGAUAUGAAUUACUAGAGUUAUGAUAUGUGAUAUGGAGGUAGGAUACAAAUGUGUUGGAAGACAUGAAAUAUAUGCGGGUUGAUGAUGAAUUCGAUUAUAAUUAUGAUUGUGAAUGAGAAAUGAUACGUGUAUUUAAUUGUAAAAUGAAGUUGAACAUUGAUAGUAUGCACUUCGUGCGUCAGGAAUGCGCUUUGUGCGCCAGUAUGCACUAUAUUUGUCAGUUUUCCUUACUUCAGUUUAUCUGAUGAUGCACUUCGAUACCAGUUUGUGACAUCCCCGACCUGGCCUAGGAGUUUUCAACUAAGUUGGAGGCUUUUCCAAUGAAGAUGGUCGUUCAUAUGUCAUUUGUGACGAUGAUUUUCACUACAAUAACUCACUAUCCUAGUUGUCCAAUUCUGAUAGCUUUAUACUACGAUAAGCUAUCAUCCCGGUAAACCCGAUUUAGGAUUAGUUUUCGUAUUGCUAGGGAUACUAGUACCAACAUUGGUUUGCAACAUGUGGAGACUUUGGUCUAGUUGGUCUUGCAUUUGACGCACUGUUGCGUGUAACAAAUGUAUCCCUUCAUCAAGUUUACUAACACUAAUGGCCAUAGGGGGUUAUUGUUAAAGGUAUGCUUCCUCUUAAGGUCUUGGGGUAUAUAGGGUUGCAAAGGUUGGUAAGGAGGGGCUAGUCUACUGUGGUUGAAGUUUCCCACACCUUGGUUUCCUCCUCACCUAAGGUUGGGAUGAUCACGCCACCCUAAGUUAUAGGUAUUUGAGUACGGGUUACCACCCCUAAUUCCCAUAUAGUUCCCCCCAAUCUAACUACCCUUUUGGUGAUUUCCUUAAGUAACUUUUCAUUUUCGCCCUCUACAUGAGCUCUUAUAAGAUGGUGUUUGUUAGGAAUGAGGCACAUUAGAGCUAAUUUCGAGGUUGUUAAACCUCCUGAGGAUUUGUAGGAAUUUGUCCUUUCUAUUGACUGCAUUCACAGUCGGUGAUUUAGCUAGACAUGUGAAUUUCUCAAUCGACCACAUGUAGGAGUUCACUGCCAAAUGUUCAAUGGGUUAGCAAUCUUCAAUGUAGGUUUUAGACAUGAAUGCCCUCGCAGAUGCUCCUUCUAAGCUUGACCUCAAAUUCCCGUCCAAACCAUUAUAGAAAGUUAGUAAUUGCAACCAGCCUUGUAGACCAUAGUAAUGGCACUUAUCUAGUGUUACUUUGAAGCGCUCGCAUGCCUCAUACAAUGAUUCCACCUCCAAUUGCCAGAAGUUGGUGAUAAUUAUCCGUAACUUCUUCUUUUUGCUCAGUAGGAAAUAUUUGGCAAGGAAUUGGUUGGCUAGCUCAUCCCACAUCACGAUAGAAUCUAUAAGCUACGAAUCCAAUCACAUAAAAGCGUCAUCACACGAAGAGAAAGGGAAUAACCAAAAACAUAUAGCAUCAUUGGAUACCCUGUUAUACUUAAAAGUAUCACAAGAGGUUAAAAAAUGCUGAAGGUGUUAUUGGGGUCCCCAUUCAUUGAUCCCCAGAAUUGGAGGGUGCUUUGUAUCAUCUAAAGUCUGGCCGACUUGAUCUCAAAAUUGUUGGAAUUAAUGGUGGGUCAGUUGAUAUACCUCGCACAGCAUCCAAGUUUGGCAUGAUAUAAUCUUUCGAUGUACGGUUCUCCAUUUGUCUCGAUCGUAUAGAGGGUUCAUGUUUCUCUAUGUUCGGAAGGCCUAAUGGUGGAUAUUCAAAUAAAAUAUUGCCAAUCAAUGGAUCAGUAAUCAGUGGUUCUAACUAUGGGUGACCUUCUCUCGAGGGUUGCCCUCGUCUUGCGCUGGUUAUUAUCUUUUUCGACUCAAGAUCAAAUGAGAUUAACUCGUUGCCGCUCCAAGUCAUACAUUGAGAAAUACAACCACAAGAAACACGGGAAAGUCAAGAAAUUAACUAAAAGAAUACAAAAAGAAAUACACAAAGAAGUAAAGUGCCUUAUUUAUAAACCUCGAUUUCACCAAUUAUCUUCCAAGUAAGACAUGAAAAAAUCACAACAAAUCAAUUCAUCACAAACACAUCUCUUAUGCAAUGACGCCAACAACUUGAUCACGCUACAGUGUAUGAACUCCUAGCAAAGAAUUAGCACAAAAUAUAAGAAAUUAAAAGUGGCUUAACUACAAGUAUGAUAGGUCAAUUGUAAUAUUUGUUAAGUGUUAUAAUGGAACACUUUGAGCUUUCCAAGGAUCAAACCAAGAGAGAUUAAAGUUAAUUAUGCUAAACUACCCUAAGGAGGACUAAAUUGAAUAACAAUCAAAAGUAUACAAAUAUCAAUUUAGUGAGAUAAAGUGGUCGAUUGAUAUCCAUAUUUCUAGUUAAUUCUUGGAUUAGGGAUCUAAAUUGGUCAAACCCUUAAUUAGUCCAAUUUUCCCUCUCGAUUACCAUUUUACCUAAUUAUACGAUUUAGUCUAGUUUUUCUCUUGACCUCACUAAACUAAAUCAAGACAAUCAAUUUGGUUCACAAUAGAAUCUCCUUUCGGUCUCAUCUAUCUAAAUGUUCAUCUAGAGGCGUCAAUUCUAGAUUUUGAAAUCUAUUCAAUUUAAUUCAAUUUUUAUGAUUUAGUCUCUGACCCAAAAAUUAACCAUGCAAUAUUUCAAUCAACCAACUACCAUAAAACUUAGUUCCUACUCAUCAUCACAAGACAAAGACCAACCAAUUUCAUGCUAAAAUAAUUCGUCAAAUAACCACAAAAAGACAAGUUUUAGAAAUACUUAGUGACUCAUGAAGGAUCCUUUAAUGAAGAUGAUGAUAACAAGAAAGAUGAUAAAUCCACAACAAAAAAAGAUAUAUAUUUUUUGAAAACUAACAAGAAUAAAAUCUGCCGAAUGCUUUAAAUAAAAGUUCAAAAUGACAAGGUUGAAUAUUGCAUCUACUUGGGAAAAAAAACUAAAACUACAGUAAAAGUAAAUGACAAGGUUGAAUAUUGUGUCAUAAUUUAAUGCAUGAGUUAAAUAAUGUUCCUUGAUAAAAGAAAUCCGUGAAAAAAGAAAUUGAAAAAAAAAGUCAAAUCGGUUUACCUUUAUAUGCUUAAAUUGACUUCAUUUGAUUUUAAAUUUAUCUUCAUAUAUAAAAAUAGUUCAUUCCUAUUAGUCCGUUUGUACCCAAAUAAAUUCUUUAUAUCAUAAAAAAAAAAAAAAACUCAAUGAGUUAUAACCUUAGUUAAAGAUUUAAGAUAUAAUAUCAUUAGCUAGUUAAGUCUUAAGAUAUAAUAUCAUUAGCUGAUUAAGUUUUAACUCAAUUGAUAUAUGUAUUAUUAUUAAUGCAGGAGGAUCUGAAUACGAGUGUGUUAAAACGCAUUGUUCUUCUAUUUAUGGAUGGGGAGGGACUAUGGGUAAUUUUAGGCAUUAUCUUAUAUAUAUAUAUAUAUGAUAAAAAUUUAUAAUAAGAUAAUUCAAAAAAAUGAGACUUAAGAUCCUUAAAGAUUAUUUAUUUAUUAUUUCGAAAAAUUUCGUAUUUAAUUCACUACUAAUAAUUUUUAUCUGUUUAGCAAAAAAUAUUUUGUUUAUUAAAAUUUUCAAAAAUAUUUUUAUUACAUAUAUAUAUAUAAGAAUAUUUGGUACAUCAGUAAGGAUGAAACAUGCCAUUUUCCAAUUUUUAUAUACCCAAAAUUAACAUUAUUUUUCAUAGUUUUUAAAUUGAUCCCUUAAACAGAGCAAAAUUCCAUUAAAAAAAAUCCAAAAGAGAGCGGGUCAAAUAAGUAACAAAUUUUUUUAUUUCAAAAUGCUAACAAGUAAACAAAAAGAAUUGAUUAUUGAGUAGGAUUAAAAAGCAGCAUGACAAACAUUUUUUUAUUAAGUAAAAUUUUAUAUCUAAAUAAGUUAGUAUUUUUAAAUAAUAUAGAGUCAUAGCAGUCUUACUUUACACUGUUAUUUCCUAAGAAAAUAAUUUCGGUAAUAAAAAGAUUGGUCAUAAGACUGCUGGGGGAUUGAGGACUUAAAAUUCUGUUAAAAGUAUGUCAAAAGCAAGGAAAAGAUUUAAUAUCAGUCAUGCCCUCAAACAUCUUUCAUCCUUACAUUUCAUUCAAUGAAGAAUAAACCAGAAGUAUAAACUCAAUUUUAACCUCUUCUAUAUACAUUACAUAAGAUUACAUUAAAUCAAGUACAAUUUUUUUUAUUAACUACUGUAAUUAUUUCUUUUUAAACAUAUUUAAUAUCAAAGAAAUUUUUAAGAUUUAAUUGAUACAUUACAUAAGAUAUUAUACAUUUCUAAACAUUUAUCUACUAAUAUUUUACAGACAUCAACUUUGAAUGAAAAGAAUCAAACAAAAGACAAAUCAACAUUUCUUUUAAUCUAUUUCCAAUUCUCAUGCAAUGGGCCCUACAUUCACUUUGUUUUCCAUAUUUGUUUUCUUGAAUUUAAGUUCUUUUUUGACUUAAAAAUCACCAUUACUUCUUUUUACCUAUAAAUACAUGCAACAAUUGCACUCUUAUCCUCACACAAAUUCUGUGCCAAAUUUCAAGAGCAAACCAAAAAAAGGCUGCAAAUUCAGCUUUUCAAUAUUUGCUUUUGAUCAAUCGAAAUGGCUUCACAAGUUUCUCAAAUGCCUUCUUCAUCACCCCUUUCUUCCAAUAAGGAUGAAAUGCGUCCCAAAGCCGAUUUUCAGCCUAGCAUUUGGGGAGAUCUCUUCCUCAAUUGUCCCGACAAGGUAUACACACAUAUGAGUAUAUUGACAUAUAAUCUUAACAGAUUAUUUGUUUAAUUAUUUAGUGAUUCAAUGUGAAGAAAAUUUUCAUUAUUUUGAGCAGAAUAUUGAUGCUGAAACUGAAAAGCGCCACCAACAAUUGAAAGAAGAAGUGAGGAAGAUGAUUGUGGCACCAAUGGCUAAUUCAACCCAAAAGUUAGCCUUCAUUGAUUCAGUCCAAAGACUGGGUGUGAGUUACCAUUUCACCAAGGAGAUCGAAGAUGAACUAGAGAAUAUCUACCAUAACAACAAUGAUGCCGAGAACGACCUCUACACCACAUCCAUUCGAUUCCGACUACUCAGAGAGCAUGGAUACAAUGUUUCAUGCGGUAAUUAUUGGAACAACAACAUGGUAUUUUUAAGUUUCUUGAGUAUAUAAUAGCAUGGAAUAUUUGAUAACAAAUUUCAUUUUGGGUAAUUUCAUCUCAGACGUAUUCAACAAGUUUAAAGAUGAGCAAGGGAAUUUCAAGUCAUCCGUGACAAGCGAUGUUCGAGGAUUGUUGGAACUUUACCAAGCUUCUUAUUUGAGGGUUCAUGGGGAAGAUAUAUUGGAUGAAGCAAUUUCUUUCACCACCAACCAUUUAAGCCUUGCAGUAGCAUCUUUGGACCAUCCUUUGUCCGAAGAGGUUUCUCAUGCUUUGAAACAAUCAAUUCGAAGAGGCUUGCCCAGGGUUGAGGCAAGGCACUAUCUUUCAGUAUACCAAGAUAUUGAGUCCCAUAAUAAGGCUUUGUUGGAGUUUGCUAAGAUCGAUUUCAACAUGUUACAAUUUUUGCAUAGGAAAGAGCUAAGUGAGAUUUGUAGGUAUGUUUUUUAAUCUCUUUCACCCAUUUUUUUUCUUUUUCAUCUUUUUUUAAUUUUUUUGGUGGAAGGGCAGGUUGAAUUUAUAGAAGGCAUCAUUCUCAGAAUAGGAGACGAGUUGCAAAUGCUAAUAUUUGAAUCUUAUUAAAAACACAAGUUAAAAGUGAUGGCAUGAACCUUAGAUUCAUCUUUUUCACCUAUUUCAUUUUACUUAUAUAUUUUUUAUAAUUUGAGGUUCCCAAUUGACUUAAGAAUCUAACAAUUUACUCAUUGACAACAUGAAUGUGAAACUAAUUAAAACUUUGAAUAGUCAUUGCGUUAAUGGGGUUUUUUAUAAUAUGAUUUUUUAGGUGGUGGAAGGAUUUAGACUUUCAAAGAAAGUUGCCAUAUGCAAGAGAUAGAGUUGUUGAAGGUUAUUUUUGGAUCUCUGGAGUGUACUUUGAGCCCCAAUAUUCACUUGGUAGAAAGAUGUUGACAAAAGUGAUAGCAAUGGCAUCCAUUGUAGAUGAUACAUAUGACUCAUAUGCAACAUAUGAAGAGCUCAUUCCCUAUACAAAUGCAAUUGAGAGGUUCGUUUUCUUUAAUUUUGUUAGUAAUAGGUUAGGUUUCUUUAGUUCAAGUGAACAUUCAAGUAUAUAUUACAAGGAAUGAUCAAAUAUAACGUUGAGGGUGGAUUCAGGUGGGAUAUCAAAUGUAUAGAUGAACUUCCUGAAUACAUGAAACCAAGCUACAAGGCACUAUUAGAUGUUUAUGAAGAAAUGGUACAAUUGGUGGCUGAGCAUGGGAGACAAUAUCGUGUCGAGUAUGCGAAGAAUGCGGUAUGUACAUCUGCAAACAUUUAUUUUAUACAAAAGAGAUAAGAUCUUAGCUAAAUUCUAGAUUUGAAUAAACAACUAACUUGAAUAACAAUAAAUAAUCAUUUAAAUAUUAUUUUGAAUUUUAAUUGAUAUUAGUGAUAAUUGUUGGGAUUUUGUUGCCUCAGAUGAUACGACUUGCUCAAUCUUAUCUUGUGGAGGCCAAAUGGACUCUUCAAAACUAUAAACCAUCAUUCGAGGAGUUUAAGGCUAAUGCAUUGCCAACUUGUGGUUAUGCCAUGCUUGCUAUUACAUCUUUCGUCGGCAUGGGAGAUAUCGUAACACCAGAGACCUUUAAAUGGGCAGCUAGUGACCCUAAGAUCAUUCAAGCGUCCACAAUUAUUUGUAGGUUUAUGGAUGAUGUUGCUGAACACAAGGUAUAAUAAUAUAUUUAUAUAAUCACAAGAAACCUAACUCUUAACUCAAUAAUUGAAUGUCUUUGUAACAAAAUUAAAUGAUGGUUUUUAUCAUGAUCUGAAACAAUUAAAAUAUAAUGUUUACAUAUCAAAUGUUUAGUCUUAAAUCGAAAAAUAAGAAAAUAAAUCUAGUUUCAUUUUAAACAAAUAUAGUUUAAUAAUAUGAUAGAUUUUAGGGUAUAUAGUGAUAGAAUAAUUUUGAUUUUAUUAUGGUUGCAGUUCAAGCAUAGGAGAGAAGACGAUUGCUCAGCAAUCGAGUGUUACAUGGAAGAAUAUGGCGUAACAGCACAAGAGGCAUAUGAUGUAUUCAACAAGCAUGUUGAGAGUGCUUGGAAGGAUUUAAAUCAAGAGUUUUUGAAACCAACAGAAAUGCCAACAGAGGUUUUGAAUCGUAGCCUAAACCUUGCAAGGGUGAUGGAUGUGCUUUACAGGGAAGGCGAUGGCUAUACAUAUGUUGGAAAAGCGGCAAAGGGUGGAAUCACUUCAUUGCUCAUUGAACCAAUUGCACUUUGAAAUUAUGUUAAUUUUUCCUCUCCAAGCUUGUUUCUUAAGAAAUAGUUAUUAAGUUCUAAUUAAUAAUGUUUUAUAAUAUUCAUAUAUUAUAAAAGAAAGUCCAAAUCGAUUGUCUUUGUACUUAUUGCCUUAUAUUAAUUCAAUAAGGUUCUUUCCAAACUUUUCAUUGUGAAAAAUCUUCUAUUUUAUAUAUUAUUUGAUUUUAUAUAUAUACAUAUAUAUAUAUUGGUAUAAAAGAAUAUGUAAUAUAAAAAUAAGAUGAGUUAUACCGGAAUUAAGAUUAAAAAGAAUCUACUAAACAUUACCACCUAGCGUUUAACUAAUACUUAAUACCUUUUGUAUAUAUACAUUAAUACCUUUUGUAUAAUGUUCUCAAUAGUUUUUACAUGCAAAACAAAAUGAAAGAAGACAUUGACUCAUUGGUUAUCUAGCGUUUAACUAAUACUUAACAGUAUUACGUGAGCAAAUCAUAAUAUGGAAAAUAAUUUGUAUUAGUAGAUGAACCUAAACAUGUACUUAGUCUAAUAAAAAAUAAGCAAACCAAUUGAAAGACUAAUAUGCAGUUUGUCAAGUCUAAUUGGGGAGAUAUUUUGUCUUGGGCAUUGAAGCGAAUGACUCCUAGAAGAUAGAGAUAUAGAUGUGACUGAAUGGACUGACAGUAUAUCAUAAAAAACUCAAGUAGAAUAGAUCCUGAAUCCGUUUAUAGAUUUAUUCACUUGUGAUGAUCAUAGUGUGACAUACGUUAAUCAUGAGUGGGUGAUGGACUAUGUAUGUGUGACUCAUAUACUUUGAUGUAAGUAAAAUCUUGUGUUAAAAAAUAUAAAGAACCGAAAGUUAGUAUGUUAGGUAUGCGACUUUUGCAAUAAGUAGCAUCAUUCGCAAUAGUGGAAUUCAUAGCCCAGUGAAUGGGUAAAUGAUAUCCUCCCAUUGGCAUUACAUGAUAGAUGAAAAGUAAAUGUGGUCACGAGUCAUUUAUCUUUGUGAUAAUUGACUUAAUUACUAUUUGAUAGUAAUUGACGUUUUAUGAAGAAAUAUGUAAUAGUUACCAUGAGAUAAAAAUAGAAUCAUAUUAGGAGAACAUAUUUAUCCCAAAGAGAUUAAGAAUAUCCUAUGAGGGUAACAAACUUAUGACAAGGUCAUUGGACGAGCACUGAUCGAGUAGCUUUCUUAAUGGUAUAUAAUUGGGGAAAGCUCAGUCGUGAUACUAUAGUGGAAUGACUUCAUGACUAAUUGAGUUUAUAAUUAAUAGGCAAAAAGUUGGAACUUAAUUAUAAAUCAUUUAAGCUCUAAUUAAAUAUGUCCAAUCAGUCCCCGCUAGCUCAUUGAAAUCAGAAACGAAUUGCAUAUAAAAUCAAAUGAACAAAAAUGGAUAGAAAUGAUAAACAUAGAGAAUUGGGUUAAAUUUGGAAAUGAAUGUGGUUUCUUACUAAGUAUGGAAAUGAUCUGAGAAUUAAUUUAAGUUUUUCAAAUUAUUUUUUAAUCAAAUAAUUGAAGUUUGAAAAUGAUUUUAAAUUAAUUUGUUAUUGUGAAUCCAUUGAAUAUCGAAAUUAAAUAUAUUUUCUCAUAGAUUUUUUUAUGAUAAAGUUGUCAUAAAUUAUUUAAUUGGAAAAUUAAAUAAUUAAAAUUAAUUUAUAAAUAAUAUUUAUUCGAGAAAUAGAAAAACAUGUAUUGCGUUGGAUUAAAUUAUAAAGUGUUGGGUUAAAAGUUCAGGAAGCACAUAUGUAAACGGGUCAAUUUGCCCGGGUCCACACCAAAACCAAAAUACAAAACAAUAAUAAGCCAAACUAAUAAAUAAUUAAGUCUAAGUCCAAAGUCCAUAACCCAUUACAGACCCAAAACCAUUACAGUGCCCCAAAACCCAAAUACUUAGAAUCCAAAACGGACCCCAAAAUGCUACAAACCCAGCCCGAUGGCCCAACACAACAGAAACAGGCUCCAAGGGCUUGUUACUCGAACAAUCAGCCAAAUAGAAACCCUAGGGUUUCCACUCUUGUGCCGCAGCCAAGCCCAACCUUUAGUACCGUACAACCGCUACGGGCGACCUCCAUACGCCUUACUCCGAGUGCCACGACCAUGCCUCCGUAUGCUCCGUACACGCACCUCCACAGCCUGUACCUACACACCAAAUGCAAGAGGACAACAACAAAUAUAGAAAAAAUUAUAUUUUUUUAUUUUGAUUUUUCUUUUCGGCUAUAAAGCCAAGAGAUAUCAUUUUUGUGAGGGUUACGCACACUAAAUAUCAAAAAAAGCACUUCGAAAGUAAAUUUUUAAGGUGAUUUUUUUUGUUUCCUAAUGGCUUUAGUUUUCUGUGAAUUAUUUCGUUUUCUUUUUCAGUCAUUCGCUGUUGCUUUUUAAAAAUAAAAGAGCAAGAUAAUAGCGGGGUCUUACCUUGCAAAUCAGCCAUUGAUUCUUCUUUGCUUCGUCAGAAUUGAAGGCAAAGAGGAAUCUCGAGGCCGUAAAGCGUUUCAAAGGGGCGAAUAUGCCUGUUGUUGGCUGCGAAGGAGUCAGGGCCAAGUGAUUAGGUUUAGGUCGGCUGAAGGAAGGGGAAGCUAGGGUUAUUGUGGCUGGAUGGUCUGAUUUUAGUCCUUUUAAAGGACCAAGUACGGUGCCGUUUUGAGCCUGUAUCAAUGGCUCCAAAACGGUGUCGUAUAGUGACUACCCGACCCGAUCCGAUCCAUUACCCCUAGGAUCCACAUGUUCUUGCGGAGAGGGGAUAAUUUCGAAAUUAGUCCUUCCUUUUUGUACGGGCAUUCAAUUUUGCCUUAUUUAUUUCACUUCUUUUUUAAAUUUGGCUUUAUAAUUUACGCAUAUUUUCAAUUCGGUCCGCGCCUAAACACUGCGUUUUGGGAUCUGGAUUAUUUACUGCUUUAGUCCCUGAGCAUUGUAUUCGUGGAUGCUGGUCCUUUUUGAUUUCUAUGGCCUAUUUUAUUUAUAAAUUAUCCCUUUUAUUUUAAUUCAAUUUUAAUUUAGUUUUCUAUUUGUAUAACUUACCAUUUUAAAAUACAUUUAAUAUUCUUAUAUGUGUUUAUCCAUUCUAAUAAUCUUGUUUGUUUUUAUUUGUGCAAUUAGUUUGAAGUUUUUUUAUCAUAUUAUUUUAACAUUUUGCAUAAUAUUUCUUUAAACAUUCUAUAUAUAUUUGUACAUAUAUUAUUCUCAUUGAAUUUUCAAUUAGUAAUGCCUAUUAUUUUGAAGUUCUCAAUAUUUUUAUAUAUGUGUUAAGCCAUUUUAAUAACUUUAUAAAAUCAUCGUUUUAAAAUUCUUCUUACAUUAAAUUAUUUUAAUAUUUUUAUACAAUAUUUUGUUUGAAUGUUUUUGUAUAUAUUGGUACAUAUAUUCGAUCCUAGAUACAUAUUUAACUCCAUGCUAUUGUUACAUAUAAUUGCUUUUAAAAUUUAUAGGUAUAUAUAUAUAGAUAUAGAUAUAUGUGUUUUUUUAAUCUAUUAUGUAUAUAAUUUAUUUCCUAAGAUUUUAUUUUAGUAUAUAUAUAUUUUACUAUCUUUUCAAAUUUCAUGUAUUACUUAAAGUUCCCUUUAUUGUGUGUAUAUUGUCUAUUUUUAAUAAAUAUUUUUAUUUUGCAUAUUAUUCGGACCCAAAUGUAUUCGCUCUAUAACAUCUACUUUAAUAAUUAUAUACAUCCCUAGUUUCUUAUGCAAAUUAUUUCAAAUUCAUCAAUUCAUAUAUUAUAUAUAUUAUAUGUUCAUUAGUUCAUCAUUCUUUUAAAAAUGUCUUCUACCACAUUGACUUCUAAUUUCCAUCUUGUUCUGUACAUUUUAAGUUAACGUUUUUUAUGUUAUACUAUAUACAUUGUCGUUGCAUAUUAUUUACUUAUUGUUUUGUAUUGUUAAAUCAAUUAUUCUCCAUACAUUUUUGAAAAUUGGGUUAUAUUUUUUAGAUUAGUUAUAUUUAAUUGUUUAUUUUGCUAGUUGAUUAAAUAAGUUAUAUUAUCUUCAUUCAUCAAGCAUUGUACUUUGUGUGUUCAUAUUCUCCCAUGUUUAUUAUUCCUCUUUUUAUACAAAUAUUACCUUGUAAUUUUCAACUUAUUAAUCCAAAUUAAUGAUUCCAUUUUAUUUCAAGUCAAAUUAAUGCGUUUUGAGCUAGUUCUACAAUUGUUUAUUUGAAAACUUACUAAAACAAAGGUAAUGAUUGAUGUUUGGGAACUCGAGGAGUCGUGCCCUACCGUGCUGGGUUUCGAUUUUCCGUUUGUCCAAAAUAAUCAAUUAUUCAUUUGAAAUUGCAUCUGUAUUUUUUAAAUUCCAAAACAAAGGCAAUGUUCAAUGUUUGGAAAUUCGAAAAAUCGUGCCCUACCGUGCUGGGUUUCGGUUUUUUCGUUGGACCAAAUAAGCGAACAUCCUUUUGUAAUUUUCAAGUGUAUGGGCUUUUAGAAAUCAGAAUUGAUCGUAGUUUCGAGGGUUUAAAAGAUCAUGUCCUAACGUGCUGGAUGUGAUACUGUAUUCCUUUGAAACAAGCGAAUCUUGAUGUCCAAUUUGAGUCAUCCAAGUGUUUUAAAAGAAAUCGUAUUUCAAAAUAUUUUUUAGGCAUAAGAACAUUAUUUAAUCAAUUCGGAACCAAUUUUGGGGCGUAGCGAGGGUGUUAAUCCUUCCUCGUACGAAACCGGCUCCCGAACAUGUUUUCUCAAAUUUCGUAGGCCAAAAUUGAUUUAAAUGGAACAAAAUGUUUUAUUAGGUGAUCCAAUCACACCUAAACAAAAAGAUUGGUGAAGACUCCACAUUUGAUUUUAAAAGUCGAUCCCCAUUUUUUCCAAAAAAAAUGGUUUUGACAACAUAUAAUUAGUCUCAAUAUAGGAGAGGCCUAAAACCCCUCAUAAUACAUGAGGGGUAGCAACCCUAGUAUAUUUAACUAGGAUGUGUCAACCCUCUCUCCUAGUUGAACUAGGGGGCUAAUUUUUCUAUUAGAUAAGUAUUAUUUAUAUUCUACUAAUUCAACCAGCAUUCUUUUAUCUCUCCUAUAGACAGAUGGUACUAGUAGGGCUAAUAAUACAAAAGUUAUAUACACAACUUUGAGAUAUUGUUAUUUUUUCAAAAAAUAGUGACAAUUAUUUUCGAAGUAUAAAUUCUAUUUUCUAGGAAUAACAAUUCUCCCGGUUUCUAUUGACAGAAUUACUUUCCUACUGAAAGCAACAAUUCUAUGUUUGAUUUGAGAUUGUUCAAGCCCACACUCAAAGCGAUUCGAUGUACAAGAAUAAUGGAGAAAGUUGUUCGGUUGAAAGCCAGAAACAUCAAGAAUUAGUCUCACACAAUACAUAGGUACUUUUCAGGAAACGUUUAUUGUCGUAGAUAUCACAAACCGAUUUGAUUUUCGAAUUUUUAAUUUUAUGUCAUAACAAAAACUCGAUUUUAAACUGGAUUUUUUUCAACAAAUUGUUACUGAGUAGCACUUGACAGUACCAACUGCAAACUACCACAAGGUGGUUAAAUACUCUCACUAUCAAGCAAUUCAAGAUGUAGAUAUUGACCAUCAAAUUCGAUACUUUCAGAAUGCAAGAGUCAAAAAGCAGUGAUGAGCUUAGUUGUGUGACUUAUCUUGUCAGACAUUUGCACGGAUUACUUAAACCCAAAAUUAAUAAUAAAAAAAACAGUCUACCAAAAUAAGAUGUGUUAAAUCAAAGGAAAAUAAUCAAGCGAAUUUAUAAUUUUAACGAAGAUCUUGUUGGUUGAAAAUUUUAAGUAUUUUAUAUUUAUAUUUAAAUUUUAUUAUAUGUAAUUAUCAUAUUUAGCUCUUUAGUUUUAUAAUGUGUCGUUGUUAAGUGUAUAUUUUAGUCCAAUGAUUCGAUUUUAGUUUUAAUUAUUUUAAUUUAAAAUGUAUUUUAUAUUAAUUUAAUUCUAUUUUAUAAUUAUUCCAACAUGCAUUUAUAAUUAUACUAUAAUCACAAUAGAAUUUAUAAUUUGAUAUCUUUUUUUUUAUAUUAGUUUUAUAUCCUAACACAUCAUGAAUUUGUCACUUAAAUUUGUAUUAUACUUAUUUUGUUAUUGAGACUUUGAAGAUGAUUGUUUUACAGUUGUGAUUUCCUUUUUUAACAUGUCAGUCUUAGAGAAAAAUAUAUAUUGAAUAUUUAAAUUUAUAUAAUAUAUGAGAACGUGGAUUUGAGUGCGAUAAAGUACAUUAUUUUCUAAUUUAAGGGUUAGGAAAGAAUUAUAAGUAGUUUUAGGUAUUAGACAAAAAAAAUAGUUGAUUUGGAAUUAAUAAAAAUGUAAUACUUAAUUGUUCAUAAGUUUAUUAUCAAUUAAUAAAAAAUUAAUUCUAAUAAUUCUUUUUCAUUUUUUUAGUAAAUUCAUUUUAAAAAUCUAGAGACUUUAAAGUCAAUCAAUAGAGCACAUGCUUGUUGGAAAUACUUUAAUUCUGGGAUAUCAAUGCCAUUAGUAAAACUACGCAUGCACAAUAAAAUAUUAAAAAGAAAUAAGAUAUUAAUUUUAUUGAUAACAUUCAAUUAUAAAUAUAAGACGCCAUUGUUGAAAUUUGCUUACUCUGAAUAUUUUACUUCUCAAUUCUAAUGUAUCAGAAAAUUUUAAAUGAUGGGUUUUGAAUAUAAAUUUCUAGUAUUCACUGAAUCAUACAACUAUGGAGUUUACAAUUCAAAUUGAAAAUAUUGUGAAAAAUAACUUAUUCAAAUAGUCAAGCCUUCUUAUUGUUAAGUUUUUACUAUUAUAAUGGUACUACAUUUACAAAUAUAAAUACAUGUUUAAGUUUUAUCUUUUACAUAAAUGAUAUGAUUCCAUUUAUGGAAUGAAUGGUGAGGACUUAAAAUACCAGAGGUUUAAAUUAAUUCAUGAAAUUAUUUAUUAUUCUAAAAUACUCUUCAAACAAAAACAGAUCAAGAGUCAAUGAAAAGUCACUCACUUUCUUAGAGAAACUGUUGGUGGCUAGGGGAAUUUCAGCUACGAUAGGCAUCAUCAUCUGUCCAUUACAACAUGUGAAGACAACAAAGAUACUUAUAAAAUAGAUCUAUUAAUUGAAAAGAGAAAAAACACAUGGAAUAGAUAAGGAGAAAAAAGAAAGAGAGUUGAUGGGAGGGAGCAAUAGGUGGGCGGUAGCUAGCCCGGAGAUUGCCACUGUUUCUACACAAAACAAAGAAGAAAAAACAAACUGCUUGGAGAAAAAAAAGAGAAAAGACCUAAAGGACUAAAUUGCUCACUUUUAUACUUAAGGAGUUAAUUUGUUCUUUAGUUUAUAAUACAAGGAUCCACAUUAUAAAUUUUCCAUUACAAAUGGACGCCUUUGAUGAAAUUUGCUUUAUUUUAAUCUUCUGUGUUAAUUCCAAUGUAAAAAAUGGAAUAUUCUAAACGAUGGGUUUAAAAUAUAAAUUUUUAGUAUUGACUGAAUUGCAAGUACGGAGUUUACAAUUCAAAUUGGAAAAAUAUGUUAAAUUAAUUGUGAAAAAAAAAUCAUUACUCAAAGAGUCAAGCGGUCUUGUUUGAAUAGUUGAUUUUUAUUAAAUAUUUUUCGCUGUUUUCACAAAUUUGUGUGCAAUUUCGUAGUUAUAUAUAUUGAGAAUUUCGUCAUUAAAUUUGUCUACUUUGUCUUUUACGAUGAUUCAAAUGACUUUUCAAUGCUCUCAGUGUAUCAAAUAUAUCAUAUGAUUUUAUGUAUUAUUUCUCAAGUCAAUUAUUUUACUGCUAUUUUAUGGAUCGUUGAAAAUAUGAUCAACAUGCCUUUUUUUUUCUCCAUGCAUGAAUGAUGACAUUAUGUUAGUGAACAGUUUACUAUCUCUAUAUAAUGUAUAUUAAUAAAUGUUUUUGGUGAAUUAUAAGUGGAGGCAAAAUUUUAAUAGUAAUGCGAUUAGCACGAUUCAAACUUAAGUCAUAAUUGGAGCAAUGAAUAACAUGACCAUUAGGCCAACACAUAGGUUCAUAUAUUAAUUGUAGCGACCUAAAAAUUUGGAGUACGGGCGCUAAUUGAAGUGAUUAUUAAAAAUUUGAAAAUUGAAUCUCGACUUUAUUUGAAAAGGAGUCGCCACCGAUCUUUUUUUCAGGUGUGAUCGGACACCUACAAAAUUCUCUUUUCAGAAGAAAAAUUUAUUUUUAAACUUUUCUAAAAAAGAGGCAAUUUUAGGUCCACGUAAAAAUCCAGAGAAAAUUAGGGUUCGGGAGUCGGUUACGCGCGAGGAAGGUAUUAGCACCCUCGCGACGCCCAAAAUUGGUAUCUCGUAAAACGCGCGUUGUCUUAAUUUUCCAAAAUACAAGUUCAAUUUAAUAUUUAAUUGUGAUCCGAUUGAAACUUGAGAAAACCCUUUUUUUUGUUUUUAAACACGAGAAAUUUGAAACAAAAUAAUAAUUUUUUAAAACACGAAGAUUUUUGAAACACGAAAAUUUUUUGAAAACACGAAAACACAAAAUAUUUUUAACACGGGAAUUUUUGAAAACACGACAGUUUUUUUUUAAACACGAAAAUUUUUUGAAAACACAGAAAUUUUUUGAAAACAAGGAAAUUUUAGAUACAUGAGAAUUCUUUGACACGAAAAAUUUUGAAAACAUGAGAAUUCCGAAAACAUGAAUUUUUUAAAACAUGUAAUUUUUUAAAAAACACGAGAAUUUUUUGAAAACACGAAAACAUGAAAAUUUUGAAAACACAGGCAAUUUUUUAAAACACGAAAAUUUCUGAAAGACGGGAGUUUUUUUUGUUUUUUGUUUUAUUUUAAAACACGAAAAUUUUUCAUUUGAAAACGCGAAAAUUUUUUCAUUUUAAAACGCGAAUUUUUUUUUAAAACACGAAAACUUUUGAAAACGCGAAAAGUCGAAAAUUCCUAAAAUACGAGUAAUUUUUAAAGACACGAAAAUUUGAAACACGAAAUUUUUUUUAAAACGUACCGUAUUUAACACGAAUCGAUGAUGUUCACCCCAACAUGGCGAUGAAAUCGACGAAUUAAUGUCAAACCAAUUCAACUUAAUAUUUAAUCAGAAUUCCAUUAAAACACGAGGAUUUUUUUUAAAUACGAGGAUUUUUGAACAUUUUUUUUAAAAGGACGUCCCGAAUUUAACACGAGCUAUCGAUAUCCACCCAUCAUAGCGAUGAAAUCAAUAGCUUGAUGCUAAAUCGGUUCAUUGCCUUAUGCAUUAAAAUAAUUUUUAUUUUAAACAUGCAAAUAAAAUGACAUAAUAAUAUUUAUAAAACUAUUCUAAAAAUGUAAAUUUAAAUUAAAUGAAACACCAUUUAAAUAUAUGAGUUAAAUUAAAAUGGCUUUAAAAAAAAUUUACCAAAAGCCCAAAAUUGUGGGCUUGAAGAAUAGGCCCUCUUCUCUUUGCUUCUUUUUUUUUGUUGGGCUGCUACUUGCGGGCUGCAAGGAAAUGGGCUGAAUCUGUUGGACUAUUGCGCUGGGCCUGCUAAUGAACUGGAGCUGCACGGGUGGGCCACUGCUGGUGGGCUACUGCUGGUCCACCAAAACUAGCCUGCUGUUUUUUAUUUUUUAUUUUUUAUUUUUUAUUUCUUUUUUCUCUCUUUUUCUUCCUCUUUUUUCUUCUUCUCUUCUUCUUGUCUCAAAGUCUUGGCCCUUCUUUUUCACCGCCGUCGGUGUCUCCUGGGUACGGUGGUUGGACGGUCGCCGGCGUUCUCCUUUCCCUCCUCUCUUCUUCUUCUUUCUACUUUACUUUUUUUUGCUUGCUUACUGCUAUUUUCCUUUCUUUUGUUUAUGCUUGCACAUUUCUUAGCUUGACUUCGGCGAGGAGCAACGAUGAUCGUUGCACGGCGAUCGUGGUGGCGUGUGUACGGUGGCGGUGAGCGUGGGAUCGGCCCAUGGGAGUAUUUUUUUUUGCUGCUGGAAUUUUCUGCUAUUUUUUUUGCUUUUGGUUGCCGAAAAAUCCCCCCCCUUCUCUUCAAUUUUUCUUUUUUAAAAGCUCCAAAUUUUGUCCUCUUUCUCUUUGUUUUCAGGUGGCAGCGGAGAGGGGAGGCCUGAAAAUCUAGGAAGUGGGUGCCCCAAAUAACGUAACCUGUCUGAAGGACCAAAUCACAAAUGCAGCAAAACUUCUGGGGCUAAAUGUAAUUUUUAGAAAAUUUAGGAUUAAAAUGAAAUUUAAUGAAAUUUUAGGGGUCUAAGUGAAAUUUAAAGAAAGUUUAAGGGUCAAAAUGAAAUUUAGGAAAAGUUUGGGGGUCAAAAUGCAAUUUUUAUUUUUUAAUUUUUUUUUUUGAAAUUUUGAAAAUUAAACACAAAUUCUAGUCGGACAAAAAUUUAGUGCUUACAACUGCCCCUCUUUGCUCAUCAUUGUGAAACAAGGAUAGUGCAAAGACUUAAAAGCACUAAAUUUUGUUCAAUUGUCCAAUCUUUAUUCUUUACUCGGCAUGUGAUCCUGAGCUCAACUCAUUUCUCGCAAUAUGAAUUGACUCUUUAAAACUAGACAUUAAAAAUAGAAAUUGAAAAUAGCUCAGCACGUGAGCCAAGGCUCAACUCACUUCUCGCAAUAUGAGUUGAUUUUUGAAAACAGAAUUUGCAAAAGGCUCAACUCACCUCUCGCAAUAUGAGUUGAUUUUUUUGAAAAAUAGAAAAAGGCUCAACUUACCUCUCGCAAUAUGAGUUGGUUUUUGAAAAAUAGAAAUUAAAAGGCUCAACUCACCUCUCGCAAUAUGAGUUGAUUUUUGAAAAACAGAAAUUGAAAAGUAGAAAUUGAAAAUACCUCAGCGUGCCCUGAGGCUCAACUCACCUCUUGCAAUAUGAGUUGAUUUUUUUUUUGAAACACAGAAAUUAAAAAAAAAUAGAAAUUAAAAACAGAAUUUGAAAAGACCUCAGCGUGUGGCCUGAGACUCAACUCACCUCUUGCAAUAUGAGUUGAUUUGAAAAGUAGAAUUAGUAAGCAGAAAUUGAAAAUACCUCAGCGUGCCUUGAGGCUCAACUCACCUCUCGCAAUAUAAGUUGAUUUUUGAAAAGUAUAGAUUGAAAAAAACAUAAAUUGAAAAUACCUCAGCAUGUGAGCCGAGGCUCAACUCACCUCUUGCAAUAUGAGUUGAUUUUUGAAAAACAAAAAUUAAAAGGCUUAACUCACCUCUCGCAAUAUGAGUCAAUUUAAAACAUAAACUAAAAAUACAUCGGCGUGCCCCGAGGCUCAACUCAUUUCUUGCAAUAUGAGUUGAUUUUUUUUUUAAAUUUAAAAAUACCUCAACGUGUCUUGAGGCUCAACUCAUUUCUCGCAAUAUGAGUUGAUUUUGAAAAACAAAAAUUAAAAGGCUUAACUCACCUCUCGCAAUAUUAGUCAAUUUAAAACAUAAACUAAAAGUACCUCGGCGUGCCCCGAGGCUCAACUCACUUCUCGCAAUAUAAGUUGAUUUUUUAAAAAAUUUAAAAAUACCGCAACGUGUCUUGAGGCUCAACUCAUUUCUCGCAAUAUGAGUUGAUUUUGAAAAACAAAAAUUAAAAGGCUUAACUCACCUCUCGCAAUAUGAGUCAAUUUAAAACAUAAACUAAAAAUACCUCGGCGUGCCCCGAGGCUCAACUCACUUCUCGCAAUAUGAGUUGAUUUUUUUAAAAAAUUUAAAAAUACCUCAACGUGUCUUGAGGCUCAACUCAUUUCUCGCAAUAUGAGUUGAUUUUGAAAAACAAAAAUUAAAAGGCUUAACUCACCUCUCGCAAUAUGAGUCAAUUUAAAACAUAAACUAAAAAUACCUCGGCGUGCCCCGAGGCUCAACUCACUUCUCGCAAUAUGAGUUGAUUUUUUUAAAAAAUUUAAAAAUACCUCAACGUGUCUUGAGGCUCAACUCAUUUCUCGCAAUAUGAGUUGAUUUUGAAAAACAAAAAUUAAAAGGCUUAACUCACCUCUCGCAAUAUGAGUCAAUUUAAAACAUAAACUAAAAAUACCUCAGCGUGCCCCGAGGCUCAACUCACUUCUCGCAAUAUGAGUUGAUUUUUUUAAAAAAUUUAAAAAUACCUCAACGUGUCUUGAGGCUCAACUCAUUUCUCGCAAUAUGAGUUGAUUUUCCUUGGAAAGCAUGAAUAUUAAACAUCAAAAUACCAAAACCAGUCCUUUGGUAGAACUCGGGUAUCUUUUCCUUUGAUUCAGUGCGACUCUCAUUCAAGAUUUCUUGCUUUACUGGAUUACCUGUAUAUGCCAUGCAUGAUGUCAUCAUGAUAUGCACAUGUUUGUCUUAAAUGCCUUUAUGCCUACAUGAUUAUGCAGUGCUCCUUAAGCAUAUUGGUCGUAUGUCAUUUUCGCCAUGAUUGUUGAGGAUCUGCGUUCAUUGCUUUGAUUCUCGACCUUCUCUUCAGGCCUCAUACCUGUCUUCGAGCUUUACGAGUAAUCGACGUUUCUCAGAUAUCACCCUUUUUGCCCUUGGUUAAACUUUGUUCUUGCUUUGAAGAUCUUGCACUUAUCAAAUUCUUAUCCGGGUAAUGCUUGACAUUUCUUUUGUUUAGAGUAUGUCAUUUCACUAUUUAUCAUUAAAUAAACACAUAAUGAGAUGCAUGAAAAUGGUCAGGUAGGGACACAAAGGAUAUCUCAUAUUCCUUUAUUUCAAGUGUGGCAAACAAAGAAAGUUAACCAAUGAGAGUAAAAAUGUCAAAAAGAAAGAAAAUGUCGUAUUCAACGGAUACAAAUGCUCUAGAUAUUCAACACAUGAACUCUUCCACGUUCCUCAAUCAAUAAUCUUUUCGAGCAUGGCUUCUUGCGUAGAAAAUUUCGAGCUUUCAGAAGUGCUUCAAAUACUGUAGUCUCACUACUUGACCUAUCAUUCGACCGCCAGGUUUGUUUCAUUAGGACGCCCUCUCGGGUUUUCAUCCUAAUCUUUUUGUACUAAUCAAUACGCCCUUUUCGGGUUUUCGCCCUUUUUUUUUAGAUGCCCUUUUCGGGUUUUCAUCUUAAGCAUAAUAUUUCUUCACCGCAUCCGAAUUCACCGGAUUCGGUAACUCCUUCCCAUCCAUCUCGGUAAGGAUUAAAGCUCCUCCUGAGAAUGCCUUUUUUACAACGUAUGGUCCUUCCUAAUUUGGUGCCCAUUUUCCUCGCAGGUCUUUUUGUAUUGGGAGAAUCUUUCUCAGAACGACUUCUCCUUCAUGGAACUCUCUUGGUCGUACCUUCUUGUCAUGGGCUGUGAUCAUUCUCUUUUGGUACAUUUGCCCAUGACAAAUUGCCCUUAGACGUUUUUCUUCAAUGAGGUUCAACUGAUCAUAUCGAGCUCGAACCCAUUCUGCUUCUUCUAACUUUGAUUCCAUCAAUACUCGCAGAGAGGGGAUCUCAACCUCGAUAGGUAGCACAGCUUCCAUUCCAUAGACUAGAGCGAAAGGAGUUGCUCCCGUAGAUGUUCGCACAGAUGUGCGAUAUGCAAACAAAGCAAAUGGAAGUUUCUCGUGCCAAUCUUUAUAUGUCUCAGUCAUUUUCCCAAUGAUCCUCUUAAUGUUCUUGUUAGCUGCUUCAACAACCCCAUUCAUCUUUGGGCGAUAGGGCGAGGAAUUAUGAUGCUUUAUUUAGAACUGCUCGCACACUUCUUUCAUCAUCUUAUUGUUCAGAUUCGUGGCAUUAUCUGAGAUGAUUCUUUCAGGCAAACCAUAUCGGCAAAUGAUUUCCUUUUUCAAAAACUUGCACACUGCAGUCUUCGUCACAUUGGCAAACGAAGCGGCUUCAAUCCAUUUUGUGAAGUAAUCGAUAACCACAAAAAUGAAUCGAUGUCCAUUUGAAGCUUUUGGAGAAAUUGGCCCUAUGACAUCCAUGCCCCACAUAGAAAAAGGCCACGGAGAAGUCAUGACAUGAAGGGGUGAAGGGGCUACAUGAAUUUUAUCGCCGUAGAUUUGACAUUUGUGGCAUUUUCUGGCAAAAUUGAUGCAGUCACUUUCCAUUGUCAGCCAAUAAUAACCGAGUCUCAUGAUCUUUCUGGCCAUAUUGAAACCAUUGGCAUGCGUUCCGCAAAUUCCCUCAUGGACCUCUUCAAGUAUUUUUCUGGUUUCAACAUCAUCCACACAUCUCAAAAGCAUCUGAUCCUUUCCUCUUUUAUACAGGAUAUCCCCAUCAAGAACAAAUCCCACUGCCAUUCUUCUAAUUGUUCUUUUAUCGUUCUCAUUCACUUGUUCGGGAUACCUUUGAUUCUUGAUAUAUUCUAAGAUAUCAUGGAACCAAGGCCGUCUGUCUACUUUUUUCUCAAUGCUACAACAGUGUGCAGGGACCUCGUAUAUGCUCAUUUUGAGGGGCAUUAUUUCUGCUUCUCUACUUGCUUUGAACAUUGAAGCCAAAGUGGCUAGGGCAUCAGCCAGUUGGUUCUCUUCUCGUGGGAAGUAAUGAAAAGUUAUUUCUUUGAAUUCCUUGAUCAAUCCAGCCACUAAAUCGCUGUACUUAAUCAAUUUUGAGUCCCUCACUUCCCAUUCUCCACGGAUUUGGUAAAUCACUAGGGCUGAGUCCCCGUACACCUCCAAGAUCUUGAUGUUUCGUUCGAUAGCUGCACGAAGCCCCAUGAUACAGGCCUCAUAUUCUGCGAUAUUAUUGGUACAGAAGAAGUUCAGUCUUGCAGUGAACGGAUAAUGAUUCCCGUCUGGUGAUACCAGGAUUGCUCCAAUUCCAUGCCCUAAAGCAUUUGACGCACCAUCAAAGCACAUCUUCCAUGACUUCUCUUUUGAUGACUCGGAUUCUAUUUCUGUGAUGCACAUUAAGUCUUCGUCUGGGAAAUCGAAUCUUAAAGGCUCAUAUUCCUCUGUCGUUCGAGUUGCUAAGAAGUCAUCUAUUGCGCUCCCUUUUAUUGACUUCUGACUUACAUAGGCAAUGUCAUAUUCCGAAAGGAGGAGCUGCCAUCGUGCCAUUCUUCCUGAUAGUGCCGGCGAUUCCAUCAUGUAUUUUAUUGGGUCCAGCUUUGAAAUUAGCCAUGUCGUGUGAUACAACAUAUAUUGUCUGAGUCUCCGAACUACCCAAACCAGAGCGCAACAAUAUUUCUCAACGGACGAAUAUUUUGCCUCAUAUUCAGUGAACUUUUUGCUGAGGUAGUAGAUCGCCUUUUCUUUCUUUCCUGACUCGUCAUGUUGUCCCAGUACGCAACCCAUUCAACUUUCGAACACUGUCAGAUACAAAAUUAAUGGUCUUCCUGGAGUUGGCGGUACUAGCACUGGAGGACUGGACAAAUAUUGUUUUAUCUUAUCAAAGGUCACUUGGCAUUCCUCGUUCCAUUCUCCCGGGUUAUGUUUUCGAAGAAGCCGAAAGAUUGGGUCGCAUUGGUUGGUAAGUUGAGCGAUAAAUCGGGCGAUGUAAUUUAAUCUCCCUAAAAAUCCUCUAACUUCCUUUUGCGUGCGCGGAGGUGGUAAUUCUUGGAUGGCUUUUAUUUUAUCUGGAUCAACUUCGAUACCUCUUUCACUGACAAUGAAGCCUAGUAACUUUCCCGAGGUAGCCCCGAAUGUACAUUUGGCUGGAUUAAGCUUUAGCUGAAACUUUCUCAGCCUUUCGAACAACUUCUUGAGGUUCAUUACAUGCUCUUCUUCUCCUCGAGAUUUAGCAAUCAUAUCAUCGAUGUAGACCUCUAUUUCUUUAUGCAUCAUGUCAUGGAAUAACGUCACCAUAGCCCUCUGAUAUGUUGCCCCAGCAUUCUUUAACCCGAAUGGCAUCACCUUGUAGCAGAACGUUCCCCAUAUUGUUAUGAAGGUAGUUUUCUCCAUAUCCUCAGAAGCCAUCUUGAUCUGAUUAUACCCCGAGAAUCCAUCCAUGAAAGAAAACAAUGAAUGUUUUGCUGUGUUGUCCACCAACGUGUCAAUAUGUGGCAAGGGAAAAUUAUCUUUUGGGCUUGCUCGAUUCAGGUCACGAUAAUCCACGCACAUUCGUACUUUUCCAUCUUUCUUUGGUACCGGGACUAUGUUAGCCACCCAUUCUGGAUAUUUGGAGGCUUGUAGGAAGCCAGCGUCAAAUUGCUUCUUGACUUCCUCUUUUAUUUUCAACAGCAUUUCGGGCCUCAUCCGUCUUAAUUUUUGCUGGAUGGGCUUGCAUUCUGGCUUUAAUGGGAGCUUAUGGACCACUAAAUCUUCUUCUAGCCCUGGCAUGUCCUGGUAUGACCACGCGAAAACAUCUUUGUAUUCGCGGAGUAAAGUGAUCAAACUACGCCUGGUACUUUCUGAAAUAGAAGUCCCAAUCUUCACUUCUUGUUUCCUCUCUUCAGUGCUCAAAUUUAUUGUUUCUACAGAUUCUUCAUGAGGCAGAACCUGUUUAUCCUCUUGUUCCACCAUUCUUAACAAUUCAGGAGACGAGACAUAAUCUUCAGCAUUUUCUUCGGCUUCAAAUUCUCCUAAGCAAACAGCCUUCUCAACAUCAAUUUCAAGAUUCGUAACGGGCUUAUUCAUGUCGUCAAUAUCUGAGCAGCUAAAAGUUGAAUGGAAAAGGAAGCUAUCGGAGGACAUCCAAGUAUUGGAAACAACAAACAAAAUGUUAUGUCAUGGCAAUGAGGCAAAUGUAAGGAUAGGCUAUGAAAUGAGAAAAUGAUUAUGAAAUUAGUGAUAAUGCAAAAAAUCAUGACAAAAUACAUCUUCAUUGAAAUUCAUUUAAAUGAUAAAGAGCGAAUGCAAACUCUUACAAAAGAACUCUAUUAUAUCUAAGGACACAAUAGAAGGUUGAUGUUUGGCAUUACUCUGAAGGCUUAUAAACUACAAGAAGCUCCUCAGCAAUCCAAUUGUUCAACAUGAAACCAGGAGGGCAAGGGCGUAUCCUCGAGACAUCUUUACUUGCACCAGCUUCUUUGUCAAUGACAUUUAUACUAGCAUUCUGAAAAUCCUUUUCAAUUAAUCCCAGCAUGUUUCGUGGAUCCUCUUGUCCAGGGUACAUCAUUCCCGCAGAUGUAAAUGUUUUUGACAAAGGAGGGUACUCUAUUGGUUCCCAUUCUGGUUCUCGGCCCAAAGUUCUUGCAAUUCUUCUCUCUUGAUCCUUCUUCCACUGUCUUCUUCUUUGGCGCAUGUCAGGCUGGAACCCCAAACUGUAUCGGGCCUUGUGGUGCACUGGCUUUAAAGCCCUCACUAUUCCUUGCAGAUGUCUCCCUAAACCUCUUCUCGCACGAGCUCCCCUUCCUACAGUCAACUUGACACCCAUUCUGGUAUUUCUCGACAGUUUUGGCAUCGAAAUUCUAUUUCCUUCAACGACGAAAAUGGCAUUGAUGAAUUCAAGGGAUCGAAAGGAACAUUCCAUUGCAUCCUUGCUUACUUCCAGGUAUGGCGCAUCAGCAGAGAUAGAUGCGAUGAUGUCUUCUUCGCCCUCGACUGUGACCAAACAGCCAUCCAUGAUGAAUUUCACUUUUUGAUGGAGGGAUGAUGGGACUGCUCCAGCAGAAUGAAUCCAAGGUCUUCCCAAAAGGCAGUUAUAAGAGGGUGUAAUGUCCAUGACUUGGAAUUCGACCUCAUAGAUGUAGGGGCCCACUUCUAAAGGGAUUUCGAUCUUUUCCAUGACUUCACGCCUCGUCCCGUCGAAUACACUUACCGUGGAAUGACAGGGCUUUAAGUAGGACAAAUCUAUCGGUAUUCUGGAAAGUGUAGCCAAUGGCAUAACAUUUAAUGCUGACCCAUUAUCAAUGAGUACGUUCGGUAUUAUGUAGCCCUUGCAGUGGGUCGUGAUAUGCAGCGCUUUCACCGAACCUCUACCAUUUAGCGGUAUCUCAUCAUCACUAAAAGAGAUGAAGUUGUCCGCAUUCAGAUUGUUUACCCACCUAUCAAGCUUUUCGACAGAUAUGUUGUUGGCCACGUAAGCUUGAUUUAACACCUUCAAUAAAGCGUUCCGGUGUGGCUCUGAAUUUAACAGUAGAGAUAGAAUUGAGAUUCGUGCUGGCUGCUUGCUCAGUUGUUCCACCACACUAUAUUCGCUGUGCUUAAUAAAUUUCAAGAAUUCUUGAGCUUCUUCCUCAUUCACAGGCUUUUUAGUUUCUUGCACGGGUGGAAUUUCUUGCUCGACUUCGACCUCGUGCAUCACUGCUUUCCCUUUUUGCUUCGAGUCGCUACUUUUCUUUACCGGUUCAACUUUUUAGAAUAGCAUCGUCCACUUCGAGUAAAAUGACCUACCUCCCCAACAUCUUCAAUUAUGGCUUUGGACUUUUCAACUUCCGGUGUAACGAUAUUAACAUCAUAUCUCCACGGUACUGUUUUGUUGUCCUUAUACGGGAAAGGAGAUGGUACUUCAAUUACCAUCUGUGGUUUCAAUGGCUCUCUCAUCGCGUCGUAAUAAAUUACCAACGGUCGAUCAGCACUAUAAGGGGGCCCUGAUGAUUGGCUAUCAGAGACGCAUACUUCUCUUUCGUUGGCAUCUUCAUUCUUGUUAAGGACCUUGAUCUCCUUAUUAUUCAUCUGGUCUUGAAGUAACCUUUUAAAGUCCUCGCACGACUGAAUGUCGUGCCCAAAAAUCCUAUGAAAAUUGCAAAAACUUUGACCUUCUUCUCCAAAAACUCUAUCAGAGUGACAGAGCAAUCCUUUCUUAACUAAUACCUCCCAGAUUUUCUGCAGAGGCGUCCUUAUUUCUGCCACACAUCUUCUGACCUUCCAUUCAUCCACUUUCCCCACUAUGCUCACAUCCCUUUCGAUAUGGUUAGGGAAUGGGUUCCCAGUUGCAUUACUGGCACUAUCGAAUCAUAGGAUACCUGCAUCAAUGAGUCCUUGAACUCUUCUCUUAAAGGCUAGGCAGUUUUUAGUGGAAUGCCCCUGGUUUCCCGUAUGGUAUGCACAACUAGCGAAUUGUAUGUUUUAACCUCAGCGAACGAGUAUGGAAUAUGCAAUGAAUGAAUGAAUGCAUGAAUGUCAAAUGACUGUUAGUCAUGAAAGAAAUGCAAGAAAUUGGUGUUAAUUUCAAGAUAGCCCCUAUUUAGGCAUUUCCUUAAUCAAAAGAGUCUAUUACACAACGUUUCGGUCACUCGUGUAAUUGACUCCUCUAUCAAAAACCCCUUUUUGGCAACCAAUCUCUAAUCAACCCUUUCCUAACAAGAUGUAUAUGAUGCAUGAUGAAAAAUAGAAAUACAGACAAACAACAUUGGUUAGCAAAACACAUAUGAUCAGAGAAAAAUUGUGGAAAAUCUAACAAAUUAAGCUACUUGGUCCAAUGGACUCGAUUCCCUUGCAUAGAAAGCGAAAGUGCAAAAGGUAAGAGGCGUUCCUCCCGUGCACUUAUUUUGGUGACUACUAAACGGACUGAGGUUCAGCAUGGCUCUAGUUAGGUGGCUCGUAUGGUUCAUUAUAUGCGGUUUUGGUUCUAGAUAGGUACUCGAAUUGCCCGUACUAUCAUCUACUAAGAUUAACACGGAGCCUCGGUCAUAGCCUAUCACAGGCUCACGAGUUCAAUUCGAGGGGUUACAUUUACUUAUGCCUAUGCGGAGGGACAAGUUAACUCACGAAAGCAUAAAUCAUAUGUAACCCGAAAGUAUUCACUAGCCUGUGCGGAGGGACGAGUUAACUCACAAAGGCGUAGCGUUUACUUUCACUUAAACGGACGGAGCCCGGGUAGAGAGCUCAUGUUAUGCGAAAAUGCAAGUGCACGGUGUGUGGGGAACAACUCAUAAACCUUUACGUUUCACUUAAAGAAACUAAACCAAAAUUAAAACCAUAAAAAUUAAAAACUGAAAAACAACCAAAUAAGCAAGUUAGAAGAAAUAUUUACAGCACGAUACAAAUGCAUGAAUUUUGAAAACGAGAUUUUCGGAUCACGACCAAAUAUUUACUUUGAACAAGGAAAUUUAAAAAUUUUGACAAAACGUGUUUAAUUCCAGACACGACUCUCAAAAAGGCUUUCCCCAGUGGAGUCGCCAGCUAUAGCGACCUAAAAAUUUGGAGUACGGGCGCUAAUUGAAGUGAUUAUUAAAAAUUUGAAAAUUGAAUCUCGACUUUAUUUGAAAAGGAGUCACCACCGAUCUUUUUUCCAGGUGUGAUCGGACACCUACAAAAUUCUCUUUUCAGAAGAAAAAUUUAUUUUUAAACUUUUCUAAAAAAGAGGCAAUUUUAGGUCCACGUAAAAAUCCAGAGAAAAUUAGGGUUCGGGAGUCGGUUACGCGCGAGGAAGGUAUUAGCACCCUCGCGACGCCCAAAAUUGGUAUCUCGUAAAACGCGCGUUGUCUUAAUUUUCCAAAAUACAAGUUCAAUUUAAUAUUUAAUUGUGAUCCGAUUGAAACUUGAGAAAACCCUUUUUUGUUUUUAAACACGAGAACUUUGAAACAAAAUAAUAAUUUUUGAAAACACGAAGAUUUUUGAAACACGAAAAUUUUUUGAAAACACGAAAACACAAAAUAUUUUUAACACGGGAAUUUUUGAAAACACGACAGUUUUUUUUUAAACACGAAAUUUUUUUGAAAACACAGAAAUUUUUUGAAAACAAGGAAAUUUUAGAUACAUGAGAAUUCUUUGACACGAAAAAUUUUGAAAACAUGAGAAUUCCGAAAACAUGAAUUUUUUAAAACAUGAAAAUUUUUAAAAAACACGAGAAUUUUUUGAAAACACGAAAACAUGAAAAUUUUGAAAACACAGGCAAUUUUUGAAAACACGAAAAUUUCUGAAAGACGGGAGUUUUUUUUGUUUUUUGUUUUAUUUUAAAACACGAAAAUUUUUCAUUUGAAAACACGAAAAUUUUUUCAUUUUAAAACGCGAAUUUUUUUUAAAACACGAAAACUUUUGAAAACACGAAAAGUCGAAAAUUCCUAAAAUACGAGUAAUUUUUAAAGACACGAAAAUUUGAAACACGAAAUUUUUUUUUAAAACGUACCGUAUUUAACACGAAUCGAUGAUGUUCACCCCAACAUGGCGAUGAAAUCGACGAAUUAGUGUCAAACCAAUUCAACUUAAUAUUUAAUCGGAAUUCCAUUAAAACACGAGGAUUUUUUUUUAAAUACGAGGAUUUUUGAACUUUUUUUUAAAAGGACGUCUCGAAUUUAACACGAGCUAUCGAUAUCCACCCAUCAUAGCGAUGAAAUCAAUAGCUUGAUGCUAAAUCGGUUCAUUGCCUUAUGCAUUAAAAUAAUUUUUAUUUUAAACAUGCAAAUAAAAUGACAUAAUAAUAUUUAUAAAACUAUUCUAAAAAUGUAAAUUUAAAUUAAAUGAAACACCAUUUAAAUAUAUGAGUUAAAUUAAAAUGGCUUUAAAAAAAAUUACCAAAAGCCCAAAAUUGUGGGCUUGAAGAAUAGGCCCUCUUCUCUUUGCUUCUUUUUUUUUUUGUUGGGCUGCUACUUGCGGGCUGCAAGGAAAUGGGCUGAAUCUGUUGGACUAUUGCGCUGGGCCUGCUGAUGAACUGGAGCUGCACGGGUGGGCCACUGCUGGUGGGCUGCUGCUAGUCCACCAAAACUAGCCUACUGUUUUUUAUUUUUUAUUUUUUUUAUUUUUUCUCUCUUUUUCUUCCUCUUUUUUCUUUUUUCUUAUUCUCUUCUUCUUGUCUCAAAGCCUUGGCCCUUCUUUUUCACCGCCGUCGGUGUCUCCUGGGUGCGGUGGUUGGACGGUCGCCGGCGUUCUCCUUUCCCUCCUCUCUUCUUCUUCUUUCUUCACUUCUUUCUACUUUACUUUUUUUUUUUGCUUGCUUGCUGCUAUUUUCCUUUCUUUUGUUUAUGCUUGCACAUUUCUUAGCUUGACUUCGGCGAGGAGCAACGAUGAUCGUUGCACGGCGAUCGUGUUGCCGUGUGUACGGCGGCGGUGAGCGUGGGAUCGGCCCAUGGGAGUAUUUUUUUUGCUGCUGGAAUUUUCUGCUAUUUUUUUUGCUUUUGGUUGCCGAAAAAUCCCCCCCUUCUCUUCAAUUUUUCUUUUUUAAAAGCUCCAAAAUUUGUCCUCUUUCUCUUUGUUUUCAGGUGGCAGCGGAGAGGGGAGGCCUGAAAAUCUGGGAAGUGGGUGCCCCAAAUAACGUAACCUGUCUGAAGGACCAAAUCACAAAUGCAGCAAAACUUCUGGGGCUAAAUGUAAUUUUUAGAAAAUUUAGGAUUAAAAUGAAAUUUAAUGAAAGUUUAGGGGUCUAAGUGAAAUUUAAAGAAAGUUUAAGGGUCAAAAUGAAAUUUAGGAAAAGUUUGGGGGUCAAAAUGAAAUUUUUAUUUUUAAAAUUUUUUUUUUGAAAUUUUGAAAAUUAAACACAAAUUCUAGUCGGACAAAAAUUUAGUGCUUACAUUAAUAAUUUUUAAAUACCUAAUUUUCCUUAAUAUAGGUAAACCUCGCAAUUUUGAUUUCUAACUCAAAAUUUAACUUGAUAAAUUUAAAAUAAAAUUUAUUUUAUUUUUAUUUAAUCAUAAAAAUUUAAAAUUUUAAACUUAAAUUGAUUCAAAUUCAAAAUAUAGGGGCUGGCUCUGCACCCUAAAAUGAUAAGUUUAUGUUUUAGUGUUUUAAAUUUUAUAAAUUAUAAAAAUUAGUACAUGGUAAAAAUCUCACUUUGGCUUUCAAUAAUAAUAAAAUUUUGAUUUAAUCCUUAAUUAAUUAUAAAGAUGUAAACUAUUAAAAUGGUGAAAUUACAUUUUAUCUCUCGUAAAAACUUUACAACUUAAAUAAGAGUAAAUAGAUCCAAAAACCUCAAGCAACCAAAAAUUAUUUGAAUCCAAAGCUCCUUUAAAUAUAAAAACUAUGUAAACAAAUUUGUUUUAUGUUUAUAUAUAUUUUUUAACAAUUUUAUUAUAGAUUCUGAUUGUAUAUGCUCUUUUUGACAUAAUGCUUAAAAUUACUCAUAACCCCUCCCCAACCCAUAAAUAGAAGGAUAAUGCGCUUAAGAGCACUCGAAACUAAAUCCUCUUACAUUGACAAUAAUACGUAUACCAAUCAAGAUUACAUUUUUUAUUAAGCUAAAAAUGAUUAAUUAAUUGUAUAUUUUUUUUUAAUGUGAUCCAACACCAUAUGAAUGAAACAAAUGAAUGCAUCAGCUCAAAAUGACUGAUGAAAGACGUAAGAACUAUUAAAAUCUAUAUAAUAGAACAAUUAAAAAAAAAGAUUGCAGAUAGCUUGCACAUCAAGCCUACUAUGUUUGAUUUUUAAUUUAAAUUUCUUAUCAUUCAUUUUCGACAUUUGAUUAUGAUAUUUAAUUUCGUUGUCUUGUAGUGUUUUUUUCCCAAGGAAUAUUCAAUUAAUGUUUGCCAAUUUAUAUCUCAAGAUAACGACUAUGAUUUGAAAUAAAAUUAUAUAGAUGCAUGCAAAUCUCCCCUUGUUUUCUAUUAAUCAUUUAGUUUUGGCAUAAUAAUUUUUUGGCCCUCCAACUUCACAAAACAAGUCAAUUUAGCCCUCCAUUAAAAUUUUCGCUUCUUUUAACAUUUGAAUUUGUAUUUUUUGUCAAGCCACUCCAAAGUAGAUGGAGAAAUUAAUAUUUAUUAACUUUCCUGACGUGUUAUACAUGUGGAUUGCUGAUUAGAUGACAUGUUAGCAUUUAAUUCAUCUCUAAACUAUUAAAAAUAUAUUUUUUUUAUUUUUUAAUAAUUUUGAAUAUUUUAAUAAUUUUUCAUUUUUAAAAAUAAUUUUAUAAUAUUUUAAAUUUUUUAAAUUUUAAAAAAUUAAUUAAAUGUUGGCAUGUCAUCCCCAUAACAGUCCACAUUUAUACAACAUCAACAAAGUUAAAAUGUUGAACUUUUCCAUUCAUUUUGAGGUGAUUUGACAAAAAUGUAAAUUUAAGGACUUAAAAGAUAAAAAAAUUAAAUGAAAACUAAAAUGACUUUUUUUAUAAAAUUAAAAGGAUAAAAAAAAUUAAUGCCUUUUAACUUUUUUUUAAUUUAUAAUUACUAGAAUGAGCAAAUGAGCACCCCCUUUCACUUUCACUGGGGCUGCUAUAAAUUUUAUUAUAAUUUAGUCAAUUGAUAGUGAAAAACAAUUUUAAGAUGAAAUAAUUAUUUUUGUUAAAAAUUUUAUUUUUAAAAUUUAAUAAUAUGACUGUAGCGACCUAAAAAUUUGGAGUACGGGCGCUAAUUGAAGUGAUUAUUAAAAAUUUGAAAAUUGAAUCUCGACUUUAUUUGAAAAGGAGUCGCCACCGAUCUUUUUUCCAGGUGUGAUCGGACACCUACAAAAUUCUCUUUUCAGAAGAAAAAUUUAUUUUUAAACUUUUCUAAAAAAGAGGCAAUUUUAGGUCCACGUAAAAAUCCAGAGAAAAUUAGGGUUCGGGAGUCGGUUACGCGCGAGGAAGGUAUUAGCACCCUCGCGACGCCCAAAAUUGGUAUCUCGUAAAACGCGCGUUGUCUUAAUUUUCAAAAAUACAAGUUCAAUUUAAUAUUUAAUUGUGAUCCGAUUGAAACUUGAGAAAACCCUUUUUUUGUUUUUAAACACGAGAACUUUGAAACAAAAUAAUAAUUUUUGAAAACACGAAGAUUUUUGAAACACGAAAUUUUUUUUGAAAACACGAAAACACAAAAUUUUUUUAACACGGGAAUUUUUGAAAACACGACAGUUUUUGAAACAUGAGAAUUUUUUUAAAACACAAAAUUUUAUUUUGAAAACACAAAAAUUUUGAUAAAUUAUGAAACACGAGGAUUUUUUUUUGAAACGCGGAAGUUUAUGAAACAAUGUCAAUUUUUUGAAAACACGAAAAUUUUUGAAAGACGAGAAUUUUUUUGAAAACACGGAGAUUUAUAAAACACGAAAGUUUUUUUUUGAAAACAAGAAAAUUUUCAAAAUACGAGAAUUUUUGAAAACAGGGGAAAUUUUUGAAAACAUGAAAAAUUUUAAAACACUAGAAUUUUGAAAACACGAAGAUUUUUUAAACAUGAGAAUUUUUGAAAACACGAGGAUUUUUUGAAAUACAAACAUUUUAGAAACAUGAAAAUUUUUAAAACAUGACAAUUUUUUGAAACACGAGAAAUUUAUUUUUUAAAACAUAAAAAAUUUUAAAACACGAGAAUUUGUGAAACUCGAGAAUUGUUGAAAAAAAAUAAAAAAUUUUGAAAAUACGAAAUUUUUUUAAACACGAAAAUUUUAGAAAUAUGGACAUUUUUAGAAAACACGAAAAAUUUUGAAAAAUAAAAUUUUUUGAAAACACGAGAAUUUUUGAAAACACGAAAAAUUUUCUGAUUUUUCAUUAAGCACGUAUCGCAUUUAACACUAAUCGGUGAUAUUCACUCAAUAUAGCAAUGAAAUCAACGAAUUAGUGUCAAAUCGAUUCGUUACCUUAUUUUUGAAAGCACGAGAAAUUUUUUUUGAAGACACUAAAAUUUCGAAACGCGAGGAUCUUUUUUCUGAAAAUACGAAUUUUUUUUGAAUAUUUUCGAUUUUUAAAAGGGCGUAUCGAUUUUAACGCGAACCGGUGAUAUUCACCCAACAUAGCGAUGAAAUCAACGAGUUCAUGUUAAAUCGAUUCGUUGCCUUAUUUAUUAAAAGUAUUUAAAAUAAAAUAAAAAUAAAAAUUAAAUUAAAUUAAAUUAAAUUAAAUUAAAUUAAAUUAAAAAUAUAAAUGCCAAAAUAUAAAAAAUGCAUAAAAUACUAAUAAUAUUAAAACGAAAAAAAAUACGAGCAUUAAAUUAAAAUUAAAAAACGAAAUUACCGAAAAAUCUCGGGACACGAGCUUCGCCGAACGGGUAACACAAAAUUGAACCCCUUUUUUCUUGUUUUUUCUUUUUUCUUUUUUUCUCCUUUUUCUUCCUUUUUUUUUUUCUGCUGGGCUGUCUUGUUGGGCUGGCCUGCGCGGGCCUGCUGGCUGGUGGCCUGUUGGCUGCUUGUUGGGCUGCUGGAAUUGGGCCUAUUGUUGGCCUGCCCUCUUUUUUUUUUUUGCUGCUUCUUUCCCCUUUUUUUGCUUUGUUUUUUCUUUUUUUUUGUUGGGCUACUUUGGGCUUGGCUAAUGGGCUUGCUGGGUCAGGUUGGGUUGCCAGAUCGGGUCGGGUUAUACCCGGUUCGGGUCGAUUUGACCCGACUGUUAAAAUUUUUUUCUUUUUUUCUUCUUUCUUCUUCUCUCUUUCUUUCUUCUUCUUCUUCUUCCUUCUUCUUCUUCUUCAAAACCGAGCCACCCACACCGUCGCUUCUUUCACGCCGCCGUUCGAGCUGCCACCGUCGACUCCACCGGACCUUUCUCUUUCCUUUCUUUUCUCUCCCCUUUUUUCUUAUUUUUGAAGCUUUUUUUCUCUUUGAAACUUUUUUUUUUUGGAGAUUCAUGGGGUGGGGGUCCUUCUUUUUUUUUGGGUUAAAAGCCCCUUUUAUAGAUGAUUUUUGCUUCAUUUUGCAGGUAGUGGGUGAAGAAGGAGCAGCCACCCAUGUUUGUGGCCUGAAAAUCUGGGAAGUGGGUGCCCCAAAUCACGUAACCUGUCUGAAGGACCAAAUCACAAAUGCAGCAAAACUUCUAGGGCUAAAUGUAAUUUUUAGAAAAUUUAGGAUUAAAAUGAAAUUUAAUGAAAGUUUAGGGGUCUAAAUGAAAUUUAAAGAAAGUUUAAGGGUCAAAAUGAAAUUUAGGAAAAGUUUAGGGGUCAAAAUGCAAUUUUUAUUUUUUAAUUUUUUUUUUGAAAAUUUGAAAAUUAAACACAAAUUCUAGUCGGACAAAAAUUUAGUGCUUACAACUGCCCCUCUUUGCUCAUCAUUGUGAAACAAGGAUAGUGCAAAGACUUAAAAGCACUAAAUUUUGUUCAAUUGUCCAAUCUUUAUUCUUUACUCGGCAUGUGAUCCUGAGCUCAACUCAUUUCUCGCAAUAUGAAUUGACUCUUUAAAACUAGACAUUAAAAAUAGAAAUUGAAAAUAGCUCAGCACGUGAGCCAAGGCUCAACUCACUUCUCGCAAUAUGAGUUGAUUUUUGAAAACAGAAUUUGCAAAAAGGCUCAACUCACCUCUCGCAAUAUGAGUUGAUUUUUUGAAAAAUAGAAAAAGGCUCAACUCACCUCUCGCAAUAUGAGUUGGUUUUUGAAAAAUAGAAAUUAAAAGGCUCAACUCACCUCUCGCAAUAUGAGUUGAUUUUUGAAAAAUAGAAAUUGAAAAGUAGAAAUUGAAAAUACCUCAGUGUGCCCUGAGGCUCAACUCACCUCUUGCAAUAUGAGUUGAUUGAUUUUUGAUUUUUUUUUGAAACACAGAAAUUAAAAAAAACAGAAAUUAAAAACAGAAUUUGAAAAGACCUCAGCUUGUGGCCUGAGACUCAACUCACCUCUUGCAAUAUGAGUUGAUUUGAAAAGUAGAAUUAGUAAAGCAGAAAUUGAAAAUACCUCAGCGUGCCUUGAGGCUCAACUCACCUCUCGCAAUAUAAGUUGAUUUUUGAGAAGCAUAGAUUGAAAAAAACAUAAAUUGAAAAUACCUCAGCAUGUGAGCCGAGGCUCAACUCACCUCUUGCAAUAUGAGUUGAUUUUUGAAAAACAAAAAUUAAAAGGCUUAACUCACCUCUCGCAAUAUGAGUCAAUUUAAAACAUAAACUAAAAAUACCUCGGCAUGCCCCGAGGCUCAACUUGGUGCCCAUUUUCCUUGCAGGCCUUUUUGUAUUGGGAGAAUCUUUCUCAGAACGAGUUCUCCUUCAUGGAACUCUCUUGGUUGUACCUUCUUGUCAUGGGCUGCGAUCAUUCUCUUUUGGUACAUUUGCCCAUGACAAAUUGCCCUUAGACGUUUUUCUUCAAUGAGGUUCAACUGAUCAUAUCGAGCUCGAACCCAUUCUGGUUCUUCUAACUUUGAUUCCAUCAAUACUCGCAGAGAGGGGAUCUCAACCUCGAUAGGUAGCACAGCUUCCAUUCCAUAGACUAGAGAGAAAGGAGUUGCUCCCGUAGAUGUUCGCACAGAUGUGCGAUAUGCAAACAAAGCAAAUGGAAGUUUCUCGUGCCAAUCUUUAUAUGUCUCAGUCAUUUUCCCAAUGAUCCUCUUAAUGUUCUUGUUAGCUGCUUCAACAGCCCCGUUCAUCUUUGGGCGAUAGGGCGAGGAAUUAUGAUGCUUUAUUUGGAACUGCUCGCACACUUCUUUCAUCAUCUUAUUGUUCAGAUUCGUGGCAUUAUCUGAGAUGAUUCUUUCAGGCAAACCAUAUCGGCAAAUGAUUUCCUUUUUCAAAAACUUGCACACUGCAGUCUUCGUCACAUUGGCAAACGAAGCGGCUUCAAUCCAUUUUGUAAAGUAAUCGAUAACCACAAAAAUGAAUCGAUGUCCAUUUGAAGCUUUUGGAGAAAUUGGCCCUAUGACAUCCAUGCCCCACAUAGAAAAAGGCCACGGAGAAGUCAUGACAGGAAGGGGUGAAGGGGCUACAUGAAUUUUAUCGCCGUAGAUUUGACAUUUGUGGCAUUUUCUGGCAAAAUUGAUGCAGUCACUUUCCAUUGUCAGCCAAUAAUAACCGAGUCUCAUGAUCUUUCUGGCCAUAUUGAAACCAUUGGCAUGCGUUCCGCAAAUUCCCUCAUGGACCUCUUCAAGUAUUUUUCUGGUUUCAACAUCAUCCACACAUCUCAAAAGCAUCUGAUCCUUUCCUCUUUUAUACAGGAUAUCCCCAUCAAGAACAAAUCCCGCUGCCAUUCUUCUAAUUGUUCUUUUAUCGUUCUCAUUCGCUUGUUCGGGAUACCUUUGAUUCUUGAUAUAUUCUAAGAUAUCAUGGAACCAAGGCCGUCCGUCUACUUCUUUCUCAAUGCUACAACAGUGUGCAGGGACCUCGUAUAUGCUCAUUUUGAGGGGCAUUAUUUCUGCUUCUCUACUUGCUUUGAACAUUGAAGCCAAAGUGGCUAGGGCAUCAGCCAGUUGGUUCUCUUCUCGUGGGAAGUAAUGAAAAGUUAUUUCUUUGAAUUCCUUGAUCAAUCCAGCCACUAAAUCGCUGUACUUAAUCAAUUUUGAGUCUCUCACUUCCCACUCUCCACGGAUUUGGUAAAUCACUAGGGCUGAGUCCCCGUACACCUCCAAGAUCUUGAUGUUUCGUUCGAUAGCUGCACGAAGCCCCAUGAUACAGGCCUCAUAUUCUACGAUAUUAUUGUUACAGAAGAAGUUCAGUCUUGCAGUGAACGGAUAAUGAUUCCCGUCUGGUGAUACCAGGAUUGCUCCAAUUCCAUGCCCUAAAGCAUUUGACGCACCAUCAAAGCACAUCUUCCGUGACUUCUCUUUUGAUGACUCGGGUUCUAUUUCUGUGAUGCACAUUAAGUCUUCGUCUGGGAAAUCGAAUCUUAAAGGCUCAUAUUCCUCUAUCGUUCGAGUUGCUAAGAAGUCAGCUAUUGCGCUCCCUUUUAUCGACUUCUGACUUACAUAGGCAAUAUCAUAUUCCGAAAGGAGGAUCUGCCAUCGUGCCAUUCUUCCUGAUAGUGCUGACGAUUCCAUCAUGUAUUUUAUUGGGUCCAGCUUUGAAAUUAGCCAUGUCGUGUGAUACAACAUAUAUUGUCUGAGUCUACGAGCUACCAAAACCAGAGCGCAAUAAUAUUUCUCAAUAGAUGAAUAUUUUGCCUCAUAUUCAGAGAACUUUUUGCUGAGGUAGUAGAUCACUUUUUCUUUCUUUCCUGACUCGUCGUGUUGCCCCAGUACGUAACCCAUUGAACUUUCGAACACAGUCAAAUACAAUAUCAAUGGUCUUCCAGGAAUUGGCGGUACUAGCACUGGAGGACUGGACAAAUAUUGUUUUAUCUUAUCAAAGGCCAUCUCGCAUUCCUCGUUCCAUUCUCCCGGGUUAUGUUUUCGAAGAAGCCGAAAGAUUGGGUCGCAUUGGUUGGUAAGUUGAGUGAUAAAUCGAGCGAUGUAGUUUAAUCUCCCUAAAAAUCCUCUAACUUCCUUUUGCGUGCGCGGAGGUGGUAAUUCUUGGAUGGCUUUUAUUUUAUCUGGAUCAACUUCGAUACCUCUUUCACUGACAAUGAAGCCUAGCAACUUUCCCGAGGUAGCCCCAAAUGUACAUUUGGCUGGAUUAAGCUUUAGCUAAAACUUUCUCAGCCUUUUGAACAACUUCUUGAGGUUCACUACAUGCUUUUCUUCCCCUCGGGAUUUAGCAAUCAUAUCGUCGACAUAGACCUCUAUUUCUUUAUGCAUCAUAUCAUGGAAUAACGUCACCAUAGCCCUCUGAUAUGUUGCCCCUGCAUUAUUUAACCCAAAAGGCAUCACCUUGUAGCAGAAUGUUCCCCACAUUGUUAUGAAGGUAGUUUUCUCCAUAUCCUCAGAAGCCAUCUUGAUCUGAUUAUACCCCGAGAAUCCAUCCAUGAAAGAAAACAAUGAAUGUUUUGCUGUGUUGUCCACCAACGUGUCAAUAUGUGGCAAGGGAAAAUUAUCUUUUGGGCUUGCUCGAUUCAGGUCAUGAUAAUCCACGCACAUUCGUACUUUUCCAUCUUUCUUUGGUACCGGGACUAUGUUAGCCACCCAUUCUGGAUAUUUGGAGGCUUGUAGGAAGCUAGUGUCAAAUUGCUUCUUGACUUCCUCUUUUAUUUUCAACAGCAUAUCGGGCCUCAUCCGUCUUAAUUUUUGCUGGAUGGGCUUGCAUUCUGGCUUUAAGGGGAGCUUAUAGACCACUAAAUCUUCAUCUAACCCUGGCAUGUCCUGGUAUAACCACGCGAAAACAUCUUUGUAUUCGCGGAGUAAAGUGAUUAAACUACGCCUGGUACUUUCUGAAAUAGAAGUCCCAAUCUUCACUUCUUGUUUCCUCUCUUCAGUGCUCAAAUUUAUUAUUUCUACAGAUUCUUCAUGAGGCAGAACCUGUUUAUCCUCUUGUUCCACCAUUCUUAACAAUUCAGGAGACGAGACAUAAUCUUCAGCAUUUUCUUCGGCUUCAAAUUCUCCUAAGCAAACAGCCUUCUCAACAUCAAUUUCAAGAUUCGUAACGGGCUUAUUCAUGUUGUCAAUAUCUGAGCACCUGAAAGUUGAAUGGAAAAGGAAGCUAUCGGGGGACAUCCAAGUAUUGGAAACAACAAACAAAAUGUUAUGUCAUGGCAAUGAGGCAAAUGUAAGGAUAGGCUAUGAAAUGAGAAAAUGAUUAUGAAAUUAGUGAUAAUGCGAAAAAUCAUGACAAAAUACAUCUUCAUUGAAAUUCAUUUAAAUGAUAAAGAGCGAAUGCAAACUCUUACAAAAGAACUCUAUUAUAUCUAAGGACACAAUAGAAGGUUGAUGUUUAGCAUUACUCUGAAGGCUUAUAAACUACAAGAAGCUCUUCAGCAAUCCAAUUGUUCAACAUGAAACCAGGAGGGCAAGGGCGUAUCCUUGAGACAUCUUUACUUGCACCAACUUCUUUGUCAAUGACAUUUAUACUGACAUUCUGAAAAUCCCUUUCAAUUAAUCCCAGCAUGUUUCGUGGAUCAUCUUGUCCAGGGUACAUCAUUCCCGCAGAUGUAAAUGUUUUUGACAAAGGAGGGUACUCUAUUGGUUCCCAUUCUGGUUCUCGGCCCAAAGUUCUUGCAAUUCUUCUCUCUUGAUCCUUCUUCCACUGUCUUCUUCUUUGGCGCAUGUCAGGCUGGAACCCCAAACUGUAUCGGGCCUUGUGAUGCACUGGUUUUAGAGCCCUGACUAUUCCUUGCAGAUAUCUCCCUAAACCUCUUCUCACUCGAGCUCCCCUUCCUACAGUCAACUUGACACCCAUUCUAGUAUUUCUCGACAAUUUAGGCACGGGAAUUUUGUUUCCCUUAGUGAAGAAUGUGGCAUUGACGAAUUCAAGGGAUCGGAAGGAGCAUUCCACUAUGUCCUUGCUCACUUCAAGGUAUGGCGCAUCAGCAAAGAUAGAUGCGACAAUGUCUUCUUCUCCCUCGACAGUGACCAAACAACCAUCCAUGAUAAAUUUCACCUUUUGAUGGAGGGAUGAUAGGACCACUCCAGUAGAAUGGAUCCAGGGUCUUCCCAAAAGGCAGUUAUAUGAGGAUGUAAUGUCCAUGACUUGGAACUCGACAUCAUAUAUGUAGGGACCCACUUCCAGAGGGAUCUCAAUUUUUUCCAUGACUUCACGCCUUGUCCUGUCGAAUGCCCUUACCGCAGAAUGACAGGGCCUUAAAUGGGACAGAUCCAUCGAAAUUUUGGAAAGCGUGGCCAAAGGCAUAACGUUGAGUGCCGAACCAUUAUCGAUGAGCACGUUCGGUAUUAUGUAGCCCUUGCAACGGGUUGUGAUAUGCAAUGCUUUCACUGAGCCUCUACCAUUGGGCGGUAUUUCAUCAUCACUAAAAGAAAUGAAAUUAUCCGCAUUCAAGUUGUUCAUCCACCUAUCCAUUUUUUCAAUGGAUACAUUGUUUGCCACAUAAGCUUGAUUUAACACUUUCAGCAGAGCGUUUCGGUGUGGUUCUGAAUUCAACAGCAGAGAUAAUACCGAGAUUCGCGCUGGCUGCUUACUCAAUUGUUCUACCACGUUGUACUCACUGUGCUUGAUAAAUUUUAAGAAUUCCUGUGCUUCCUCCUCGUCCACAGGAUUUUUAGCUUCUUGUUCAGGCGCAGUUUCAUGCUCAUCAUCGGUCACAUGCAUCGGUGCUUUUCCUUUCUGUUUCAAGUCACUAUUCUUCUUUAUCUCUUUCGAAUAACAUCUUCCACUACGAGUGAAAUGACCUAAUUCCCCGACGCUUCCAGUCAUGGCUUUGGGUUUUUCAUCUUCAGGUGUGACGAUAUUAACGUCAUAUUUCCAUGGUACUGCUUUAUUGUCCUUGUAAGGGAAAGAAGAUGGUACUUCGAUUAUCAUCUGUGGUUUCAAUGGCUCUCUCAUCGCGUCGUAAUAAAUUACCAACGGUCGAUCAGCACUAUAAGGGGGCCCUGAUGAUUGGCUAUCAGAGACGCAUACUUCUCUUUCGUUGGCAUCUUCACUCUUGUUAAGGACCUUGAUCUCCUUAUUAUUCAUCCGGUCUUGAAGUAACCUUUUAAAGUCCUCGCACGACUGAAUGUCGUGCCCAACAAUCCCAUGAAAAUUGCAAAAACUUUGACCUUCUUCUCCAAAAACUCUAUCAGAGUGACAGAGCAAUCCUUUCUUAACUAAUACCUCCCAGAUUUUCUGCAGAGGCGUCCUUAUUUCUGCCACACAUCUUCUGACCUUCCAUUCAUCCUCUUUCCCCACUGUGCUCACAUUCCCUUCAGUAUGGUUAGGGAACGGGUUCCCCGUGGCGUUACUAGCACUAUCGAAUCGUAGGAUACCCGCGUCAAUGAGUCCUUGAACUCUCCUUUUGAAAGCGAGACAGUUCUCAGUAGAGUGCCCUUGGUUCCCUGCGUGGUAUGCACAACUAGCGUUUGGAUCGUACCACUUUGGGUAUGGAGGUUUAAGGGGUGCUAUGUAAUGGGGAGAAAUUAGCUGUUUUUCUAAAAGUUUUGGGUACAAUUCCCCAUACGACACAGGGAUGGGGGUAAAUUGCUGUCUCUCGGGAUUAUGCCUUGAUGGUCUUGGUUCGUUUCUGGGUUGGCUUUGGGCGGGUACCGUGUUUUGUGGGAAAGUGGUGACGGGUCUUUGGUUGUUCGUGGCGUAUAUGGGGUAGGACGGAUGUGGUGCUUGGUAGUAAGGGUUUUGAGGGGGAUAAUGGAAAUUCGAAGGUGGAUAAUCUCGAGGUCAGGGUUGAUUAGGAUACGAAUUGGGAAUGUAACGACUCCCAGUUCCCACCAUGAGGGCUUCUGGCUCUUUCUUCCUUAAGGGUGCUGCUUUUCUUGAGCUUUCUGAUCCUUCCAUUCUACCGAUCUUGACGGUAUUCUCUAUGAGUUCACCGGAUAUUACAAUAUCCGCGAAAUCUUUCGUGGCACUUCCCACUAAUUUGUCAUAAAACGGUGCCUUUAAAGUAUUGAUAAAGAGAACGGUUAUCUCCGUUUUUGUUAGUAGGGGUUCCACUUGAGUUGAGACGUCUCUCCAUCUCUGCGCAUACUGUCUAAAGGUCUCUGAUGGCUUUUUCUCCAUCAUUUGCAAGGUCAUACGGUCUGGCACCAUAUCCGAUACAUGCUUGUACUGCUCACAAAAUGCUGACGCCAAGUCUUUCUAGGAUCGAAUCUUUUCUCUACUAAGUUGAUUGUACCACCGAAGAGCUGACCCUAUUAGACUAUCUUGAAAGCAAUGUAUGAGUAGUUUAUCCUCGUUCACAUAACCGGUCAUCUUUCGACAGAACAUAAUGAGAUGUGCUUUUGGGCACCUUGUCCCAUCAUACUUCUCAAAGUCAGGCACUUUGAACUUCGGAGGCAAAAUUAGAUCAGGUACCAAACUGAGUUCCUUGGCACCUAGUACGGAGAAGACUUCAGUGCCUUCUAUUGCUUUGAGUCUUUCCUCUAGACUCCUAUAUUUUGCGUCAUGGUUAUCCAAUUUUAACUUGGCUACCUCUGCUGGGUCAUCCAGAUCUGGAACUAGUGGAUUAGCAGGACUAGCCCCUGGGUUCGACGCUAACAUUCCUUGCCCCAAAUUAGUGGGUGAAGCAGGUGGCAUAGGUCGAUGUUCCAAGCCAGUGGGUUCCUCUUGAGUAUACCCUCUUUGUAUUGUAUAUGCGGGCGGUGGAGUGAAUCCCGGGGGAUAGAAUGGAUCCUGAUCAUGGUGAAUUCUUGACCGAGGUUCCAUAACAUCGGAGUUCUGCAUGGGUCCCUUUCCUUUGACCAAAGUUGUCAUCAUCUCUAUCAUUUUAGCCAUCUGAUCUCUUUGCUCGAGCGAUUCCUCUCGAGAUCUCACCAUUAGGUCUCUCGUCUCUUGUUGCGAUUUGGCCAGUUGCUCUUGUAAUUCCUUUUGAGCCAUUUCCAUCCUUUCAAUUCUCUCAUUGAAUUCAUUCUCCAUUACUCUAGCUUGUCGGCGCGUUUUAUACGGAUGACGUGGUUCCAGUCUUGAAGUCUUGCAACUGCGAAUUGUACGUUUUAACCUCAGCGAACGAGUAUGGGAUAUGGAAUGAAUGUAUUGAUGCACGAAUGAAUGCAUGAAUGUCAAAUGAAUGUCAGUUAUGAAUGAAAUGCAAGAAAUUGGUGUUGAUUUCAAGAUAGCCCCAUAUUUAGGCAUUUCAUUUAUCAACAUAGUCUAUUACACAAAGUUCUCAUUUUUCCAACAGUUACACAAAUUUCCUAGCCACAUUGCCUUGUUUCUUCACUUGCUCUAAAAACUCUGAUAUGCUCGAUCUUUGGCUCGGAGGGAAUUGGCAACUGAGAACUUUGGCUUCAUCUGAUAAUUGAACAACUUGCAUAGCCGCUUUACGAAUUUCAUUGAUCAAGAAGUCAAGUUGCAUUUCUUUUUCUUUGAGAGUUCCUUCACACGCGUGAAUGUCCCUAUCGUACUGCUCACUCUUUUCUUCUAGAGCCUUCAAGAGGUUAUCUAAUUGUUGUUGACGAGAUUGCAGCAUAUUUUCUAGAUCUCGUGUUUUCCUUUUUAAUUCUUGAUGUUCAGACUGACUAUUCGCCAAUUUUGCAGUCACUAUUUCAUACUCGGCGUUCUUCCUUCUUAACUCUAUCACAGCGCGCGCAGCCUUUUCCUACUCUUUUUUUUCUUUUCCCUUCCAAAACUCCAUUCCUCCCUUGAUAUUGCUAAUUUCUUCCUUCCAUUCUACUGUCGACUUGCCCAACCCACUAUUCUUUAUAGUGUUUCUUAAUUUCUUGUUUUCCAAAUGAAGGUCCCUUAAUUCGUUUCUCACAAUCUCGGCUUCUCUUUGCACUUUUUCAGUCCUGGACCUUUCAACCUGAACUUCAAUCUUCAGUUGAUAGUUUUCUUCUUGAAGGGCACUAAGGUCCCAAGACAUCUUGGUCUUUUCUCGUUCGAAUUCUUGUCUUGCCAUUUCUAGCUCAGACGGCGUUUCCUCCGAGAAAGGAUUCUGGAUGGUGUAGUUUGUUGAUGAGAUUUGCUGACUAUUUACCCAUUGCUUCCUCCAUAUGUCGUAAUCUUGGGUAAGGGUAUCAACAUACAAAGCUAAUUCCAUGAAAUGAAUUUCCUUCCAAUACUUUGCAGUGUCUCGGACUCUCUUCAUAUAUCCUUCACCCGCGAAAGCGAACUCAAAUUGUGCUAAUCCUCCAGUUGCGGGGAGGAAUUGUCGCGAAGAAAAUUGCCUUUGGACUAAUAGCGGAGCAUAUCCAACUCCUCCCCAUAACCCGAGUAAAGGUACCCAAUCUUGGCUUCCACAUUUGUAUAGCAUAACUGAAGGACGGAUCCAGGAUGCUCUCCAUGUUAUAUUCUCGGCGCAAAGAUUCUGAAAAACUAAUACCCAAUGUUGCUCGGUGACUUCCUUCGGCCAUUCUUUAUUGAGGUAAGCUUCUAGCGGGGAGAAUGUUUUAGAAAACAUAUGGAACGGAGUGUGUUCUACCUUCCAGAAGUGACUCAAAAUCCAAACAUUGAGCAACUGCGCGCAUCCGAUAAAUCGUCCCUCCCCUUUUCUUCGACAACUACUCAGGGACCUGAAGGUCUCGGCUAGGAUAGUCGGGACAGGGUUGAUUCCUUGUUUUAACGUUUCGAAGAAAUCAACUAAUGCAACUUCGAGAUGUCCGAGAACUUUUGGGAAAAUGACCAAACCGUAAAUGGCCAAAGCGAAUAGAUUUACCCUUUUCAGCAUGUUGGGAUGGUUCAGAGCCAAAUCUCGUAGGGAGGACCAUGGAAUACAAAUGGUUUCAUUCUUCUUCUUUAUCUGUUUUUCGGCCCAUGCAUCAGUCAUGUCUGUCAGUCUCACUAACUUUUUCUUGAAGGUCAUCGGCUUAGGCUCCUUCACAUAUAUUUUGCCGAAUCGUACAUUGUCGAUGCGGAGUAAAGCAGCAUACUCUUCUAUGGUUGGAGUCAUGUCUUCUUGAUUGAAGGUGAAACACUGAUAAGUUGGGUCCCAGAACCGAACCAUGGCUUGAAUCAACUGUUCGUCUACACGGAUGGUGAUCAGGUGAGCUAUAUCUCCAUACCUCUCAGUGAAAGUGUCUCUAGUGUCUGAAUCCCACUGAUUCCAAAUUCGAACCAAAUCCUCAAAGUUAUUUUGGCAAACAUUUACAGUUAUAUGUUCAGGCAAAUUAGCGACACACCCUUCCACUAGACUAUCCCCCUUUUCUCUCUGAAUUUUUAGAGACCAGUCCCGAACCACGGCAUUCUUCUCGGUCAUUUGUGUAAUUGACUCCUCCAUCAGAAACCUAUUUUUUUGGCAACCAACUUUUAAUCAACACCUUCCUAAUAUGAUGCCUAUGAUGCAUGAUGAAAAUAAAAGUAAAAACAAACAAACUUGGUUAGUAAACACAACAAAUAUAAUUUGAAAAAACAAAUUAAACUACCCAAUCCAAUUAUUUUGCAUAAACAGUGUAAAUGAAAGGCAAAAGGCAUUUUCCCCGUGUACUUAUUUUGAUGACUAUAAGCGGACAGAGGUUCGGCGUGGCUCUAAUUGGAUAGCUCGUAUGGUUCACUAUAUGCGGUUUUGGUUCUAGGUGGGUACUCGAAUCGUCUGCACUGUCAUCUACUAAGAUUAGUACAGAGCCUCGGUCAUGGCCCAUCAUAGGCUUACGAGAUCAAUUCGAGGGAUUACAUUUACUUAUGCCUAUGUGGAGGGACAAGUUAACUCACGAAAGCAUAAGUCAUAUGUAACCCGAAAGUAUUCACUAGCCUGUGCGGAGGAACGAGUUAACUCACGAAGGCAUAGCGUUUACUUUCUCUUAACAGGGACGGAGCCCGGUUAUAGAGCUCAUGUUAUGCAAAAAAUGCAAGUGCACGGUGUGUGGGGAGAAACUUGUAAACCUUUACGUUUUAUUUAGAAAAACUAAACCAAAAAUAAAACCGCAAAAAUUUAAAGCUGAAAAACAACCUGAUAAAACAAGUUAGAAUAUAUACAACACGAUGCAAAUGCAUGAUUUUUUUUUUGAAAACAAAAAAUUUAAGGAUCACGACUAAAUGUUAAUUUGAACAAGAAACUUUGAAAAUUUUGACAACGCGUGUUUAAUUCCAGACACGGCUCUCAAAAAAAAGGCUGUCCCCAGCGGAGUUGCCAGCUGUAGCGACCUAACAAUUUGGAGUACGGGCGCUAAUUGAAGUGAUUAUUAAAAAUUUGAAAAUUGAAUCUCGACUUUAUUUGAAAAGGAGUCGCCACCGAUCUUUUUUCCAGGUGUGAUCGGACACCUACAAAAUUCUCUUUUCAGAAGAAAAAUUUAUUUUUAAACUUUUCUAAAAAAGAGGCAAUUUUAGGUCCACGUAAAAAUCCAGAGAAAAUUAGGGUUCGGGAGUCGGUUAUGCGCGAGGAAGGUAUUAGCACCCUCGCGACGCCCAAAAUUGGUAUCUCGUAAAACGCGCGUUGUCUUAAUUUUCAAAAAUACAAGUUCAAUUUAAUAUUUAAUUGUGAUCCGAUUGAAACUUGAGAAAACCCUUUUUUUGUUUUUAAACACGAGAACUUUGAAACAAAAUAAUAAUUUUUGAAAACACGAAGAUUUUUGAAACACGAAAUAUUUUUUGAAAACACGAAAACACAAAAUUUUUUUAACACGGGAAUUUUUGAAAACACGACAGUUUUUGAAACAUGAGAAUUUUUUUAAAACACAAAAUUUUAUUUUGAAAACACAAAAAUUUUGAUAAAUUAUGAAACACGAGGAUUUUUUUUGAAACGCGGAAAUUUAUGAAACAAGGUCAAUUUUUUGAAAACACGAAAAUUUUUGAAAGACGAGAAUUUUUUUGAAAACACGGAGAUUUAUAAAACACGAAAGUUUUUUUUUUGAAACAAGAAAAUUUUCAAAAUACGAGAAUUUUUGAAAACAGGGGAAAUUUUUGAAAACAUGAAAACUUUUAAAACACUAGAAUUUUGAAAACACGAAGAUUUUUUAAACAUGAGAAUUUUUGAAAACACGAGGAUUUUUUGAAAUACAAACAUUUUAGAAACAUGAAAAUUUUUAAAACAUGACAAUUUUUUGAAACACGAGUAAUUUAUUUUUUAAAACAUAAAAAAUUUUAAAACACGAGAAUUUGUGAAACUCGAGAAUUGUUGAAAAAACAUAAAAAAUUUUGAAAAUACGAAAUUUUUUUAAACACGAAAAUUUUAGAAAUAUGGACAUUUUUAGAAAACACGAAAAAUUUUGAAAAAUAAAAUUUUUUGAAAACACGAGAAUUUUUGAAAACACGAAAAAUUUUCUGAUUUUUCAUUAAGCACGUAUCGCAUUUAACACUAAUCGGUGAUAUUCACUCAAUAUAGCAAUGAAAUCAACGAAUUAGUGUCAAAUCGAUUCGUUACCUUAUUUUUGAAAACACGAGAAAUUUUUUUUGAAGACACGAAAAUUUCGAAACGCGAGGAUCUUUUUUCUGAAAAUACGAAUUUUUUUGAAUAUUUUCGAUUUUUAAAAGGGCGUAUCGAUUUUAACGCGAACCGGUGAUAUUCACCCAACAUAGCGAUGAAAUCAACGAGUUCAUGUUAAAUCGAUUCGUUGCCUUAUUUAUUAAAAGUAUUUAAAAUAAAAUAAAAUAAAAUAAAAUAAAAUAAAAAUUAAAUUAAAUUAAAUUAAAUUAAAUUAAAUUAAAUUAAAUUAAAAAUAUAAAUGCCAAAAAAUAAAAAAUGCAUAAAAUACUAAUAAUAUUAAAAUGAAAAAAAAAUACGAGCAUUAAAUUAAAAUUAAAAAACGAAAUUACCGAAAAAUCUCGGGACACGAGCUUCGCCGAACGGGUAACACAAAAUUGAACCCCGUUUUUCUUGUUUUUUCUUUUUUCUUUUUUUCUCCUUUUUCUUCCUUUUUUUUUCUGCUGGGCUGCCUUGUUGGGCUGGCCUGGGCGGGCCUGCUGGCUGGUGGCCUGUUGGCUGCUUGUUGGGCUGCUAGAAUUGGGCCUAUUGUUGGCCUGCCCUCUUUUUUUUUUUUGCUGCUUCUUUCCCCUUUUUUUUGCUUUGUUUUUUCUUUUUUUUGUUAGGCUACUUUGGGCUUGGCUAAUGGGCUUGCUGGGUCGGGUUGGGUUGCCGGAUCGGGUCGGGUUAUACCUGGUUCGGGUCGGUUUGACCCGACUGUUAAAAUUUUUUUCUUUUUUUUUCUUCUUUCUUCUUCUCUCUUUCUUUCUUCUUCUUCUUCUUCCUUCUUCUUCUUCUUCAAAAUCGAGCCCCCCACACCGUCGCUUCUUUCAUGCCGCCGUUCGAGUUGCCACCGUCGACUCCACCGGACCUUUCUCUUUCCUUUCUUUUCUCUCCCCUUUUUUCUUAUUUUUGAAGCUUUUUUUCUCUUUGAAACUUUUUUUUUUGGAGAUUCAUGGGGUGGGGGUCCUUUUUUUUUUUGGGUUAAAAGCCCCUUUUAUAGAUGAUUUUUGCUUCAUUUUGCAGGUAGUGGGUGAAGAAGGAGCAGCCACCCAUGUUUGUGGCCUGAAAAUCUGGGAAGUGGGUGCCCCAAAUCACGUAACCUGUCUGAAGGACCAAAUCACAAAUGCAGCAAAACUUCUAGGGCUAAAUGUAAUUUUUAGAAAAUUUAGGAUUAAAAUGAAAUUUAAUGAAAGUUUAGGGGUCUAAAUGAAAUUUAAAGAAAGUUUAAGGGUCAAAAUGAAAUUUAGGAAAAGUUUAGGGGUCAAAAUGCAAUUUUUAUUUUUUAAUUUUUUUUUUGAAAUUUUGAAAAUUAAACACAAAUUCUAGUCGGACAAAAAUUUAGUGCUUACAAUGACUAUUGAUAUUUAUAUUUUUAAUCAUAAAAAUUAAAUUUAACAUAAUUGUUUAAGAUUUAAUGCUGAUUUUAGACUGUCAUAUAAGUUAAUCUAUGGAUAAAUUAUUUUGGAUACAUCAUUUAAUUCUAAAAAAAAAACUGAAUUAUAAGAGGAGGGCAAAGUCUUAAUAGCAAUGUGACUUCAACCCAGGUCACACUUUGGGCGAUAAAUACCCUAACCAUCAUAUUGCGAUCUCUUCUCAACAAUUCAAUCAAAGAUGAAAUAACUUAUAGUUUCCAAAUUAAGAAUACAGUGUUCGUAUACAAUAUUCCUACAUCUAUGCAUUGGAAAGGCUUGUGGGAAUUAUUUGGAUACUAUGGAAAUGUUGUUGAUGCAUUCAUCCCAACAAAAAGGAGUAGAAAUGGUAAAAGGUUUGGGUUUUGAGAUUCACUAAUGAAAAGGAUGCGCAAAGGGUGAUAAUGAGGUUAAAUGGAUUUUUUUUAAUGGGAAAGAGAAUCGGGGUGAAAAUGGCUAGAUAUAAUGGAAAAAGAAAGUUUUGGAGGAAAGCUUCGGUUCAAAAGGGACAAGAACAGAGUGAAAAAAUAGCUCAAGAAGAAAAAAGUAAAGAAAGGCUCGAAAUGAUGCAAGAAGAGAAGUGAAAACAGAGAAAAGAAUAGUGCAAGGUUAUGUUGAAGAUGAACUAUUAUGGAACCUACAGAAAUGCCUGGUGUGCGAAUCGAUUUCGAUUUUUUAUUCAAAAAGUCUUAAUGAUCGAAUAGCAAAAAUUGGUCUUGGAGAAAUAAUAGUAAAAAGGAUUCAAGAAAGACAUUUUUUGGUCGAAAUACCAGAUUAAAAACUGAUGGAUCUGUUAAGGCAAACUGAAUGGUCCUACUUGAAAGAUUUCUUGUAACGCCCCAAUUUUCGGGAAUUCUGUGAAUGUUGGCAAAAUUUCAUGCUUUAAUUUUGUCAUUUGGGAGGAGUGAAAUUAUGAAAUAGGACCUAUGUGAAAAUGUUUGAAAAUGCUAUAGGCUAAAUUGAAGUGAGCAAAUAAAUAGGAGUGUAAAAUAGGAGGAUUUGCAUGACAAACCUCUCAUUUUACAUGAAGUGGCCAGCCAUCAUGUUGUUGUAGACAAAAUGUACACUUGAUAUCCAUAAUUUAUGGUACAAAUUGAUACAAAUUGAUAAUAGGUUAGGUAAAUGUUCCAUGAUAAUAGGUUAGGUAAAUGUUCCAUGAUAAUGGGUUAGGUAAAUGUUUCAUGAUAAUGGGUUAGGUAAAUGUUUCAUGAUAAGAAUUUCAUGUCUUUUGUAUUAAAGAAUUAAAUGUAUGAAAUAUGAAGUUUUAUUAAAAGAAAAAGGGGUGAAAAGAACAAAGUUUUGUCCAUCUUUGUUCAUCAUAGCUGAAAGUUAGAGAAGAGAAAUGAGAGGAGAAAGCUCUUGAGUAUUCGGUCAUUAGGAGGAGGAAAAUUGAAGGUAAGUUCUUGGUACCUUGCUUCUAUUUUGAGGUUCAUGAGUUCUUCUUGAUUCUACCUUAACUCUUGAAGUAUAUUUUGAUUUUUAGUUGUGUUGUGAGCAUUUGGUCAUGAAUUAAAAUGAAGGAAAUGGUUGUUGUUUCAUGUUCUUUUGAUGAAAAAUGGAAGAUAUGUGAAGUUGAGCCAAACAAAUGAGCAUGCAUGUGCCUUAGAUGCUAAAGGGAAAAAUCAGCUAACAUGUUGUGCUUUAAAAUGAUGAAAUGGAGAUUAUGCUUAAGUAAAAAUCAUAGAUAUGUGAUGAUUGAUUGGUGAUAUACAUGUUUAAAUAACAUGCAUGCAAGAUAGGUGUAUGAAAGAGUGAUUUGGUAAUAAAUCUGAUUGGGACAGCAGCAGUAACGUGACUUUGGAAAAUCACCAUAAAUUGUGGGAGAUGAAUUAGAAGCUGAAUAAAUUAUGUAAUUAAAGCUUAAUGAGUCUAGUUUCAAAUGGAAUAAACUAGAACAUAUUUUGAAUUCUGUAGAAUGAGAAAUUUUAUUCAUAAUGAAGAGUGGUCAGAUUAGUCAAACAGUGAAACAUGGGAAACUUUUAGAAAAAUCUGGUAUUGAUUGGCUAAACCAAAAAUUCUUAAAAUUUUAUGGAUAUAAGAUAUAUGAGUCUAUUUUCAGGUAAAAUUAACGGCACUUGAUUUGGAGUUUCGUAGCUCCAGUUAUAAAUGAUUUAGUGACUGUUGCUCAGGAAGACAGCUUGCAGUGAAAUUAUGAUUAUGUGGUAAACAUUGACAAAAAUUUGUUAAUGAGUUGCUUAUUGAUUUCUUAUAAGCUUACUAUGAUCUGUAGGUGUGGUUGGCCGAAUAUUGUAAGGGGUUAAUACGUAGUUUGUAUUUGAAUAGUUAGAUUAACGUGUUAGUAAUCCAAUUGUAGGCGGUUCGUGUGUGGAUCUCGUCAGCAUAUCGUCGCAAACAGGUGUGUAACUAACACCCUCUUUCUUAGUCUGGAUCGGCAAAAGUCGAAAAGCCGAAAUGCCGAAAACCGGUAUUUUGUAGAUUUGCGAGUGUGCGAAUGCUCGUGAGGUAAAUCGAUUAAUGUUUUUGGUAAACUGCAAAAUUUGGACUGCAAAGUGCAUGAUUUCUGUGCCCUUGAUAUUUUUGGGCUUAAUGGGCCAAAAUUGGAAUGAUGGGCCAACGGGCCCAAUUCGGUAAGAACCCUCGGUACGUGAUUCUGUUAGUACAUGAAAAGUAGGACUAUGCAUGAAAAACCCUAAAAUAGAUAAAUUACUGAAAUACCUUUAAAAGUAGAAAAUUUACAGUUUUACCCCUAGUAGAUAAAUUACCGAAAUACCCUAGGGUUAAAUUGACCUAAAUGCAUGUUUGAUUGUUGUUAUUUACUGCAUGCCAUGUUGUUAUUAUCCGAUGCAUGGGACUGGGAUAUUGACGGAGGAAGUACUGAAAGUGGCUUGUCCACGUACUGGAGGCUUUGCCUCAAUUUACUGUUAAUUGAGCAGCAAGGCUGCAACUGUGGAGUGUUGGGCUGGGUGGGUUGAGCUAUUCCCCACAUGGAGUGUAUGGCUGGUACGGGUGGAGUGUAGUGGUUGGUGGGUUGAGUAGUCUCCCCAAAUGGGCUUGCAUAUGUUUACUGAUGUUGCAUGUAUUUUGAAAUGGGCCUAUGGGCCAUACUGUUAUCUGAAUAAGAGGCUAAGGCCCAGUUUAUUGUAAUCUGAAAAGGGCUCUGGCCCAGUACCACUGUUACCCAAAUGGGCUUGCAUAUGUUUACUGAUGUUGCAUGUAUUUUGAAAUGGGCCUAUGGGCCAUACUGUUAUCUGAAUAAGGGGCUAAGGCCCAGUUUAUUGUAAUCUGAAAAGGGCUCUGGCCCAAUACCACUGUUACCUGAAUGGGCUUAGGCCCAAUGGGCUUGAGCUGACUUGGGCUUUGAAUGGGUUUUCCUUACACACUGAGUUUCCCCAAACUCACCCCUUUUAUUUUCAUCCACGCAGGAAAUCCCCAACCAUAGUGGGCUUGGAGCUGUGAGAGAAUUCGGAGUGGCCACCCGUUCUGAAAGUUUAAUUUUCUUCUAGUGAACUGGACAUCCUUUUAAUUACGUUUGAGGUUUUGGGCUUUUAAAUGUAAUAAGGCCGCUUAUUUAUUUUUGAUGGUUUUUAUAUGUUUUAUUAAGAUAUGUAAUAUUUAUAUUUAACUGUUGAAAUUGGAUAGCUUUAACGCGCGUUUUCAAAAACAGUAAUUGUUUUCAAAAUAACACGAAAAUAAGCAAAGCUUCCGCAAUGAAGAUAUUUUCCAAAAUUAAUCACUUUUCCUAAAAAGGACUUAAUCAAAUCGGUUUCCUAGAAAUAUACAUGACGUUAAGGUAUGACAAUGGUGGUUUGCAUGUCUAGGAUUGGAUCCGAAGGGAGUUUGGUACUUAAGCAGUCUGAUGGACUCACCUCCUCUUUUCCGGUUUCCUACCUGGUGCACAGCUUCCAUUCACUUUAACCUAUAAUGAAAUUAUCUUUUAAAACACUAAGUAAGUUUUUCUGGAUCAACAAUAUAAAAUGUUUUGAACGCUUCGAUGUGGCAUGUCGGAUUCGGUCAUAACGUCUGGGCCGGGUUUGGGGUGCUACAUUUCUUCAUUAAAAUAGAGCCAUGGUCAGAGAAAUUGAAGAUAAAUAAAAGGGUGGCAUGGAUCGAAGUAUCAGGAGUUCCAUUGCAUUGUUGGAACUAUGAAACAUUUAAAUAAGUUGCUGGGUUAUGGGGGAAUUUGGUGUUAGUAGGUGAAAAUCUAACAAAAGUUCACAAUUUUGAAAAAAUAGAGCUUCUGGUCUCUAUAACUCAAUCGAAAAUGGUUGAUGAAUUAGUUAGCAUGGAAGUUGGAUAAGACUUCUUCCCAAUCAGAGUAAGGGAAUGGGGCCUGACAGAGAUGAAAGAAUACAAUAGUUUAAACAUUAAGGCUAGGUGGAAGAAAAAUGAAGAAGACAGCAUUUCGGAAUCUGGAUAGGUGGCGAGUGUCGUAACCAUUUUUUUUGAAAAAAACGGGGAUUGACUUUAAAACGAAAAUGGAGUCGCCACCAAUCUUUUUUUGUUUAGGUGUGAUCGGGUCACCUUAUGAUCGAUCAUUUUAAUAAAACAUUUUGAUUUAUUAAAACGAUUAUUUUUGGUCUACGAAAAUCGAAAAAUGAGUUCGGGAGUCGGUUACGCACGAGGAAGGAUUAGCUCCCUCGAUACACCCAAAAUUGGUACCUAGUUGAUUAAUUAGUGUCCUAGUGUCGAAAAUUGAAAACUUGAAAGACUUUUAAAAUAUGACCCCUCUUUGUAUUAAUGCUGAUUUAAAAAUGAUCGAAUAAAUUAAAACGGAUGUUGAAGACUCUCUCAUCUUGAAGUAAUAAAAUGUCACGCCCAGUAAGUUAGGACACGUCAUCUUGAACUUUGAGAAUGAGCUUGCCUUUAUUUAAAAUUCAUGUACUUUAACUCUUUUUUUUUAAAAGGAUGUUCGGUUAUUUAGGGUAAACGAGAAAAGUCGAAACCCAGUAAGUUAGGGUACGAUCUUUUGAAAUCUUUAAAUAUCGAACAUUGCUUUGUUUAAAAUUUCAAAUGAAAUGUAAUAAAUAAAUGAAAUGUAUUUUUAUAAAUAACUCAAUAACAUAAGGAAUUAAACAUGUGGCAAUAACAUCUCAGGAAUAAUCUAAAAUAAUAUGGAAAUCCAAAGGAACAACUUAGAAUACAUGCAAUAACAACACAUCAUAUAUUAUGAAAAUACCACCAUUUAUGUCCAAGGGUCAAUGCGUAAGAAACCAAUUUUAAAAGAAGUUUCAAGUAAAUCACCUAAAUAAAAUAUAACAAGUUUUUUUAAAAUAAAAUAAAAUAAAUAAUAGGAAAAAUAAAAUUUGAAAAUAUAACUAUAUGAACUAUAAGAAAAUUUUAAAUAGUAAUGUACAAAUGCAAUUAAAAAAUAUUCUAAAGUAAAUAAUUUGAACGAAGCUUGAAUUGUAUCAAAAUAAAAAAUAAGAAAAAAAAAUAUAUGUAGCGUAAUUGAAAUUCCAAAAUAAAUAAUAGGCAUAAAAGAUUAAAAGUAAAUAAUACACAAAGUAAUAUAUACACAGGAAAAGCUUAAUAUAAAUAAUACAUAUAGUAGUAAUAAUAAUAUAAAGGUAUUUCAUAUAAAUAGGUAUGCAUGUGGAAAAAAAUAAUCACAAAAGUAUGAAAUCAAAAUAAUAUGUUGAAACAUGUUUAUUCUAAGAAGAAUAACUGAAACUUAGUUGAGAGAAAAAAACAAAAUCCAAGGGAUAACUUACAAAUAAAACAAAUUAUUAAAACGUAAUUUUGGGCUAAAAUUAAUUGCGUAUAAAUGUUUGAGGUCUAAAAUUAAAAAUGUCCCAAAUCUUAAAAUAUUGUGCUAAGGGGGCAAAUUGAAAUAGCGCACAGAUUGCAGGGCCAAUUUAAAAUAAUUUAAAAAAACUUAAAUAUAGCCUGAUUGAAGGCUAGCGCAAAGGAGGAGACCAAUUGCGCAAAUUACCCAAUUAAAGGUAAAAUGCACAUGGUCCCAAGCAAAAAAGCGUGCUGAUCCUACUCCCCCAUGCUACUUUGUUUUAUUAUUAAUUAAAACCAUACUUUAUCUCCUUCUUUUUCAUUAAAAAACCUUUUUUAAAAAAACAAAAAAAAAGUUAAAACACCACCCUGCAUUCAUUUUUCAAAACAGAGAGAAGGCUCUCAACCCCCCUCUCAUAUUGCGAUUCACUCCCAAAUUCGGUAGAUCACCACCGCCGGCUUCGCCAUCAGCGACCCUCAUGCAUGGCGGCCGGAGCCCCUUUUCCAGGCGAAGAAAGGUACCUCCUUCCUUUUUUAUUUCACGAAAUAUGUGUAGAUAUAUAUAUAUAUAUAUAUAAGAUUCAAAAGUAAAAUAAAUAGAGCAAAUAAAAGAAAGUAAAACCAUAGAAUAACUCCCUUGAUCUGUUUUUAUUUCCUGAAGUGCUCUCCAUUGUAUGUAGUACAACUGUUCGUUUUUUUUAAGGAAAAAACCCUCCUUCUAGUACCAUCUGUCCUCCUCUUUUACAAUGAAAAAUUGAAGGCUUUAUAGCCAAAAACCAUACAUUUUCCACCUAUCUCUUUGCUCCAAUUACAGGUGUUGCAGUUGUGGAGAACGAAGGGCGUGAAACAUGGGUGAAAACAUGGAGCGGGACAUACGGGAAUCAUGAAUGGAGUAAGUGGAGGUAUGGGCAAUGGGACAGGGCAAGUUGGCCGACAGUCAAGCAUAGGGAUGAUGGCUAGGUUUUUUUUAGUCUUCUUCUUUCCUUUUUUUUUAAUUGCUAUGGGCUAGCGUUAAAGGGUUUUGGGCUGUUGGGUUUUUAGAUGUUGGGCUUUUUAGCCCGGGCAAAAUUUGGGUUGUACAGCUGCCCCUCUUUGCUUGUUGUCGUGUAACAAGAACAGAGCAAAGACUAUAAAAGGACCAAUUUUGCCCGACCUCGCCGAGUCUUGAGUUCUUGAUCCUUGAUCUUCUUUAAAUGGCCUCUUGACGGCUUCAAUCUGCUUCACUGCAACUCAGGAAGGCGAUUUCUACUAUCUUUGAUCUGCUCCCCGUCUAAUACAAAGACGUAAAAUCUAUUAUCUUCGAUCUGCUCCCCGUCUAAUACAGAAACGCCAAAUUUGCUUCUUCAAUCUACUCAUUGCAAACUCAUGACUGUCAUGUUGAUAUCUUCGAUCUGCUCUCCAUCGAACACAGAGACGCCAAAUCUGCUUCUUCGAUUUGUUCCCUGACAAUACAGAGAUGCCAAAUCAUCUUAGAUUUGCUUUACCGUAAGCACGUGAAAGCCAAAUCAGCUAUGUCUUCGAUUUGCUCCUUGUAAGCACAAGGAUGCCAAAUCAUCUUGGAUCUUGCUUCAGUAUAAACAUCUGAAGGCCAGAUCUGCUAUGUAUCUACUCUCCGUCAAAAUGGAGAUGCCAGACUUCGAUUUGUUCUCUGACAAUACAGAGAUGCCAAAUCAUCUUAGACUUGCUUUAGCGUAAGCACGCGAAAACCAAAUCAGCUAUGUCUUCGAUUUGCUCCUUGUAAGCACAAUGAUGUCAAACCAUCUUGGAUCUACUUCAGUGCAAACAUCUGAAGUUUGGAUCUGCUAUGUGUCUGCCCUCCGUCAAAAUGGAGAUUCCAGGCUUCGACUUGUUCUCUGACAAUACAGAGAUGCCAAAUCAUCUUAGACUUGCUUUAGCGUAAGCACGCGAAAACCAAAUCAGCUAUGUCUUCGAUUUGCUCUUUGUAAGCACAAGAAUGCCAAAUCAUUUUAGAUCUACUUCAGUGAAAUCAUCUGAAGGCUAGAUCUGCUAUGUAUCUACUCUCCAUUGAAAUGGAGAUGCCAGACUUCGAUUUGUUCUCUGACAAUACAAAGAUGCCAAAUCAUCUUAGACUUGCUUUAGCGUAAGCACGCGAAAACCAAAUCAGCUAUGUCUUCGAUUUGCUCCUUGUAAGCACAAGGAUGCCAAAUCAUCUUAGAUCUACUUCAGUGAAAUCAUCUGAAGGCUAGAUCUUCUAUGUAUCUGCUCUCCAUCGAAAUGGAGAUGCCAGACUUCGACUUGUUAUCUGACAAUACAGAGUUGCCAAAUCAUCUUAGACUUGCUUUAGCGUAAGCACACGAAAACCAAAUCAGCUAUGUCUUCGAUUUGCUCCUUGUAAGCACAAGGAUGCCAAACCAUCUUGGAUCUGCUUUAGCCAGAUCUGCUAUGCUGCGGCCUAUUACCCUACUGCUUAGGGGAUUAAGACGCGUCAUCUCUAAUAACCUGUAGAAUAAUUAUGCCUGAUAAUUAGGAUGCCAUGAUCGAAAUGAGUCGGAUGUUCCUAAUUAAACAUGUUACGAUGCAAAAUUUUGUGAAUAUGACCACUAUCCUAGACAUCACCACUCAUUCCUUCAUUUUUCUUUUCAAAGCAUUAUUCUUGCUCAACCUGUAGGCCUAUACCCUUCCUCCAAUGCUACGACCCACUGAGGAUGUCUGUAAAACAAUCUUUUCUUAAAAUUGAAUCGUUGAUUUUGUCCAUUUUCCCUUUAGACUGGAAGAAAGAAAUUCCUCGAGUUCCUUCAUCCUUUACUUGCAUGAAUUUCUCGAACAAUCGUCCUGUUUUAGUUUCUUGUAUUAUCUAGAAAUUCCAGAGUAAUGCGCGAAACUUCGUUUGUAAACAUAUUUAGUUCAUCUAUCAUUAUUUCAAUGCAACAUGGAAGAUGAAUAAAUCUUUAAGAAUAAUUGGAUUAAAAGGAAAGGAUACAAAGGAAAUUAAUCUGAAAGCCUAUCUUUAGGAAGAAAUAGAAUCUAAAGAUAGAAAAACAGGAUAAAAGUUAGAUGCUCAAGAUAUUGUUGCUUGAGUGUUUAUACACCAGCUCCAUGAAGUCUUUCUUGAGUUCAAAAUGUGUUUAAAAGAUCCCAAGUACUCCGUUGAUGUCCCAGUUUGCAGCAUUCUUCGCUCUUUGUAACAAGAUCACUGUGUACUCUUCAAAAUUUGAGCUGCCCUUUCGGGUUUCCGACUCAAAACCCCUUUGGUCACAAGGUGCCCUUUGCGGGUUUUCACCUUGGCCUCUCCGUUUUUGAUUUUUUUUUUAAAUCUCAAGGUGCCCUUUGUGGGUUUUCACCUUAGAUUCUCUUCUUCUUUAGACAAAGUAUUUUUUAACUGAGUCCGAGUUCACUGGAUUGGGUAAACUUUUCCCAUCCAUUUCCGCUAAGAUCAAUGCACUACCGGAGAAAGCUUUCUUCACGACAUACAGCCCUUCCUAAUUCGACAUCUAUUUUCCUCUAAAAUCCUUUUGAAUAGGAAGGAUAUUUUUCAGUACAAGGUCUCCCUCAUGGAAUUCUCUUGGUCGAACUUUCUUGUCAUAAGCUCGCAUCAUUCACUUCUGAUACAUCUGACCAUGUCGAAUGGAUUUUAGCCUCUUUUCCUCAAUCAAGUUCAACUGGUCAUACCGGGAUUGAACCCACUCAGCUUCAUCUAACUUUACUUCCGUCAAAAUUUGAAGAGAAGGUAUUUCUACUUCAAUAGGUAAUACUGCUUCCAUCCCAUAAACUAACGAGAAUAGAGUUGCCCCAGUAGAGGUUCUAACAGAUGUUCGGUAGGCUAAGAGUGCAAAUGGCAACUUCUCAUGCCAAUCCCUAUAGGUCUCAGUCAUCUUCCUCACUAUUUUCUUAAUAUUCUUGUUGGCGGCCUCCACUGCCCCAUUCAUUUUUGGACGAUAAGGGGAAGAAUUGUGAUGCUUGAUCUUGAACUGGUUGCAAACCUCCGCUAUCGUUUUGUUGUUUAGGUUUAAUGCAUUGUCGGAUAUGAUCUUCUCAGGCAUUCCAUACCGACAAAUGAUCUCCUUCUUCAUGAAUCGACUCACAGCUGACUUAGUAACAUACGCAUAAGAAGUCGCCUCUACCCAUUUUGUGAAGUAGUCAAUGACCAUGAAGAUAAACCGAUGUCCAUUUGAAGCCUUCGGUGAUAUUGGUCCAAUGACAUCCAUGCCCCACAUGGAAAAGGGCCAUGGAGAAGUCAUGACAUGUAGAGGUGAAUGUGGUACAUGUAUCUUGUCUCCAUAAAUCUGACACUUAUGACAUUUCUUGGCGUAGUUGAUACAAUCCCCUUCCAUGGUAGACCAAUAAUAUCCAAAUCUCAUGAUUUGUCUAGCCAUAGUGAACCCAUUUGCAUGUGUCCCGCAUACGCCUUCAUGAACUUCUUCUAAAAUUAGCUUAGCUUCCACGGCAUCAACACAUCUUAAAAGUACUUGGUCUUUCCUUCUCUUAUACAAGAUGUCCCCGUCCAAGACAUAGUCGCAAGCUAGCCUUCUCAACGUUCGUUUGUCAUUUUCAUUGGCUUGUUCAGGGUAUUUACGAUCCCUCACAUAUCGUAAUAUAUCCUAAUACCAAGGGUUAUCAUCCUCUUCUUCCUUCUCAAUGUUGCAACAAUGUGCUGGAGCCUCGUAGGCACUCAUUUGAAUUGGUCUUAUCUCUUCUUCUUUAUUUGCCUUAAUCAUUGAGGCCAAGGUUGCUAAAGCAUUUUCCAUCUGAUUUUCGUCUCGUGGGAAAUAAUUGAAGGUGACGUCAUCAAACUCCUCAAGCAGCCCCAAAACUACCUUUCGAUAAUUGAUCAAUUUAGGGUCCUUUGUUUCCCAUUCACCUCUGAGUUGAUAAAUUACCAACGUAGAAUCUCCAUAUACUUUUAGGGUUUUUAUACCUCGCUCUAUAGCUACUUGUAGUCCCAUGAUGCAUGCUUCAUACUCAUCCAUUUUAUUCGUGCAAUCAAAGCCCAACUUGCAUGUGAAAGGGUAGUGAUUGCCAUUUGGGGAUACCAAGACUGCCCCAAUUCUAUUUCCGACUGCAUUAGAAGCCUCAUCAAAAUUGAGCUUCCAAGAAGAAUCUUCUGUCGUUGCUAUACACAUCAACUCCUCAUUUGGAAAAUCAAAGUUCAAUGGCUCAUAAUCCUCUAGAGCUCUACUAGCCAAGAAAUUUGAUAUCGCACUUCCUUUUAUAGCCUUCUGACUUAUGUAGACUAUAUCAAAUUCUAAAAGUAGAAUUUUCCAUCUCGCCAUUCUUCCAUUCAGAGCCAUUGACUCCAUCAUGUAUUUCAAUGGAUCAAGCUUUGAGAUGAACCAAGUGGUAUGGUAUAGCACGUACUGUCUUAAUCUCCGAGUUGUCCAAAUAAACAACACAACUUUUCAAUCGGUGGAUAUUUCAUCUCACAGUCAGUGAAUUUCAAACUGAGAUAAUAAAUUGCCUUCUUCUUUUUCCCUGACUCGUCAUGCUGGCCAAGCACACAUCCCAUGGAAUUGCUGAAUACUGAUAAGUACAGUAUUAUUGGUCUAUCUGGACUGGGCGGAGAUAACGCCUGAGCAUUCAACAAGUACUGUUUGACCUUUUCAAAAGCAUUUUGGCAUUCCUCAUCCCAAGUACCUUGAUUGUGCUUUUUAAGGAGACGAAAGAUGGGAUCACACUUCUCAGUUAGUUGUGAAAUAAACCGAGCAAUGUAAUUCAGUCUUCUUAGAAAUCCUUGAACUUCCUUUUGAUUUUGUGGGGGAGGUAAUUCUCGUAUAGAUCUGACCUUGUCUGAGUCAACUUCAAUUCCCUUUUCACUGACUACAAAGCCUAAUAACUUUCCCGAUCUAGCUCCAAAGGUACACUUUGCUGGAUUGAGCCUCAACUGAAACUUUCUCAAUCUCAAGAACAUUCUUCUCAGGACCUCAAUGUGCUCUUUUUCGGUACACGACUUGGCCAUCAUAUCAUCAACAUACACCUCAAUAUCCUUAUGCACCAUAUCGUGGAACAAGUUCACCAUGGUUCGCUGGUAUGUUGCCCCCGCAUUCUUUAACCCAAACGGCAUUACUUUGUAGCAAAAGGUACCCCACAAGGCUAUGAAGGUAGUUUUAUCCAUAUCCUCUAAAUGCAUCUUUAUCUGAUUGUACCCCGAGAAACCAUCUAUGAAAGAGAACAACGAAUAUCCUGCCGUGUUGUCUACUAAAGUGUCGAUGUGUGGCAAAGGAAAUUAUCUUUGGGGCUAGCUUUAUUUAAAUCUCUGUAAUCAACACACAUUCGUACCUUCCCAUCUUUCUUUGGAACUGGUACAAUGUUGGCUACCCAUUCGGAGUAUUUCACUUCUUGUAAGAAUUCUACAUCGAACUGCUUCUUAACCUUAUCUUUUAUUUUUAGAACAAUGUCUGGCCGCAUUCUCCGCAACUUCUGUUGGACUGGCUUACAAUCCUGCCUUAUCGGAAGACGAUGUACUAUAAUGUCAGUACUUAAUCCGAGCAUGUCCUGGUAUCCUUGAACUCUCGAAGCAACUCAACCAAACUAUGCCUUUUGUCCUUGGUAAUCAGUAUUCCAAUUUUCAACUCAGCACCCUUCCUCUAGGGCUAUAUUCUCUAUUGCCUCUUUCUCAUGUGGCAUGAUUUGUUUCUCCUCCUGCUUUACCAUUCUUAACAGAUCGAGGGAUACGUCACAAUCUUGAACAUCUUCAAAAUCCUGAGAUUCCUCUAAACACAUGUCUUGCUCGUAAGAGAAAUUAGGAGCGGCAGUAUUAGUGCUCAUAUCAUUGAUAUCUAGAGACCUGUGGGGGUAUGAAAGAAUAUACAAAGAAUGAAUGAAUCUAAGAAUGGUUGUUUAUGUGCUAUGAAUAAAAGGAUAAGGAUUGCCAAAAUUUAAAGGAAUAUUGGUUGAUAAAGAUGAAAUAAUACUCGUUUAAAAUUGAUAAAAGUUAUGUUUUAUUUAAAUAAUAAUAGAUGAACAUAGGUCUAUUUUCACAAAUGUAAUCUUACUACUCCUAGGCCCUAGACAUGUUUCGGGAAUUACUCUAAAAAAUUCCUAAAGAUUACAGGAAGUUCUUCUGCAGUCCAAUUGUUUAAAGAACUUCCCGGUUCGUAAGGGCGAAUGCCCUCAAGGUUUUUUUGUUCAGUCCCUUUCUCAUGUAUGACAUUGAUGGGAUGAUUUUCCUUUCCAAACACCCCCUUCUCGGGGUAAGCUAUCUCUCCUGACACAAAAGUCAGGGAUAUGUAAGGGAACGUCAUUAAUUCCUAUUCAACUUCUUUUUCACUUAGCCGUGACCCUAUUCUCUCUCUCUUUUUUUCUUUCUCUUUUUAAUAACUUUAACUAAUUAGGGUCUUUUUAUGGAUUUAAAUGCAUGUGAUGUGAUGCAAUGCAAAUGCAUGAAUGCAAAAGAAAAGGAGAUAUUGAUCUUGAAUUCAAUUCCAUUAGAAUAACUUUUCUAGAAAACAGAUUUCUUUACAUGAAAAUAGAUUGCAUAUGUAGUCUUGCCCUUCAUAGUCCAAGUAAACGUUGAUCUUUUCUUCAUGGUCGAAUCCUGUAAAUUCUCUAAAAGAUGCCUUUGCUAGCUCCUUGCUAUUUAAUCUGAGCUCGAUCUCUUGCUCGCUUAUCUCUAUGAUACUCAUCAAAAAGUGUCGGCUCUUGGAUAAUCUUCGUCGAUAAUUAAAUUAAGUCAUGUAUUCCCUCGUGGACUUCUGGCUUUCUCUCGUCAUGCUCUUGGAUAACUUUUGUUGGCUUGAAUCUCCGGCAAUUACAUCAUGUAUUCCUCCGUGGACUAUCAGCUUUCUCUCGUCGUGUUUAUUUGGACUAUAUUCAGACGACCGCACUAUAAUCCACUUUAUCAAGAAAUUCGUUUCCUUAUGACAAACUAUUCUAUUUAGGAAUCAAAUUUCAAAUCAACACCAACUUUUCUUUGAUGUAAUGUAAUGCAAAUGCAUGAAUGCAAAAAGAUAUCGAUCUCGAUUUAGUUUCAUUUUAGAAAAUGUUAUUUAAGGAACAAAAGUCUUUUCAUAAAACGGAUUACAAAUACACUUUCGCUCGUAGGCCCAGAGUCUUAACCCUAUCUAAUAACAAAGCUAACUCUCGACCUCUAUCUGAACUGCCCCGUUUUAUAUUGCUUUAGGACGAGUAAUGGUGCAUAGCCAACGACUUCCCAAAUCCUAAGAAGAGGUACCCAAUCAAAACUACCGCAAUGAUAAAGGACUUCAUUAGGAGUCAUCCAAGGUGCUUUCCACAAAACCUCCUCCUCUCGAAGGUUCUAAAGAAUAUCUAUCCACCUUUCUUCUGUAAUAUCGUCUCUCAUUAGUGUAGUUUUUGCUUCCUUUAAGGGGGAAUAACCCACAAAGAACACUGGGCAAGGAACCUUCUCAAGCUUCCAAAAGUGACUAUGGAACCAUACUAACAACAACUGUGUGCAUCCAAUAAAUCUACUUUACCGGCUCUCCGACAUGUACUUCAAGAAUCUAAACAUCUCAGCUAGGAUUGCUAGCACCGGUGUGUUCUGUUUACCAAUACAAUCAAACAAAUCUGCGACUGCCUCAUCUAUGUGCCCUAUCGCUUUCGGGAAAAUCACCAAGCCGUAAAUACUUAAGGCCAAAACGUUGAUCUUCUUCUUCACAUCUAGGUGUGUCAAUAUUAGAUCCCUCGAAAUGGCCCACGGAAUGCACUUAUUAUUGCCCUUUUGUUGGACUCGAGCUGCGGCCUACUGUUCACUCAUCCCUGUUAUCAUCAUAAUUUCUUCACAAAAGUAGGGAGAUUAGUAGCCCUAACAUACACCUUGUUAUCUUGAAUUUUUGGACAGCGAAGCAAGGUCAUAUACUCCUCCAAAGUAGGUACCAAGUCUACCUUUCCCAAUGUAAAACAACUAUAAACAGGGUUCUAAAACUGUACCAUAGAUUGAAACAGAUACCUGUCCACCUUGAUGUCUAGCAAAUAAGGAAGAUCUCCAUAAUUCUGGUAGAACAGCUGCUUAGCCUCGUCAUCCCAUUGGUCCCAAAUGUCCUUCAACUCCCGAAACUCAUUCUGUGUUGAACUGAUACGAGUAAAGUCCCAUGACUCUGACGUAUACCUCUCAGUGACACUAUCUCCCUUUUCUAAUUAGGUUUUCUCUGACCAUGCAUAGACAGAAGCGUUGUCCUCCACUUUAUCAAGAUAUUCGUUCCUCAUUACAAAACUUUCUAAUCUAGAAAUCGAACCGUGAAUUGACACCUUUUAAUGAUGAAUGAUAUGUGGUGAUGACAAAAUAAAAAAAAAACAAGUUAGUAUCAUAUAAAAAGAUGUAAUAAACAAGAACUUAUAAAGGUAGGUACUAAAGAUCAUCACCAUCCUACCUAGAGCAAGCACUUAAAGUUCACUAUAUGUAGUUUAGUUCUAGAGCAAGGGUACCUGAACUAUCAGAUUCCUCGGUCCUCACCCAUUAUAGGCUCAUAUGGACCAAGUUCAAUUCAGGGGAAUACAUUUCCUUAUGCCCAUGCGGAGGUGAAAACCUCACGAAGACAUAAGUACGGAUGUAUUCCGGAAGUGAUCCCCUAGCCCAUGCGGAGGUGAAAACCUCACGAAAGCAUAGUUUCUCACUCCCACUUAAAAGGUGUGACCACAACGGUCAUGCAAUGCGAUGCAAAACUAUUUAAGGACUCAAACCAAUGCAAUAGGUAUUAUAUCAUAAACCACAAAAAGCUGAUGAAAUGCAAUGAAAGAAUCGUAUUUCAAAACCUAAUUUUCAAUUUUCGAUAUAAAGACAAAAGUUAAUCAACUUGUGGCUUGACUCUCUUAUUUGGUCCCCAAUGGAGUCGCCAAGCUGUUGUAACCAUUUUUUUUUGAAAAAAACGGGGAUUGAAUUUAAAACGAAAAUGGAGUCGCCACCAAUCUUUUUUUGUUUAGGUGUGAUCGGGUCACCUUAUGAUCGAUCAUUUUAUAAAAUAUUUUGAUUUAUUAAAAUGAUUAUUUUUGGUCUACGAAAAUCAAAAAAUGAGUUCGGGAGUCGGUUACGCACGAGGAAGGAUUAGCACCCUCGAUACGCCCAAAAUUGGUACCUAGUUGAUUAAUUAGUGUCUUAGUGUCGAAAAUUGAAAACUUGAAAGACUUUUAAAAUAUGAUCCCUCUUUGUAUUAAUGAUGAUUUAAAAAAGAUCGAAUAAAUUAAAACGGAUGUUGAAGACUCUCUCAUCUUGAAGUAAUAAAAUGUCACGCCCAGUAAGUUAGGACACGUCAUCUUGAACUUUGAGAAUGAGCUUGCCUUUAUUUAAAAUUCAUGUACUUUAACCCUUUUUUUUAAAAGGAUGUUCGGUUAUUUAGGGUAAACGAGAAAAGUCGAAACCAGUAAGUUAGGGUACGAUCUUUUGAAUUCUUUAAAUACCAAACAUUGCCUUGUUUAAAUUUUCAAAUAAAUGUAUUUUUAUAAAAAAAAAUAACUCGAUAACAUAAGGAAUUAAACAUGUGGCAAUAACAUCUCAGGAAUAAUCUAAAAUAAUAUGGAAAUGCAAAGGAACAACUUAGAAUACAUGCAAUCACAACACAUCAUAUAUUAUGAAAAUACCACCAUUUAUGUCUAAGGGUCAAUGCAUAAGAAACCAAUUUUAAAAGAAGUUUCAAGUAAAUCCUAAAUAAAAUAUACCAAGUUUUUUUAAAAUAAAAUAAAAUAAAUAAUAGGAAAAAGAAAAUUUGAAAUAUAACUAUAAGAACUAUAAGAAAAUUUUAAAUAGUAAUGUACAAAUGAAAUUAAAAAAUAUUCUAAAGUAAAUAAUUUGAACGAAGCUUGAAUUGUAUCAAAAUAAAAAAUAAGAAAAAAAUAUAUAUAUGUAGCAUAACUAAAAUUCCAAAAUAAAUAAUAGGCAUAAAAGAUUAAAAGUAAAUAAUACACAAAGUAAUAUAUACACAGGAAAAGCUUAAUAUAAAUAAUACAUAUAGUAGUAAUAAUAAUAUAAAGGUAUUUCAUAUAAACAGGUAUGCACGUGGAAAAAAAAUAAUCACAAAAGUAUGAAAUCAAAAUAAUAUGUUGAAACAUGUUUAUUCUAAGAAGAAUAACUGAAACUUAGUUGAGAGAAAAAAACAAAAUCCAAGGGAUAACUUACAAAUAAAAAAAAUUAUUAAAACGUAAUUUUGGGCUAAAAUUAAUUGCGUAUAAAUGUUCGAGGUCUAAAAUUAAAAAUGUCCCAAAUCUUAAAAUACUGUGCUAAGGGGGCAAAUUGAAAUAGCGCACAGAUUGCAGGGCCAAUUUAAAAUAAUUUAAAAAAACUUAAAUAUAGCCUGAUUGAAGGCUAGCGCAAAGGAGGGGACCAAUUGCGCAAAUUACCAAAUUAAAGGUAAAAUGCACAUGGUCCCAAGAAAAAAAGCGUGCUGAUCCCACUCCCCCAUGCUACUUUGUUUUAUUAUUAAUUAAAACCAUACUUUAUCUCCUUCUAUUUCAUUAAAAAACCCUUUUCUAAAAAACAAAAAAAAAGUUAAAACACCACCCUGCAUUCAUUUUUCAAAACAGAGAGAAGGCUCUCAACCCCCCUCUCAUCUUGCGAUUCACUCCCAAAUUCCGGCAGAUCACCACCGCCGGCUUCGCCAUCAGCGACCCUCAUGCAUGGCGGCCGGAGCCCCUUUUCUAGGCGAAGAAAGGUACCUCAUUCCUUUUUUAUUUCACAAAAUAUAUGUAGAUAUAUAUAUAUAAGAGCAAAUAAAAGAAAGUAAAACCUUAGAAUAACUCCCUUGAUCUAUUUUUAUUUCCUGAAGUGCUCUCUAUUGUAUGUAGUACAACUGUUCAUUUUUUUUAAAAAAAAACCCUCCUUCUAGAACCAUCUGUCCUCCUCUUUUACAAUAAAAAAUUGAAGGCUUUAUAGCCAAAAACCAUACAUUUUCCACCUAUCUCUUUGCUCCAAUUGCAGGUGUUGCAGUUGUGGAGAACGAGGGGCGUGAAACAUGGGUGAAAACAUCGAGCGGGACAUACGGGAAUCGUGAAUGGAGUAAGUGGAGGUAUGGGCAAUAGGACAGGGCAAGUUGGCCGACAGUCAAGCAUAGGGAUGAUGGCUAGGUUUUUUUUAGUCUUCUUCUUUCCUUUUUUUUUAAUUGCUAUGGGCUAGUGUUAAAGGGUUUUGGGCUGUUGGGUUUUUAGAUGUUGGGCUUUUUAGCCCGGGCAAAAUUUGGGCUGUACAGCGAGAACAAGGCCGGAAAUCCCAUCGGAGGGAAAAGAUUGUCAAGUUAGGAGUAUUAAUGGACAUCAAUCUUAAAAAUGGGAAUAAUAUUAAUUAUUGUUAGAGAAUGCUAGAGAUGGUAAAUAAAGAGGCAGUGUCAGAGUCUGUUUCCAAAGAUAUUAAAAUAGGAGAAGCAGAUGAAGUGGAUAAAUGUAAGGGAUGGGCUUUGAAGAAAGUAAGGGAUAUGGGCUUGGCUGUUGUAGAGGAUCCAAUAGAAGAUCCAAAAGAAGGGGGAAAUGAUAAUGGAUCGAGCAUGAAUGUGGGCUGUAAGAAUGUAGGAAAAACUAACUCAGAAGGAAAAACAAGUCCAGUGGAAGGCAACAAAAGUAUUUAAGAAAAUGAAACAGGAAGAGGGGAAUUUUGGGAAUCCAAUAUAGAAUUAGAAGAAGAAUUAAAUCAGGUGCUUCUUCGCAGGAAAAAAAAAAGAAAGGUUUGAACAAGAAGAUACAGUCGAUGUAUGAAAUUCAAGGCAAUAUUGUUACAAGCCCAAUUUGCCCGGCCCAAAACCCAACUACCCUAAAAACUAAUCAGCCCAAUUACAAACCCUAGCCCACUAUCCUAAACUUUUCCAAGAAAAUCUAGCCCCCUAGGUGUGCCGCCCCUACUACCUACCACCAGCACACCUGCCCACCUGCUCCACCGCCCGUGUCAGCAUCGCCCAUCCACCUACAAGAAGAACAGAGCAAUCAAGUAGAAAAACAAGUUGUAAAAUUGGCUAUUUAAAAGCCUAAAGAUCAAAUGUAAUAAGGAGAGGUUUUUUUAGACAUUGAAUACAAUCACAAAAAAAAAAAGCAAAUUCAAAUACAUAAAUAACAAAUAGUAGAUCGAAAGAGAAAUCAAAAAAAGUUCAUAAUCGAGCAAAGGUUACCAUAUUUUAUUUCAUUUUAUUUUAUUUUUUUCAUUUACAAAUCUGUUAAUACAUAUAUGUAUAUAUAAAGUGUAUAAAAAAUGGGACUUACCUUCAAUCUCGCUAAAAAAGGCCGACUUUUGGCCUUCCUGCCACCGUAUAUGGCGGCGCCGGCGAACGGUGGCCGAUGACCGAAGACCAAGGUUGGGAGGGCCUGCUGUAGAGAAAAAGGGAGCCCUCCUUUUUGUUUUUUUGAAGAGAAUGAGGGAAGAAUGAAAUUUUUUUAAAAAAAUUUACCUUUUAUACCCAUAUAAAACGGCGUCGUUUUGGCCCCUAGGAUCAGCGUGUUGACCCGCCCGCUAGCAGGAUCCGCGUGUUUUUGGAAAAGGGGGAAUUUGCGCGAGUGGUCCUUCCUCCUUUUUAUUACUUUGUAAUCAAGUCUUUUGAUUCUUCAAUUUUGGCCCCGAAUUUUGCCUGGAUUCUAGUUCAGUCCCUACCGGAACUGUGCGUUUAGAGGGAGGGGAUAUUUUCCUUUUUCGUCCCUUUACGUUGCGCACGUGUUGCAAUCUGGUCCUUCCCCCUUUCUUUUCAUUUUUAAUUUGCCCCAAAAUUUCGUUUUAAGUUCGGUUUAAUUCUUUUUCGUUAUUUUGCUAUUUUAUCUUCAAAAUAAUUAUUUUUUUAUUAUUUUUUCUUAUUAUAUUUAUCAUCAUUAUUGUUUCUUUGCCAUUACUGUUAACACAAUAUAUUUAUUCCUAUUAUUUUAUAUUAUUGUCGUUAUUAAUAUAUACUAUUAUUAUCAUUAAUAUUAUUAUUAUUAUUAUUACUAAUAUCACUAUCAUCGUUUUUUAUUACUAUUAUUAUCAUCAUUUUUUUAUCUAAUAUAUUAUUAACCUUUUAUUAUUAUUACUAUUAUUAUUAUAUUUUCUUUUUAUUUUUUUCACUCAUACGUUAUUAUUUUUAUAUUAAUUAAUUUAAUAUAUAUAUUUUUAAGCAUACUUAUUUUAUUUAUAUAUAAUUACUCUUAUUAUUAUCAUUUCAUCAUUUAUUUUAUUUAUAUCUUUCUAAACAAUUUCAAACUUUAGAUUAUUUAUUAUUUGUGUUAUUGUUAUUAUUACUUUUUAUUAUUACCAUUAUUAUUACUAUUAUUUUUACUUUUAUUACUAUUACUAUAUUAUUAUUAUUAUUUUCUAUUACUAUUAUCGUUAUUAUUAAUACUAAUAUUAAUAUUCUUAUUAUUACUAUUAUUAUUAUCAUUAGUAUUAUUAUUUUUUACCACUAUUAUUAUUAUCAAUAUUAUUAUUAUCGUUUUCAUUAUCAUUGUCGUUUUUAUUUUUCCAUGUUUUAUAUUUUUUAUUUACUUAUGUGUUUGAUUAUUUCAUUUGCCUUAUGCAUUUGUUUUAUAUUUUUAUAUUACUAGCAUUGCUUUUAUUUCACCUUUUUAUAAUUGCUCAUAUUAUUGUUAUUGACACUGUCGCGCCUAUUAUUAUGUUAUUAAACGUAUUAGCACCAUAAUUUACUUUUAUAUUUCACUAUAAAUCACGUCACAUUUCACUCGAUACAUUAAAAUAAUUCUUUCAUAAAAGCAAUAUUCCAUAAUUAGAAAUUCGAGAAAAUCGUGCCCUAACAUACUGGGUUUCGAUUUUUCUCAUUUAACCUAAAUUACGUAAUAUUCUUUUAAAUUGUAAUAAGGGCUUUUGAAUAAAAGUGCUUAUUCUCGAAGAUACGAGGUGUUGUACCCUAAAUCACUGGAUAUUGCAUCUUGUUACCUCGAAAUAAGAUUUUUUGUAAAUAAAGGCAACGUUCGGUAUUUGGAAGUUCGAGAAAACGUGCCCUAACUUACUGGGUUUUAAUUUUUCUCGUUUACCCUAAAUAAUCGAAUACCCUUAAAAAAAGUUAAAAUACACGAAUUUUAAGUAAAAGGCUGACUCAUUUUCAAAAGUUCGAGAUGUUGUGUCCUAACUUACUGGAUGUGACAUUUCAUCACUUUGAGACGAGAAGGUCUUUAACAUUUGAGUGUUUUUUACAAAAGAGGGAUUGUAUUUCAAAGUCUUUCAAGUUUUAAAUUUUCGACACUAAGACACUAAUUAAUCAACUAGGUACCAAUUUUUGGGCGUAUCGAGGGUGCUAAUCCUUCCUCGUGCGUCAUCAACUCCCGAACUUAUUUUUUGAUUUUCGUAGACCAAAAAUUAUCAUUUUAGUAAAUCUUAACUUUUAUUAAAAUGAUUAAUUUGAGAUGACCCGAUCACACCUCAUCAAAAAGGAUUGGUGGCGACUCCCGUUUCUUUCAUUUUAGUUUCCAAAACCAAAGUCGACUCCAUUUUUCAAAAAAUAGUUUCGACAAACAUUUUAACGACAAAUGAGAGGAAAAGAGAGACAGACCCUUGCAUAAGGAAAAAGGAAGGGAAGUUCGUAAGGAAGAUGAGAGGAUUGUAAAUUUAUCCCUAUCAGAUUCGAAUAUUAACAACAGAAUGAGGGUGAUUCUAAGGGAAGCAAAUAAUACUUGGGCAAUCGGAAAGAAAUUGGGAGUUAAGGAACGACAUGACAACACUAUUUUAGGAAGAUUCAUGGUGUGGCAGUCGUCAUUUAGAAGAAGGAUUUCUAAGGCUUUAUCGAUUGGCAAAACUCAAAAAAAGAAGUGUGAGAAUGUAUACUAGAAAAGAGGGUUUUAGAAAAGUAAAGUGGGGGGCAUUUGUUAUAAGAAAACUGAUUGAUAUGAUAAAGUAAUGUUUGCUGGAGUAUUUUUGGUGGAUAUGUCUGAAUAGGUGUAGGAUUGAUUCAAUUAAUCCAAGCCAGAUGCAUUAUUUUGGUGGCCUCCUCCUCAUGGAUGUUUAAAGUUCAAUGUGUGUGGGAUUGCAAACGAGGAUUGAGUAGGAUGUGGAGGAGUCUUGAGUGAUAAGGAGCGUGUCGUAAGAGAAUUAUUUUUUGGUUUUGCAGCAGGAAAUGAUUCCAUUGUGUGGUACAGAUUGGCACGGUGAAGGUAUAAAUUGGGAGAAAAUGUUUAAUUAUAAAUUGGAAGAAAAUGUUUAAAGCUUGGUGGUGAGUUUUGCUUUGCUGUAAUCAUAGGUCUGUUAAGUGAUCGAAUGUGUUUUUUUUUAGAAUGUUGUAUUGUUAAACUUUUGUUGCUAUUCUAUUCGUAUUUUAUAACAGAACAGAUCGAAUGAAGCAAAAAAAAAAGAGGAAAAAAACCUAACCAUCAGGCCAAUACACAGGUUCAUAUAUUAACAAUUUUUGAGUAGCUAAUUUUUCUUAAUAUAGGUAAACCUUGCAAUCUUGAUUUCUAACUCAAAAUUUAACUUGAUGAAUUUAAAAUAAAGGUUAUUUUAUUUUUAUUUAAUCAUAUAAAAAUUCAAACUUAAAUUGAUUCAAAUUCGAAAUAUAGGGGUUGGCUUUGCACCCUAAAAUGGUAAGUUUAUGUUUUAGCGUUUUAAAUUUUAUAAAUUUUAUAAAUUAGUAUAUGGUAAAAAUUAUACUUUGGCUUGCAAAAAUAAUAAAAUUUUAAUUUAAUCCUUAAUUAAUUAUAAAGACGUAAGCUAUUAAAAUGGUGAAAUGACAUUUUACCUCUCAUAAAAACUUUACAACUUAAAUGAGAGUAAAUAGAUCCGAAAACCUCAAGCAACACAAAAUUAUUUUAAUCUAAAGCUCAUUUAAAUCUGAAAAUGAUGAAGACAAAUUUGUUUAUGUUUAUAAAUUUUUUUAAUAAUCUGAUUAUAAGUUUUGAUGAUAUCUACUCUUUUUAACACAAUGCCUAGAAUUAUCUAUAACCCCUCCCCAACCCAUAAAUAGGAGGAUAAUGCGUUUAAGCAUACUCGAAACUAGAUCUUCUUACAUUGACAAUAAUACCUAUACUAAUCAAGCUAAGAUUCAAAGCUAAAAUUCAAUUCAUUAAUUGUAUAUAUAUUUUAAUGUGAUCCAGCACCAUAUGAAUGAAACAAAUGAAUGCAUCAGUUCAAAUUGCCCAAUGAAAGACCUAAGAAAUAUUAAAAUCUAUAUAAUAAAAAAAGUUUGCAGAUAGCUUGCACACCAAGCCUAAUAUGUUUUAUUUUUAAUUUAAAUUUAUUAUCACGUUUUCAAUAUUUGAUUAUGAUAUUUAAAUUUAUAUCUCAAGAUAACGACUAUGAUUUGAAAUAAAAUUAUAUAGAUGCAUGCAAAUUUCCCUUUGUCUACUAUUAAUCAUUUAGUUUUGGCAUAAUGAUUUUUUUAGUCCUCUAAUUUUAAAAAUUAAAUUAUUUUAGUCCUUCAUUUAAAUUUUCGCUUCUUCUAAUCCUUAAAUUUACAUUUUUUGUCAAACUGCUCCAAAUUUGAUGGAAAAGUUAAUAUUUAAUAACUUUCCUGACGUGUUAUACAUGUGGAUUGUUGAGUAGAAAACAGGUGAGCAUUUAAUUCAUUUCUAAACUAUUAAAAAUAAUUUUUAUAAUUUCUAAUUUUUAAAAAUAAUUUUAUAAUAUUUUAAAAUUUUUUAAAUUUUAAAAAAUUAAUUAAAUGUUGACAUGUCAUCUUCAUAGCAGUCCACAUAUAUGCAACGUUAACAAAAUUAAAAAAGUUAACUUUUCCAUUCAUCUUGGGAUGAUUUGACAAAAGUACAAGUUUAAGGACUUAAAAGAUAAAUGUAGCGACGUAAAAAUUUUGGUUUGGGGUCGCUAAUUGUGACAAUCUAGUGAAAAAGUUCGAAAACUGAAGUUUGAUUUUAAAAAAAAGAGGGAGUCGCCACCGAUCCUUUUCCUAGGUGUGAUCGGACACCUAUUAGAUUCAUUUUUUUUUAAAACAAAAGGAAUGCUGAAUUUAGGUCUACGUUAAAAGCCAGAGGAAAAUUAGGGUUCGGGAGUCGGUUACGCGCGAGGAAGGUAUUAGCACCCUCGCGACGCCCAAAAAUUGGUAUCUCAUAAACACAUGUUGUCUUAAUUUUCAAAAAUGCGAAUUCAAUGUAAAGUUUAGUUGUGAUCUGAAAAAAACGAGAAAUUUUAGUUUAUUCCGAUUUUUGAGAAGGGUAUAUCGCUUUAACACGAGUCAAUUGAUGUUCACCCAACGUAGCGAUGAACUCGAUGACUUAAUGUUAAAUCGAUAUGUUGCCUUGAUUAUUGAAAUUAAUUAGCAAAACAAGAAUACGAUUUUCGAAAUAAUGCAAAGUAAAAUAAUAUGAAAUAAAAAUCAAUAAAUGAAAGAGCUAGGGAUAUAUUAAAACAAAUAAUCGAGGUGACAAUAAUAUUAGAAAAGAUGAAGGUAUAAUGUAAUAAUAGAAUCGGACACGAAAUUAAAAUAAUGAAUGUAUACACAUAAUAAUAAUAUUAAGAAUGCGUGUGUAAAAUGACAUAUAUAUUUAGCGAUAUUAAAAAUCCAUACAACAUACAUAGAACAUAUAUAGUAUAUGCAUACCUUAGAAAUGAUAAGAAUAAUGAUAAAACUAUUUUGUACACUACAUAAAUACAUACACACACAUAUAUAUAUAGAUAUAUAAACAAUAGUAUUAGAAACGUAUAAUAUUAGAGAUACACAUAAUAGUAAAAAAAUAGAUACCUAAAUAAUAUUAAAAUAUACAUAAUAAUAUACAUAAAAUAUAAUAUUAAAAACUUAUGUACGUAACACGUAUAAAAGAAAUAUAAUAUUAAAUCAUUUACAUAAUAUACACAUAUGAUUUUCAGGUUAAAUACAUAUUUGAGUACUAACAUUACAUAAAAAUAUACUUAUAUAUAUAAUAUAUUAAAUAAAGUGGGAUAAAAAAUAUUGAAUAUUAAGCAAUACAUAUACACAUACACAUAUGAAGCAAAAAAAAAAUUAACACGUAAUAAUAAUAAUAAUGAUAAUAAUAACAAUAUUAAUGAUAUUAAUAAUUCAAAAAUAAUGAUGAUAUUUAAUAAAAAUAACAAAAGAGACGAAGAAGGACUAAAAUUAAAACAAUAACGAAGUUAUGGGGUCAAUUUAAAAAGGAAAUAAAGAGGAGGGACUUAAUUACAACACGCGCGUAACUAGAAGGGUCAAAAGCACAAUAAAUCCAGAUGUUAAAACGCUGCGCAGCGUGGGGGACCAGAACGAAAUCAGGGCAAAACAGCGGGGCCGAAUUUAAAAUAUAAAAAAAACUUGAUUAUAAAAUGUUGAAAAAGCGGAGGGGCCAACUGCGCAAAUAGCCCCUCCCUUAAAAACACGCGGAUCCCCUGGUCGGACGGGUCGGGUCGACCCGACCCGCAUCAAAACGGCGUCGUUUUCUGCUUUAAGGGGGGGUCCAAAACGGUGCGUUUUGGACCCUUAUAUAAGCCAAAUUUUUUUGUUUUUUUUUUCAUUUGAAACAGCUGAGAGAAAAAAAAAGAAAAGGGGGAGGGGAGAGGGAAGCCCGGAGCGAUUUCCGGCCAAGGGGGAGGGCUCCGGUCCGAUCGCCGGACCGUUGCCGGCGCCGGCGCCGGCCACCGUACGCGGUGACCGAAAAAGGUAAUUUUCUAUUUUUUCUCUCUUUUUUUUGCUUUUUAUUUCUUUAUGUUUAUUUGUAAAUUUUUAUGUAUUUGUAGUGAAAAAUGGACUUAAAACAGUUAUUGAAAUGAAGAAUUACCUUCGGUUUUACUCACUUUUGAAUCUUCGAUCUUUUGUAUUUUGCCUGCUUGGAUGUUAUUUUGCGUUCAAACUCUAAUUAGGCUGCUAUUUUUUGCUCUAUAAUCGAACCUUCCUGUCGUUUUUAUUUUUUAAGAAACAAAGAACCAUCCCCCCUUUACAGAAAUCCAAAUCGGCUUUUUAUAGCCUUUACAAUAUUUUAUUUAAUAUUUGUUGUCUUGUCUCUUUUCUGGUCUUGCAGGGUAUGGAGGUGCCAGGCAUGCGGGGAUGGUGUUGGCAGAAGCAUGGGGCGUGGUAGCUGACAUGGUGGUGUUCGGCGCAAGUGGGCAAGUGGGGGGUAGGUGGCUAGGGUUAGUGGGAUUAGGGUUUCUGAAUGCUGAGUUUAGGUUAAUGGGCUGGGGUAGUUGGGCUUCGGGUUUAGUUGUUUAGGCUUGGUUUAGGAUGAGAUGGGUAUGGGGUUUAAGUAAGUUUAGUUAUUGGGUUUUGGGGGUGGCCCAAAAUUGGCCUGUACAGCUGCCCCUCUUUGCUCAUUGUCGUGUAACGGGAAUGGAGCAAAGACAUAAUGAAAGGCCAAUUUUGCCUGGUCUUGCUGGGUCUUGACUUCAUUGGUGCUCUUCUAGUUCAGAUAAUCUUCUUCCAGUCCACUGCAUCUUGUAGCUUUAGAUUCAAUCCACUACAUCUUCUGACAUAUGCCUUGUAGCUUCGAUCUACUCCAAUGUAACUUCAAGGAUAUGAGAUUUGUGGCUUUGAUCUGCUUUCAUGUAGCUUCAUAAAGAUAAGAUCUACAGCUUCAAUCUGCUCUUUUAUCACUUCAGUGAGAUGAGAUUCGUGAUCUUCUCUUUUGUAACUCUAGCGAGACAAGAUUUGAUAUCCUCGAUCAGUUCCACUGCGACCUCAGGGAGACAAGACUUGCAAAUUUUGACCGGUUCCACUAUAGCUUCAGGGAGACCAAGUCUGGUGUCUUUCAUCAACUUCAAUCUUUAUUCUUACUCAGCAUGUGAUCUUGAGCCCAACUCAUUUCUCGCAAUAUGAAUUGACUCUUUAAAAACAGACAUUAAAAACAAAAACUAAAGAUAUCUCAACAUGUGAACUGAGGCUCAACUCACUUUUCGCAAUAUGAGUUGAUUUUUUUGACAACAGAAAUUGAAAUUACCUCAGCGUGUCCUGAGGCUCAACUCAUUUCUCGCAAUAUGAGUUGAAUUUUGAAAAGCAAAAAUUGAAAAUACCUCAACGUGUCUUGAGGCUCAACUCAUUUCUCGCAAUAUGAGUUGAAUUUUGAAAAGAGAAAUUGAAAUUACCUCAAUGUGUCUUGAGGCUCAACUCAUUUCUCACAAUAUGAGUUGAUUCUUUCUAAAACAUAAUAAUGAAAACAGAAAUGGAAAAUACCUCGGUGUGACCUGAGGCUCAACUCACCUCUCGUAAUAUGAGUUGAUUUUUUUUGAAAAACAGAAAUCAAAAGGCUUAAUUGAAAUACCUCGGCGUGGGUCCUGAGGCUCAACUCACCUCUCGCAAUAUGAGUUGAAAUUAAAACACAAAAAUUGAAAAUACCUCAGCGUGCCCUGAGGCUCAACUCACCUCUUGCAAUAUUAGCUGAUUUUGAAAAAGUAGAAAUUAAAAGGUUCAACCCACCUCUCGCAAUAUGAGUUGAUUCUUGACAAACAGAAAUUGAAAUUACCUCAUCGUGUCCUGAGGCUCAAGUCACCUCUCGCAAUAUGAAUUGAAAAAAAUAACACAGUGUGUAAUCUGAAGCUCAACUCACCUCUCGCAAUAUGAGUUGAUUUUUUUUUAAAAACAGAAAUUGAAAAUACCUCAGCAUGUGAACCGAGGCUCAACUCACCUCUCGCAAUAUAAGUUGAUUUUUUUUUUGAAAACAGAAAUUGAAAAUACCUCAACGUGUCUUGAGGCUCAACUUAUUUCUCGCAAUGUAAGUUGAAUUUUGAAAACAGAAAUUGAAAUUACCUCAGCGUGUCAUGAGGCUCAACUCAUUUCUCGCAAUAUGAGUUGAUUUUUUUUUAACAACAGAAAUUGAAAUUACCUCAGCGUGUCCUGAGGCUCAACUCACCUCUAGCAAUAUGAGUUGAUUUUGAAAAACAAAAAUUAAAAGGCUUAACUCACCUCUCGCAAUAUGAGUCAAUUUAAAACAUAAACUAAAAAUACCUCGGCGUGCCCCGAGGCUCAACUCACUUCUCGCAAUAUGAGUUGAUUUUGAAAAAAAAAAUAAAAAUACCUCAACGUGUCUUGAGGCUCAACUCAUCUCUCGCAACAUGAGUUGAUUUUCCUUGGAAAGCAUGAAUAUUAAACAUCAAAAUACCAAAACCAGUCCUUUGGUAGAACUCGGGUAUCUUUUCCUUUGAUUCAGUGCGACUCUCAUUCAAGAUUUCUUGCUUUACUGGAUUACCUGUAUAUGCCAUGCAUGAUGUCAUCAUGAUAUGCACAUGUUUGUCUUAAAUGCCUUUAUGCCUACAUGAUUAUGCAGUGCUCCUUAAGCAUAUUGGUCGUAUGUCAUUUUCGCCAUGAUUGUUGAGGAUCUGCGUUCAUCACUUUGAUUCUCGACCUUCUUUUCAGGCCUCAUACCUGUCUUCGAGCUUUACGAGUAAUCGACGUUUCUCAGAUAUAACCCUUUUGCCCUUGGUUAAACUUUGUUCUUGCUUUGAAGAUCUUGCACUUAUCAAAUUCUUAUCCGGGUAAUGCUUGACAUUUCUUUUGUUUAAAGUAUGUCAUUUCACUAUUUAUCAUUAAAUAAACACAUAAUGAGAUGCAUGAAAAUGGUCAGGUAGGGACAAAAAGGAUAUCUCAUAUUCCUUUAUUUCAAAUGUGGCAAACAAAGAAAGUUAACCAAUGAGAGUAAAAAUGUCAAAAAGAAAGAAAAGGUCGUAUUCAACGGAUACAAAUGCUCUAGAUAUUCAACACAUGAACUCUUCCACGUUCCUCAAUCAAUAAUCUUUUCGAGCAUGGCUUCUUGCGUAGAAAAUUUCGAGCUUUCAGAAGUGCUUCAAAUACUGUAGUCUCACUACUUGACCUAUCGUUCGACCGCCAGGUUUGUUUCAUUAGGACGCCCUCUCGGGUUUUCAUCCUAAUCUUUUUGUACUAAUCAAGACGCCCUUUUCGGGUUUUCGCCCUGAUCCUUUUUUUUUAAGAUGCCCUUUUCGGGUUUUCAUCUUAAGCAUAAUAUUUCUUCACCGCAUCUGAAUUCACCGGAUUUGGUAACUCCUUCCCAUCCAUCUCGGUAAGGAUUAAAGCUCCUCCUGAGAAUGCCUUUUUUACAACGUAUGGUCCUUCCCAAUUUGGUGCCCAUUUUCCUCGCAGGUCUUUUUGUAUUGGGAGAAUCUUUCUCAGAACGAGUUCUCCUUCAUGGAACUCUCUUGGUCGUACCUUCUUGUCAUGGGCUGCGAUCAUUCUCUUUUGGUACAUUUGCCCAUGACAAAUUGCCCUUAGACGUUUUUCUUCAAUGAGGUUCAACUGAUCAUAUCGAGCUCGAACCCAUUUUGCUUCUUCUAACUUUGAUUCUAUCAAUACUCGCAGAGAGGGGAUCUCAACCUCGAUAGGUAGCACAGCUUCCAUUCCAUAGACUAGAGAGAAAGGAGUUGCUCCCGUAGAUGUUCGCACAGAUGUGCGAUAUGCAAACAAAGCAAAUGGAAGUUUCUCGUGCCAAUCUUUAUAUGUCUCAGUCAUUUUCCCAAUGAUCCUCUUAAUGUUCUUGUUAGCUGCUUCAACAGCCCCGUUCAUCUUUGGGCGAUAGGGCGAGGAAUUAUGAUGCUUUAUUUGGAACUGCUCGCACACUUCUUUCAUCAUCUUAUUGUUCAGAUUCGUGGCAUUAUCUGAGAUGAUUCUUUCAGGCAAACCAUAUCGGCAAAUGAUUUCUUUUUUCAAAAACUUGCACACUGCAGUCUUUAUCACGUUGGCAAACAAAGCGGCUUCAAUCCAUUUUGUGAAGUAAUCGAUAACCACAAAAAUGAAUCGAUGUCCAUUUGAAGCUUUUGGAGAAAUUGGCCCUAUGACAUCCAUGCCCCACAUAGAAAAAAGCCACGGAGAAGUCAUGACAUGAAGGGGUGAAGGGGCUACAUGAAUUUUAUCACCGUAGAUUUGACAUUUGUGGCAUUUUCUGGCAAAAUUGAUGCAGUCACUUUCCAUUGUCAGCCAAUAAUAACCGAGUCUCAUGAUCUUUCUGGCCAUAUUGAAACCAUUGGCAUGCGUUCCGCAAAUUCCCUCAUGGACCUCUUCAAGUAUUUUUCUGGCUUCAACAUCAUCCACACAUCUCAAAAGCAUUUGAUCCUUUCCUCUUUUAUAGAGGAUAUCCCCAUCAAGAACAAAUCCCGCUGCCAUUCUUCUAAUUGUUCUUUUAUCGUUCUCAUUCGCUUGUUCGGGAUACCUUUGAUUCUUGAUAUAUUCUAAGAUAUCAUGGAACCAAGGCCGUCCGUCUACUUCUUUCUCAAUGCUACAACAGUGUGCAGGGACCUCGUAUAUGCUCAUUUUGAGGGGCAUUAUUUAUGCUUCUCUACUUGCUUUGAACAUUGAAGCCAAAGUGGCUAGGGCAUCAGCCAGUUGGUUCUCUUCUCGUGGGAAGUAAUAAAAAGUUAUUUCUUUGAAUUCCUUGAUCAAUCCAGCCACUAAAUCGCUGUACUUAAUCAAUUUUGAGUCCCUCACUUCCCAUUCUCCACGGAUUUGGUAAAUCACUAGGGCUGAGUCCCCGUACACCUCCAAGAUCUCGAUGUUUCGUUCGAUAGCUGCACGAAGCCCCAUGAUACAGGCCUCAUAUUCUGCAAUAUUAUUGGUACAGAAAAAGUUUUGUCUUGCAGUGAACGGAUAAUGAUUCCCGUCUGGUGAUACCAGGAUUGCUCCAAUUCUAUGCCCUAAAGCAUUUGACGCACCAUCAAAGCACAUCUUCCAUGACUUCUCUUUUGAUGACUCGGAUUCUAUUUUUGUGAUACACAUUAAGUCUUCGUCUGGGAAAUCGAAUCUUAAAGGCUCAUAUUCCUCUGUCGUUCGAGUUGCUAAGAAGCCAGCUAUUGCGCUCCCUUUUAUCAACUUCUGACUUACAUAGGCAAUGUCAUAUUCCGAAAGGAGGAUCUGCCAUCGUGCCAUUCUUCUUGAUAGUGCCGGCGAUUCCAUCAUGUAUUUUAUUGGGUCCAGCUUUGAAAUUAGCCAUGUCGUGUGAUACAACAUAUAUUGUCUGAGUCUCCGAGCUACCCAAACCAGAGCGCAACAAUAUUUCUCAAUGGACGAAUAUUUUGCCUCAUAUUCAGUGAACUUUUUGCUGAGGUAGUAGAUCGCCUUUUCUUUCUUUCCUGACUCGUCAUGUUGUCCCAGUACGCAACCCAUUGAACUUUCGAACACUGUCAGAUACAAAAUUAAUGGUCUUUCUGGAGUUGGCGAUACUAGCACUGGAGGACUGGACAAAUAUUGUUUUAUCUUAUGAAAGGUCACUUGGCAUUCCUCGUUCCAUUCUCCCGGGUUAUGUUUUCGAAGAAGCCGAAAGAUUGGGUCGCAUUGGUUGGUAAGUUGAGCGAUAAAUCGGGCGAUGUAAUUUAAUCUCCCUAAAAAUCCUCUAACUUCCUUUUACGUGCGCGGAGGUGGUAAUUCUUGGAUGGCUUUUAUUUUAUCUAGAUCAACUUCGAUACCUCUUUCACUGACAAUGAAGCCUAGCAACUUUCCCGAGGUAGCCCCGAAUGUACAUUUGGCUGGAUUUUAGCUGAAACUUUCUCAGCCUUUCGAACAACUUCUUGAGGUUCAUUACAUGCUCUUCUUCUCCUCGAGAUUUAGCAAUCAUAUCAUCGACGUAGACCUCUAUUUCCUUAUGCAUCAUGUCAUGGAAUAAUGUCACCAUAGCCCUCUGAUAUAUUGCCCCAGCAUUCUUUAACCCGAAUGGCAUCACCUUGUAGCAGAACGUUCCCCACAUUGUUAUGAAGGUAGUUUUCUCCAUAUCCUCAGGGGCCAUCUUGAUCUGAUUAUACCCCGAGAAUCCAUCCAUGAAAGAAAACAAUGAAUGUUUUACUGUGUUGUCCACCAACGUGUCAAUAUGUGGCAAGGGAAAAUUAUCUUUUGGGCUUGCUCGAUUCAGGUUACGGUAAUCCAUGCACAUUCGUACUUUUCCAUCUUUCUUUGGUACCGGGACUAUGUUAGCCACCCAUUCUGGAUAUUUAGAGGCUUGUAGGAAGCCAGCGUCAAAUUGCUUCUUGACUUCCUCUUUUAUUUUCAACAGCAUUUCGGGCCUCAUCCGUCUUAAUUUUUGCUGGAUGGGCUUGCAUUCUGGCUUUAAUGGGAGCUUAUGGACCACUAAAUCUUCAUCUAGCCCUGGCAUGUCCUGGUAUGACCACGCGAAAACAUCUUUGUAUUCGCGGAGUAAAGUGAUCAAACUAUGCCUGGUACUUUCUGAAAUAGAAGUCCCAAUCUUCACUUCUUGUUUCCUCUCUUCAGUGCCCAAAUUUAUUGUUUCCACAGAUUCUUCAUGAGGCAGAACCUGUUUAUCCUCUUGUUCCACCAUUCUUAACAAUUCAGGAGACGAGACAUAAUCUUCAGCAUUUUCUUCAGCUUCAAAUUCUCCUAAGCAAACAGCCUUCUCAAAAUCAAUUUCAAGAUUCGUAACGGGCUUAUUCAUGUCGUCAAUAUCUGAGCACAUGAAAGUUGAAUGGAAAAGGAAGCUAUCGGGGGACAUCCAAGUAUUGGAAACAACAAACAAAAUGUUAUGUCAUGGCAAUGAGGCAAAUGUAAGGAUAGGCUAUGAAAUGAGAAAAUGAUUAUGAAAUUAGUGAUAAUGCGAAAAAUCGUGACAAAAUGCAUCUUCAUUGAUAUUCACUUAAAUGAUAAAGAGCGAAUGCAAGCUCCUACAAAAGAAUUCCAUUAUAUCUAAGGACACAAUAGAAGGUUGAUUUUUAGGAUUACUCUGAAGGCUUAUAAACUACAAGAAGCUCCUCAGCAAUCCAAUUGUUCAACAUGAAACCAGGAGGGCAAGGGCGUAUCCUCGAGACAUCUUUACUUGCACCAGCUUCUUUGUCAAUGACAUUGAUACUGACAUUCUGAAAAUCCCUUUCAAUUAAUCCCAGCAUGUUUCGUGGAUCAUCUUGUCCAGGGUACAUCAUUCCCGCAGAUGUAAAUGUUUUUAACAAAGGAGGGUACUCUAUUGGUUCCCAUUCUGGUUCUCGGUCCAAAGUUCUUGCAAUUCUUCUCUCUUGAUCCUUCUUCCACUGUCUUCUUCUUUGGCGCAUGUCAGGCUGGAACCCCAAACCGUAUCGGGCCUUGUGGUGCACUGGCUUUAAAGCCCUUACUAUUCCUUGCAGAUGUCUCCCUAAACAUCUUCUCAUACGAGCUCCCCUUCCUACGGUCAACUUGACACCCAUUUUGGUAUUUCUCGACAGUUUUGGCAUCGGAAUUCUAUUUCCCUCAGCGACGAAAGUGGUAUUGAUGAAUUCAAGGGAUCGAAAGGAACGUUCCACUGCGUCCUUGCUUACUUCCAGGUAUGGCGCAUCAGCAGAGAUAGAUGCGACGAUGUCUUCUUCACCCUCGACUGUGACCAAACAGCCAUCCAUGAUGAAUUUCACCUUUUGAUGGAGGGAUGAUGGGACUGCUCCAGUAGAAUGAAUCCAAGGUCUUCCCAAAAGCCAGUUAUAAGAGGGUGUAAUGUCCAUGACAUGGAAUUCGACCUCAUAGAUGUAAGGGCCCACUUCUAAAGGGAUUUCGAUCUUUCCCAUGACUUCGCGCCUCGUCCCGUCGAAUGCCCUUACCAUGGAAUGACAGGGCUUUAAGUAGGACAAAUCCAUCGGUAUUCUGGAAAGCGUAGCCAAUGGCAUAACAUUUAACGCUGACCCAUUAUCGAUGAGUACGUUCGGUAUUAUGUAGCCCUUGCAGCGGGUCGUGAUAUGCAGCGCUUUCACCGAGCCUCUACCAUUUGGCGGUAUCUCAUCAUCACUAAAAGAGAUGAAGUUGUCCGCAUUCAGAUUGUUUACCCACCUAUCAAGCUUUUCGACAGAUAUGUUGUUGGCCACGUAAGCUUGAUUUAACACCUUCAAUAAAGCGUUCCGGUGUGGCUCUGAAUUUAACAGUAGAGAUAGAACCGAGAUUCGUGCUGGCUGCUUGCUCAAUUGUUCCACCACACUAUAGUCGCUGUGCUUAAUAAAUUUCAAGAAUUCUUGAGCUUCUUCCUCAUUCACAGGCUUUUUAGUUUCUUGCACGGGUGGAAUUUCUUGCUCAACUUCGACCUCGUGCAUCACUGCUUUCCCUUUUUGCUUCGAGUCACUACUUUUCUUUACCGGUUCAACUUCUUUAGAAUAGCAUCGUCCACUUCGAGUAAAAUGACCUACCUCCCCAACAUCUUCAGUUAUGGCUUUGGACUUUUCAACUUCCGGUGUAACGAUAUUAACAUCGUAUCUCCACGGUACUGUUUUGUUGUCCUUAUACGGGAAAGGAUAUGGUACUUCAAUUACCAUCUGUGGUUUCAAUGGCUCUCUCAUCGCGUCGUAAUAAAUUACCAACGGUCGAUCAGCACUAUAAGGGGGCCUUGAUGAUUGGCUAUCAGAGACGCAUACUUCUCUUUCGUUGGCAUCUUCCCUCUUGUUAAGGACCUUGAUCUCCUUAUUAUUCAUCCGGUCUUGAAGUAACCUUUUAAAGUCCUCGCACGACUGAAUGUCGUGCCCAACAAUCCCAUGAAAAUUGCAAAAACUUUGACCUUCUUCUCCAAAAACUCUAUCAGAGUGACAAAGCAAUCCUUUCUUAACCAAUACCUCCUAGAUUUUCUGCAAAGGCGUCCUUAUUUCUGCAACACAUCUUCUGACCUUCCAUUCAUCCUCUUUCCCCACUAUGCUCACAUUCCCUUCGGUAUGGUUAGGGAACGGGUUCCCCGUGGCGUUACUAGCACUAUCGAAUCGUAGGAUACCCGCGUCAAUGAGUCCUUGAACUCUCCUUUUGAAAGCGAGACAGUUCUCAGUAGAGUGCCCUUGGUUCCCUGCGUGGUAUGCACAACUAGCGUUUGGAUCGUACCACUUUGGGUAUGGAGGUUUAAGGGGUGCCAUGUAAUGGGGAGAAAUUAGCUGUUUUUCUAAAAUUUUUGGGUACAAUUCCCCAUACGACAUAGGGAUGGGGGUAAAAUUGCGGUCUCUCGGGAUUAUGCCUUGAUGGUCUUGGUUCGUUUCUGGGAUGGCUUUGAGCGGGUACCGUAUUUUAUGGGAAAGUGGUGACGGGUCUUUGGUUGUUCGUGGCGUAUACGGGGUAGGACGGAUGUGGUGCUUGGUAGUAAGGGGUUUGAGGGGGAUAAUAGAAAUUCGAGGGUGGAUAAUUUCGAGGUCGGGGUUGGUUAGGAUACGAAUUGAGAAUGUAACGACUCCCAGUUCCCACCAUGUGGGCUUCUGGCUCUUUCUUCCUUAAGGGUGCUGCUUUUCUUGAGCCUUCUGAUCCUUCCAUUCUACCACUUUUGACGGCAUUCUCUAUGAGUUCACCAGAUAUUACAAUAUCCGCAAACUCUUUCGUGGCACUUUCCACUAAUUUUUCAUAAAACGACGCCUUUAAAGUAUUGAUAAAGAGAACGGUUAUCUCCAUUUUUGUUAAUGGGGGUUCCACUUGAGCUGAGACGUCUCUCCAUCUCUGCGCAUACUGUCUAAAAGUCUCUGAUGGCUUUUUCUCCAUCAUUUGCAAGGUCAUACGGUCUGGCACCAUAUCCGAUACAUGCUUGUACUGCUCGCAAAAUGCUGACGCCAAGUCCUUCCAGGAUCGAAUCUUUUCUCUACUAAGUUGAUUGUACCACCGAAGAGCUGACCCUGUUAGACUAUCUUGAAAGCAAUGUAUGAGUAGUUUAUCCUCGUUCACAUAACCGGUCAUUUUUUGACAGAACAUAAUGAGAUGUGCUUUUGGGCACCUUGUCCCAUCAUACUUCUCAAAAUCAGGCACUUUGAACUUCGGAGGCAAAAUUAGAUCAGGUACCAAACUGAGUUCCUUGGCACCUAGUGCGGAGAAGACUUCAGUGCCUUCUAUUGCUUUGAGUCUUUCCUCUAGACUCCUAUAUUUUGUGUCAUGGUUAUCCAAUUUUAACUUGGCUACCUCUGCUGGGUCAUCCAGAUCUGGAACUAGUGGAUUAGCAGGACUAGCCCCUGGGUUCGACGCUAACAUUCCUUGCCCCAAAUUAGUGGGUGGAGCAGGUGGCAUAGGUCGAUGUUCCAAGCCAGUGGGUUCCUCUUGAGUAUACCCUCUUUGUAUUGUAUAUGCGGGCGGUGGAGUGAAUCCCGAGGGAUAGAGUGGAUCCUGAUCAUGGUGAAUUCUUGAUUGAGGUUCCAUAACAUCGGGGUUCUGCAUUUUUCCUUUGACCAAAGUUGUCAUCAUCUCCAUCAUUUUAGCCAUCUAAUCUCUUUGCUCAAGAGAUUCCUCUCGAGAUCUCACCAGUCUUGAAGUCUUGCAACUGCGAAUUGUACGUUUUAACCUCAGCGAACGAGUAUGGGAUAUGCAAUGAAUGAAUUGAUGCAUGAAUGAAUGCAUGAAUGUCAAAUGAAUGUCAGUUAUGAAUGAAAUGCAAGAAAUUGGUGUUGAUUUCAAGAUAGCCCCAUAUUUAGGCAUUUCAUUUAUCAACAUAGUCUAUUACACAAAGUUCUGAUUUUUCCAACAGUUACACAAAUUUCCUAGCCACAUUGCCUUGUUUCUUCACUUGCUCUAAAAACUCUGAUAUGCUCGAUCUUUGGCUCGGAGGGAAUUGGCAACUGAGAACUUCGGCUUCAUCUGAUAAUUGAGCAACUUGCAUAGCCACUUUACGAAUUUCAUUGAUCAAGAAGUCAAGUUGCAUUUCUUUUUCUUUGAGAGUUCCUUCAUACGCGUGAAUGUCCCUAUCGUACUGCUCACUCUUUUCUUCUAGAGCCUUCAAGAGGUUAUCUAAUUGUUGUUGACGAGAUUACAGCAUAUUUUCUAGAUCUCGUGUUUUCCUUUUUAAUUCUUGAUGUUCAGACUGACUAUUUGCCAAUUUUGCAGUCACUAUUUCAUACUCGGCGUUCUUCCUUCUUAACUCUAUCAUAGCGCGCGCAGCCUUUUCCUCCUCUUUCUUUGCUUUUCCCUUCCAAAACUCCAUUCCUCCCUUGAUAUUGCUAAUUUCUUCCUUCCAUUCUGCUGUCGACUUGCCCAACCCGCUAUUCUUUAUAGUGUUUCUUAAUUUCUUAUUUUCCAAAUGAAGGUCCCUUAAGUCGUUUCUCACAAUCUCGGCUUCUCUUGUACUUUUUCAGUCCUGGACCUUUCAACCUGAACUUCAAUCUUCAGUUGAUAGUUUUCUUCUUUAAUGGCACUAAGGUCCCGAGACAUCUUGGCCUUUUCUCGUUCGAAUUCUUGUCUUGCCAUUUCUAGCUCAGACAGCGUUUCCUCCAAGAAAGGAUUCUGGAUGGUGUAGUUUGUUGAUGAGAUUUGCUGACUAUUUACCCGUUGCUUCCUCCAUAUGUCAUAAUCUUGGGUAAGGGUAUCAACAUACAAAGCUAAUUCCAUGAAAUGAAUUUCCUUCCAAUACUUUGCAGUGUCUCGGACUCUCUUCAUAUAUCCUUUACCCGCGAAAGCGAACUCGAACUGUGCUAAUCCUCCAGUUGCGGGGAGGAAUUGUCGCGAAGAAAAUUGCCUUUGGACUAAUAGCGGAGCAUAUCCAACUCCUCCCCAUAACCCGAGUAAAGGUACCCAAUCUUGGCUUUCACAUUUGUAUAGCAGAACUGAAGGACGGAUCCAGGGUGCUCUCCAUGUUAUAUUCUCGGCGCGAAGAUUCUGAAAAACUUAUACCCAAUGUUGCUCGGUGACUUCCUUCGGCCAUUCUUUAUUGAGGUAAGCUUCUAGCGGGGAGAAUGUUUUAGAAAACAUAUGGAACGGAGUGCGCUCUACCUUCAAAAAGUGACUCAAAAUCCAAACAUUGAGCAACUGCGCGCAUCUGAUAAAUCGUCCCUCCCCUUUUCUUCGACAACUACUCAGGGACCUGAAGGUCUCGGCUAGGAUGGUCGGGACAGGGUUGAUUCCUUGUUUUAACCUUUCGAAGAAAUCAACUACUGCAACUUCGAGAUGUCCGAGAACUUUUGGGAAAAUGACCAAACCGUAAAUGGCCAAAGUGAAUAGAUUUACCCUUUUCAGCAUGUUGGGAUGGUUCAGAGCCAAAUCUCGUAGGGAGGACCAUGAAUGCAAAUGGUUUCAUUCUUCUUCUUUAUCUAUUUUUCGGCCCAUGCAUCAGUCAUGUCUGUCAGUCUCACUAACUUUUUCUUGAAGGUCAUCGGCUUAGGCUCCUUCACAUAUAUUUUGCCGAAUUGUACAUUGUCGAUGCGGAGUAAAGCAUCAUACUCUUCUAUGGUUGGAGUCAUGUCUUCUUGAUUGAAGGUGAAACACUGAUAAGCUGGGUCCCAGAACCGAAUCAUGGCUUGAAUCAACUGUUCGUCUACACGGAUGGUGAUCAGGUAAGCUAUAUCUCCAUACCUCUCAGUGAAAAUGUCUCUAGUGUCUGAAUCCCACUGAUUCCAAAUUCAAACCAAAUCCUCAAAUUUAUUUUGGCGAACAUUUACAGUUAUAUGGUCGGGCAAAUUGGUGACACACCCUUCCACUAGACUAUCCCCCUUUUCUCUCUAAAUUUUUAGAGACCAGUCCCGAAUCACGACAUUCUUCUCGGUUAUUUGUGUAAUUGACUCCUCCAUCAGAAACCCAUUUUUUGGCAACCAACUUUUAAUCAACACCUUCCUAAUAUGAUGCCUAUGAUGCAUGAUGAAAAUAAAAGUAAAAACAAACAAACUUGGUUAGUAAACACAACAAAUAUAAUUUGAAAAACAAAUUAAACUACCCAAUCCAAUUAUUUUGCAUAAACAGUGUAAAUGAAAGGCAAAAGGCAUUUUCCCCGUGUACUUAUUUUGAUGACUAUAAGCGGACAGAGGGUUCGGCAUGGCUCUAAUUGGAUAGCUCGUAUGGUUCGUUAUAUGCAGUCUCGGUUCUAGACAGGUACUCGAAUUGCUCGUACUAUCAUCUGCUAAGAUCAGCACGAAGCCUCGGUCAUAACCUAUCACAGGCUCACGAGUUAAAUUCGAGGGAUUACAUUUACUUAUGCCUAUGCGGAGGGACAAGUUAACUCACGAAAGCAUAAGUCAUAUGUAACCCGAAAGUAUUCACUAGCCUGUGCGGAGGGACGAGUUAACUCACGAAGGCGUAGCAUUUUACUUUCACUUAAACGGACAGAGCCCGGGCAGAGAGCUCAUGUUAUGCGAAAAUGCAAGUACACGGUGUGUGGGGAACAACUCAUAAACCUUUACGUUUCACUUAAAGAAACUAAACCAAAAUUAAAACCAUAAAAAUUGAAACACUGAAAAACAACCAAAUAAGCAAGUUAGAAGAAAUAUUUACAGCACGAUACAAAUGCAUGAAUUUUGAAAACGAGAUUUUCGGAUCAUGACCAAAUAUUUACUUUGAACAAGGAAAUUUGAAAAUUUUGACAAAAUGUGUUUAAUUCCAAACACGACUCUCAACAAGGCUAUCCCCAGUGGAGUCGCCAGCUGUAGCGACGUAAAAAUUUUGGUUUGGGGUCGCUAAUUGUGACAAUCUAGUGAAAAAGUUUGAAAACUGAAGUUUAAUUUUAAAAAAAAGAGGGAGUCGCCACCGAUCCUUUUCCUAGGUGUGAUCGGACACCUAUUAGAUUCAUUUUUUUUAAAACAAAAGGAAGGCUGAAUUUAGGUCUACGUUAAAAGCCAGAGGAAAAUUAGGGUUUCGGGAGUCGGUUACGCGCGAGGAAGGUAUUAGCACCCUCGCGACGCCUAAAAAAUUGGUAUCUCAUAAACACAUGUUGUCUUAAUUUUCAAAAAUGCGAAUUCAAUGUAAAGUUUAGUUGUGAUCUGAAAAAAUGAGAAAUUUUAGUUUAUUCCAGUUUUUGAGAAGGGUAUAUCGCUUUAACACGAGUCAAUUGAUGUUCACCCAACGUAGCGAUGAACUCGAUGACUUAAUGUUAAAUCGAUAUGUUGCCUUGAUUAUUGAAAUUAAUUAGCAAAACAAGAAUACGAUUUUCGAAAUAAUGCAAAGUAAAAUAAUAUGAAAUAAAAAUCAAUAAAUGAAAGAGCUAGGGAUAUAUUAAAACAAAUAAUCGAGGUGACAAUAAUAUUAGAAAAGAUGAAGGUAUAAUGUAAUAAUAGAAUCGGACACGAAAUUAAAAUAAUGAUGUAUACACAUAAUAAUAAUAUUAAGAAUGCGUGUGUAAGAUGACAUAUAUAUUUAGCGAUAUUAAAAAUCCAUACAACAUACAUAGAACAUAUAUAGUAUAUGCAUACCUUAGAAAUGAUAAGAAUAAUGAUAAAACUAUUUUGUACACUACAUAAAUACAUACACACACACAUAUAUAUAGAUAUAUAAACAAUAGUAUUAGAAACGUAUAAUAUUAGAGAUACACAUAAUAGUAAAAAAAUAGAUACCUAAAUAAUAUUAAAAUAUACAUAAUAAUAUAUAUAAAAUAUAAUAUUAAAAACUUAUGUACGUAACACGUAUAAAAGAAAUAUAAUAUUAAAUCAUUACAUAAUAUACACAUAUGAUUUUCAGGUUAAUACAUAUUUGAGUACUAACAUUACAUAAAAAUAUACUUAUAUAUAUAAUAUAUUAAAGUUAUGUACAUAUAUAAUAAAAUACAUGAACAAUACCACAUUCAACAUGUAUAUAAUAUAUAAUUAAAAUGAUAAUACAUACAACAUAUAAAUUACAUAACAAAACAUGCACUAUGAUUAUAAUAAUAAUAAUAAAGAUAAUAUUGAACUAAGAAGAAACAAACACAACAUUCAUGAAAUAUUAAAUAAAGUGGGAUAAAAAAUAUUGAAUAUUAAGCAAUACAUAUAUACAUACACAUAUGAAGCAAAAAAAAUUAACACAUAAUAAUAAUGAUAAUAAUAACAAUAUUAAUGAUAUUAAUAUUCAAAAAUAAUGAUGAUAUUUAAUAAAAAUAACAAAAGAGACGAAGAAGGACUAAAAUUAAAACAAUAACGAAGUUAUGGGGUCAAUUUAAAAAGGAAAUAAAGAGGAGGGACUUAAUUACAACACGCGCGUAACUAGGAGGGUCAAAAGCACAAUAAAUCCAGAUGUUAAAACGCUGCGCAGCGUGGGGGACCAGAACGAAAUCAGGGCAAAACAGCGGGGCCGAAUUUAAAAUAUAAAAAAACUUGAUUAUAAAAUGUUGAAAAAGCGGAGGGGCCAAACUGCGCAAAUAGCCCCUCCCUUAAAAACACGCGGAUCCCCUGGUCGGACGGGUCGGGUCGACCCGACCCGCAUCAAAACGGCGUCGUUUUCUGCUUUAAGGGGGGUCCAAAACGGUGCGUUUUGGACCCUUAUAUAAGCCAAAUUUUUUUUGUUUUUUUUUCAUUUGAAACAGCUGAGAGAAAAAAAAGAAAAGGGGGAGGGGAGAGGAAAGCCCGGAGCGAUUUCUGGCCAAGGGGGAGGGCUCCGGUCCGAUCGCCGGAUUGCUGGCGCUGGUGCUGACCACCGUUCGCAGUGGCCGGAAAAGGUAAUUUCUAUUUUUCUCUCUUUUUUUUUGCUUUUUAUUUCUUUAUGUUUAUUUGUAAAUUUUUAUGUAUUUGUGGUGAAAAAUGGACUUAAACAGUUAUUGAAAUGAAGAAUUACCUUCGGUUUUACUCACUUUUGAAUCUUCGAUCUUUGUAUUCUGCCUGCUUGGAUGUUAUUUUGCGUUCAAACUCUAAUUAGGCUGCUAUUUUUUGCUCUAUAAUCGAACCUUCCUGUCGUUUUUAUUUUUUAAGAAACAAAGAACCAUCCCCCCCCUUUACAGAAAUCCAAAUCGGCUUUUAUAGCCUUUACAAUAUUUUAUUUAAUAUUUGUUGUCUUGUCUCUUUUCUGGUCUUGCAGGGUAUGGAGGUGCCAGGCAUGCGGGGAUGGUGUUGGCAGAAGCAUGGGGCGUGGUAGCCGACAUGGUGGUGUUCGGCGCAAGUGGGCAAGUGGGGGGUAGGUGGCUAGGGUUAGUGGGAUUAGGGUUUCUGAUGCUGAUUUAGGUUAAUGGGCUGGGGUAGUUGGGCUUCGGGUUUAGUUGGUUAGGCUUGGUUUAGGAUGAGAUGGGUAUGGGGUUUAAGUAGGUUUAGUUAUUGGGUUUGGGGUGGCCCAAAUUGGCAUGUACAAUAAAAAAUUAAACAAAAGUUAAAAUAACUUUUUUUUAUAAAAUUAAAGGGUAAAAAAUCUUAUACCUUUAACUUUUUCAGUUUUAUAAUUACUAGAAUGAGAGCCCGCUUUCACUGGCUGCUAUAAAUUUUAUUAUAAUUGAUAAUAAGUUAAUCUAUGGAUCAAUUAUUUUGGAUACAUCAUUUAAUGCUACAAUAAAAAUAAGAAAACUGAAUUGACUUGAGAGUGAUUUUAUGAAUUUACUCGUAUAAAAUAAGACAAUUAGGCUCGGAUUUUAAAAAGUUGUCAUGUGCACCUUUUUUGUUAGAAUUAUGUGACCCAAAUUCUAAGAGAUUGCUUGCAAGUCAAGUAAACAAAAAUAUAUUUUCUUUCUAGAAGAUUUAGUAUUAUUAGUUAUAUAUAUUUAGCAUUUAUUAGUAUAGUUUAUUUGACUUUACUAAUUUCCUAUAAAUAGGCUCCUUUACAAUCUUAGAAUAAAAGAGACACCCAUUAGAUUAGAACUCAUAACACAUUCAGAGAAUUUUGUGUUUACGUUUGAGGGUUCUUUGUUUUUCGGGUUUUUGGGGUUUAGUUUUUAUCUCCAUCUUUUGUACUCUUCAUUCUUUUGCCAUUAUAGUAAAAAUCUUUGCCCGUGGUUUUUUAUCCUCUUUUGAGGGGUUUUUCCACGUUAAUUUGUGUGUUCAUCUUCUCAAUUUCUUCUACUAUUUUUACUUGUUCGUUGCUUAUUCGGGACGAUCCUAACAAGUGGUAUCAGAGCUAAUUUAACUUUCAUAGAUCAGCCCGGUCAGAGAUGGCAGCAACAAGGUUUGAAAUUGAGAAGUUCGAUGGUAAGACAAAUUUCAAUCUGUGGCAAGUUCGGAUGAUGGCAAUUCUAGUUCAAAAUGGCUUGAAAAAGGUUGUUACAGGAAAAAAGCCUGAGAAUCUAAAUCAAACAGAAUGGGAAGAGCUUGAUGAAAAGGCCCCUGUCUGCAAUCCAGUUGUGCCCACGAAUACAGUAUUGCAGGAGGUAUUUGAUGGAGAAGACCUCAUUCGCCUUGUGGAAAAGGUUAGAAACUCUUUAUGCGACUAUGUCUCUGGCUAACCGUUUAGUGUUGAAACAACGUCUAUUUACGUUUCGCAUGAACGACGGUGAGCUUCUUAAAGAUCACAUCAGUCAAUUCAUUACUCUUUUAAAUGAUUUAAAGAACGUUGAGGUUCAUAUUGACGAUGAAGAUCAAGCUAUGCUAUUAUUGUGCUCUUUACCCUCUUCAUACAAGUCUUUCAGGGAGACCCUGAUUUUAUGGCAGAGACAAACUCUCGUUCAAAGAUGUGAAGGGUCAUUUGUUGAGUAGAGACAAACUCGACAAUGAGUUUGAUUUGAAUAGCAAAGCAGAUAGACAAGCUUCCGUUUUGGUAGCAUCAAAGAAACGACAAAAGGUGUCGCUAUUGCAAAAGUUAGGUCACGUCAAAGCAGAUUGUUAUAAACUGCGAAAUAAAGAGCUGCUGAGAGUAGAGAAGAGAAGAUGUAGCUGGUGCUAAUUUGGUCGAUGAAGGCGGUGAUGAUUUCUUGUUAGUGUCAACGAGCGAUAACUCCAAGCUUACGUCUGAGUGGAUCCUAGAUUCAGGAUGUUCUUUCCACAUGUGUCCCAAUAGAGAAUGGUUCUCCACAUACAGUUCAGUUGAAGGUGGAGUUGUGCACAUGGGAAACGAUUCAUCUAGUAAAAUAAUCGGUAUUGGUACUGUUAAAAUUGGAUACACGAUGGGACGAUUAGGACACUCUCAGAUGUCAGGUAUGUACCUGAUUUACGAAAGAAUCUCAUCUCCUUGAGUAUUUUAGACUUGAAAGGAUGCAGAAUCAACAUCGAGUCGAGCAACAUUAAAGUAUCUCGUGGAGCUCUCGUUUUGUUAAAAGGUAAAAUAACCGGCAAGUCUUAUAUUCUGGAAGGUUCUACAGUGACCGGUGAAAUCGGACGUCCCUCGUCCGUUACGGAGUCAAAGUCAACUCAUUUGAAGCGGAGGCAACUUGGUCAUAGGAGGGAAAAAGGUAUGACCGUUUCGUUGAAGAGAGGGUUCCUCUUUUGGAUGCAGGUUUUGAAAAGUUAGGGCACUGUAUUCGUGAAAAUCAACCCGGGUUAGUUUUGAUUUGGCAGUGCACAAGUCGAAGGCUAGAAGUCUUCCAGCUUCUAAGCAUAGAUUCGACUCAGUUAAUUCCCUGCAUAGUUCAAGAUAGGCCCGUGGCGGGUUUUGGCAAAGAUGGCAUUGAAAGAAUUCGUGUCAAGGUGGAGAUUGUUAGAAUUAUGUGACCCAAAUUCUAAGAGAUUGCUUGCAAGUCAAGUUAAACAAAAUAUAUUUUCUUUCUAGAAGAUUUAGUAUUUAUUAGUAUAAUAUAUUUAGCAUUUAUUAGUAUAGUUUAUUUGACUUACUAAUUUAGCCUAUAAAUAGGCUCCUUUACAAUCUUAGAAUAAAAGAGACACCCAUUAGAUUAGAACUCAUAACACAUUCAGAGAAUUUUGUGUUUACGUUUGAGGGUUCUUUGUUUUUCGGGUUUUUUGGGUUUAGUUUUUAUCUCCAUCUUUUGUACUCUCAUUCUUUUGCCAUUAUAGUAAAAUUAUCUUUGCCCGUGGUUUUUUAUCCUCUUUGAGGGGUUUUUCCACGUUAAAUUUGUGUUCAUCUUCUCAAUUUCUUCUACUACUUUUACUUGUUCGUUGCUUAUUCGGGACGAUCCUAACAUUUUUAAAAAAUUAUUUAAAUUUAAUUUAAAAAAAUUAUUCCAAUGCUUUUGUUACUCAUAAAUAAUAUGUAAAAUUAUAUAUAAAUUAAACUAUUAAUUCAUAAAAAAGUAAAAUUUAAAUAAAUCGACACGAAAAUUCCAAACUUAACCCGAAAUUUUUAAAAUUCAGGAAAUAAUUGAUUAAUUAUUAUUUAAUGCUUAUUGUGUAUCUCUAGUCGUUUUUCAUUAUUAAUUUUUAAAACAAAUAUAUUGAUAAUUUGAAAUAAUUAAUCAUUACAAGCAAGAGUGAAGGUUACCUUAGAAGCAAUUUUUUCAUUUACAUAUACUAGGAAAACUUUGAAUUAAAUUAAAUAACUAUAUCAACUAUGAUUUGAAAAACUUUAAAAGAGAAUUUACACAUUUACAUGAGACGAUAUUCGAAUUAGAAAUCUCAAAAUUUUAAGAAUUCAAUCAAGACUAUUGAUUAUUACUAAAUUAUAGUACAUCCACCUUGGGGAUGAAAAAAAAAAUUAUUAAAAAUAUAUUUACUAAAUAAAACUUUGAUUAAAAAAAAUCAUAACAUUUUAGAUUCAAUUCUUCGUCACAUGAAAUUUAUUGAUUCUGUAGUGCUAGAUGAAUUUUGAACAACAAAUGGAGUGCUAUCAAUUUUGCAAAUUAGAAAUCAAUUAAAAUUCAUUAAAAUAAUUUUUGGUUUGGGAAAUUAAAAGUUUAUUAGAAAGUAGUAUUAUGCAUGAAAAAGAUAUUACCUUUAUUCAUGUUAUUUAAAUGAGAUUUCACCGUAUGCAAACAAGAGAGUUACAAUACAAGGUAUUACUAUACCAGCAGAUCCUCUCUCUAUUCUCUUCUUCUCUUCUUCUUCUUCCUCCUCCUCUCUUGUAAUCUUCUUUUCUUAUUCAUUGAAAUGCUUCACUGUUCUCUUCACCGCUCUCUUUUUUCUUCUCUUCCUUUGCAAAAUGAGGCCACCCUUAAAUGUUUAAUAACAUUGGCAAAUAACGUAAAAGCCAACAUUAAAAAUUUAUAGUCAAAACCCAAGUUAAGGUCAAAAAUUAAAUCCAGCUAUGAAAGUGUAGCAAGAUUCAACUUGGAUUUUUCAAAAUUAAACUUAACACUAGAAAUCUGAUUACCUGCGUUAGUGAGUUUAAAAUCGAGCUUAGCCCAAAUAAAAAUAAGUUACAAUAGUAUAAAUAAUAAUUUUUUUAAUUACUAUUCAAUUGAAUUGAUGUUUGAUUAAUUAUAUUAAUAUAUCUUAUUUGAUGAUUCAUGAAUCUCUUAAAUGCAUAUUUAAUUUAAAUAUUCUAAGUUAAUCGUGUCUCGCAUUUGAUAAUUUUAGUAAUUAAAAUUAGGGAUAAAUCUCAAAAUUAUAUAUGAACAUUAAUUUGGAAUCAUACACAUGAAACUCUAAAUGUGGUUCAAAUAUAUACUUGAAACUUUAAUUUUCAUUUAAUCAUACACAUUUAAGGAAAUAAAUACAUCAAUUUUUUUUAUGGAUAAAUAUAAUUAUUUAUGCAUGCAUAUAAACAUAAAUGAUGUGUUGUAAUAUCAAUUGUGUUAAUAAUUUACAAGAAUUGGAUCAAAUCAAAAUUUCAUGUAUAAAAUUACACAAAUCAAAGUUCAUGUAUACAAUUGCAUAUUAAACCUAGUUCAUGUAUAGUUUUGGGAUUUAUCCCUUAAAAUUAAAUUUUCGAUAAUUUCAAACAUAAAAAAUUUAAGGUAAAUUAUAAGUUAUUCGUUCACUUUUUAAAUUUUUAUUUUGGGCAUCAAAAAUAAAAAAUUUUGCAACAUCAGCAUACUUUUAUCAUUUUAGUCACUGGCAGCAGUGACAAAAAUGAUAAAAGUAUGUAACAACAAUGCCCAUAUUGCAAUCUUUUUAUUUUGGGCACUGUAAAUAAAAAGAUUGCAAUAUAGGCACUAUUUUCAAUUCCCAAAAUAAAAAAUUUAUGAAAGUUGGAUGACUAAAUGUGUAGUUUAGUAAAAAAUUUAAAAUAUAUAUUUGAAAAUAAUUAUUGAUAAUUGAUUGGUGCCAAAUCUACCAGAAAUAAUAUUCCUAUGCCUAAACAAUAUAUAACAUCAGUAUAAGGAGUAAGGUUGAUCCCGCAGAGACUGAAUAUCUAAAAUUAUCUUCCAAUUUAACUAAGUUGAGUGUUAAGCACGACAUGUGAUGAUCUAUGCGAAAUAAAAAGGGAAUUAAGUCGAUUAAAAUAAAAUUAAUAGAAAUACUUAAAAUCAAAAUAAAGAAAAACAGAUAAAACAAAAAUAGAUUUAAUACCAAUGUGAAAAUAUUCUAGCUUCAGGCUCAAUUUCGGCUUUAGUUUCAAAUUGAUCUUUGAUAAUACAUCUUCUCCUUCAAUCGAUAAAUCUUUUAUAGUAAUCGAGGACUCCUCAGACCACCAAUCUUUCCGUAUGUAAAUUAAUUGUGGGAACACCAACAACAACUAACCCUUAUUGAUGAACACCACAAAAUACGCGUCCACGAUUUAGCUCUCGAUAGCCUUGUGAACUAGAAGAGCCCAACAGGAACCAACGACUUUAACUGUGUGGGUCAUUUAAAUCCGAUUGUUAUUUUCUUGACAAAUCCAACCAACCACUUAAUUGGACACGUCAAUGUAUUCUUCAGUAGACCGAAUACGAUAACAGAUUUAUCGAUUCAUCCAUUUGUACAUCUAUCAACACCAAAUCAACGAACUCUUUUUACUUGGUGUUACUAUAACUUUAUGAGACAAUGUCUAUCCCUAAACCAGAGAAAUAUAAAUGCCAAAAUAAAUGUUUUUAGGUACGAUUUGAAUCUCAUGGUUUUCUCCCUAAUUGACUAUAACCCUAAAGCUAAAUGGGAAAUUUAGUUCCUAAGAAUUGUAACAGCCCAAAANNNNNNNNNNNNNNNNNNNNNNNNNNNNNNNNNNNNNNNNNNNNNNNNNNNNNNNNNNNNNNNNNNNNNNNNNNNNNNNNNNNNNNNNNNNNNNNNNNNNNNNNNNNNNNNNNNNNNNNNNNNNNNNNNNNNNNNNNNNNNNNNNNNNNNNNNNNNNNNNNNNNNNNNNNNNNNNNNNNNNNNNNNNNNNNNNNNNNNNNNNNNNNNNNNNNNNNNNNNNNNNNNNNNNNNNNNNNNNNNNNNNNNNNNNNNNNNNNNNNNNNNNNNNNNNNNNNNNNNNNNNNNNNNNNNNNNNNNNNNNNNNNNNNNNNNNNNNNNNNNNNNNNNNNNNNNNNNNNNNNNNNNNNNNNNNNNNNNNNNNNNNNNNNNNNNNNNNNNNNNNNNNNNNNNNNNNNNNNNNNNNNNNNNNNNNNNNNNNNNNNNNNNNNNNNNNNNNNNNNNNNNNNNNNNNNNNNNNNNNNNNNNNNNNNNNNNNNNNNNNNNNNNNNNNNNNNNNNNNNGUAUGAGUAUUUUAUCCUCGUUCACAUAACCGGUCAUCUUUCGACAGAAUAUAAAAGAUGUGCUUUUGGGCACCUUGUCCCAUCAUACUUCUCAAAGUCAGGCACUUUGAACUUCGGAGGGCAAAAUUAGAUCAGGUACCAAACUGAGUUCCUUGGCACCUAGUGCGGAGAAGACUUCAGUGCCUUCUAUUGCUUUGAGUCUUUCCUCUAGACUCCUAUAUUUGCGUCAUGGUUAUCCAAUUUCAACUUGGCUACCUCUGCUGGGUCAUCCAGAUCUGGAACUAGUGGAUUAGCAGGACUAGCCCCUGGGUUCGACGCUAACAUUCCUUGCCCCAAAUUAGUGGGUGGAGCAGGUGGCAUAGGUCUAUGUUCCAAGCCAGUGGGUUCCUCUUGAGUAUACCCUCUUUGUAUUGUAUAUGCGGGCGGUGGAGUGAAUCCCGGGGUAUAGAAUAGAUCCUGAUCAUGGUGAAUUCUUGACCGAGGUUCCAUAACAUCGGAGUUCUGCAUGGGUCCCUUUCCUUUGACCAAAGUUGUCAUCAUCUCCAUCAUUUUAGCCAUCUGAUCUCUUUGCUCGAGCGAUUCCUCUCGAGAUCUCACCAUUAGGUCUAUCGUCUCUUGUUGCGAUUUGGCCAGUUGCUCUUGUAAUUCCUUUUGAGCCCUUUCCAUCCUUUCAAUUCUCUCAUUGAAUUCAUUCUCCAUUACUCUAGCUUGUCGGCGCGUUUUAUACGGAUGACGUGGUUCCAGUCUUGAAGUCUGGCAACUGCGAAUUGUGCGUUUUAAUCUCAGCGAACGAGUAUGGGAUAUGCAAUGAAUGAAUUGAUGCAUGAAUGAAUGCAUGAAUGUCAAAUGAAUGUAAGUUAUGAAUGAAAUGCAAGAAUUGGUGUUGAUUUCAAGAUAGCCCCAUAUUUAGGCAUUUCAUUUAUCAACAUAGUCUAUUACACAAAGUUCUCAUUUUUCCAACAGUUACACAAAUUUCCUAGCCACAUUGCCUUGUUUCUUCACUUGCUCUAAAAACUCUGAUAUGCUCGAUCUUUGGCUCGGAGGGAAUUGGCAACUGAGAACUUCGGCUUCAUCUGAUAAUUGAACAACUUGCAUAGCCGCUUUACGAAUUUCAUUGAUCAAGAAGUCAAGUUGCAUUUCUUUUUCUUUGAGAGUUCCUUCAUACGCGUGAAUGUCCCUAUCGUACUGCUCACUCUUUUCUUCUAGAGCCUUCAAGAGGUUAUCUAAUUGUUGUUGACGAGAUUGCAGCAUAUUUCUAGAUCUCGUGUUUUCCUUUUUAAUUCUGAUGUUCAGACUGACUAUUCGCCAAUUUUGCAGUCACUAUUUCAUACUUGGCGUUCUUCCUUCUUAACUCUAUCACAGCGCGCGCAGCCUUUUCCUCCUCUUUCUUUGCUUUUCCCUUCCAAAACUCCAUUCCUCCCUUGAUAUUGCUAAUUUCUUCCUUCCAUUCUGCUGUCGACUUGCCCAACCCGUUAUUCUUUAUAGUGUUUCUUAAUUUAUUGUUUUCCAAAUGAAGGUCCCUUAAGUCGUUUCUCACAAUCUCGGCUUCUCUUUGUACUUUUUCAGUCCUGGACCUUUCAACCUGAACUUCAAUCUUCAGUUGAUAGUUUUCUUCUUGAAGGGCACUAAGGUCCCGAGACAUCUUGGCCUUUUCUCGUUCGAAUUCUUGUCUUGCCAUUUCUAGCUCAGACGGUGUUUCCUCCGAGAAAGGAUUCUGGAUGGUGUAGUUUGUUGAUGAGAUUUGCUGACUAUUUACCCGUUGUUUCCUCCAUAUGUCGUAAUCUUGGGUAAGGGUAUCAACAUACAAGGCUAAUUCUAUGAAAUGAAUUUCCUUCCAAUACUUUGCAGUGUCUCGGACUCUCUUCAUAUAUCCUUCACCCGUGAAAGCGAACUCGAACUGUGCUAAUCCUCCAGUUGCGGGGAGGAAUUGUCGCGAAGAAAAAUUGCCUUUGGACUAAUAGCGGAGCAUAUCCAACUCCUCCCCAUAACCCGAGUAAAGGUACCCAAUCUUGGCUUCCACAUUUGUAUAGCAGAACUGAAGGACGGAUCCAGGGUGCUCUCCAUGUUAUAUUCUCUGCGCGAAGAUUAUGAAAAACUGAUACCCAAUGUUGCUCGGUGACUUCCUUCGGCCAUUCUUUAUUGAGGUAAGCUUCUAGCGGGGAGAAUGUUUUAGAAAACAUAUGGAACAGAGUGCACUCUACCUUCCAUAAGUGACUCAAAAUCCAAACAUUGAGCAACUGCGCGCAUCCGAUAAAUCGUCCCUCCCCUUUUCUUCGACAACUACUCAGGGACCUGAAGGUCUCGGCUAGGAUGGUCGGGACAGGGUUGAUUCCUUGUUUUAACCUUUCGAAGAAAUCAAUUACGUCAACUUCGAGAUGUCCGAGAACUUUUAGGAAAAUGACCAAACCGUAAAUGGCCAAAGCGAAUAGAUUUACUCUUUUCAGCAUGUUGGGAUGGUUUAGAGCCAAAUCUCGCAGGGAGGACCAUGGAAUGCAAAUGAUUUCAUUCUUCUUCUUUAUCUGUUUUUCGGCCCAUGCAUCAGUCAUGUCUGUCAGUCUCACUAACUUUUUCUCGAAGGUCAUCGGCUUAGGCUCCUUCACAUAUAUUUUGCCGAAUUGUACAUUGUCGAUGCGGAGUAGUAAAGCAACAUACUCUUCUAUGGUUGGAGUCAUGUCUUCUUGAUUGAAGGUGAAACACUGAUAAGCUGGGUCCCAGAACCGAACCAUGGCUUGAAUCAACUGUUCGUCUACACGGAUGGUGAUCAGGUGAGCUAUAUCUCCAUACCUCUCAGUGAAAGUGUCUCUAGUUUCUGAAUCCCACUGAUUCCAAAUUCGAACCAAAUCCUCAAAGUUAUUUUGGCGAACAUUUACAGUUAUAUGUUCAGGCAAAUUAGCGACACACCCUUCCACUAGACUAUCCCCCUUUUCUCUCUAAAUUUUUAGAGACCAGUCCCGAACCACGGCAUUCUUCUCGGUUAUUUGUGUAAUUGACUCCUCCAUCAGAAACCCGUUUUUUUGGCAACCAACUUUUAAUCAACACCUUCCUAAUAUGAUGCCUAUGAUGCAUGAUGAAAAUAAAAGUAAAAACAAACAAACUUGGUUAGUAAACACAACAAAUAUAAUUUGAAAAACAAAUUAAACUACCCAAUCCAAUUAUUUUGCAUAAACAGUGUAAAUGAAAGGAAAAAGGCAUUUUCCCCGUGUACUUAUUUUGAUGACUAUAAGCGGACAGAGGUUCGGCAUGGCUCUAAUUGGAUAGCUCGUAUGGUUCACUAUAUGCGGUUUUGGUUCUAGAUAGGUACUCGAAUUGCCCGUACUAUCAUCUACUAAGAUUAACACGGAGCCUCGGUCAUAGCCUAUCACAGGCUCACGAGUUCAAUUCGAGGGGUUACAUUUACUUAUGCCUAUGCGGAGGGACAAGUUAACUCACGAAAGCAUAAAUCAUAUGUAACCCGAAAGUAUUCACUAGCCUGUGCGGAGGGACGAGUUAACUCACGAAGGCGUAGCGUUUACUUUCACUUAAACGGACGGAGCCCGGGUAGAGAGCUCAUGUUAUGCGAAAAUGCAAGUGCACGGUGUGUGGGGAACAACUCAUAAACCUUUACGUUUCACUUAAAGAAACUAAACCAAAAUUAAAACCAUAAAAAUUAAAAACUAAAAAACAACCAAAUAAGCAAGUUAGAAGAAAUAUUUACAGCACGAUACAAAUGCAUGAGUUUUGAAAACGAGAUUUUCGGAUCACGACCAAAUAUUUACUUUGAACAAGGAAAUUUGAAAAUUUUGACAAAACGUGUUUAAUUCUAGACACGACUCUCAAAAAGGCUUUCCCCAGCGGAGUCGCUAGCUGUAGCGACCUAAAAAUUUUGGCGAUAGGCGCUAAUCGAAUUGAUUGUUGAAAAUUUGAAAACUGAAUCUCGAUUUUAUUUGAAAAAGGAGUCGCCACCGAUCUUUUUUUUCUAGGUGUGAUCGGACACCUAAUAAAUUCUCUUUUUAGAAGAAAAAUUUAUUUUUAAAUUUUCUAAAAAAGAGGGUAAUUUUAGGUCUACGUAAGAAUCCAGAGAAAAUUCGAGUUCGGGAGUCGGUUACGCGCGAGGAAGGUAUUAGCACCCUCGCGACGCCCAAAAUUGAUAUCUUGUUAAACAUGUGUUGUCUUAAUUUUCAAAAAUACAAGUUCAAUUUAAUAUUUAGUCGUGAUCCAAUUGAAACACGAGAAUUUUGAAACACAACUUUUUUUCGAAACACGAAAUAUUUUAAAAUACAAGAAUUUUAGAAACACGAAUUUUUUAAAAAAAACACGAAAAUUUUGAAACACGAGAAUUUUUUUUGAAAACACGAAUUUUAUUUUUAAAACACAAUUUUAUUUUGAAAACACAAAAAUUUUGAUAAAUUAUGAAACACGAGGAUUUUUUUUUGAAACACGGAAAUUUAUGAAACAAUGUCAAUUUUUUGAAAACACGAAAUUUUUUGAAAGUCGAGAAUUUUUUGAAAACACGGAGAUUUAUAAAAACACGGAAGUUUUUUUUUUUGAAAAAAAGAAAAUUUUUGAAAUACGAGAUUUUUUGAAAAGAGGGGAAAUUUUUGAAAACAUGAAAAUUUUUGAAACACUAGAAUUUUGAAAACACGAAGAUUUUUGAAACAUGAGAAUUUUUGAAAACACGAGGAUUUUUUGAAAUACGAACAUUUUAGAAACAUGAAAAUUUUUAAAACAUGACAAUUUUUGAAACACGAGAAAUUUAUUUUUUAAAACAUAAAAAAUUUUAAAAUACGAGAAUUUGUGAAACACGAGAAUUGUUGAAAAAAAUAAAAAAUUUUGAAAAUACGAAAUUUUUUUAAACACGAAAAUUUUAGAAAUAUGGAAAUUUUUUAAAAAAACACGAAAAAUUUUGAAAAAUGGAAUUUUUUGAAAACACGAAAAUUUUUGAAAACACGAAAAUUUUUCUGAUUUUUCAUUAAGCACGUAUCGCAUUUAACACUAAUCGGUGAUAUUCACUCAAUAUAGCAAUGAAAUCAACGAAUUAGUGUCAAAUCGAUUCGUUACCUUAUUUUUGAAAACACGAGAAAUUUUUUUGAAGACACGAAAAUUUCGAAACGCGAGGAUUUUUUUUGAAAAUACGAAUUUUUUUAAUAUUUUUCGAUUUUAAAAGGGCGUAUCGAUUUUAACUCGAACCGGUGAUAUUCACCCAACAUAGCGAUGAAAUCAACGAGUUCAUGUUAAAUCGAUUCGUUGCCUUAUUUAUUCAAAGUAUUUAAAAUAAAAUAAAAUAAAAAUUGAAUUAAAUUAAAUUAAAUUAAAAAUAUAAAUGCCAAAAUAUAAAAAUGCAUAAAAUACUAAUAAUAUUAAAACGGAAGAAAAUACGAGCAUUAAAUUAAAAUUAAAAAACGAAAUUACCGAAAAAUCUCGAGACACAAGCUUCGCCGAACGGGUAACACAAAAUUGAACCCCUUUUUUCUUGUUUUUUUCUUUUUUUCUUUUUCUCUCUUUUUCUUUUUUUUUCUCUUUUUUUUUCUGCUGGGCUGGCCAGUUGGGCUGCUGGCUUGGGCCUGGCCUGCUGGUGUGGGUGGUCUGCUACUGCGCUGGGCCUGGGGGCCUGCUGUUGCGCUGGGCCUGCAUUUGGGCUGCUUCUUUCUUCUUCUUUUUUCUGCUUCUUUCUUCUUCUUUUUUGCUGCUUUUUUUUUGCUUUGGUUUUUUUUUGGGCUGGCCUGCUACUGCUGGGCCUGUUGGGUCGGUUCGCGGGUUGAAUCCGGGUCGGGCGACCCGAUAUAUUAUUUUUUAUUUUUUUCUUUCCCCUUUUUUCUUUUUUUUCUUUCUUCUCUUCUUCUUCCUUCCCUCUUUCGGCUCUAGCCUCUUUCACCACCGCUGCCACUUGCGUCGAUCUCCUCCGCCCUCGGUGGCUGUGGUCGGGCUCUCCUCUUCUCUUUUUCUUCUUUCUUUUUGCUGCUGAAAAUUUUUUUGAAACUUUCUUUUUCUCUUUUUUUUUGAUUCGUGGGGGGUCCUCUGAUUUUUGGAGUUUAAACUCCUUUUUAUAGUUGGUUUUGCUUCUUUUUUGCAGGUAGCAAGUGGGGAAGGAGCAGCCACCCAUGUUUGUGGCCUGAAAAUCUGGGAAGUGGGUGCCCCAAAUCACGUAACCUGUCUGAAGGACCAAAUCACAAAUGCAGCAAAACUUCUGGGGCUAAAUGUAAUUUUUAGAAAAUUUAGGAUUAAAAUGAAAUUUAAUGAAAGUUUAGGGGUCUAAGUGAAAUUUAAAGAAAGUUUAAGGGUCAAAAUGAAAUUUAGGAAAAGUUUAGGGGUCAAAAUGCAACUUUUAUUUUUUUAAUUUUUUUUUUGAAAUUUUGAAAAUUAAACACAAAUUCUAGUUGGACAAAAAUUUAGUGCUUACACUUAUUAAGCCACUCCAGUGGAUAAUAUAAUCUUUCAAAUUCGGAUCUAACAUCUAGGCCGGUUAAAGAGGUUACAUAAACAUAUUCAUAUAAAGGUUUUCAACAAAGAUAAAAAGAAUAAUAAAAGAAAGCAAUAAAUAUUAAAACCCACUCAACCAACCGGAACACCACUCUAAUCACCCUGCACACCACAAUUCGGUUAUGGUAGGCUCAUCCACCCUACACACCACAAAAGGCCACUGUCGGCCCAUCCACCAUACACACCACGAUAGUGGGUUUAAGCCACUCAAAAGGAAAUAUGCAGCUGAGCUGACAUAUAUAUAAUAAUGCGGUAAAACUGCUGUACAGAAUAUUGCAAAUAAACUGCUCAAAUUAGACUUCCUUAUCUUCACAACGGAAACCCCAAAUGUUUAUGAAAAUGCAAAAAUGCACACAUGCAGACGACCAUACAAAACAAGUGUACACAUAUACAGUUAAACAAAUUCAGAUUCAGUUAAACUUGAUUUCAAUUACUGAGCAAUGAUAACAACAUCGUACUCAAACCUAUUCAUCACAUCACAUUAUCACCUAACGAACAAUUAAACAAAAGCAUCUAAGUGCACAAACAUACACGAAUCCAAGCUGAACUGGGUCCCAAUCACAUUUACAAAGGCUUAAACAAGUGUUGGAUUACACAGGAACUAAAACGAGUCAAUUACAAAAAAAAAUUAAAAUAUGCAAAAACAGAACCACAUGGCCGUGUGCCCAGGCCAUUUGGAAAGGUCUAGACCGUAUGAGGGGUCUACACUGACGUGUGUAAGAGCGACACACCCGUGUGACAAAGGCACACGAUCAUGUGGCCGAGACACACACCCAUGAGACAGAGUUACAUGGCCAUGUGGCCGAACCGUGUAACUCCUGGUGCCAUGUGACAAAAAUCAACAUAUUUAAGAAGCAAAGUAGACACGUCCGUGUGGUUGAGAAACAUGGCAGUGUGACUGAGGCACACGCCCAUGUGAAAAAUAAUAAAUUUCUCUACAGAGGUCACAUAACCGUGUGGCCAGCCUGACCUACUUCAGGUAUAAAUUUAAUUCUUGUCUCUCACACACAAAAGUAAGCAUAAAUGCUUGACUAAGACCGCUGGACUCACCUAACAGACUAAAACUUCUAACCCCAAAUUUCAAAAUGUUACAUUAUUAAUAAUUUAAAUAAACAAUUGAUAAUUUUGGUUGGUGUCCCAAAAUUUCAAUAUAUAUAUAUGCUAAUGUGGCCACUAGAUAGACUAUUUUGGACAUUAAAUGACGUACCAAAAGAAGAAAUGUAAAAAAAAAACAAUUCAAAAAAGGAAAUCCCGUCCAUUGAUAUUUUUAUUCUAAGGUUGUAUUCUUUUGACUUAAAAGAUGAUUGUGAUUUUAUCGUGUUAUUGACAAAUAUAAUAUUUUAGGAAACUAUUCAAUAUUUUACUUUUGAAUUUAAAAUGACUAAAUAAAUGUGCAUAUAUACAUCAACUCUUCAAGGAUAAUUUAAUUAUUAUUUAAUAGAAUAUGUCAUAUUCACUAAUGAAAAGUAUAAAUAAUAUAAAUAUGUAGUUAAUAAUUUUUUUAAAUAAUAAUUACUGAUAUGGUAAUAAAAUUGCAUAUAAUUUUUUUUAAUAAAAAAAAAGUACAUGAGAAAAGAAUAGGAAAAUUGUAAUAUUUUUAAGGAUUAGUAUAUGAUGCAUAGAUUAUAGGUUUCAUGGGUCGUCAAGUGAGGAAAGAUGACACAUCAUCACUUAUAUAAAAUAAAAAAUAUUAAAAGAUUUAAAAUUAAAUAAUAUUUAUUUUAGUUAAACAUAAUUAAAUAUGAAUUGUAAUAUUUUGUUUCUCUUGUUUUGAACUUCUGGUCUUAAGUUUUUGGUUUCAGGUUUUAAAUUUUGGUUUUUAGAUUUCAGAUUUAAUGUUUUUGGAUUUAUUUAUGUUGAAUAAUUUUAAUUAAUAUUUAUUUUUAAAUAAAAAUAUUUAUAUUUAUUUUUAAAUCCUUCAAUAGUUUACACCAAUGAUGAUAUAUCAUCUUAUUAUUAAUUAAUGGCGCAUGAGAUCUAUGCACCGCAACAAUGGAUCAAGUAAUCUCCUUAUAUAUAGAUAAUUAAGUUGAUAUUAUGAGUCAACUCAAUACCAAUUUAGUACGAAAAAUUACAUAAAAACUAUUUUUAAUAAAGUAACAAAUAUUAAUAUAAUAUUUUUUUGUCUUUUACUAUAUAUUUUUAUAUGAAAUGUUUAAAUAAAACAACUAAAAUUAAAAUAUCUAAGAAUUGAAGUCAAGACUAGCAUGAGAAAAAAAAAGGAAAACAAUAACACUUUUGAGGAUUAAUAUAUGAUGCAUAGUGUAUAAGUCUCAUGCAGCAUCAACUAAUAAUAAGAUGAUAUAUCAUCAUUAGUGUAAAAUAAAAAAAUAUUAAAGGAUUUAAAAGUAAAUACAUAUGAAUUUUAAAAUAUAAUUAAAUAUAAAUUACAAAUCUUUUGUUUCUCUUUCAGGUUUUGAACUUUGGGUUUCGGGUUUUAGAUUUUAUGUUUUGGAUUUUGGGUUUGUGUUCUUAUUUAUUUAUGUUUAUAAUUAAUAUUUAUUUUUUAAAUAAUUUUAUUUUAAAUCUUUUAAUAUGUUUUUUUACACCAAUGAUGAUGUGUUAUCAAAUAUAUGCGUGUGAUAUAAUUAAUUGAGCUGAUAUCAUGAAUUAACUCAACACCAAUUUAAUAAGAAAAAUUACAUGAAAAUUAUUUUAAUAAAUUCACAAAUAUCAAUAUAAUAUUUUUUAUCUUUAACUAUUUUAUAUGAAAUGUUUAAAUAAAAAACUAAAAAUAAAAUAUCCAACACUGAUUAUAUCUACUCUUUUUGACAUAAAACUUAAAACUACUCAUAACCCUUCUCCAACACAUAAAUAAGAACAUAAUGCACUUUAACGCACUCAAACUCACGUCCUCUUGUAUUAGCAACAAUGCACAUAUCAAUCGAGUUAAGACGAAUCAACUGAGAAUUUUAGUAAUUAAAAUUAACUUUUUCCAUAAGUUUAAAAAUUUUAAAAAAUUAUUGAUAAUUAAAUAAAAGAGCAACCAUAUCUUAUAGAGGUUAAAAAUUAUUGAAAUGCAAGCUCAUUUAAUGCUGAAAUGCAGUUCUCAAACUUGAAAAAAAAAAUUGUUCUUAUAAAAAACAAACAAUAAAAUUCUGUGUUUAGAAAUAUUUCUAGUUUUAAAUUCGUCUUCACUCAAUUAAUAAUUGUGCUUAUUAUUUUCAUGAGUAGAUGAUGAUUGAAUACUGAAUUUGAACUUUUAAUUUUCGAAUUUAAAAUCAAUACAUAACUAAUAAGAUAUUAAUUUUUGGGUAUUGUAAAGGUGCUAAUACUUUCUUCACACGUAAUUGAUUCUCGAAUUUAAAUUUUCUUUAAUUUUCAAAUAAUAAACCAACUAAUUAUCUUUUUAAAAGGCGGUUUUAUAAGUACCUGAUCACACCUAGUUAAAAGAUUUGUGACGAAUCUUACGUUCUAAAUAAAAAUUUAAUGUUUUAAAAUUUUAAAAUUUUCAUAUUUUUCUCAAAAUUCGUAAACCUAACUUUGCUCAAAAGAAUGGUAUCGACAGUAGUCAUCCAACUUUUAGUAUUUUUUUGUCACCCAAUUAUGAAAAUUUAUAAAAAAGAAUGGCCAUCCAACUAUUCAGCCUUUUCUUUUUUGUCACACAACUAUAUGAAUUUUUCUUUUUUGGUCCCAGCGAUUAAUUUACUAACGGAAAGAUAACUUGAUAAGUUGUAAAAUUAGCAUAAUAACAACUUUAACCCUCAACAUUUAUGCAUUGUGUUAAUUUAGUCUUGAUUUUAAAAAAAUAACUCUCGACAUUUACACAUUAUAUAAUUUGGUCUUUGUAACUCUCUCUUUUGCAGUUUUACUUUUAUUUGUGACAUUAAGGGUUAAUUUUAAAAGAAUGAGAUAAGAUGAAUAUUAUUAUCUUGGAUUUUUUGGUGUUUCUAUUUUGUGUAUAUAUUUUUUUUAUCAAAUUUAGUUGAUAGAUUAUUUUUUUUAGCUUUUUAGGUGAAAGACUCACAAAGAAAAGAAAAAUUGAAAAAAAAUAUUACACACUGUGCAAAUGUUGAAGGGUUAAAUUUGUUAGAAUCAAAACUAAAUUGACCCAGUAUAUAAAUGUUGAGGGUUAAAAGUUGUUGUUUAACCAAUUUUAAAAGUUGCCACAUCAUCUUCCCAUCAACCCUUUAACAAUCGGUGACUAAAAAAAAAUCAAAUAGUUAAGUAACUGUAGCGACAUAAAAAUUGGUUCUGGGGUCGCUAAUUGUGGCGAUCUAGUGAAAAAGUUUGGAAACUGAAGUUCGAUUUUAAAAUAAAGAGGGAGUCGCCACGAUCCUUUUUCCUAGGUGUGAUCGGACACCUAUUAGAUUCAUUUUUUAAAACAAAAGGAAGGCUGAAUUUAGGUCUACGUUAAAAGCCAGAGAAAAAUUAGGGUUCGGGAGUCGAUUACGCGCGAGGAAGGUAUUAGCACCCUCGCGACGCCCAAAAUUGGUAUCUCAUAAACAUGUGUUGUCUUGAUUUUCACAAAAUACGAGUUCAAUGUAAAAUUUAAUCAUAAUCCGAUUAAAAGAACGAGAAAUUUUGGUUUAUUUCGUUUUUUUAGAAGGGUAUAUCGCUUUAACAUGAGUCAAUUGACGUUCACCCAACAUAGCGAUGAACUCGAUGACUUAAUGUUAAAUCGGUAUAUUGCCUUGAUUAUUGAAAUUGAUUUAAAUCAUGAAUAAGAAUAUUUUCGAAAUAAUGCAAAGUAAAAUAAUAUGAAAUAAAAAUCAAUAAAUGAAAGAGCUAGGAAUAUAUUGAAACAGAUAAUCGAGGUGGCAAUAAUAUUAGAAAAGAUGAAGGUAUAAUGUAAAAAAUUUUUACACGCGGUGGCCGGAAAAGGUAAAAAAUUUUUAUUUUUUUUUAUAUUUUUUAAUAUUGUAUAUAUAUAUUUGAGUGUAUCAGAGUAUAAAAAAAAGAAAAGCCAAUGAAAAGAAAAAAAAACGAUUCGGUAAUAGGAAAGAAAAUAGGUUUUUCACCUUUCUCCUUGAUCUGGGUUUUGAUAAUAUUCAAUACUGAUCUAUUGUUGCUCCUAAAAACUAAUCUGUAUUCUCUGCUUCUUUGUUUUUAAACUACCGAAAAUAAGAAAAAGAAAAAAACAGAAAAAGACCCCCUUUUUCAUUUGAUUUCAUGGCUCUUAUAGCCUUACAAUUUUAUUUUCUAUUGCUUUCUGUCCUUUCUCCUUACUGUGUGCAGGGAUGGUGGCCGACAUGGUGGCAUGGAGGGCUGGGGCGCUGGUCAGAUGGCAGGGGGUUGGUGCGCAAGUGGGGUUCGGCGCAAGUGGGCAAGUGGGGGGUAGGUGGCUAGGGUUAGUGGGAUUAGGGUUUCUGAAUGCUGAGUUUAGGUUAAUGGGCUGGGGUAGUUGGGCUUCGGGUUUAGUUGUUUAGGCUUGGUUUAGGAUGAGAUGGGUAUGGGGUUUAAGUAGGUUUAGUUAUUGGGUUUUGGGGGUGGCCCAAAAUUGGCCUGUACAGUAACCAUUUUGUAACUUUUUAUAGUUAGGUGACUAUAAGUGUAAUUUACCCUUAAAUAAACAAAAUUUUCAUUCAUGUCCCAAAUUUUCUAAAAAAAGAAACUAUAUAUGAUAUCGUAAAGGCUAUAUGCACUAGAUAGACUAUCGAGGGCAUUAAAUGACGUACAAUAAAAAAUAAAAGGGUAAAUUCAUCAUUAAUCCCUAAAUUAUAAGCAAGUUUUCAUUUUAGUCACUUAACUAAAAAAGUUACAAUUUGAUCACUAAACUAUUCAAAAGUUUUCAUUUAAGUCACUGAGCUAUUAAAAUCAAUGUUAUAUGGCUUUCUCUGUUCGCACUACCUGCACCAAUUGAAAGCUCUCUUUCUAUUUCUUUUCUACCGUUCAUAUUUUUUUAUGAAAUAGCUUUGAAUGCCAUAAAUAUACAAAUCAAAGUUCAAAAAGCUUUUUCUCUGAUCUCCAACAUUGGCCAUCAAAUCAACUUAGAUCUAAAGUAUGUUCUUCUACUCGUCGAUGGUUACUGAUCCAGCGUACUGAUCGUCGAAUCAUUGCUUUGAGUUUUCUUGUGAAACUUCUAAAAAUAUAACAGUCUAGUGACUAAAAUAAAAACUUUUGAAUAAUUCGUUGACUUAAAUAAAAUUUUUUGAAUAAUUAUGAAUUUGAACAGUUGAUUGGCUAAAAUAUUGCAAUGAUUUUAAGCUCUCUUUUUAAGUAAUCGAUUAUGACUUUUAUAAUUAAAUAUCCUUAGCAGUCUUUUUAAGCUGUUAGUAUUAUAUAAUUAUUUUACACAUGCAUUGAAACUAAAUAAAAUACGAAUAUUAUACAUAAAUUUUUUGACUGAUCCAAGAUGAAAUUUUAUAAAAUCUAUUUGUUGGGUAUAUUUAUUAUCGAUAAACAUUGGUCUUAGUACGUCUCCUUUAGAAUAUUUACAUUUAAUUCGCAAUAAAUAUUAAAUAUAAAAUAUGAAUAUAAUUAUUUAAAUUCUUUUUGCUUGGAAAGGAAUAAAUAUAUAAUUUCUGAAGCUUGGCGGCAAUAUCUAAUACGAAAUCCUUGAAAAGAAUCGUGUUUGAUUGCUAGGUUUGUCUUAACUUUGAAUAUGGAAAUUAAGUAAUUUUGAAAAAAUGUUCUUCCUUAAAAGUAAUUUUGAAAGGGUAUAAUGAUUUUACGUGGGGCUAGUGAAUCAAAUGAUGAAAUAUUAUUAAAAAUUUUAAUAUUAUAUUAUUAUUUUAUUUACUGAUAAUGUAUAUAAUUAUACAUUGUCAAUGCAUCAUAUAUAAAUCCAUUCUAAAUUGGAAUCCAUAUUGGUACAAUAAACUUUCAAAUUAUUUUUAAAAGAUCGAUUAAGUUCCUUUGAACCUUUUACAUCCAUUUAAGUCUUUGAACUGACAAUUUUGACUAACGAAAUUUUUUUAUUAACAUUGACCAUUAGAAACCAACAUUAAUAUUGACUUGGUCAUUAAUGGAUAUCACAUCAACCAACAAAUGUUGAUGGGGUGAUCCACGUUAAUAAAAAAUAAAAAUAUUUUAAAAUUAUUGUAAAAAAAUGUACACAAUAAACUUAAACAAAUUGUUUCCCAAGAUCAUUUGUACAAAAAAAUUUAUAAAGAAUAAUUAAAAUUAUAAAUUAUUAUAAAUUAAUUAAAAAUCAUAAAAUUUUAUAAAAUAAAUUAAAACAAAGCUUUUCAUUAUAAAUUUUUAUAAAAUCCAUUAAUUGAAUAAAAGCUUUUAAUUAAAAUCCAUUUGGAUCUUUUUUAAAAGUUUCCAAAGAUUUUAUUUAAAAACAUUAAAAUUAUUAUAUUUUAUAAAAAUAUUUUUAUUUAAAUUCCAUUUGGUUUUAAUAAUACAUAAACAAUUACAAAAAAUAUAUAUAAAUAUAAAUUGGUUUUUAAUUUUAUACGUUUUAAUAAUUUCUAAAAUUUUAAUAAUUUAUAAAAAAAACUUUAGAAAAAAUCAUUUUAAUUAUUUUAUAAUAUUUUUUAUAAAAUUUAAUUAUUUGAAUUAUAUUUUAUAAUUUUUUAUUUUUUUAUAAUUUCGAAAUGAACCUUGAGAAAUGUGUUUUCAUAUUCAAAGGAACCUGGAUAAAAAGGUGUCCAUAUUUAAAUGAAUUUGGAUAACCAUUUAUCCAGCAUCAUUGUACAUUUUUUUAAAUAAUUUCAAAAUAUUUUUUUAUUUUUUAUUUUUAUUGAUGUGGAACUGUCAAGUUAACAUUUGUUAGCUAAUGUGGCAUCUGUUAACAAUCAUAUUAGCGUUGUUGUUAGUUUCUAACGAUCAAUAUUAGUCAAAUGACCUUGUUAGUUAAAAAUAUCAAUUCAAUGAUUCAAUUGAGUGGAAAAGAUUUGGAGGGAUUUAAUUGAUUUUUUUUAAAAAAAAGUUUGAAUGCUUAAUAAGCCUAUAUUAUCUUGAAUCAAUUCUAUCAAUCAUCUCUAAACUCUAAACUAUUGCCAAUAGUCUUAAGUAAAAUUAACCGCAACAUUUAUAUCUUUCGUCAAUUUGGCUUCUUUUUUUUUCAUUAAAUUUGGCCCUUAAUCUUUUAAAAAAGAGUCAAAUCAUUUUUUAUAGAAAAUCCUGACGAAUAUGGCAUGGCAGCCUGUGUAACAAUCCACGUGCACUUUAUUUUGACAUAAUACUAUUUAUUAUAUGCCACACCAAAAAAAAUUUAAAAUUAUAAAAAAUUCAAAAAAUAAAAAGUUUAUAAAAAUUCAAAAAUAAAAGAGUAUGAAAUACUUGUGGAUUGGUAUGUGAGCUACCAUGUUUAAAAUUUUAAUGAUUAAUUUUCAAUAAAAAAUAGCAAGUCAACUAUUUUUUAAAAAUUUAAUGGUUAAUUUUCAAUAAAAAAUAGCAAGUCAACUAUUUUUGAAAGGUUUAAGUUAAAUAUGAUAUAUUUUUUUAAAGGUUGAGGACUAAAUUUAGCUUUAAAAAAAAAGACUAAAUUAUUAAUAAAAAAAAUGUAAAUGUUAAUGACUAAAUUUUUGUUAUACCCAUUCUUAAUUAGUUUAAAACUUCAAAAUAUGUUAAAUAAAUCUGUAAAAUAUCAACAUUGUAUCAAAUAAUUUUCUAUUAAUAUAGUAAGUAGUUAAUUUAAUUGUUAAAUGUCAAUCAAGAUAUGAUAUGCCGCAUACUUAAAAACAAACGGAUUAAAUUGUAAGCUCAUGUGUAUCUAACACAUGAAAAAUUUAGUUUUGACGUAUUAAAAAAUCGAUUUCAAUAAAAUGUUAUCUAUGUUGUAAGUAUAUACGUUUGAUCGACGUAUUUCAAAUACACUUUAACUCAAAUUUGAAUUUGCAUUUAGUACCUCAACUAAUUGUUAACAUAAUAGAAAGGCUUAAUUGAUAUGAUACUAAUACUUUGAAGACUGAAUUAAAACAUUUUUAAAAUUUAAAAUUGAAUUUAAAAUAUGCAUAAUUUGAGAACAUUACGUCAUAGUUUAAUGUGUUUAUGGUAAAUUAGUCAAUUGUAUAAUAGUAAACAAGUUACGUUGCCUAGUCCUUGAUCAAACCUGACAUGCUUUAUUAUAAUAGUAAACAUUAACUUCUCUUUACUCAGUUUAAUUGUGGGAUUGUAAUUAUCAUUUAUUUCGGUCUUUAUAUCGUAAGAUUACAACUGUUUAAUUUUCUUUUUGUAUCUAAAGCAUGACCUGAUUAAUUUUCAUAAUUACAUGCUAUUUUGAUUUAGAAAAUUAUUAUAAAUAUUUUUAGCUGUUUUUUUAAUGGUUUCAUAGAUGAUCGAACGUAAUGUUUUCAACUUAGUUGAAACUCUUAGGCCACAUUAAGGGUGUUACAAAUUUUUUUAAAAAUAACUUUAAAAAAAUCAUUUAUAAAAAACUUUAUAAUUGUAAUUAUUUUAUAAUUUGAAUGAUUUUUUAUAAUUUAUUAUGUUUUUUUAAUUUCGAAAUGAAUAUUGAGAAAUGUGUCUCUAGAUUCAAAGGAACCUAGCUAAAUUGGUAUUUUUAUAAAAUUUAUUUUGGGUAUUUUUUCCAUUUGUCCAACAUCAUUGUAUACUUUGUAACACCCCACACACAAUUUAGAUGUUAUGGCUGAUUCUUGAGGAAUUACAUAACCUCGUUUUAAACCUAAAUUUUGAAUUUGAGAAACAUGUAUCCCGUCAUUAUUAAUUUUUGUAAUAAAAAUCAUGUGCUUUUGUAAUUUAAUGAUAAAAAUGCCCAAAAUCCGUAAAAAAUAAACCAAAAAGUAAAACAAAAUUAAAAAAACAAGUUCAUAGUCCCAAAGUUGAGAAAUGAAUAAAUCAUAAACCACAUAAUAAUAUUAACCGGAAAAUCAAUUGGAGCACCCGCGUGUCGUUCGAUCCUUACUUUGCUAAUUACCUAAGAAGUUAGAAAAUUUGGGUGAGCUUACAAAGCUCAGUGUGUAACUUAGCCCAUACAAACAGAACAAAUAGCAUAAUCACACAGAAGUUAGCUGUAACGCCCUGAUUUUUGGGCCUAGAAGUAUUGGGCCUUGAGUCUGGGUUCGGGUGGAAAAUGGCCCGAAUAAUUUGGAUGUUAUUAUUAUUAUUUCAUAUGUUUAGUUUAGUAAUUAAAUAAAUUACAAAAGGUUUAUGGUGUGGGAAAAAAGGCCCAAAAGUAAAUUUAAUUCGAGGCAAUUCCUGAAUUCUAAUUUUUAGAGAGAGGGUUCUGGCGAUAUGGGCUUUAAAAGUUGAGGUGGUAAAAUAGGACACAAAAAUAUUUGUGGUAAAGUGGCAUGUGACGCCACCUAGGUUGGGGAGUGACGUGUGGAUGUUUAGGGGAAGCCAGAGUUCAAGUCAUAAGGUAAGCGUAUUGUUACUUUUAUUUUUUAUGUGCAUUGCCGGGCAUGUGAUAGAGCUUAAGUGGAAAUUCGGUUAGGGCUUUAGGAAGGUUGGGCCGUGGGUCUGAAUGGCCCUUAGGGCAAGCUUUAUUUUCUUUUUGUUUUUCCGAAUUAGGGUUAGCCACCUAGAGCCUUCCCUUUUAUUCUAUUCUCUUCUCAGUAUCUCAAAAAGCCGAAAAAUGCAAAGUUAGAUCUCCUGAGUGCCGAAUUCUUCCUUCUUUUCUCCUCUCUUCUUCUAUUUUCUUUUUCUCAUUCUUUUCUUCUCUAGCCAAAGCAUUCCUACCAUUCUACUCAUCUCCUCUUUCAUUCCCAUUCUUUUCUAAACCUCUAUAGCUGAUUGCCAUAAAAGCUGAAAUCCCGAAAGUCGUUUCUUGUGUCGAUUUCUCCUAGCCAAAAUCCUCCUAUUUUCUUCACCUCUUUUGGUCGAUUUUCACAUCCUCUAAACCUCAACCCCUGUCAAAAAUACCACACCAAAUCAUCUUCCUCUUCACAGUUCCAAAAGCCAAAAACAACAUAGUUUUUAGGGACGUAUAGCAGAAUCUUUAGAUCUCUAAGAUUUGAUUUCUGCUAGUGUUUAAGGGCUGGAUCUGCAUCAAAUCUGAGUAGAAACUAAAGUGGAAUCAUUUUGGUUGAAAAAACCUGAGGUAGGUACUCAAAUCUAUUCUUUAUUUCGGGUUUUAGAAAAGCCAAAAUCCCUAAAGGCAUAGGGAGGCUGUCGAUUGGAGCUUAAGGCUCUAAGGGUUGUAACAAUUGAUUUGUUUUGGUGUUAGUAUGAUCCAGAGGCUGCUGAUUGAAGGCUUGGACAAGUGGAACGACUAGAUCGAGAUCUAGUCACUAGUUUUGGCAAAGGGAGGAUAGGCAAAGGGAGGAUCUCAAGGGCCAUAUGUAUUGAUGGCCGAUUUUGGUAAGUAAGUUUAUGAUGGUUGCCAUUGUAUUUUGGAUCUGAUAUGUCUAGUGACUGAUUGUAGGAUAUCGUGGGAGAUUUUGGUAGCAGUUGUCGCAAAUCAGGUGUGUAAACGACACCCACUAGUAGACUAGAUCGGCAAAAGUCAAAAAGCUGAAAUGCCGAAAAGCUGGCAUCUCGAGAACUUGCGAGCGUGCGAACGCUCGUGGGAUUGUUUGUAUUGAUAAUUUUGAUAACUUCAAUGGUAAGAUUGUAAAGUGCACAAUUUCGUGCACCUCGGUGAAUUUGGGCUUCGAUGGGCCGAAAUUGGGUAAUGGGCAACGGGCCCAUUUCGGUAAAAAUGUUCGGUAAGUAUUCUGAAGACACGUUAAUAACUAUAAUGAGCAUGAAACCCUAAAAAGACUGAAAAAAUUACUGAAAUACCUCUGUAAGGUAGAAUUACUGUAAUACCUCUAAAGGGGUAAGUUUACGAUUACGCCUCUCGAGGGUAAAUAACUGUUCUUACACUAUAAUCUGACUGUCUUUCUGAAGCAUGCCUUGUUAAUUAUAUAUAUUCUGCAUACAUGUCAUACUGCAUGGGGUUGGGUUUUGUUAUGGAGGAAGAACCCGUUCUGGUGGCUGUGCCACAUAUUCUGAUAUAAGCAGCUUUGCUGCGAAUUAUAGUUAGUGCCGCAACCGGUGCUAACACUGUAAGUGUAGGGAUGGCGUAGGUGAUUUAUUCCUCACAGGAAGUGUAGGGAUGGACGGAGGCAAGUGCAGGGUUGGAUGGGGUUAUCAUGCAUUAAUCAUAUGAGACUAUUUUGUUAUGGGCCAACUGUAUUGAAAUGGGCCCAACUGUGUUAAUAUGGGCAAGGCCCAAUAUAUCUCGACAUGUAAUAGGGUUACGGCCCAAAUUGAUACUAACAUGGGCUAGGCCCAGUAUACUCUGAUACUAUAAGGGGCUAUGGCCCAGAUUAAUAUUGAUAUGGGCUAAGGCCCAGUUAACUCUAAUUUCUAAAUAGGGCUUAGGCCCAGUAAAGCUUGAACUGAUUUGGGCUCUGGUUGGGAUACUUUACACACUGAGUUUUCCAAACUCACCAGCCUUAGAUCGGUGGACUUGGAGUUGGAGGGAUUCAGAGUGGCCCUGUGGACUAUUUAAAAUAAGUGUUUAUACCUUCACUUUUAUUUUAGAUUAUUUCCUUUAUAUUUUUGGGUUUUUAAUUUGUAAUAAGGCCGCUUUGAUUAUUUUUAAUUAUUUUUAGUAUGUUUUGUUAGCUUAGAUAUGAUGUUAUUUUAAUUGUUUGAAAUUGAAUAGCUCUAGGGCACGUUUUAAAAAGGUUACUUGAUUUCAAAAUAUCGCGAUAACAAAGCAAGGCUUCCGCAACGAAAACGUUUUUAAAAUUAAUAACCUUUUCAAAUGGUUUUAAAUGAAUUGGUUUUCCCUAAACAAUCACUCAGUUAAAGUGUGGCAACGGUUGUGUGCAUGUCUAGGCUUGGAUCCGUGAAGAGCUGGGUACUUAAGCAGUCUAAUUGACUCACCUCCUCUUUUCUGGCAUCCUAUCUGGUACACAGCUUCCAUUCACUUUAAUCUUUAACGAAUAUAUUCUUUAAACACUAAGAAAGACUUUAGAUAAAACAUGACUUUUCUAGUAAUGUUUCAAUGUGACACGCCGGAUUCGGUCGUAAUGUCUGGGCUGGGUUUGGGGUGUUACAUUAGCAAUCGAACAGAAUACACAGCAUGGCAUACUAUGGAAUGUAACAUAAUGAUCAGAUCAAAAAUGGAUGACAUGACAUAUCAUGUGAUGCAACACUUAAUACAAAACAAAUACAGAUCCUACCCCUAUCCAUUACACACCAUCUUAAUCCAUCCUUAUACACGAAAUAGGGUAAUAAAUACCCAUCUAAUCCCACACACCAAUAAGUGACCAUAUGUCACUAUAUAGAAAAGUGCAAUAAAAGCUGUCAUAAAUAAUGCGGUAAUUCACCAAAAUCAGACAAGUAUGGUCAAGUCAUCAGAAUUGUAGUCAAGCUGCCAAAACAGAUAUGUGGUUAAAUCACAAGAUAAAGUAGAUCAUUAAACUUCCAACACUUUCUCUGUCACUGAAUUAUCCCACCCCAAUACACAUGCAAUAAAAGCAUAACCAGAUAUUCAAAUGCACAAAGAUCAGAUAUGCUUACAUAACAGAAUCAUACUAAUGAUAUACUCAAAAUUUUCAGAUUAGAUACAGAAUUACCUCAAUUAUCAUGCUUGUAGAAAGUACUCAUACAAAGACAAAACCAUAAAAUCUUAUACUAGAAACAAUAAUAUCACUUAGCAAACCCUAUAGUAUUACUGACCUCGAAACAUACUUCGAAUAACGUUCUUAAUUAAAUUUUACAGAAAAUGGGCCCAAACACCCAUGCAGCCCACACUGCCCAUUUAACCCAUCCCAUGUGGCUCAAACGAUCUGGCACACGACGGUGUGGAUUGACAGUGGGUUUUUUUGGUUUCGUACCAUUUGUUGUUUUUCGGGACAGAAGGUACAAACCUGAUCAUUUUUUGAUGCCAACACAAUAGCAACAAUACUAGCACCUAAAAAUGACGUUCAGAAUGAACUAUUUAGCAAAUGUCAUACUAAAUUCGACCACUAAAUCGGCCGUAAUGCUAAAAAUCCAGAUUGAUCGUUUUUCGUAACAUUAAGAUUCAGCCUUAACAAGGCACUGAUCACUUACCCUAAUGUAAGAGGGCUUUCCAAAUGCUUCCAUUUUUUCGAAAGAUUAGACGUUUCCAAUUCUUUACCUAAAUCACAGAUUUCCAACCAUUCAAACUAUUAUCACCCAAAAUAAGAAUUCAUAUCCAAGCAUGUGAAAAAUAACUUAUUUACAAAAUACGAGUCUUAAAUCAACAUCUUUACCACCCAUGACCAACAAUCAAGACUGAAAAGGAUGUUGGUGCAAAGUAACUCAACAUUGAAGAGAUAAAAAGUAAAGAAAUGGAAAGAGGCCAGAACAAUAUACAACAGCAACAUAGUGGGAAAAGGUGUCUUCAAAGAGAAUGAAAAGAGAUUGAUCAUGAAAAAGAUGUGGAAUAGGAAAAAAACCAACAGAUGAAAGAGUGAUAGAAACUUGUUGAAAACUCUAAAUAAGCAAAAUAUAAGAUGGAGAAAUAGACAGAGAGGGACGAUAGAAAAUAGAGAGAUUUUUGGAACACUUUUGGGAAAUUUAAAAAAAAAAAGAAUUUUGAAAAACUAUCCAUAUCCCCACUAACUCCCAAUAAAUCUAAUUAGUUAUUUUUAUAAGAUUUUCACUUUGCACACACAAGGAUUUAAACAUAAAUCCCCUAGGUAAGUUGAAGCCUUACCACUAAACUGGUAUGCUCAUUCUCGUCAACAAUUGAACAAAAAAAUUAUAUAAGCUAGAUGUUCAAGGAUAGGGGUUGGAACAAAAAUAAUAAAAAAAUUCAGGGGAAGAGAUUUGAACAUAAGACCUCAGACACACAUAAUUAACACUUAGCCACUACAACAGACUAAUCACUUGACAUGAUUCCUACAAAAAUUAUUCUAAAAUAGGGCAUGACCCCUCUUGGUUCACCAACCCAAUUUAUACUAACCUAGUGUUUGAGAUGUGACAACUCUCCCCUCCUUAAAAGGAAUUUCGUCCUCGAAAUUCAUGUUGUCACACCAUUCACUCAACCACAAGGUUCGUAACUCUCAAUUAAAGCUGACCACCACACUUUUUUUGCGCGCAACUCUGAUUCCAAUGCCAUUAAGAAAAUACUUCUCCUCAAACCUUCUGUAGACCUCCUAUUCACAGACACAAAUUAUCUCAAAGGACUAACUACAAAAUCAUCUCUAAUGAUUUCCUCUACCUCAGAUUCUCAGAUACACUAUUGACAGUAGACACUUGAAUAAAACCAAUUCUCAAUCAUUGCAAUGAACAAUUGGAAUGGAUCGCGAAAGUAGCUACAUUAAUGCCAGAUGCGUCUUAAUCCUCAUGACCCAUAGCUGUAUAAUCCAAUCUUUGAUUCUAUUUUUGAGUCAAAGCCUACAUUUGACUAAGAAAAUGACACGAGCAAUCUCUAGAAUGGUGCUCAACAGACCCACAUCUAAAACGCGCCACCAUUUUCCUCCAACGCUCGUUCGGGUGGCACCCACCACAAAAUGCACAUGUUGGAACUUGAUCACUACCCACAACUACCUCAAACUGCUAAGGUUUGCCCAGUCUAGCCUACUUCUAAGGUCGCGGAUUCAAGCUAGUAAGACCAUAACUCCUCUUCUUUUAUACUUUAUUCCUUUGCAAAUCUCUAAGCAUAUAUUGGGACACAACAUAGUCCAUAGCUUCUUGAUUAUCGGCCUAAAUGGUAGGUUUUUAAGCAAUCUCACUUGUUUCCAAAUUGGGCAUGUUCCCUAGAGGAGAGGACUCUACUUGAGUCACUUGACGACAACAAACAUACCCUCGCAUACCACGUCUAGGUGAACUGCAUGUACUCAUUUUACUUAUCUACAGUUCAGAAGUCUAAAGUUUAGUUUAGGUUAUUUUUAGAUCCUAAACCUAAAUUUUAGCAUAAAUAACUCGUUCAAUUUUCUAAAGUAAAAAAGUUCUAUUCUACAGUCUCUACAGUUUACUAGUUGACUAAAGUAACUAAAGUAUAGUUUAACUAAAGUACAAAUACUUGGAUUCACAUUUUCAAAAUCUUAAUAAAUUUUGUGUAAAUUUACCCACAUCAGAUUUCCUAAAAAUUUUCUUUAAAAUAAGAAAUUAAAAAAAAAUAUGUAAUCCAGUUUUAAACUAAAAACCACAGCCUGAGUUUUAAAUAUAGGCUUUGAUACCACCAAAUGUAACACUCGACACCCGACCUAAACGUUAUGGCUGAAUCAUGAGAAAUUACAUAAAUUCAUUUUAAACCCAAGUUUUGAAUUUGAAAAACAUGUGUCUUCUCAUUAUUAAUUUUUGACAAAUCUCUUACAAGUUUUAAGGGAAACGCUCAUUAAAAUUUAUUUAUUUUAAAAAAAUCGCAUAAUUAAUUACUUAAACUUUGCAGCGGAAAUUUUGAAGUUUUGAUUUUGAAAUCAAAAUUGUACUUUGGAAUAAAAAUUAUGUGUUUUUGUAAUUUAAAGAUAAAAAUGCCCAAAAUCUGUAAAAAAAAAAACAAAACCGUAAAGCAAAAUCCAAAAACAAGUUCACAGUCCAAAAGUCUAAAAAAGAAUAAAUCAUAAACCACAUAAUAAUAUUAACUGAAAAAUCAAUCUGAGCACUCGCGCACUAUCCGAUCCUAAGUUUGUUGAUUACCUAAGAAGUUAGAAAAUUUGGGUGAGCUUACAAAGCUCAGUGUGUAACUCAACCCAUACAAAUAGAACAGAUAGCAUAAUCAUAAAAAAGUCAAAAAUCGAACAAAAUACACAAAAUGGCAUACUAUGCAAUGUAACAUAAUGAUCAAAUUAGAUACGAAUGACAUGACAUAUCAUGUGAUGCAACACUUAAUACAAAAUACAUACAAAUCCUACCCCAUCUGCUACACACCACCUUUAUCCAUUCGUACACACAAAAUAAGGUAAUAAAUACCCAUCGAACCCCACACACCAAUAAGUGAGUGUAUGUCACUAUAUAGAAAAGUGCAGUCAAAGCUGUUAGAAAUAAUGCGGUAAUCCGUCAAAAUCAGAUAAGUGUGAUCAAGUUAUCAGAAUUAUAGUCAAGUUGCCAAAACAGAUAUGUGGUUAAACCACGAGAUAGGAUAGAUCAUUAAACUGCCAACACUUCAUUCAUCACAUGAUUAUCCCACCCCAAAGCACAUGCAACAAAAACAUAACCAGAUAUUCAGAUGCACAAAGAUCAGACAUGUUUACAUAACGGAAUCAUGCUAAUGACAUGUUCAAAACUUUUAGAUCAAAUACAAAAUUACCUCAAUUAGCAUGCUUGUAGAAAGUACUCAUACAAAGGCAAAACCAUAGAAUCUUAUGCCAGAAACAUGAAUAUAACUUAGCAAACCCUAUAAUAUUGCUUACCUCAAAACGUACUUUAAAUAUGACCUUCACUAAAUUUUACAAAAAAUGGGCCCAAACAUCCGUGUGGCCCACAUGACCCACAUAAUCCAGUCUACAUGGCCCACAUGGCCUAACACAUGGUCGUAUGGCUCACACAGUUUGGCAUAUGACCAUGUGGCAUCGAUAAUUGGUUUUUCAGUUUCGCACCAUUUUUUAUUUUUUGGGACAGAAGCUACACACCUAGUCAUUUUUUGAUGCCAACGCAACAACAACAAUACUAGCACCUAACAAUGGCAUUCAAAAUGAACUAUUUAGCAAUUUUCAUACUAAAUCUGACCACAAAAUCGAUUGUAACACUAAACGUUUGGAUUGAUUAUUUUUUUAACACUAAGAUUCAACCUGAACAAGGCACUAAUCAUUCACCCCAACAGAAGAAGGAUUUUCUAAUACUUCUGUUUUUUCAGAAGAUUAGUCGCUUCCAAUUUUUUAUCUAAAUCACAGACUUCCAACCGUUCAAACUAUUAUCACCCAAAAUAAGAAUUCAUAUCCAAGCAUGUGAAAAAUAACUCCUUUACAAAAUAUGAGUCUUAAAUCAACAUCCUUACCACCCAUGGCCAACAAUCAAGACUGAAAAGGACGUUGGUGAAAAGUAACUCAACAACAUAAGAGACGAAAAGUAAAAAAACAAAAUGAGGACAAAACAAUAUACGACAACAACACAGUGGGAAAAGGCAUCUUCAAAGAAAAUGAAAAAGAGAUUAGUCAUGGAAAUGAUGUGGAACAAAAGAAAAAAAGAAAGAAAGAAAAGAAAACCAACAGAGGAAAGAGUGACGAAAACUUACUGAAACCCCUAAAGAAGCAAAAUAGGAUAUGGAAUAAUGGAUAGAGAGGGACUGUAGAAAGUAGAGAAAUUUUAGGAAUAUAUUUGGGAAAUUUUCAUAAAAAUAAGAAUUUAGAAAACUACCCAUAUUUCUACUAACUCCCACUAAAUUUGAAAGGAAAUUGCAAAAAAAAAAAUUUGUUUUACACACAUGGGGAUUUGAACAUAGGACUUUUGGGUAAAUUAAAGCCUUACUACUAAACUAGCAUGCUCAUUCUUGUCAACAAUUGAGCAAAAAUAUUAUAUAAGCUAGAUGUUCAAUGAUAGGGGUUGGAAAAAAUAUUAAAAAAAUUCAAGGGAAAUGAUUUGAACACAAGACCUCAGACACACAUAAUUAACACUUAGGCACUACAAAAAAUUAAUCCCUUAACAUGGUUCCUAUAAAAAUUAUUCUAAAACAAGGCGUGACCCCUCUUGGUUCACCAACCCUAUUUAUACUAACCUGGUUUUUUUUGGAUGUGACAACAUUUUUUAAAAUAACUUUAAUUUUUUUACUUUUUUAUUUUUAUUAAUCUAGCACUGCCAAGUUAGCAUUUGUUGUCUGAUGUGGCAUCUGUUGACAAUCAUGUUAGCAUUGUUAGUUUCUAAUUAUGAACGUUGAUCAAAGGAUCUUGUUGGUCAAAAUUGUUAAUUCAUAGAUUCAAUUGAGUGGAGUAGGUUAGGAGGGAUUUAAUUAAUUUAAAAAAAAGUUAAAAUGCUUAAUAAGCAUAUAGAAUUUUGGGUUAAUUCUAUCAAUCAUCUUUAAAUUAUUUCCAGUAGGCUUAAAGUAUAAUGUAAAAUGUAACUACAAUAUUUAUAUCUUUUGUCAAUUUGGCUAUUUUUCUUUUUAGCUAAAUUGGCCCUUAGUCUUUUAAAAAAUGAGCUGAUCCAAGGAAGAUUUCUACUUGGAAUGGAAUCAUGGAAAAAGUUGAGAAGAAACUAUCAGGUUGGAAGUGUCUCUCUCUCUUGGGCAGGGAGAAUUAUGCUUAUUAAUACAGUCUUAUCCUCUUUACCUAUCUACUUCAUGUUAAUUUUUCAAGUGUUUGUAGCUGUGAUUAACAAAAUUGACAAAAUUAGAAGGAAUUUUUUGUGGGGAAGUGUUGGUGGACGAAGGAAAAUGGCGAAGGUAAAGUGGAAACAAAUUUGUUUGCCAAAGGAUAAGGGAGUGCGGGAGUGGUGAAUAUUAGGGUAAAAAAUAAGACACUCAUGGUCAAAUAGAGUUGGAGAUUCGUGGCGGAAAGAGAAGUGUUGUGGAGAAAAAAAUUAUAUUUGCGAAGUUAGGAUUCCUUGCACAAUAAUGGUGAAUUAGAAUGAUCAACACCAAAGAUAUGUCGAUGGUUUGGAUGGUUAUCGUGGAGAAUGCUAAAGACUCAAAAGUGGCUAAAUGGAUGGGUAAAGAACCUUUUCGUUGGCUGAUUGGGAAUGGUAAUAUGACAAUGUUCUGGUAGGAUAUUUGGUGUAGAGAACGUCCACUGAGAGUGGAAUUUUCAUGGCUAUUUCAUUUAGUCAAUAACAAGAAAGGGUUGGUGAAAGGCUUCUCAAAGUCAAAUGGGUUUAACGAGGUUAAUUGGGUAGAUUUCUUUAUACGGCCACUAUUGGAAAGGGAAUUGGAUAUGCUCAAUUGUUUAAGGAAAGUAGUUAGUAGUAAGGUGCUGGUGCUAGAAGAGGAGAAUCGUCUAAUAUGGAUACAUGAUAAUAAGGGGCUGUUCUCAGUGACGAAAUUAUAAGAAUUUUUGAUCAAAGGAGUGGAAGACAUUAGUUUCACUUUUGAUAAGAUUUGGAAGUUAAAGGUACCUCCUAGAGUGGGAACCUUCCUUUGGAUGCUUUAAAUAGAUAGGCUAUCUACUAAGGAGUUCUUGACUAGAAGAGGUGUGUAGCUUUGUCAAUUAGAGAGGGGUUGCUCUUGGUGCGAUAGAGAACCGGAGAGUGCGUAGCAUCUUUUCUUUAAAUACAAAUUCAUUGAAGGUUUUGGUGAAAGAUUUUCGAGUGGUGAGAUGUUGAAUGGAAUCCAGUUGAUGGUUUAUUAGAUUUUUACUUUUUAUGUAAUAAUAUGAAGUUUACAGGUGUGUGCAAAAGUCUAUGGUUGAUUUCGGUGACAGCGGCAUGCUGGUCCGUGUGGCUGGUAAGGAACAAGUUGGUAUUUGAAAGGAAGUGGUCUACAACAAACAAUUUGUUAUUUCACUCCAAGAUGUAGGCAUUGAUGUAGGUUAGGGACGUCCAAGAUGAAUUAAGAGUGCAAGAGAGAUCAUUAUGGAUGUGUCCGUAUAGAAGCUGGUGUCAUUUAAAAAAAUCAGGGAUGGGUGGCUUGUUCUGAUGUCCUCUGAGGUAUGGUUGGGUAAAAUUUAAUGUAAGUGGAGUGGCAAAAGAGGACGAAGUCGGGUGUGGAAAGGUGUUAAGAGACGCGGAUGGGGUGGCAAGGGCAUUAUUUUCUAGUCCAGUUGGUGCAAAGGACUCCAUUGCUCCGAGAUUGGAGCCAUCAUCAUUGCUUUGGAUGUGUAUUUAGCAAUGGGUUAGAAAGGUAAAGGCUCUCUAAUUAUUGAGAUUGGAUCAAAUGAGGUGUUUAGUUCGAUUGAGAGCAAAAGGCUGAGACCAUGGAUGCUACAAUCUAUCUUGAAAGAUAUCGAAAAUAGAAUGCAUAAAGUAGGUAAUGUUUCCUUCUCAAAGGCUGGAAAGCACGGAAAUGAGAUGGCCUCUUCUCUGGCAUUAGUUGGAAUAAAAAGGCAUGGAAUGUUUAAGGUAUGGUGGUGAAUAUAUCAUGGGUAAUGUGUUGUUGAGUUUCUUCUAAAGAAUUGGUUAGUUGUUAGUAACUAAAGGAUCUUUGGUUAUAUGGGGCUUAUGUUUCGGUUGCUUGCACAAUUGCCUUUUAGAGGGUAGAAUAAUAAAGGGGGGUUUUGGGGUUCUGGUGGUAUAAAAUCAUGAUGUUAUCGAUAUGAGAUUUUGGUGAUUUGUACUUGGUAGAGGGACACUUUUCCUGGGGGAUUGUUGCAUUUUGCAGAUUAUUACAUUGUUUGCAAAUGCUUAAAAUGUGUAAUAAUUUAAUUGAGCAAAAAAAAAGUUUUUUUAACGAACAUCCUAAGUAAAACAUUAAUUUUUUAACAAAGUUUGCAUGGUAACUCGUGUUGCAGUCCAGUGUACUUCAUGUAGACAUAACAUUAUUUAUUAUAUGGGACACCAACAAGUAAUUUAAAAAUUAUAAAAAAAAUUAAAAAUUAAGAAUUAAAAUAAAAAAUAAAAAAAGUAUGAAGUACAUGAGUUGCCAUGUUUAAAAAUUUAACGGUUUAUUUUCAUUAAAAAUAGCAAUUCAACUAUUUUUGAAAGGUUUAAGGUUAAAUAUGAUUUUUUUUCCAAAGGUUGAAGACCAAUUUUAGCUAAAAAAAAAUAGGAAUCAAAUUGACAAAAAGAAUGUAAAUGUUGAAGACUAAAUUUGACGUUAUUCCUAUUCUUAAUUAGUUCUAAAUGUAACACCCCAAACCCGGCCCAAACGUUACGGCCAAAUCUAGCAAUGUCACAUGAGAGUGUUUUUGGAAAACCGUUUCAAUACAUAAAAAUCAUUCCAAUUAUUAUCUUUUACUUAGUUUGGAAAAACCGUUAAUUUAUUAAUUGGCUCGAAGAUAGUUCUUAAUACGCGGAAGCUUUAAAAUCCAAACAACUCUUGGUACCAUCUUACUUACGAAAACCUCAGUUAAUUUUAGAAAAACUCACUUAGAUGUUGUAGUUUAUAUUCCAAAAUCACAGUUCAAAAACCUAAAUUAAAACCAAAAGUCCAAGUCCAAAAUUACAUAAAAAAUUUCCCCAAAAAUAAUGAAAAUAAUAGAUAAAACAAAAGCAGUAAGUUCAUAAACCAAAAUGUAUAUGGUCGUGGUCAUCGUCGAGUCCUCCACUGCAUCGAUCCGCCUACUACUGGGGAUUACCUGAACAAAUAAAACAAAUAAAGGGUGAGAUUUCGCAACUCAGUGUGUACAUCCCCAUAGUUCAGUAUGCAUACAGUCAGAUAACAGAAUACAGUCAUAAUUCGGGCCUGAACCCUUUUACAGAAUCGGUGUGGGCCUUGGCCCACUCAGAAACAGAGUCAUAUACAACUUAAGGCCUUAGCCCAUCUCAAAUAUAGCAUGCAUAACAGAUUAGAAUAAUAGAAACAGGCCCACCAACCUUGCACACCAAUUCCUUCCAACCCAACACAUCAUGUAGGGAUAAAAUCAACCCACCCAUCCCUGCACGCCAAAUAUGGGGAUAAAAUCAACCCAUCCAACCCUACACACCAUAGAGUUCCGUAAAGCAGCACAUGUCAUGAAUAUGCAGCUUAGUUGCUAGAUAACAAGCUUUAAAGGCCUUUCAGAUACUUUCUUCAUCUUCAUCAAACCCACCCCAAUGAAUUGCAUCAUACAAGAAUGACAUGCUAUAAUGCAGAUUAAUAGACAUAUUUUCAUAUUCAGAACAGACAAAUAUACAUACUAAGUGUAACAUGGCAGUACAUACAUCGUAAUAUCAGAUCACAAAAUCAAGGGUCUAAGUAAGGCUUACCGACCCUACAAUAGGUCACAGUCGACUUGGGCGGCCCGUGUAACCUUACAGAACAUUUCAGAAAAAUGGGCUCACACGCCAAUAUGGCCUGCCCGUGCCCAUGUGGCCCACACAGCCCAAAUUAGCCUUGGCUGUGUGGACCACAUGGCCUGACCCAAAAUUCCAUAUGCCCGUGUGGGCCCACCUAGGUAGCAAGCACACUGCGUAUCCGUCAAGCCUGUUUCGCGCGCGCAGGACCUGGUUUGUCGACUACACACCCGUGUACUGCCACAUGACCUACCACACGGGCGACCACACGCUCGUCUGGCGUCGACAGAAUACUUUUCGACUUUUGCCAAAUAUCUUUUUCUGUGUAAUCGGAGUACACACCUGGUCCAAUUUUGACAAGUAAUCACUCCCGAGCACUCCAGAACCUAUAUUGUCAGAAACCCCAAUUUCAGUCACUUAAUCUGAAACUUCAACUAAGUUAUAAUGGAGCGCUCAUCACUCAAACAACGAAACCCUUACCUUUGAUCGAAACGUGAAGUUCAAGCUCUCAACCCAUCAAUGGGAAUGAUUUGCAGACUCUAGAUCGAUUCCUAAACCAAAAAGAACUCCUCUUAGUGAAAAUAUUUUCAGAAACACAUAGAUAGACAAAAGUCGAAACUUACCAACUAAUGCCGAAAGGAAAGCAGAGAUGAAGAAGUCUAAUGAGCGAUGGCAAAUAGAGAAAGAAAUAUGGGACUGUAGCAAAACAGAGGUCGGCGUAGGGAAGAGGAGAUAAACGAUUGAAAUUUUUGGGAAGAAAAUGAAUUUUCGGUUAUGGGGGAAAAAUAAUAAAAACUAUCCUGAUAGCCACUCCCUAAAAUCUCCUCAAAUCUCUCUGUACAAUCUCCCCACUAACUCCACUUAGAAUCCCAUCCUACUCCAAACUCUCAUACAGCUCAAGUAGCAAAAUAAAUCCCUCGUUCACACAAGGAUUCGAACUCUAAACCUCUAGCGACUUCAUACCCUACUUAACCACCAAACCAACAAGCCCAUGCUUAUAAGUUUUUACAAAUAAACACAUAUAAGCCUAAUAACCAAAGACAAGGUUUUAUUCAAAUAAAAACCAAAAUUCUUCCCAAGCUAAGACUCAAACUUAAGACCUCUCGCACACACCUAGAACACUUAACCACUAAAACAGAUACAAGUUUAUAACUAUUAAUUAUUGAAACAUAUUUAUAAAAUUUGGGGCGUUACAUCUAAACUAAAAAAAUAGAUUAAGUGAAUCUUUAAAAUAUCAUCGUUGUAUCUAUGCAAUAAAUUUUAACGUAUUAAAAAGUAAAUAUCAAUAAAAUGUUAUCUAUGUUGCAGAUAUAUAUUUCUUUACAAUUUAAUCUAAGUAUUUUAAAUACACUUCAACUCAAACUUGAGUUGGCAUUUAAUGCCUCAGCUAAUUGUUAACCUAAUAAAAAUACUUGAUUGAUAUGAUACUAAUAUUCUGAGGACUAAAUUAAAACAUUUUUAAAAUUUAAAAUAUGCAUAAUUUGAGAACAUUAAGUCACAGUUUAAUGUGUUUAUGGUAAAUUAGUGAAUAGUAAACCUGACAUGCUUUAUUAUAAUAGUAAACAUUAACUUCUCUGUACUCAGUUUAAUUGUGGGAUUGUAAUUAUCAUUUAUCUCGGUCUUUAUAUUGUAAGAUUACAACUGUUUAAUUUUCUUUCCGUAUCUAAAGCAUGACCUGAUUAAUUUUCAUAAUUACAUGCUAUUUUGUUUUAGAAAAUUAUUUUAAAUAUUUUUCGCUGUUUUUUUUCAAUGGUUUUAUAAUUUUUUUUUCCAAAAACAUCAGCGGCUUUCAAAACAUCAGGAGAAUAAUAACGAAAUUGAAUCUUUAAAUAAAACGACUUAAAAAUAAUAAAUGAAAAGGAACAAUUUCCCUAUAAAAUACACUAGUGGUUUCAUGGGUUACUUCAAUAAUCGAAUAUAAGGUCUUCCACUUAGCCGAAAUUCUUUGGUUUAGUUGAUGGUGUUAUAAUAUUUUUUAAUAAUUUUAUAAAUAUUAAUCAUUUAUAAAAAUAAAUUUUAAUUAGUUUAUAAUAAUUUUUUAUAAAAUUUAAUAAAUUUUUUUAUAAUUUGAAUGAUUUUUUUAUUAUAAUUUUUUAUUUUUUUAAUUUCGAAAUGAAUCUUGAGAAAUGUAUCUCUAGAUUCAAAGGAACCUAAAUAAAUGGGUGUUCAAAUUGAAAUGAACUUGGCCAACCAUUUAUCCAGCAUCGUUGUAUACUUUUCUAAAAAUAAAUUAAAAAUUUUUUUUUACUUUUUUAUUGUUUUUACUAAUGUGGCACUACCAAGUUAGCAUUUGUUGUCUGAUGUGGCAUAUGUUGACAAUCAUGUUAAUGUUGCUGUUAGUUUCUAAUGAUCAAUGUUGGUUAACUGGCCUUGCUGGUUAAAAUUGUCAAUUCAAGGAUUCAAUUGAAUAGAAAAGGUUUGGAGGGAUUUAAUUAAUUUUUUUAAAAAAGUUAAAAUGCUUAAUAAGCCCAUAUUAUUUUGAGUUAAUUCUAUCAAUCAUCUCUAAAUUAUUGCCAAUAGUCUUAUAGCAUAAUGUCAAAUUUAACCACAAUAUUUAUAUUUUGUCAAUUUGGCUCUUUUUAUUUUUCUUUUUAGAUUAAUUGGCGCUUAGUCUUUUAAAAAAGAGUCAAAAAGGUUUAUUUAAUAAAAAUCCUGACUAAAACAUAUAUUUUUUAACAAAGUUGGCAUGGCAACUCAUGUUGUAGUCCACAUGUACUUCAUGUAGAGAUAACACUAUAUAUUAUAUGCCACACCAAAAAGUAAUUUAAAAAUUAUAAGAAAUUAAAAAAAUAAAUAAUAAUAAAAGAAUGUAGUACAUGUGAAUUGGUACGUGAGAUGCCUUGCUUAAAAAUUUAAUGAUUUAUUUUCAUUAAAAAAUAGCAUUUCAACUAUUUUUGAAAGAUUUAAGGGUAAAUAUGAUUUUUUUUAAAAGGUUGAGGACCAAUUUUAGCUAAAAAAAAAUAAGAGUCAAAUUAACAAAAAAAAAUAUAAAUGUUGAGGACUAAAUUUAACGUUAUGCCUAUUCUUAAUUAGUUCUGAACUUCAAAAUAGGUUAAUUGAAUCUUUAAAAUAUCAGCAUUGUAUCUAUGCGGUAAAUUUUAACAUGUUAAAAAAUCAAUGUCAAUAAAAUAUUUAUCUAUGUUGUAGAUAUAUACGUCUUUACAAUUUGAUCUGCAUAUUUCAUAUACACUUUAACUUAAACUUGAGUUGGCAUUUAAUGCCCAAAUUAAUUGUUAAGCUAAUGGAAAGAUUUGAUUGAUAUGAUACUAAUAUUUUGAGGACUGAAUUAAAAUAUUUUAAAAUUUAAAAUUGAAUUUAAAAUCUGCAUAAUUUGAGAAUAUUACGUCAUAGUUUAAUGUGUUUAUGGUAAAUUAGUCAAUAGUAUAAUAGUAAACAAGUAACAUUAGUCCUUGAUCAAAUCUGACAUGCUCUAUUAUAAUAGUAAACAUUAACUUCUCUUUACUCAGUUUAAUUGUGGGAUCGUAAUUAUCAUUUAUGUCGGCCUUAAAUCGUAGGAUUAGAACUAUUUAAUUUUCUUUCUGUAUCUAAAGCAUGACUUGAUUAAUUUUCAUAAUUAAAUACUAUUUCGGUUUAAAAAAUUAUUAUAAAUAAUUUUUUCUGUUUUUUUAAAUAGUUUCAUAAUUUUUUUCCGAAAACCUUAGCCACUUUUAAAACCUCACAAUAAUAAGAAUGAAAUUAAAUAUUUAAAUAAAGGCGGCUUAAAAAUAAUAAAUGAUUUCCUAAGAUCAAAAGGAAGUUCCCUCCGAAAUAGACUAAUGAUUUUAAGAAUCAUUUCGAUAAUCGAAAACAUAACGUGUUCGACGUAACCGAAAUUUGCAGAGAACAUUACGUCAUAGUUUAAUGUGUUUAUGGUCAAAUAGUCAAUAGGAUAAUAGUAAACAAGUGACGUUGCUUAGUCCUUGAUCAAACUUGACAUGCUCUAUUAUAAAAAUCAAUGAAAAAGAUCAAUGGGAAGAACUGAGAAACGAAAGUCCUUGGGUCUGAAAGAAAUGCAUGCACCGAUUUAACUUUCAGAUGCCUUAAAGAUUAACAUUGGUUAAGACUUAAAAUCGUUAAAGAUUAUUUAUUAUUUGAAAAUAGGUUUCUUUCAUUUAAUAUAAUAUUAAUAAAAUUUUAUCAAUUUUAAAUAUAUAUAAUUUUUAUUUAAUUUUAAAAAAUAGUUAAUUGAUUAAAUUAAAAAUUGGUGAUCUGUCUAAUUUUGUACAUACCCAAGAUAGGACACAUCUUUAUUAGCUAAUUACUACUUUUUUAAGGAACUAGUUACUACUUUUUAGAUUUAUUUAACAUGAAAAUCAAAUUUAACAUUUAAUUAUGUUAGUCCAACUGAUUUAAUUUAUAUUUUAGUUGAGGCUGCCCGGCGGCGGGAAGGACUGAAAUGAUAUAUUCCUUUCAGUCUAAAGUUCAACAGAGGAUAAAUAUUUACUUUGUAACACAUUUCUACACAUUUCAUCUACUAAUAUUUUACAGGCAUCAACUUUGAAUAAGAGAAUCAAACAAAAAGACAAAUCAAAAUUUCUUUUAAUCUAUUCGCAAUUCUAAUGCAAUGGGCCCUACACGAAUCUUAUUGUAUAAUUGUUUUCUUGCAUUUAGCUUGUCUUUUUUUUACUUAAACUCACCAGUAUAUUUUACCUAUAAAUGCAUGCAACAAUUGCACUCUUAUCCUCACAGAUUCUGUGCCAAAUUUCAAGAGCAAACAAAAAAAGGCAGCAAAUUAAGCUUUUCAAUAUUUGCUUUUGAUCAAUCGAAAUGGCUUCACAAGUUUCUCAAAUGCCUUCUUCAUCACCCCUUUCUUCCAAUAAGGAUGAAAUGCGUCCCAAAGCCGAUUUUCAGCCUAGCAUUUGGGGAGAUCUCUUCCUCAACUGUCCCGACAAGGUAUACAUACAUAUGACCAUAUUGGUAUAUAAUCUUAACAGGUUAUUUGUUUUAUUUAGUGAUACAAUGUGAAAAAAAUUUUCAUUAUUUUGAGCAGAAUAUUGAUGCUGAAACUGAAAAGCGCCACCAACAAUUGAAAGAAGAAGUGAGGAAGAUGAUUGUGGCACCAAUGGCUAAUUCAACCCAAAAGUUAGCCUUCAUUGAUUCAGUCCAAAGACUGGGUGUGAGUUACCAUUUCACUAAGGAGAUCGAAGAUGAACUAGAGAAUAUCUACCAUAACAACAAUGAUGCUGAGAACGACCUCUACACCACAUCCCUUCGAUUUCGAUUACUCCGAGAGCAUGGAUUCAAUGUUUCAUGCG
rnacentral:lncRNA from 1 species